rnacentral:lncRNA from 1 species
GUGGUAAUGUCACCGCCACACUCAAGCUCUAAAUCUGGAUGUCCGCAUUCUUUUUCUCGAUCACCUCCAUGGAAAGGAAAUCCAGCAGUGAUAUUCCCACAUUUGAACUUGCUAUCACGGCAGUUCUCGAACUCAGGCUCAAACCAGGCAGUGGUUAGUGAAACAGGGGUCCCAAGCAUGAUAAAUAAUAAACAAAACAGAGGAAGAGGAAGAGGAAGAGGCAGAGGCAGAGGCAGAGAUGAUGAGAAAGAAGGAGAAAUCAUUUUGAGGGCAGAGAGAUGGAGGAAGAAAGGGUUGAUUGCCUGCCUCAGCUCUAAUGAAAUACAAUUAAAACCAAGCUGAAAGAAAGACUUGGAAUAUAGAGUAGGAGAGUUGACUUGCAAAGACUUUGAGCAUCCAUAAGUCGUGUCGUGUCGUGUGGGUGUGGGUGUAGCAGUGAGUAAAUGGAAAUGCAAGAGUUCAAAGAUGGAGACACUUUAACAAGCUUUCGCUCCUUGCCCUCAACUUUCUCAUCACUUGGAAAUUGCUGUGUCGAUACGCCACUCAUAGGCCUUGUUUGUAGUAGGGUUUAAAAGUGAUUUUUUUUUAAAAAUAUAUGCUUUAAUUUUUUGUAUUUUAAAAAAAAAUUACAUUUUGGUCAUUCAGUCACUAUCAUUAACAUUGUAGCAGCAAGCUAAUAUGGCACAUUAUAUUGUCAUUUUAGACAAAAAAAAAUUACACCAAACUAAACAACUAAUCUCUAUACUUUUUUUUAGAGCAAAUUUAAUUAUUUUUAAUUUUAUUUUUUUCAAAUAAAAAAGAAUAGAGAUAAAUUGCAUAAUUUGACCUAAAAUUUUCGUCUGAAAUGAUGAUAUAACAUGUCAUAUAAGUUAUCGUUACACCAUUAACAGUAAUUAAUAACUCAAUAACUAAAAUGUAACAUAUUGAUAACAUUAGUAAUCCUAUCAUAAUUUUUUUUUUCAAAUUUAGUGACCAAAAUGUAUUUUUUUUAAACUAUACAUAGUGACUAAAUUUAUAAUUUUGACUUAUAGUGAAAAAUAAUUGAGCUAUUAUUCUCUAAAAUUUUUUAUAGAUAAAAUUUCAAAAAAUAUAUUAUAAAAAAAUUUCAAUGAAAUAGUUAUAUAUAUAAUUUAAAAUAAUUGAUCUCAAAGUUUAAAAAUCUUGACCUAAAAAAUGUCAAUUAUAAGGAUAGAGAGAUUAUAAAAAAUAUUGUGAAUCUUAAUUAAUAUUAUAAUCUUCAAAAUCUCAAAAGUUUGUUGAAAAUGUAAUUGAACUCAAUUGUUAAAGUAAACUCCUAAAUUCAAGCUUUUAAUUAUUUGUGGUUUGAGUUGAGUGAACAAUAAUAAAACUAAAUUGGAGCAGAAAUAUUUUGUUUAAAGCUGUGAAAUUGUUUUAUUUAGAUAAUAAAAGUUAUCCAUAAAAUGUAUGCUACUCUUAAUAAUAAUAAUAAUAAUAAUAAUAAUAAAAGGAUGAGAGUAUUAGAGUGAUGCUGUUAUCCAAUUCUUAUCUAAAAAAGAUAACAUGAUACAUCAAAUUAACCCAUUCACUUCAACUAUUUUCCAUUAAAAACUUUCCCAAACUCCAUUUCUUCUAUACUUAUAUACAAACUCAUCAUCUUACUCAUUCUUUGUUAGGGUGUGUAGGUUUCAACAAAAGAUUUCUUAAUUUCACUCAACUCCAAACUCACGUGAUUUUCUUUAUUAAAUUUGAAAAUGAUGUUGCUUGAAUACGAUAUUUUUGUUAGAUAUAAUAAAGAUGUUAAAUAGAGAUAUUAAAUUGAUUAAAAAUUUAUACAUGUAUUGUAAAUAUGAUUAUGCUAUUAGAUUUAUCAAUUGAAAUUCUAAAAUAUUAAUAUUUAAAAAAGUAUAAAAAUUACUUUAAUUUUAAAACAACGUAAUAUAUACUUUACUAAUACUAAGAUAAGCACAAGUAUUUGGUCUGAUAUAUAUUAAAUAUUCCAUCAAAAUAAUAGACAUGUCUGCAAUGCAAGUCUACAUCUAUCAAAUGCUUAUUUUGUUUAAAAGUUAUUUUAAAAAACUGAUGUUAGAUUUUAAUUAUGUAUUCAAGUUUAAUCCAAUGGAAAAUUAAUUAUUGAUUUAAUUCACAAGAGUCCUCUGCUACUAUAGCACGUUUUCUAGGGUUUUGUUUUGUUUUUUUUUAUUAUUGGUGGUCUGGGUUUUGGGAGAGUUUUGGGUUCUUAGAUGGUUGAUGUGGAAGGGGACUUUCAAGGGCAAUCGCUGGAAGAUGCUGAAGAAGAGGAAGCUGUUAGAUUGGAAGCAUCUGUUUUUAGUACCAAAGAAUCGUUGGAGACUUGCCUCAUCGGAACAUUUCUAACAUAUAACGUGAUUAAUUUUCCGUCAAUGAGAGCCACUUUGGUGAAUGUUUGGCAUCUUAUAGGAGGGAUCAUGAUUUUUGAUUUAUUUGAUGGGAGAUUUCUGUAUAAACUAUUUCUUAAGGUAGAUGCUGAUCGUAUAGAAGCGGAAGGACCAUGGAAUUUUAAUUCACAUCUUUUGAUUCUACGAAGGCUACAUGAUAGAGAUGAUCCUAAGACUAUUCCAUUAAACACUGUUGAUUUUUAGGUUCUAGUGCAAGAUCUUCCUCAUGGAUUUAGUUCGAAAUUGGUGGCUAGACAAAUGGGGAAUUUCAUUGGGCAGUUUAUCAAUUAUGAUUGUAAAGCUAUUAAUCUUGGCUAUAUCGGGGUUUUGAGGGUAAGGGUUAGGGUGGAUGUAGAGAAAUCGCUAAAACAUAAAAAGAAAAUAGUUUUAUUGAAUGGAACGAUGAGAUAUGUGAAAUUUGUUUAUGAAAAGCUAUCCCCAUUUUGUUUCCUUUGUGGAAAAUUAGGCCACGGAGAGAGCUUUUGUCUGCUACAUGUUUUGCAGGAUGAUCAGGAGCUUUCUUUUGGCUAGGAUGUUUCUUUGAAGGCUCUAUUUAGGCAUGCGACAGCCCUUUCCAGCAGGUGGUUGAGAGAGGAGGGUGCUGGUGCGCCAGGUAUAGAAUGGAGGAAUUUAGGGGGAACACCCUUGUAAUGGGUAAUAUGUAGGAGAGACUGGUGUGACCUAGUAAUGGGCAAUUAAGGCCAAAUCUUGGGGGAGGUAGAUGAGGAAAAUUUGAAUCUAAAUGGUCAGAAUCGGGGUUUAAUUCGGAUGAGUAAAAUAGAUUUGGUUAUAGCGUAAGAUGGGCCAUCAAAUGGGCUUUUAGGUGGUGGUUUUGAUGAUACUAUGGAGGAGGAGAUCCAACAUUUAAUAGGGAAGGCUUGAAGCGGCCUCACCUUUACUUGGCUAAUAGUGAAGGAAAUAACAAUGGAAAUGGUGAUGAAUACUAAAAUAAAAUAUCGACAGGUCUCGCUAAAUGGGCCAGCCGAAAGUAAUAAGGCUCAUUAGAUGGAACGUCUAGGGCUUGGGUAACCCCAGGACGGUUCGUUGUCUUUGGCACAUGCUGAAUGACAUUAACCCCUUUGUAAUUUUUCUGGUAGAAAUGAAAUUACAGAGUAGGUGGAUGGAGGAAGUUUGUAGACCACAUGGUUAUUUGAAUGGUAUUGAUAUGCCUUCGGUGGGGAACAGUGGGGGGCUAUCUCUUGGAUGGAAAUCGAGUAUUUAUAUUACUUUGAGGUCGUUUUCUAAUAGUCAUAUUGAUGUCUUGAUUAAUGAAGAUACUAGUGGGAAGUGUUGGCAAUGCACUGGAUUGUAUGGAGUGCCACAAAAGACUCGUAGAGAAGAAUCAUGGUAACUAUUACGGUAAUUAAAUGAUUGUCCUACUAUUCCGUAGCUUGUAUUCAGGGAUUUCAAUGAAAUAUUAUUUUCAUUCGAAAAGAAAGGUGGCUUGCUACGUAGUGAUAGACAGAUGAGAGCUUUCAGUGCUGCCCCUGAGGAUUGUGAGCUUGAGGAUAUGGGGUAUGAGGGUGUAUGGUAUACAUAGGAACGUGGGUGGUUUGCUAGCAAUAACAUUAUGGAGAGGUUGGAUAGGGCUAUUGCUAAUGGCGUGUGGAGUACAACUUUCCAGCUUUACAAGGUAUCUCAAUUUACACAUUCUUUUUCAGAUCAUUGUCCAAUUAUUGUAGAUACGGAGGAUGAUGGCCAUAGAAAUCAGAUGUAACAUUUCAAAUUUGAGACAGCUUGGCUUCUUGAGGAAACAUGUGAAACUGAGGUGGCACAUCUAAAAGAUUGAGCUAUGUUUGUCUUAGUCUUGAUAAGUGGUUUAAACGGGUUUGUAGAGAAAAAAGAAUUAAGGUGUCCUUUUUGCGCUCUUGUAUUGUUCAUUUGGGUUCAUUAACCUCGUCAGAUACUGUGUUGAAAGAGGUGGUGAAUGCUAAAUUACAGAUAAAUAUGGAGGUUGAUAGAGAAGAAAUCUAUUGGAAACAACGGGCACGAGCAAAUUGGUUAAAAAAAUGAGGACAUGAAUACUAUAUUUUUUCACAAGUUUGCAGGAAGCGGUUAAAUCAAAUUAAUUGCCUUAAAGAUAGUGAUGGCCAGAUUGUUGAAGGGGAUGUGAGAAUGGGAAGGAUUGCACAUGAUUAUUUUGUUAAUUUGUGUUCAAUGCAAUGUGCCAUUGAUGAGGAGGAUAUUCUCUUGGGCGUUGAUAAGUGAAUUACAGACUCUAUGAAUGCCGAUUUAGAUAGACCAUUCACUAAAGAGAAAAUUUUCAGUGCUUUGUUGUCAAUGUCGCCUCUAAAAGCUUCGGGUGAGGAUGGUCUAGGAACGAUUUUCUAUCAGUGUUUUUAGCAUAUUUUGGGAGAUGUUGUGGCUAUUAUUUCAUUGGUCUUUUAAACGGUGAGGUUCCUAUAAACCUUAUUAAUCAUACGCAUAUUGUUUUAAUUCCAAAAGUAAAGAGUCCUCGCAAUAUGAUGAAUUUUCGUCCCAUAAGCCUUUGCAACGUACUUUAUAUGAUUGCUUCAAAGAAUUUAGUGAAUAGGUUUCAAGAAGUUCUUCGAUUUUGCAUUGCUGAGGCACAAAGACAAUUUGUAUCAGGGCAUCUUAUUUCUGAUUAUAAUGUGGUCAUUUAUGAGAUUCUUCAUUCUAUGAAAAAUAAAAAUUUUGGUAAAGAAGGGUCAUUUGCUCUUAAGUUGGAUAUAAGCAAGGUAUAUGAUCGUGUUGAAUGGCGGUUCAUUAAGGAGAUGUUAUUAAAAAUGGCUUUCUCGGUCAAUUGGAUGGAACAGAUUAUGUUGUUCAUCACGUCAGUUACUUACUUAGUUGUGGUUAAUAGAAGGGUGGGGGAUAAGUUUACGCCAUCUCGGGGUCUUAAGCAAGGAGAUCAUUUGAGUCCGUAUCCUUUCUUAGUUUAUGGUAAAGGCUUUCGGCUUUGAAGGGUUGUGAGGAUUUACUUUUUGAAAACUCCAUUUCUUGUUUUGGUUGCUCUAUAUUCAGUAUUGUUAAUGUUUUUGUUGAGCAACUGCCGAUCGGAAUCCCAUGGCUGAGGGUUCUUUUUCGUGUUUUCUUUUUAGUUGUUGGUUUAUUUAUUCGUCUUUUUUCUUUGCUCUAUUCAUCAAUUAAGAGGUCAACUUUUGAGUUCAAAAAAUUUUAAUCCAAUGGGAAAAUAAUAAUAAUAAUAAUAAUAAUAAUAAUAAUAAUAGAAAAUUUUGUUUAGUUGUAAAAAGGGAUAAUACAUAUCUGGUAGAGGAUGAUAUUCUUUGCCUUCUAGCUGUAACACCCCGCACCCAGCCUAAAAGUUUAAGUCGAAUCUGGAGGAGUUACACCAACGUAAUGAAAAUUGAUUCAGUAAAUAUUUAGAAAAUACGAUUUUCGCAACAGUCAAUAGAAAACUAUUUGUUCACUUUCAGAAAACACUUAAGAAAUUACUUAUCUUGCUGUGAAAAACUUUUUCAGAGUUUUAGUGUUGAAAGCCGAAAUCUAUUUUGUUGACUUAAGUGAUUUUGUAGUUUAGUAAAAACCAAGACGAGUUCAGAAACAAAUUACAAACCCAAAAGAUCAAACAUAUUUACAUCAGUGCAAAAAUAAUCUGAGCUCCCACACGUCGUUCGGUCCUAAGUCGGAGGUUUACCUAAACAAAUAAAUAUAAGACAAAGGGGUGAGCUACAAAACACUUUGUAUAACCAACCUCAAGUACAAAUUUACAUGAUACAAUUUAUAUAAAUCAGAGUAACACAGAGAAUUUAAUAGCAAUCAUAUAACCAGAACGGAACAGAUCGGAGUAUCACAAAACCCUUAUAGCAAUCAUACAAUAGAACAAACCAAAACAAAACAGAGGGUAUAUGUUAUGUCAAUGCAGUACUUUCCAAAACAAAUCAGAAUGCAAAUUUAUCAAAAAAUAUCUUACCCAAUUUCGCUACAUACCAAAAUAGAGUUUCUCAGCACUCGUCCAACUAGAUUACACCAGCAGAUAACUAUGGCAGUUUCACUGGAAUUUGCAGUUUAAACUGCCAAAUUAGAUUCAUGUGGUUAAGCCACUAUAUUGUAGCCAAGCUACCAUAAUAGAAUUGUGGAUAAACCACCAGAUAAUACAGAUCAUUAACUACUAGAAACUUCCUCCUUUCACAUCAUCCCAAAUCUCAUGCAAUGCGUCAUGUCAGACAUAUACUGAAUCAGAGUGAUAAACAUGUUGGUCAUGCUAUCGUACAAUAACAGAAUCAAUAGGCAUGGGAGUCCAUGCUUUGUAAAAUUAAGUUAUCAAACCUCAACAAGUCAUAUCAAAUUCGCCAUGAAGACACAUGCAUAGUUACAAAUCAAAAUCAGUACCAAUCAAUUCAACAUAUUCGGAUAUCACAUAUUUUUAAUCAACAGAGUAACACAGAGGCAUACCAUCAAACUUAACAGAAUACAGGUUGUAUCGGGAUAAAUCACAUACCUUAACACAUCCAUCUUUAGUUUAUAUCAAAACAUACAUACGUACAAAUAGCAAAUUAUACACUAAUAGAUUAAUAAUUAGUGAGUUUUAUAGCUUAUUACAGAUCAUACAGACCCUACAAAAAGCCUACGUUCGAUCUGGACAAUGUUCAUGGUCUUAGGGAAAAUUUCAAAAUGUUGACCCACACGCUCGUGUGGAUCCAAACGACCUGGGUGUCUGGCCCAUGUGGCCUGCACGACCUAACAUAUUCCUGUGUGACCCUCUUAAUUUCGUACACGAUACAUCACAUAGUCUAGCACAUGGUCGUGUGGCUCAAAAUAAUGAGUUACAUGGUCUAGCAUACAGCCUUAUACACGCUCGUAUGACCUAAGACCCAAAAUAUCUCUCACAUGGUCUGAACACACGUCCGUUUCCCGAGCUCGUGUGACUUUAAAGUAAAACAGUUUCGAGCACGGCCUGAACACACAUCAUUGUCCCUGACCCAUGUGACCCAAACAGUGCCUUACAUGGUCUACCACACGGCCUGACACACAGUCGUAUAGCAUCAAAAGCGAUGUUUUUUGACAUUCGUAAAUUUUAGAAAUUUGGGUUUUUAUUACCCACAUAAUACAGUUUUGACGUAAAAGUAACCGAAAUGAUCUCGAAACCUAAAAACAACAUUCAAUUGACUAUUUAGACGAAAUAAUUAAACCAAAUUGCUAACUAGCAUACCAACCGAAACUAUGUCAAAGACCUUCAACUCAAAAACUCCAAAUGAGACCACACUUAGCAAUAACCAAACAAUAAUUACGUAGACCUUAAGUUGUCAGGAGAACGUUAAACAUGAGACCUUCAACUAACAAAGAUUUUCACAAGUCAACGUUUACGUUACACAAAACGAAAAAUAACCCCGCCCAACAACAAAACUUAUGCAAGUAUUGGACAGAGAAUACUUACACAAUUGAUUACAGAUUAACCAUGCAAGGAAGUUAGAAGAGCAAAUGCUACAGAGAUUCAACAAAUAAAAAGAAAUGAAAAAAAUGGUAGUAAAAAAUAAAAAGAAACAGAAAGAAACACAACAUGCGAAUGGGAAGUUGAAAGAAUUUUGAUUAAUUUAAAAACAAAAUGAAACUAUCUCACGAGUCAGCAAAAUAAAAACAUUUUUAUAUUGCUUUCACAAAGAUUCAAACACAAGAUCAGAGAGUAUACAGAAGCAUAACCAUUAAACCACUAGGCUCAUCAUUAUCAACAGUUGAGCGAAAAUAAUACUUAUGUCAGAUGUUCAAGAAUAGGGGUUUAGACUAAAAUUGCUAAAAUUCAAAGAAAGGAUUUGAACCUAGAACCUCACACAUACAAACAUAGCACCAAGCCACAACCAAAACAAUCAUUUGUCAUAAAUUUCAAUAUUUUAACUCAACUCAGGACGUAACCAUUCUGGGUUUCACUAAUUCAAUUUCUUCUAACAUGAUUUUUAGGAUGUUACACCGACCAACUCCAAUAUCCAUGUGGGUAGUAGUAAAGGAAUGUUUGAUCUUUAAAACCAUAGGCUUUGCAGGAAGAAAUGCACUCCCCAUAUACUUCUACAUCCUCCUUCCUUCAUUGUUUCCCAGGCUCCUUUCAAAUCCAAUGAUAGAUUGCAAAGUCCUUCCAAGGAAGUUUGAAGAAUUGAAACAUUGACAAUAUAUGAAUUUUCAUGUUGAUGGAUAUUGCUAUCAUUUGCUAUUGCUAGACAUUUAUCAGGUCUAAGUUGCAAUUUUUAUCCAAAGAUCUUAAAUUUGGGAAUUUUUUUUGCAUUUCAACUUUAUUCCACUUUGUGAAUCUUUACAUAUUUCUUUCCUAUAUUAGCUCCGUAGGAAAAACUAAUAAAAAAAAUGUUGUUUUUCCUUUCAAUGUUUAGUGAAAUUGAAAAAUAAGAGAAAUAAUAAGUUUUAAAAAAAUACAUAAUUUUAUAAAAUAGACACUUAACUUUUACCUUAUCGUUUCCUCUCCUAUUUUAUUCUAAGUUAAAGUGAUUAUUUUUUUAGAAAUAAUCAUUUUUUAUUUAAAAUUUAUAUUCCUUUCAUAUUUUAUUAUGCUCUUUUUUAUUUUGUCGUUUUUCUCACUCUAGCAAGCAAAUCAAUGAUUUCUUAAUCUCUCUCAAAUUAAUACAAAAAAAUGAUUCAAAUUCAUCGUUAUUAUUUAUUUAUCAAUAAUCAUUGUUCCAACUGAUAAUCUAUCAUAAUGCUUUAUAUAAUUUUAUAUGAAACAAAAUGUAUUGAUUAAAAUCAAUUUAAUUCAUACGAUAAAAAAAAGAGAGGAUUAUUUCAUCAUCUAAAAUUGUCAGCACAUUUUGAAUUGUUGCAACCUUUUUUACUAAGCCUAAAUUACUGUUGAUGUUCUAAACUUUUAGGAGAUCUUACAGGAGAAGAUACAAAAGGUCUAGGUGGAAUUAUCAAUGAUUGAAGAUUUUCUUGUAACAUUUCUAUCACUUUAGUCAUCGAUGGUCGAUCAGAUGGAUAAGAUUGAAUGCACCAAAGGCUCACAAUAAUCAACUUCCUUGCUAUUUCUUCUUCUUCUUCUUCAAGUAUUACUCCAUUAAGAUUCAAGUUCAUAGACUGAUCAAGAUGCUUAUAAAUCCAAGACGGAAAAUAUACUUCACUAGUUUGAGACACUCCAACAUCAAUAUUUUUUCUUCCUCCCACCAUUUCAAGGACCAUCAUUCCACAACUAUAGACAUCAGAUUUAUAAGAAACUCCACCAAAGUUUCGACAAACCACUUCUGGAGCAAUAUAACCUAUUGUUCCCCUAGCACAAGUCAUGGAAAUGAUACUCUCCUUUCUUUCACAUAAUUUAGACAAACCGAAAUCAGAGAUUUUGGGACAAAAGUUCUCAUCUAAAAGGAUGUUGUGAGGUUUUAUGUCGAAAUGUAAGAUCCUUGUGUUGCAACCUUGAUGCAAGUAUUCGAGUCCUCUAGCGAUGCCAAGUGCAAUGUCAUACAAAGUUCUCCACUCCAAUUGGCAACUUUGAUGAUGCAAUCUUCUAUCAUAAAUAAACCUGUCUAAGGAUCCAUGGGGCAUAAAUUCAUAAACUAAAGCUCUCUUUGAUCUCUCAAAACAAAAGCCAAGUAGACUCACGAUAUUAACAUGAGAAGUUCUACUAAUGCUAGCCACUUCAUUCAUGAAAUCCUCCCCGUUUCCUUUUGAUUCACUUAAAAUUUUGACUGCCACAAAACGAUCUUCAGACAAUUUCCCUUUGUAUACACUGCCAUAUCCUCCUUGACCUAGUUUAUCAUUAAACUUAUUUGUCAUUUUUUUUUAUUUCUGCAUAAGAAUACCGCCUUGGUGUAAGAGAACCAAAGUUUUUGAUGAAUGCCUCAAUCCUACCAUCCUGAUUCUUGUUUCCUUGAUUCGGUAACCAUUUUCUUUUGAGCCACAAGACAACGAAGCAUAUGGCAAUGGUUAUAGCCGCUGCCAAUCCUGCUCAUGGAAUUGGGUCAAAUAAACAAUCAAUUGGAGAUAUAAUAUAUAGAGAAAGUAAGUGAAACAUUUAAGAUAAGAGAAAAAUAAUAGAGCAGUGGAAAACACUGAAAUAAUAACAACAUGCAUAGUUUGUUAGAAAUCUAGAAAAAUGUUAAUAAAUAAUUAGAUAAAUUUUUAUUUAAAAAAAAAAACUAAAACACCAAAGUAGUCUCAUAAAGAUUUAUUAUUUGUUUUAAUGGGUUUUUAUGUAUUAUUUUUUGUUGAACUAAUGUUACUUGAUAAAUAAUACUAAAUUCAAAUAGGGUAAUUUUUUUUAAAGUGUUACAAGUACAAUAUAAAUAUAUGUCUAAGUAAUCAUGAGUAUCAAACUAUUUCAACACAGACUGUCGAGUAACCACAAAAUUAAAUCAAAUAUUUAUAAGUACAAAUGGACUAAGAACUUGUACAAUUUAAACUAAAGCUAACAAACUGAAUUAAAACACACACAUGGCAAUCGCAUGUAAUGAAACUCAGAUACCCGCAUAUACAAUUACACAUGAUGAAUCUCGAACCUUGGUACUCAAAACCACAAUAACGAGUAUUAAUAGAUGCUAAUUGUAACAAAUAAAAAAUCGCUAUUAAUUUAUAAGGAAAAAUAUAAGUUAUUCAAUCAAUGAUACAUAUUUUCAUUAUUACUUUGAAAUCCAGUUAAACUGUAGUAAAAAUGAGUUAAUAUUAUCCGAAGAAAAAGAUUACUUUGGAAUUUUGAAAAAAAAAAGAGAGUAAAAUAAACAAUAAUCCUAUAAUUUUAAUAAUGGCUAACAUAUGAAAUGAUAAUGAAGGGGAGAUUGUGUCAUUAACCUCCGCCCUAUGAUGGCAUGGAUAUUUAAAAACAUCCAGAUUGUUUCAUCCAUUUCUUCUAUUUUGAUUUUUCAAUUUAAUAUCCUAAAAUUAUCUAAUAUUCAAAUGUAAGUAAAGCAUGAGUGUCUAUAAAAAUAUAUGGGGACAGAAUACGUAUUGAUUACAACUGUUGCAUGCACUCAUCCUUUUUUUAACAAAUCUCUUUAUUCAGAGCGCAUCAAUUAAAAUCUUGAAGUUUGUUAUAUGUAAUUAGUAAUAUUUUUGUAAUUUCAAGUUUUGUGUACGUAAGAGAGAGAAAGUAAAAAUCCAGCAAAUUGUUUCAUACCUAUGAAUAGCUUCCACUUGAAUUUGAAUUUGGAUUUGGAGUCUGUAAAUGAAAUAUGCAAUACACUUAUUAUUGGUUGAUGAAUAAACAACAUUUAUGAAAUAUAGCUUGAUGAGUAAGAAGUGAAGGUGGUAUUUUUGGAGUAGGUCAAUGGGUAGGGAAAAACAAAUGGGAAAUGGGUCAACUUUAAUGGCAUCCAAUUCCCAAGUUUCUGGCUUGGGGUUUCCCCAAAACACUGGGUUCUGGGAACCGAAAUCGUACCACUUAAAUCCCACUCCAAGAGAUAUUUGAACAGGUACAGCAAAGAACAAAGAUUGUACCUGGGGAACAAACGUCGCCAUCUGAGCAGUAACAUUCAAAUCCACCUGAGACGAGGUUACGCCCGCACUGCCCACCUUUGUUUACACAAUUAUUACAACGGGUAUCAUCUGCAGACCACCACAGCUGAAACCCAAUUUUAGCCGCUUCUUCCAAAUCAUCUGGAUCCCGGCCUUCCUCCAGUGACGGAACUUGGGAAUUCGGGACUGGAAUAAUCACACUGUUACUGCAAGAUCUCAGGAAAUUGCCGGUGACAGUUCCCGCGAAUUCCCUUGUCACAUAAUAACCUACGAUAUUUGUAUUGUUUAUUGUGCAGUCGAAUUGAUUGGAAAUCCCGAGAAUUGAUGUGAGAUUUUGUGGAGCUGUGAGAGGCUGACAACCAUAAUACAGCCUUAUAUCCUGACUAUCCCCGUUUUGUUGAAAAGGACUGGUUUCACUUUCAAAAGUGGAGUUGAUGAGAUGAGUGGGACAAAGAUUCUCACUGUAAUCCGUUCUAGAGACAUGAAGGGUUUGUGAUUCCUUGUUUAUUGCAAGAACUCGGUAUGUUGCAGAGCUGAUUGUGAUUUCUAGCUCACUUUCACUGCAGCUGAGCUUGAAUCCAGGAUAUCCACAACUUUCCGGCCGAUCCAAUCCCCAGAAAGGGUAACCGAUAUCCGAAAUAUUUCCGCAACUGGACCGAACACUGCAGCUCAAAUAAUUAUUCGAAAACACUGGUUUUGGAGAAAGAAUCAGGACCAAGCUUAUGAUGAUGUUGAUGAAGAACAAAAACUUGGAUGGCAUUUUCGGAGAGGAUGGAGAGCAUUAGUGGAAGAAACUGAGAGUAGUUGAAUAUAAAAUGAGCAUCUGAAAAUGAAUUGGUAUUGAUUGAUCUUCAUGAUCAAAUAGUCGGUAUUUGACUAAUUCAAAGUUGAAAUUUCUCUAUAGGAAACUUCUGUUAUAUGCCACCAUUAAGUGCCAGUCAAAGGAAAUUUAGGUUGCCUACCAUGGCAAUAAUAUAUUAUUAAGCGUGAACUUACAGUGUUGAAACUAUUUUAUUAAAGUAAAUGAGAGUGAUACUUCAAGUCUGGAAAUAUACAGGAAAUUGCAAGCGGAUACAUGGAAUUUCUAGAUUAACAUCUUGGAAACUUGACUUCACAGUGUUGCCAAAGUCUAUGUAUAUAAGCUAUUGGAAGAAGACGAAAAAGUUGAAAUGGAGAAUUAGAUGAAAACUGCAGGGAGAUGAUUGGAGUAUGCUAUAACAUGGAUCAGGUGUAAGCCAGACAUUUAUGCAAAAUAUUUGAAUUCAGGUUGGGCAUUAGUGGAGUCUCAUUCGAGUAUCCCACUAUCAUGGGAACCAAAUUCAUUCUUUAUUAACUAAAGAGUUUAAUUCAACAUAAUCAAGCAGUUUAAUCUUUAUUCCCAACUGAUCUCACGCAUUGAAACUAAGGCAACAUUAAAUAAACUAUUAUUAGUAUUUAAAACAAUUACAAAAUCAUCACUUAAUUACUCAAAAGUUUUUAUUUAAAUCAUUAAGUUGUUAAUUUUUUUUUAAAGUCCGGCUAGUGAGCUUCAAGCUAUAAUUCGAUGACUGGUACGAUAGAUCAAUACCUAUUGACGAGUAAAAGAAUAUAUUUUAAAUCCAAGUCAACCCAUCAAUUGGUGUCAAAGAUCGGAGAAUAAAGUUGUUUGGAUUUUAGCUCGGAGAUUCAUGAUGUUCAAAACUAUUUCAUGAAAAAAAAGACUCGAAUUAUUGUAAAAGAGAAGAAGAAAAAGAGCUCUCAAUUGGUGCGGACAAUUGAACGGAGAAGGUUGUACAACAACGAUUUUUAAUAGUCCAGUAACUUAAAUGAAAACUUUUGAAUAAUUUAAUGGUUAUUUUGUAACUUUUAAAGUUAAAUAAUCAUAAUGUAAGCUGACUAAUAAUUUAGUGAUUGAAUAUAGUUUGCCCUUAAAACUAAAACUCAAUGGAGCUUAAACCGAACCAACUUCCAAACUUUUAAUUUUGUAGGACGAAUCAUUAUAUAGCUUUCCUAAAUGGUAUUUGAUUUAACAAAAUCAAAUUGCCCCCCACACUUGUUAAAAGUGCAGUAUAUAAUGCCUAAAAUUAUCUAUAAUUAAUUCCUAACUCUUAAAUAAGAGGAUAAAUGUGUUUUAACAUGCUCAAACCCCAUCCUUUUUCAUUAGCAACAAUGUCAAUAUCAACUAAGCUAAGACGCAAUCGAAAAUCAGAUUAUUUAAAUUUCUAUUAUUGCUAUUGUUUAUGAAUGUAAUAAUUAAUUUUAAUUAUAAGAUUUCGUAUAAUUAUAACAUGUAAUCUUAAAAUAUAUUUUAUAAUUGGUAAUUUCGUCCUUUUAGUUAUAUAUAUUAAUUAAAAUAUAUUAUAUAUAUUUGUCAAAAAAUGGUUACAAAAACUGUAACCUUUCAAAAAUAUUAUGAUAUUGAGAAAUUAAAAACAUAACAAUAUAAAUAUAUAGUAUGUAGAAUCUUGAUAGUUUUUAAAACAAUAUAAAUGCAUUGUCAAUAUAAAUUAAAAACCAAAAAGAAAUUAAUAACUAAAAUAAUUUUAAAUUAAUACAUAAAACAAUAUUUUAAGUUAGUUUUAAAACAUGAAUUAAUUUUAUAUUUGUAAAUAUAGUUAUUUAACAAUUUUAAAAAGUGCUUAAAAUUAUCAAAUUUUUAAUAAACAUUUACGCAAUUUGAGUCUUUAACUAAUAUUUAUUUAAUUUCAUUUUUUAAUAAAUGUUUAUAAGAUUAUGGCGAGGUUGUGAAUGAAUAAUUAAUAGUUCUAAUAUAAAUUGGAGUUCUAUGAUAAAAGCAAUAAUUAAAAAAAUCAAAAUAUGUUUAAAAGGUAUUGAAUUUUUAAUCAAUGUUUAAUACAUUUUUAAUAAUAUAUUAUUUAAGAAAUAAGUAUAAUUUUUUUAGAUUAUCCAUGUAUGAGAGCAGUGGCGAAUCCACUAAGUUCUAAAAUGGAAAGUUUUCAGUUUAAAAAAUUUUAAAUUAGUAAUGAUAAAAUUAAACUUUAGGCACUCCAAAAAAUGAUAAAAAAUUGAUUUAAUCAUUUAAAUUUUAUAAAUAUAUAAGUUAUUAAAAUGAUAAAAUUGUAUUUCUACUAUCGUAAAAAUAUACAAUUUAGUUGUGUCCCCCAAAAAAUUUUGUUUGGCUUUGCCCCUGUAUGAUAGGGUACUAUUCAUAAAUUUGAAAUUUAGUUUUUUAUAUUUUUAUUUAUAAGAAUUAUAGUUUUUUUUUACUUUUUAGAUUUUAAAAUUCAAGUCCAACCGUUAACACUCUUAAAUUUAUUUGUGGUUAUUUUUUGAAAAUAUUUGUUUUUGAAUUAGAAGUUAUUUUACUAUUUUAUUGAAUAUUAUUUAAGACGAAAAUAAAAAUGUUAAAAUAGAAAGUACUUUUAAAAGAAAUAAUACCAAAAAAUCAAGUAGAGCAUGUGUUGAGUCGAACCCGAAUUAUGCAACAAACACAAACGAAAAUCGAGAAAAUUAGAUAUAAAUAUCUAUUGGAUAAAACAAAUCACGGGUAAAGAAAACUUGACAGCAAAAAUCAAAAUACAAAAAUUUCUCGAAAUUCUCAUAAAUUCUCCCUUAAUUUUGUUGUUGUUAUUCUUAAUAGGCUUAUUUAUAGGUUGAAUUUCGUGUACAAAUAUGACUAAAAUAUCUCUGGAAUAAUCAGAGUUAAAUAGGAAAAAUAUAACAAAGUUUAACUAAGAGAAGAAAUCAGAUUAAGUAUGGAAUAUGUCGUCACGUCGUGACGUGGCAUGCGAGGCGCCCUUCAUCAUGUCGUCGAGACAUGGAAAAUCCUCUUGUCAUGAUGUAGGUGUCGUGUCAUCAAGAUGUUGGCUCUUCUUCGUUCCGACAUCAACCCUAUUUUAUCCAAAAUAUGAAGGAAACUCCACAACAUGUCUCCUUUUGAACAAAUACAAUUUAAAUUAAUAUUUGAAAUUUUCACAUUAUUGAAAAUAUGGUAAAUAAAAUAAUUAUGUUAUUGCAGUAUGCAUUACUGAAAAUGAGAAACAUAAAUUUAGAUGGGAACACAGUUUCUGAUAGAUUGAAGAAUGGCAUUUAUAGUUGAUUUUGUCAUGUGGGAUUAAAUAAAUAAUCAAUAUAAAGGGAAUGAGAUACCAUUAGCAAUUUAAUUGUAUGCUAUAAAAAUCGUUAAUUAUGUUGCAAACUGGUAAAACCUGCCACUUUUGUAGUGCAUGAAGAACCCACAAUUCCAGCGACGUGUGUUUAAAUAAAUUUAUUUGUCAAAUGUAAUAUAACUCUUUUUAGUGCUAUAAUUUUGAUUUCUUGCCAUUUAAUUUGGAAUUUCAUAAACGUUAUAAAUUUUACUUGCUUAAUAUAAAAAUACGUGUUAAAUAUUAUACAAUGCCGUCAAACUUGAGAAGCUGAGAAUUGGGCUAAAACUCAAGAAGUUUCCAUGUUUGAUUAAAACCCACCUAUAGAAUAUAUUCAAUUUCAAUAAAAUCAUUAUUCUCACUGUCCAUCCUAGUGUCUCCUCAAGAGUAAAACUAUCACUAAUGACUGCAGUUUUAACUCCCUCUUUACUAACGCCAUUUGCUUCUUUUGCUCUACGAGUAGAGUUCUGAGUAUAAGAAUUCACCCAAAUCCAACAUAAAAGACAAUUCAAUAUCCAUCGUAAUCAUAAUUAUCCUCAUACUCAUAUUCAGUGUCACCGUAAAAAAUUCCUCCAUAUCCAUCAUCAUCAUUGUCGUUAUAUUCAUCUUCUAAAUCACCUUCUUUGCCAAUUUUAGAAGCCUUCUCCUCCUUUUCAUCUGAAUUUGAUUCUAUUCUUUGUUUCUUGGGUUUCUCUGUAACCUGUUAUACCAAAGAAAUCCUAAGAUAACUUCAUGAAGUUUUUUUGUUUUUUAAAAAACAAAUCCCUCUAAAGCAACCCUAUGUUAGUCCGACUCUGAAGUAUCCAGGUUGAUGCGUUGAGAAUAAUCAUAUCCAACACUUCCAAGUCGGAGUAACAUAGGUAUCAUACCACCCAAAUGAAUAAGUCUUUGUCAAAUACAAUAAGGGAUACAAAAGAAAUUACCAAGUAUUUGUUUGUAAGUUCGUGUCUACGGUCUAACAAUCAAUUUGAAACAUUAAAACAAAUUAGGCAUAAACAUACCGGGUCAUCAAAGAGCUUCUCCAAUGCAUCAUAGUUUAUUUUUGAACUUAAUCUCUGCACAGAACCAAUACAAGUAUAAGCAUUCAAGGCAAAAGUUAAGCAAUUCGGUUAGUAGAAUCCAUAUAAAGUACUAAAAUGACAGUUUUACUAGUAAACAUCCAUACGUGCAUGAAACACUUGAAAAAUUAUAGAACCUAAACAAAUGCAUGAUUAUGACAACAACUGUAGAUUGCAGAAAUGCGUGAAUGCUAGGCCUGUCAAAUGGAUCCAAGCAAAAUCAGCAUUUUAUUUUCAGGAUCACUUUGUUCGACUCCGGGGUGGUUAUCAAGGCAUAGCUAAUCUGUCUACUAACUUUUAAAUCUCAUUGAGAUUGUCUGCAAAAGGAGUAUCAGAUUAAUCUCCUGUUCAAGGUUUCCAUUUCAGUUAGGUAAUUGCCUGAUGGGAUUAAAUAAGAAGCCAACUUUUGACAUUAUUUUAACAAACAAAUUCCAGGCAUCCUAAAAUUUUUGAAUUGCAUAAUGUUUAUACAUGCCAAGAAAGUGAUAUAUUAACAAAUUUUGAUGUCUUCUGGUGAAAAAACAAGAGACAAUAUUGUAGUAUUUAGUUUCUUAACCUGUUCAACCAUAUUCUUCCAACAAAGAUGAAGCUCUUUUCAGUAAAGUCUUGUGUAAAAGGGAUUUCCUUUUUUCUUUUUUAAAAAAAGACCUAAAUCUUUUGAUUGCUUAUUAUUUUAAAAUUACAGAAUAAUGAGGCAAUUUUACAGCCAUCUGGAGAGAUUAUUAUUAGUUUUAGUUUCAUUAACCCAAAAUUACUUUAGAUCUUAAUUACUAUAACACUACAAUGUUCCCAUUUCAAAGUGCAGUUUCAUCAUAAUCACAAAUCUAUUCAGCCACGCGGUACCCCUUAGGCCAAAACAAGAAAGAAAGGCUAUCUAAUACCUUCCUAACCAGCAUUCGCCGGGUUGCCUCGGCAGCAGUCUGAGCAGGACCUGCAUCUUUUUCUUCAGCAGCUCGCUUUUGUUGCCUCUCCUGUUAAUAUAACAAAAGCAAACCAAAAAAAAAGAAGAGAAAAACAAGCUAAAAUAGAGGAAAGAUUUCUGGAAACAAUAUAUCUUAAAAAGAUAAGUACCAUAAUCUAAAGACGAUCAUGGUUGGACAUAAGAAUUACAUCUUGCAACAUGCUAAUUGCUAAGCUUAGAACAAUGCUCAUAAUUAAAAAAGAAAGACAAACUUUGCAUCAAGCCAUAGUGGCAAAAGUCAGCUGAAAUAGAGAUCAAGAAUUAAGUGCAUGCAAUCCAGCUAUUACGUGUGGUACCAUUUAUAGUUUGUUUUGCAUUUUCAUUUUAGCCUUUUAGAUAUUGCCUUCCAUGUCUAUCUUAACAAUAAGUAAUAAAGUACAAGAGGUGGCUUGCAUUUCUCUUGAUAUAAUUUUCAGAAAUCAGGAAACUUCCAAUUUUUCUUGAUAUUCAAGAAUCACCUUUCUAGAUUUUGCCACUAGUUCUGCAACAUCUGCAGCAAGCUUCUGUGCAGCUUGGAGAUCCUCUGGGCAUUUAUCAUAGUUGGCCAUGCAAGCCUCCUUAGCUGCUGCUGCAGCUGCUUCCUUGGCUGCUUGUUCCUGCAAAGAUUGCAGUAUGAUUAAGUUCCUGUAACUAGCUAGGUUUAUUUAUUUAUUCAAUAAAUUCAUGAAAGGAAAGUCGAGUUGCAUUUUCCAUUUACCUUCUAACACACAAAUGCACUGAGACUCAAAUAAAUUAUAUCAAACAAUUUCACAGAUUCAGGGCUCAAUUUGACCAAAAGUAUGAGAAAAACCAUCUAAAAGUCCGUCUUUUCAAUAGUCAAAUAUAUCUGAAUUGUUCUUCAAGGAGAAAUCAUCCUCUUAUGUAUGUUUUUAACUAGAAAGAUACAAAAUGCUUUUCCAAUGCCCUUACUUGAGCACAUGCCAAUGCAUGAAUAUUGCAUUUAAUCUGUGAGAUUAGAGUAGAGGAGGCCAAAAUAAUGUUGUACUUAACAAAGUCAUGGUUCAAAUCACCUCAACAUAUUCCCGGUUCAUUUCUUCCCAAAUGAUCUUUUUGAAAUGCUUCUCCUCCUCAUUGUGAAGGUAACCAUCAACCUGAAAAUGUAAUAAUGAGUAGUUCCCAAGAGUGAUAAGAAAAUGAAAGUAAGAAGAUAAAAUUUAAUGCACAUAUACAUAAAUGCAUGCAUGCAUUAAUAAAGACAUAACAGUUUAAAAGGCAUGAAAAUAUUGUUGAGAAAAGGUGUACACUGAAGGCUAUUUAUAUGACUAGAUCUCAGGAUGGUUGAUUCUGUACCAGACCAACCAAACUCACCUCCUAAGAAAGUUAUGAAGAACCAAACUCUAAAUACUGAAGAGUAGACCUGAACAAUAAACUGAGAGUAGACCUGAACAAUAAACUUAGUUUAGGUAAAUUGUAGUCAGUUCUUGAACAUUUUUCCCUUUCAAAUUGACAAUUUUGUAUUCUGAAGACUCAACUUUACAGAUCAACCAUUAUUUAGACCUAGAGUAGCUCAGAAGAAACUAUAACAAUAGCGGUGCUGAUUGCAUAAGACAGACAACCACCCAAACGUUCAGGAUUACUUUGGUAGCAGUGAUCAAAGCUGAAUUUAAGCCCAGUUGACUUCAAAUCAAGUGUAGAGCAUCUUAGAUGGUUUAUGAAUGCAAGGAAAAAAGAUGAUAUGCAAGUAAAAGAAGCAAAACAGUUAAGCUAGUCAAAGCUCAAGAAACUUGAUGUAAUUUACAUAAUUCUAUAUACAUCUUAAAACAAUAUUCCAUUAGACUAGGAAAUAUAACCAAUGUAGUUAGUUUAGCACUUGGGUAGAGUAUGAAGUACUUUUGUUUGUUGAAGUUCCUAUGGACAAUGCAAUGUCAAAAUACAAGAAAGCAGACUUAUUCUGCACCUCAAUAUCAUCAAUAUCAGAAAAGUUAUCCGAUCCAUCAUCACUAUCAUCAACUCCAGGUAACUUAUCAUUGUCACCCUCACCAAUGGCUGCCUUGUUAGUAGCAUCCUCUAAAAACCCUGAAAAAUACCUUUUCUAAUAAAAGAUCUAGGGCAUUUAGAUAAAAAAGUCCAAUUAUUAAACCAUGUCAUGCAUGAUUACUCAUGAUAAUAAAACUUACCACUAUUUUCAGGUAUUUCAGAUCCACUUGCAAACGUGCUGCUAGAUAUGCUCUGGGUUAUCAAAAACAACCACAACAAUGAAAUAUCGUGCUAAAGAAUGAAAGUUAAAACUAUGCAGAAGAUAACCUCAUAAUAAAUAAUAAAAAGAUUCAAGUGUCCUGUCACAAAAAUUUGAGAGAGGUUAAUCUCUCAUAAUUAAGCAACAGAACAAUUAAUAAAGUCUUCAUUACUAAGUUUUUAAACUAAAAAGAAGACAGCACCAAAUUAUGAGAUCAGUUGGCACAUGAGGAUGGAGGAGAGAAUAAUUCUGCAUGCUCACAUGAAUCUCACAAUCCAGAAGAUAACCUUAUGAUAAAUAAAGGUAAAAAAAAAUCCAAGAGAAGAAAGGACUCAAGCGUCCUGUGACAAGAUUUUGAGAGUUCAGUCUGUCAUAGUUAAUCAACAUAACAAUAAAUAAAUUCUUUACCAUUAAGUGUUUAAACUGAAAAGAAUGACAGCACAUUAAGAGAUCAGUUAGCACAUGAGGGGGGGAGGGGGGCAUUGUGAGAGAAUAACCUUUUUGCAUGCCCAUGAUGUGAAUCUUGCAAUCCAAAAUAUAUGAAGUGUCUACAAUUCAGAUUCUCAACAUUCACUGUCCUUAAGCCUUUAAAAAGGUAUAAUUACAGAACUUACUUUAUUAUUUUCCUCAAUAGAUAAUUUUGCCAUUCUCUCUUUCUCAGCCCGUUGGAAUGCAGGUGGAUCUGACCCUCCAUCAAUCCCUCCUGAAACCUUCAUGAACUGCACGAGCCAGUAACAGCAUGAACUUCAGCUUCAAUGAUAAAACAGUUUCCAGUAGUACAAUUGUAGUGGGUCAAAGAAUAUAAAAAGGUACAAAAAAAACAUGGGUGCCACCUCUUCAUAACAUUCAUUACAAAGUCCAUAGGCAAAAGGUUUUCUCCCCACAUGCCUACAUAGCACUUCAUCUAAGCUGGUUUCUUUUGACCCAAUAUUUGGGUGUUUUUCAGUUAAUGAACUAGUUCGAAGCUCCCUCUCCUUUUCCGUAAAUUCCUCCAUCUGGUCACAAGUUCAAAACAAAGGAGGUAUUUUCAAGAAAUACGAAGGAGGAAAAGUAACAAGAUGUGGAAUACAACAAAUUCAACAUGACACCUGAGGUAAUGAUGAAAAAUUGGCAUCAAUUUUUUCAUAAAAUUAGUUAGAUACUCUGUAGUGUGAAAAAAAGUAACAUCAACAGUAAUAAUAGUAAAGAUUUAACAAUCAAAUUCUAGCAUAAGAAAAAAAUAAUUGUACUGACACAAGUUACAAUUACAACAACAACAAAGCUUUUUUCGCCCAAGAUACUGCAAGCCUUAUAGAUCGGAUUACGCCAUCAUGCUCUACUUAGGACCAUAUGCAGAUAGAAAGUCAUAUCAACAUCAAAAGGGGAAAAAAAAUUCAAACUACUGUAAGCAUCAGUUGAAUAUGGUUCUUCAUUCCAUAGUUUCUAAUUUACAAUCUUAUUCCAUUACCAAUUUCCUAGCACAAUGUAGUUCUAUUUUACCAUGCACAAGUAAAAAAAUGCAUACCGUUAAGGCUCCAGAGUCGGUAUUCUCAAAUUCAAUCAACCGCUUUGACAAUGUUGCUUCACAAAUGUGAACAACCUCUAUCUGAUAAACAGACCUUAAUUAACCGAACAAUUUAAGAGAGAGAGAGUAUAAUAAGCAAAAGGGGGGAAAAAACAAGAAUCAACAUGAAUCUAAGUAAAGAAGAAAUUGGAAAAACAAAAAAUUAAACUGCCCACAAGCAUAAAUAAAUAAAUAUAAUGAAAUAAAUUAAACUGAAAAAACAAAAAUUCAUUAUCUAGCAGAUGCUAAAUGGUAAUAUCAAGCUAUCCAGUAUUGUUAUGGCUUAAGGCUGUCGUGGAUUUAUUUUGCUUUUGCUUUUUCAUUUUUAUCGUAUUAAACUUCAGUUAUUUUAUGCCUCCACCUUUUAGUACCAUGAUGCUAAAGUUUACUUUACGGAAAAAGAAUAAAAAAUAAAUAAUAAUAAUGACAACAUGGACAUGUGCAUAUUACUACAAUGAAAAUUGUAGAGGGGGUCUUAGACAGGGCAGUGAGGCAUCUAAAACUCUCCCUACUCUAGCUUAGGCCAAGACAUGAACCUAAUCCAACACCACCUAAUAUGAGUUAGGACCUUAUUUAGAAUGUGUAUGAGAACAAUCAUGACAUGGUUGGAAGUUAAAACAUCUACUGAAUUUCAAGCCCCUAUCAUAAAAUUAAAAUUGCAAAGCCUGUCAACCAAAUAGUAUAAAUAAAAAGUAAAAACUUAUAGAUUUUCAAGCAAAAGGAACAACAACAUAUGAUUAUUAAAGAAGGCAAAAAACAAAAAGGUAUGAACUAUAACUUACAAUCUUUGACUUAGAAAACUUCAGACCAUGUGAAAGUGCAGAAAUGUACAGUGCUGCACCACAUAAUCCACUGGGUUUCCGCCCUGUCUGUUAAUUUGUGUUACAGUAAGAUUUUAACUCCAAAAAUUACCUAGAUAAUACACAGAAUCAAAAUAAAGUACUUUUGAAUAAAAUCACACCUGCAUCCAGUCCCGUUUCAUGCUAGCUAAAAUGUCCCGUGCAGUUUUAACAACUUCAUCAUUUCCUUCUGGAAUCAAAGCUGCAAAGUAUAUUGGUUAUUAUGCAUGUCUAUUAUGCAUGUCUAAGUUCAACGCACAAACACUGGGAGCAUGCGAUCAACUAAAAAAUCUCAAGGUACAGAAAUUGAUUAAGCAACUUACCAUUUGUAAAUUUAUGAAUAAAAAUUGAAGGAUCAAUUAGUUUCGGAAGAUCCUUUGAGUCAGCAAGGUACAGCACAUAGCAAAGUUGCAGAUAUACAGAGCCAAGCUCAUAACUGAAGAAGAAACAACAGAACAUCUGUCAAAAAAAAACCUCAUCACGCAGAAACACAGAGAUAAAGAAUUAUCGAGCAAGUUAAAUUUGUUUAAAAGGGGUAGAAAGGGGGAAAAUUGCUUACACAUUUACAUGUAAAUAAUGUGAAAAAUCAAUAAGAAGGAAUGGCUUUCCCUUUUGCCUGCCAAAAAUUAUAUGGUUGAGGAGGGAAAUAGUUCAACAGUUCAAAGAACAAAAAGAAACAAAAAAGUGAUAAAAAGGAGGGUAAACAAUUCAACCCUAAAUUGAAGAAGAAACAAAAAGAAUCAUGUCGCUCAUGAUAGCUCUCCCUCUUUCUCUCUUCCUCUCCCUCUACAGUUCCCUAUCCUGACUCUUUCAUUCACUGACUGAUUUGUGUAUCUCUGCAAUGAUCUAAUUUUCAAGAAAGUAUAGAGCUAAUUUGAAUAUUUAAUAUGGCUCUUACGAGCACAGCAUGAACCUUUUGUGUUUUUUUCAACUAGUGGACCACUAGCUGAAAGAGAUCCCAUCCAAUAUUUUCUUUCUCAAUUCCAGACCAGCAAUAUUCUUUCUGCAUUCCAACCCCAGCCACAAACACAUCUGUUUGACCAAUAUCAAACCCUAAAAUACAAGACUCUUACCCUCGUUCUUGAAAAUCCUAGUCAACAAAAUAAUCUUUAACAAUUACAGUAUUACCCACCUUUUCCUAAGCCAAACUCAAGCAAAAUCCAUGACCAAAAAACAUAUACGAGAAGAUGAAGUAAAGAGUCACAGCUUAUUGUGUUUUGCAGAAGAAAAAGUAGCCAAUACUGCACAAAUUUCAAAAAAGAUUUGAAAGGAAAAAAGAUCAGAUACUUCCCAUAAAUAAAAGGAUAGAAGGUAAAGAAUCACGCUUGUUAUUUUACAAAUGAGAACGAGAGGUUUGAAGUAGUAGAAGUUACUACCAUCUGCAUGACCCUAUAUUUUAGUGAAAAUAUGCAUUUGUAAGUUACAUGAGUGAAAUUUUAUUUUAGCAAGUGCUUAUGCACAUAAUCAGUAGACGUCUACAUGUUUGUUUAUUAAACUGAGAUAUAAACAGCUGAAUCAUCACAUUUAAGUUUAAGACAAUAGACCAUGUUCGAAUUCAGGCAAUAGUAUUUCCAUGUAACCACAUUACAAGUUUAAGAAAGAAGAAAUUCCUCACCGACAGGCAAGGUAAAGACAUGCAGCCUGUACUAGCUCUGAUCUGCGUCCCUUAGUGAAAUUCCGUUCAAGGCCAACCUUCACAGUAAAUAUAAAAAUAGCUUAAAAUAUUGAGGGGGGGGGGAGGACAAAAAUAACAAGCAUGAAAUGAAAGUUCCGAAAAAGAAAACAUACUUCAUAAAACCGUAAAGCAACAUUAGCAACAUCAUCACUAUACUCGUCAAUAAGCAAUCCAGUCUUCAAAGAUCUGAUACCAUCAAGAGCUGUAUCACCAUGAAAUUAAAACCAGAAACAAGAUAUUUACAAGUCACAUUGCAAUAAGUGUGUAAUGCUAACACAUAAUUAGCCACGACAACAAACUGAAAUAACACAUAAAAGUAAAGUUGAGCCUGCAAUAAAGAUGUCAAAAGGUUUUGAAAUCAGAGCACCCUGAAAGAGCGAAUUUGAUGAAAUGUAUAAAUAAUCCUUUAUCAAAAGUUGGCAACAUAUAGCUUCUUGCAUAACAUAGAUGCAACUUAAUAAAGCAUACCUUUAGCUAUGGUAUGCUGGCGUGAAUCUGAAAUGCUUUGCGUAGAUUUCACAAAAUUUCCAGAUAGUUUGCUCUGGGAACAAAGUGAAAUUAGCAACAGAAAUCAAAAUAAAUGCAAGUCAAAAACAAGAAAGCAAAGAUCAAGUUAUCAACAAACUAAACAAAGGGAAACAAAACUUGAACUCCACAAUUCAAUGCACUUCACUCAAUUAAAACACGUCUGACAAUGAGAUUAGCUUGCCAAUUUCUUCUUCUGUUUGAUGGCAUAUUCAGCCAGCCAUUCUCGUAGUUAGGAAACUACAAAUAGCUAGUAAGAAGUAAUUGUCUAUGACAAAAACAAUGAACCUCGCACAAAAUUUAAGAGUACAUAUCACCUAGCUUAAACCUAACUCGCAUCUAUUCAACUAAAUUUUACCAUAACAUAGUUCCAAACAUAAAAAUUACGUAUAAAGAAAGAAACAUUACUUGGCCAGAUGAAUCUUUAACGAAUUGAGGUUCGGUUGCAAAAAUGCAAUCUUCCAACACCUUCCCGCAAAAAGUGCAAGACCUACAGAAGAGAUAAAUAAGUAAAAUAAAUAAUGAAACAAGAAACUGAAAUUUUCUCCAAAAAAGACCCACACUGUUUAUGAGCAAGAAAUCCACUUACAAAAGACCGUCGUCGACGCGUUCUCCAGUAACGUUUCUGGAGCAAUUAUUACAGUAAACCAUCCUGCUCAAUUACGAAUUUAAAAUUCUAAAUAAAAGAAUAGCGCCUUCUUCUUUCCCUUGCCUUCUUUUUCUCAGCAAUCAAAUUGAAACUAUGAAUUUUUCAAAUUUAGAGUAUGAAAUCAAAGUUAGUAAUAAAAAGAAUAAUUUAGAUCAAAAUAGAUUUAUAAAAGCAAUCGGAAGAAGAAAUUUAGGAAGGAAAAACGAAAAAAAAAAAAGAACGAAAGAAAUUGGAGGCUGAGAAGGAGAGGGAAGAGUGAGUCACUGAGUUGGGAAUUAGUGGAACGGUUAAGAGAUGACGUUACGUUUGGAUUUAGGGACGAGAUGAAAAAAACCGGGCCGAUAGGUUUCAAACCUAUCAUUUAAUUUUUUUAAUUAAGGUAGAGAGUUUUUUUUUUUAAUUUAAACUUCAUGAUUUAAUGUCUCAAAUAAGAAAAUAAAAUCAUAUUAGAUAACUUCAGAUUAUCAUUUCUUAGCUAAAUUUCUCCUAAUUAAUCUAAAAAAUUGUUGCCUAAAAUCUCUUAAAAAGAUACUAAAAAAUAAAUAUUUAAUUAAAUCAAAAUACAAUAAUAUAAUAACCAAGUCAACCAACUUAAUUGCAAAAUAAAUUACAAUUAACUAUUGCAAUUUAUAGUAGCAUAAUUAUUAGAUACAUAGAAUAAUUGUAACAUAGCAUGUCACUAUUUGAUUAUUCCAUCAACCAUAUUAAUUUUUGACUGCACAAAUAUAUGAAUUUUUUUAACAAAAAGGACAAAUUUUUUUUAAUCUAAUGUGCAAUGACUAGUUUGUCCAUUUUCUGAGUAGCAAGGACAAAAUGCAAUUCAACUAUAAGUAUAGGGACUUCCAUGAUACUUUUACCCUCUAUUAAAUAUACAAAUAUAACACAUUUAAAGAACUCAAAGUUAAUACUGAUAAAUACAAAAAAAUUUAUUUGAUUUUUUAUGCAUUUAAUAAUUUAUGUUUACACAAUAAACAUUUAAAAUAUAUUUAAAAAAUAUCAAUUAAAAAAUUUAUGAAAUCAAAAUAUAUAAUUUAUUAAAUUUACUUAUGAUUGCUUCAAUGUGAACAAGUUACUCAAGUUAACAAAUAUUUGCAACAUCUUAAGUGGGUCGUGGCGGCAGUUCUAAUGAUUGAAGGCUCCCUUGCAACAUUUCUAUUACUUUAGCCAUUGGCAGCCGAUCUAAUGGAUUGGUUUGAAUGCACCAAAGGCUCACUGCAAUCAACUUCUUUGUUAUUUUUUCUUCCUCUUUUGUUCUUUCUUCGUUAAUAUUCAAGUUCAUAGAUUGAUCAAGAUGCUUAUAAAUCCAUGAGGGGAAAUAUGUUUCACUAGUUUGGGACACUUCGACAUUGAUAUUUUUUCUUACUCCGACCAUUUCAAGAACCAUCGUUCCGUAACUAUAGACAUCGAAUUUAUGAGAAACUCCCCCAAGAUUUCAAAAAAACACUUCUGGAGCAAUAUAACCCGUUCCAACUGACGACUUCGAUUAUCUGAUCCUUGACUAUAAAUGAACUUGUCCAAUGAUCCUUUCGGCAUGAAUUCAUAGAUCAAAGCUCUCUUCGAUCUUUCAAAGCAAAAACCAAUUAAAGUCACUAUAUUAACAUGAGAAGUUCUGCUAAUGCUAGCUACUUCAUUUAUAAAAUCCUCUCCAUUUCCCUUCAUUUUUCUUAAGAAUUUAACCGCCACAAGAUGAUUGUUGGAUAAUUUUCCUUUGUAUACACUUCCGAAACCUCCUUGACCUAAUUUAUCAUUGAAUUUAUUUGUCAUUUUCUUGAUUUCUUCGUAAGAGUAUCGCUUUGGAGCAAAAGGACCAAACUUUGUGAUGAAUUCCUCAAUCCUAGCAUUGUCGUUCAUCUUUCCUUGGCGGAGAUAAUUUGAAAAUAAUUUUCCUUUGAAACUUAAGACAAUGAAGCAUAUAGUAGAAAUCGAUACAACUCCCAUUUAUUAAGUGAUCAUUGAUGUUAAUUAAUAUUAUGUUUGUUAAAAUUUGCUCAAUCAAUAUUUUAAUUAAUUAUAUUAUUGUCAUACAUUUUUAUAUUAUGUCAUUAUCAUUAUCCUUAUCCUUAUUAUAAUGUAGUAUUAUUGAUUGAACAUUUUAUUUCAUCAUUCAUGUUGUCGUUUUGUUAAUACCAUCCUUUCGUCAUCAUCAUACAUUGUAAAUAUUGCUACUUAUAUUCAUCCAUUUUUCGGCAUAAACGCAUAAAAAAAUGACUUUGAACCAAGAUGAUAUUAUUUAUUUAGAGAAUUUGACAAAUUGUACCCUUAACUUACGAGGUACAAUUUUUUUCUCUUGAACCGAAAUAAUCAAAUAGCCCUUCCUUUUAAAAAAACAAUAAAUAAUAAAUAAAAAUAUAAGAUUUAAGCAAUAUUUAAAUGGUGAGCAUUCUUAUUUUCAAAAAUUCGAGAUUUUGUGCCCCAACUUACGAAACAUGAUUUUUCGUCUUGAUCAACCCGAAAUGAGAAAAACCUCAUUAAAAAUUCAAUUUAGAUCGGGAUUUUUUUAAUAUCAUCAAAUAACAUCAUGCAAAGAGGGAUCAUAUUUUAAAUUCUCUUCAAAUUUUUAAUUUUCAACAUUGAGACAUUAAGUAAUCAACUAGGUACCAACUUUGGGCUUUAUGAAUGUGUUAACCCUUCCACAUACGUAACCGACUCUCGAACCCAUUUCUUGGAUUUUGUAGACCAAAAACAAUUAUUUUAGUAAAUCUAACAUUUUAUUAAAAUGACCAAAUUUUGAGGUGAUGCAAUCAUAUCUAAAUAAAAAGGAUUUGUGGCAACUCUAUUUUCAUUUUAAAAUAAAAAGUGGAUCUCCAAAGAGGUUUCGACAAUUAUUAUACUAAAAAAAUCAUAAUAUUUGUUUUUAUAGGUUUUUUUGAGGUGACAAAAAAUGGCCGACUAAAUAAGCGGGCAUACUAAAAUAGGAUGGAAGGCGUUUAUAAUUUAUUAACUUUUCAAGGCAUUAGCCUCUCUUGAUUUGUACCAAAAAGAAAACUUAGCAGUAUAAUCAAACUUUCACUUAUUAUUAUUGAAAAUUUUCAAUUCGAGGUUAAGCACAAAUAAUCGACAUGACAAUCAAGCUCAUUUUCUUCUUUAGAUAAAAAAUCAUUAUCUUAAAUCAGAAUUGAGAGAUUGAACUAAAUUUUCAACUUUAAAGAUUAAACUUUAAGUUUGGAGUCAAACUUGGUUGAAGUACACCCUAGUAAUACCACUAUUGAUGUCGUUUUGUACUGACUAUAUAGUCAAAUCAUGGAUAGUAACAAUUUGUUUGGUUUUUCUUAUCAAAACCCAAAUUAUUUGAUUCUAAUACUAUUGUUAUUGUUGAGGAAGUUUUCGAAAUGUCAUUUUCGGGGACAUCGACAAUAGGUCAAGGGGUUCGAAUCUCAUGAAGGGUGAGACACUCACAUCGCCUCUUGAUGGGUGGUUGUACAUCGACAUAUGGUCGAGCGUUUCCCUCUGUGAACUGUAAAUGGCUCUCUGCAUAGCGGGAGAUAAAACCCUCCCCUAGGGGACAAUACUUUCUACUGUUGAGAAACUUGAUUGACAUUUUUAAAGACAAGACUUCGAAAACUUCUCUAAAUAUAUUCAAUCUCAUUUUCACCUAUAUUUUCACUUUCAACAAAAUCAUACACAUUGUCCAUGUGAAUAAACACCAAGCCAUAAGCAUUAGUUAAUUUUCCAAUUUGGCAGGUAGUAUUAAAAAGUAUUGUAAAAAAAAACGUAUCAAAUUUUAUGUUACGUUUCGAACGAUUGUUUGUUUAAUCAAUUUUUGAUUCUAUUAGAAAUCAUCAAAUAGAUCCUCAUAUAUUCUGCAUGCCCUUAUUUGCAUUUUUUCAUAUUUAUAACUCUCUUAAAUUCACGAACACUACAUGUUUAAUAGAUUUAAAAAAAUAGACACGUGUUUAAUGAACAAUUUCCACAAAAAUGUUUAAGUAGGUCGUGGGGGAAGUUCCAAUGAUUGAAUGCUUCCUUGCAACAUUUCUAAUACUCUAGUCAUUGAUGGUCGAUCUAAUGGAUUGGUUUGAAUGCACCAAAGGCUUACUGCAAUCAAUUUCCUUGUUAUUUCUGCUUCCUCUCCUGUUAUUUCUUCAUUAAUAUUCAAGUUUGUAGACUGAUCGAGAUGCUUAUAAAUCCAUGACGGAAAAUAUAUUUCACUAGUUUGGGACGCUUCAACAUUAACACUUUUUCUCCCUCCAACCAUUUCAAGCACCAUCAUUCCAUAACUAUAGACAUCGGAUUUAUGAGAAACUCCUCCUAGAUUUCGAAAAAACACUUCUGGAGCAAUAUAUCCCGCAGUUCCUCUAGCACCUGUCAUUGAUACAAUACUCUUCUUUCUUUCACAUAAUUUCGACAAGCCAAAAUCAGAGAUCUUGGGACAAAAAUUCUCAUCUAAAAGGAUAUUUUGAGGCUUUAUGUCAAAGUGCAAGAUCCUUGUGUUACAACCUUGAUGCAAGUACUCAAGUCCUCUAGCGAUGCCGAGUACAAUGUCAUACAAUGUUACCCAUUCCAAUUGACGACUUUGAUUAUCCGAUCCUUGUCCAUAAAUGAACUUGUCCAAUGAUCCUUUGGGCAUGAAUUCAUAGAUCAAAGCUCUCUUCGAUCUUUCAAAGCAAAAACCAAGUAAAGUCACUAUAUUAACAUGAGAAGUUCUGCUAAUGCUAGCUACUUCAUUCAUAAAAUCCUCUCUAUUUCCCUUCAUUUCACUUAAGAAUUUAACUGCCACAAGAUGACCAUCAGGUAGUUUUCCUUUAUAUACACUUCCAAAACCUCCUUGGCCUAAUUUAUCAUUGAAUUUGUUUGUCAUUUUCUUGAUUUCUUCGUAAGAGUAUCUCUUUGGAGCAAAAGGACCAAACUUUGUGAUGAAUUCCUCAAUCCUAGCAUCGUCGUUCUUCUUUCCUUGGCGGGGAUAAUUUGAUAAUAAUUUUCCUUUGAACCUUAAGACAGUGAAGCAUAUAGUAGAAAUCGAUACAACUCCAACAACAGAUCCUGUUUAUGAACUAUUAAUCAAUUUUUGCUAGCUCAAUAGAUAAGAUUCAAUUAAAGUGAAAACAUUGGUUAAAAUAAAAAGAAAGUAGUGAAUAAAAUCGAACAAGAAACUUAAAAACAAAGGGUAAAUUAUCAAAAUAGUUACUUUUGUUUAUCUCGGGUUACAUUUUAAUCACUUAUGUUUGAAAUAUUACAUUUUCGUUACUUACCUUAAUGUGUUGUAACAUGUUAGUCACUAAGCUGUUAAUUAUCGUUAACAAUGUAACAAUAAGUUGACUUGACAUGUUAAAUCAUCAUUUCGAACAAAAAUUGUAGAUUAAAUUGUACAAUUGGUCCCUAUAUUUUUUCGUUUAGAGCUAAAUUUUAACCUAAAAUUUUCAUUUGAAAUGAUGAUUUAACGUGCCACCUCAGCUUACCGUUACACUGUUGACUACAAUUAACACUCAGUGACUAAAAUGUUACAACACGAUAACGUAAGUGCCUAAAAUGUAAUUUUUCAAACAUAAGUGAUUAAAAUGUAACCUGAAACCAAAAAAAAAGAAGACUAUUUUAAUAGUUUACCCUAAAAAUUAUAAAAGUUAAAAAAAAAGGAUGAUUAUUAAUUUAAAAGAAAAGCAUUAAAAGAUAUAGAAAGAGUAUAUAUAUUUAUUUAAAAUCAACUUAAUUAAAAGCUAUUUCAACACUACAAUUAUAGUAGUUGUGAUGUAUUUAGUGUGUGCUUAGAAUAUAUGCAGUUAAUUCAAACCACAUUAUUACCCAACAAACAGUUUCAUAUCUAUGAUUAUUGGAGUCAGCUUCAACUUGGAUUUGGACCCACCUAUUCAAUUACAAUAUACCACACAAAGCAAUCAAUUAGUUACUGUACGAUUUCAAUUAUUUAAAUAAUUUCAACUCCUUUUUUUUUUCUUCUUGAGUUAAACAUUCACAUCAAAUUAAUAUUACUAUCUUAAAACAGAAAAUAAAUAACAUGUUGAAUUGUAUAAAUGGAAAGUACAUACAUACCUCUGGCAUUGCACUUCCGGCAGGCUUCCGCAUCUUCCUUCCAUUGCACCUCGAAUCCUGUUUCCAAUGCUUCUUCCAAAUCCAGGGAAUCAUUUCGAAGUCUUUCCCAGGAAGAUUGAAGAAUCGGGACUCUAACAUUAGCUGAACAUCCAUCUGGACGAAUGUUAUCUGUAGUUAUGGAAACAUUGUUGUAAUUUGAAGAAUCGCAAGGGAAGAUUCCAAGACUCGAUGAAGAUUGGCAGUCAUAAGACAUAGUAAGAUUGGUAUUUCCAGAACCGAGAACGAAUGGCUCAGAAUUCAGGAUCGAAUCUUGAAUUGGAAUUUGAGGAUGACAAGAGCCAUUCUUGAUGAAGUCCUCCCUCGCAAUCCUUAGAAUUUGAUUUUCAUGACGGAUGUCCAGCACCUCAUACUUUACACCAACAAUUUCAAUCUUAGUAGUAUUAGUAAAAACUUCACAGUGAAGCUCCAAACCAGGAUGUCCACAUUCUGGAUCUCGAUCACCUCCGGAGAAAGGAUAUCCAAUGGAGAUAUCCCCACAUUUAAACACUGCAUCGCGGCACUUCUCGUACAGUUGAUCGGGACUGGGUAGUGAAACAGGAAACCCAAGAAUAAGCAAAACAGAAGUAGAAGCAGAAAGAAAGAGAAUCAUUUUCUUUUCCAAAAAUUUUCAGAGCAGAGAUGGAAGAAAGGGUUGGCAAUUGAUUGCCAUUGCCACCGCGGACCGGUGACAUCAGCAGACACCAUUGCCUUGGGAUCGCCCGUUCUCUAUAUUGAAAUUGGCAUGCAUUUGUUACCUGGUGGAAGGGGUAGGGCAGAAAGUAAUAUCAUAAUCAGCUUCAACACAAUGGAACAUACUGGUUGCAUCAUCAUCAAAGGCGUAGCUAUAAGCUGUAGGACACGCAGUCUUGAAGAAUUGUGAGUAAGAAGUGGGCUGGCACGUAGCUGGAGAAUAAUAUUCUCCAGAGCAGCAAUACUGGGGUUCCCCAAGAGCAGAGCAAGCACUCUUACAUGCAACUGUCUCACUCCCAUUGACAACCUUAAGCUCCGAAGGACAGUCACCAUUCAAAUCCGCAACACAUCCAGUUGAGUUACAGUCACCUCCAGUUCCACCAUGUGGGGAUAUCAUCAAUGGUAGAUUGUAUCCACCAACAAGGCUAACAUCAUAGAAAUCUCCCAGAUCAUUGAAUCCAAACUCUGCAAGGGUGGCCUGGAUGGAACUACUACCAGAACACUCUGGUCUAGAUGUGCCGCAGUCGCCGGUGAGGCAAGAGAAAUUGCCAGAAGAGUCUUGAGUGCAAAGAGUUCGACCCCAUAUCCGACCUGUCCAAGAUCUUGGAAUAGAAAUAGAUGUUGAUUCGCCGGGAUUAAGACUGAAACCUGUAGUAGGAAAACUCUGUGAGCCUCCGGCCAAUGUUAUCAUCCCUGGCCAAACUGUAUAGCUGCAAUUAUUUACAAUAGUAAACAUCGAUAGACGAGCAUCUGUGCACAGGAAAAUGAAUUUAAAUCUACACAAAACAUAUAUACACACACACAAAAAGAGGUAUAUGAACAGGGACAAGACAAGCAAAGGAUCCAAGCCGAGUUUCAAACAGAAGAGUUUAUAAGUUAAACUGAGAGAGGCCUUGAAACAGAACAUACUUGUGUUAACCACCCAACCCAAGAGGAAGUUAUUAAACUGGCAGAUGCACGCAACACUAAUCUUCAUCUUAUUACCAUUACCCAAAAAGAAUAGUUCUAAAAUGGAAAGUACAUGCAUACAUACCUCUGGUAUUAUUCCUUUGUGAAACAGCAACCCCAAGCAUCAUGAAUGAUAAGGAAAGCAAAAGAAGAGCAAGAUCUGAUGAUGCUGAUGCUGGUGCUGAUGAUUUCAUUUUCAAUUUGUUUUUAGAAAAAAUUCAGAGAAGAGAUAGUAGGAUAACCAGUCAAAUGAUGAUAAAAAGAAACCAUUGAUUUUUAUCUCAGCUCAGCUCAAAUGAAUUACGAGGAAAUUGUCAAAACAAAAGGGUUUGACUAUAAAGUCGGCAGUCGGCCUUUAAGACGUAACUGUCCAAAGGAAAUUUCUCUUCUUUUAUCGACUAAACUUCCAAGGGAAAUUGUUGAAAUUGUCGCAUAGAUGGACAUGGCUCAUGUUAUUAGUUUCUGUUUCUGUUGGAUUUUGGAUAAAUUAUUUUGUAUUUUGGGCCGAUCCAGUUUGGCCUUAUUUUUUUUAUGUAUUAAUUAAAAAUAUCGUUUGUUAUUUAAAAUUUAAAGUAUAAAAAUAUAAAAAUUUUAAUAUAUUUCUUUAAUUAUAAAAUUAUUUAAUAAAAUUUAAUGGUGAAUUCAAAUUUAUUUUCAAAAUGUAUGAUUUUUAUAAUUUUAUAAUUAGUUUUAAAUAUAUAUAAAAAAAAUAUAAAAAUUUUAAUAGGAGAAUCAAAAACCGUAUAACUAAACAACCAAAGAUCUAAUUAAAACAUGAAUCAAAUGCCAUUAAGAGAUAGCUGCUCGCAGUUUUCUUUGUCCAUCUCAAAGAAAAAAAAUUAAAUUCAAUUUAGUCAUUCUCGAAUUGAGUUCAAAUUUAAAUAACUUAAACUAUCGAGUAGGUCACAUUUAAAAUUUCCAUAAUUCUACAAUAAACGCCUUCCCUUUCAACAAUUUGUAGAAUCCUCAAUCAAGAAUUCAAAUAUCGGAUCUCAUUGAAAGUCCCCUCUCCAACUGGACUUUCUCUUUUUGCAUUGUCCACUGCGGGUGAAAUAGCAUGACUGGCGGAGCUGCCAUCAUUCAAGACCAUAGAGCCUCUCAGUUUCUGUCCAUUUGAAGCUACAAAAUUGCCAAUAAAAUUCAGGCCAGACAUCUCACUCUUUGUUCUAUCCUUAUUAUACUAAAAAAAUCAUAAUAUUUCUUUUUGUAGGUUUUUUGGAGGUAACAAAAAAUGUCCGGGCAUACUGAAAUAGGAUAGAAGGCGUUUAUAAUUUAUUAACUUUUCAAGGCAUUAACCCCUCUUGAUUUGUACCAGAAAACUUAGUAGUAUAAUCAAACAUUCACUUAUUAUUAUUGAAAAUUUUCAAUUCGAGGUUAAGCACGAAUAAUUUACAUGACAAUCAAGCUCAUUUUCUUCUUUAGAUAAAAAAUCAUUAUCUUAAAUCAGAGUUGAGAGAUUGAACCAAAAUUUUAACUUGUAAAGAUUAAACUUUAAAUUUGGAGUCAAACUUGGUUGAAGUACACCCUACGAAUGCCACUAUUGAUGUCAUUUUAUACUGAAUAUAUAGUCAAAUCAUGGAUGGUAACAAUUUGUUUGAUUUUUCUUAUCAAAACCCAAAUUAUUUGAUUCUAAUACUAUCGUUAUUGUUGAGGAGGGACUUUAAGAGAAGUUUUCGAAAUGUCAUUUUCGGAGACAACGACAAUAGUUCAAGGGUUCGAAUCUCAUGAAGGGUGAGACACUCACGUCGUCUUUUGAUGGGUGGUCGUACGUCCACAUAUGGUUGGACUUUUGCCUUUGUGAACGGUAAAUGGCUCUCUGCAUAGCGGGAGACAAAACCCACUCCUGAGAGACAAAACUUUCCAUUAUUGAGAAACUUGGUUGGCAUUCCUAAAGACAACAUUUCGAAAACUUCUCCUAAUAUUUUCAAUCUCAUUUUCACCGAUAUUUUCGCCUUCAACAAAAUCAUACAUAUUUUCCACGUGAAUAAACACCAAGCCAUAAGCAUUUGUUAAUUUUCCAAUUUGGCAGGUAGUAUUAAAAAGUGUUGUAAAAAAGCCUAUCAAAUUUUAUGUUACCUUUCGAACGAUUGUUUGUUUAAUCAAUUAUUGAUUCUAUUAGAAAUCAUCAAAUAGAUCCUCAUAUCUUUUGUAUGCCUUUAUUUGCAUUUUCCCAUAUUUAUAACUCUCUUAAAUUCACGAACACUACAUGUUUAAUAAAUUAAAAAUAAUAAUAAACACAUGUUUAAUGAACAAUUUCCACAAAAAUGUUUAAGUAGGUCGUGGGGGAAGUUCCAAUGAUUGAAUGCUUCCUUGCAACAUUUCUAAUACUCUAGUCAUUGAUGGUCGAUCUAAUGGAUUGGUUUGAAUGCACCAAAGGCUCACUGCAAUCAAUUUCCUUGUUAUUUCUGCUUCCUCUUCUGUUACUUCUUCAUUAAUAUUCAAGUUUGAAGACUGAUCGAGAUGCUUAUAAAUCCAUGACGGAAAAUAUAUUUCACUAGUUCGGGACGCUUCAACAUUAACAUUUUUUCUACCUCCGACCAUUUCAAGCACCAUCAUUCCAUAACUAUAGACAUCGGAUUUAUUAGAAACUCCUCCUAGAUUUCGAAAAAACACUUCUGGAGCAAUAUAUCCCGCAGUUCCUCUAGCACCUGUCAUUGAUACAAUACUCUUCUUUCCUUCACAUAAUUUCGACAAGCCAAAAUCGGAGAUCUUGGGACAAAAAUUCUCAUCCAAAAGGAUAUUGUGAGGCUUUAUGUCAAAGUGCAAGAUCCUUGUGUUACAACCUUGAUGCAAGUACUCGAGUCCUCUAGCGAUGCCGAGUGCAAUGUCAUACAAAGUUACCCAUUCCAAUUGACGGCUUUGAUUAUCCGAUCCUUGUCCAUAAAUGAACUUGUCCAAUGAUCCUUUGGGCAUGAAUUCAUAGAUCAAAGCUCUCUUCGAUCUUUCAAAGCAAAAACCAAAUAAAGUCACUAUAUUAACAUGGGAAGUUCUGCUAAUGCUAGCUACUUCAUUCAUAAAAUCCUCUCCAUUUCCCUUCAUUUCACUUAAGAAUUUAACUGCCACAAGAUGACCAUCAGGUAGUUUUCCUUUAUAUACACUUCCAAAACCUCCUUGACCUAAUUUAUCAUUGAAUUUAUUUGUCAUUUUCUUGAUUUCUUCGUAAGAGUAUCGCUUUGGAGCAAAAAGACCAAACUUUGUGAUGAAUGCCUCAAUCCUAGCAUCGUCGUUUAUCUUUCCUUGGAGAUAAUUCGAUAAUGAUUUUCCUUUGAACCUUAGGACAAUGAAGCAAACGGGAAAAACCAAUACAAUUCCAGCAACUGUUAAGCCUGUUUAUUAACACAUAUGUAAUAUUUAAUUAAGUAAAAGAACGUAAUGAAUAAAAUUAAAGAAAAAUCUUGAGGGAAACCCUUAAACUUCUGUUGGCUAUAACACAUAAAGUAUCAUUGUUAAUUUAAAAGAAAAGCAUGCGGUGGCUUUGACAUUCCCGCCUUAGCUAAAAGGUAAAAUAUUUAUUUUAACCCGUUUUAUUUGUGAGAUAUUUAAUUUAAGUCUCUUUUAAACUUUUAUUUUGGCACUCAAUAAUGAAUUGCUGGAUUUGCCCUGAUUAUAUUUGUUUAAAACCAAUUAAGUUAUAUUAAUUAAAACCUAGUUAAUCCUAAAAGUUUAAUUGUAGUAUAUCUUAAUUAAUAGUGAGUACGUGAAAAUAUUACUUUGGAUUAGACACGUUGAUUUUGAUUCCAGCUUUAAAAAAUUGAUUAUAGUAGCAAUAAAACCACAUAGUAUUACCCAAUAAGACAUUAUAGUAGAAGGUAUAUAAUUAAUUCAAACCACAAAAAAAUGUUUCAUACCUGUUAAAAUUGGAGCCAGCUUCAACUUGGAUUUGGACCCACCUAUUCAAUACAAUAUACCACACAUUAGUUACUUACAAUUUCAAUCAUUCAAAUAAUUUCAACAAUUUUAUUCUUUGGGUUAAAACAUUCACACCAAAUUAAUAUUACUACCUUUUUCUUUAAGAAAGAAAGAAUAUGAAAAACAGAAAAUAAAUAAAUGCCAUGUUGAAUUUGUCAAAUUAUAAUAAAACCAAAUCAUCUGGUACUCCAAUGGGUUGACAUAGUUGAAAUAGGAAGAAGCUUUUAAUAAUAAUAAUAAUAAUAAUAAUAAUAAUGUCAUAUCCCUCUGUCGAUCAAACACAUGUCAGCACUAAAGGCAUCGUUGACUCCACGUUGGCUUUCUUUAAGAUAACAUUUCGACAAACCUCUCAUCCAUUAUUUCUGAAUGUGAUCACCCAUUCUACCUUAAAGAGUCACUUACACAAACUUAAAUGUGAAUACUAUUCUAAUAAGAAGUCUAUUUAGGCUUAACUAUCUUAUAUCGAUAGAGUCUCAUGAUAUAUGUCUAUUAUGCAUUUAAUGGGAUCAAAUCUAUAUUCUGACACAUCAUACCUGCGAACAAGGGGACCUUUCCUAUAAAUACUCUCUGAAACGACGAAUAAAAGAUCGACCUUUUAGCAUCCUAAGGUUAUUCUCUAUAUUCAUCUAUUUGUUCAACUUGUCCCAUUGUUCUUGUUCCAGCUCUUGACCUUUAUAGGUGAAUCAAUCUCCAUUGCACCACUUGAUCUCCUUCUUAUUCCCUCUCGUCUUCAUCCCUUGUGUACCCAUUGGUGAAGAAGUUUUUUAAUUUUACAAGUAGGAUAAAAAACCCGCCAUGUACAGCUCAUCUAGUUUUAAAUUUUUUUAAAUACUAAUUAAGGACAAAAGACAAUUUCUUAAUUUCGUUUGUGUAGUUAAAAAAAUCACCAUAAAUAUACCAAAUAAUAAUACUAUUAAUAAACUCUUAUUGGUUCCACUCUUCUAAAAAACCCUAUUGAAAAAACAAUUACUUCAAUGCUUUCAACCAUUAUUUAUUAUUAUUGUAAAAUUAUUAAUUAACUCAAUUAAUUUUUUAUAUUAGUAUACAUUGAUUGAAUAAUUGAUUAGUCAAUAAUUUUACAUGGUAAAAUAACUCGAUUCCAUCAAGUUUCAAGUUUCACCCUCACCUAAUAAGGGCAGGUUUGAGAGCAAGUUUUAUCCCGUCCAAAAAAGUUUACUAAAAUAUCUAUAUUUUUUAUUUUACAACUAUUUUUAAUAUAUAUACUACUAUUUAAAUCUCUUAUUAAGUUCGUGUCACUUGGCAUCAACUCAACAUUAAUAACACCAAUAUAAUAAUUAAUAAAUAGUUACAUUAAAUUUAAUAUUGUUAAUUUUAUAUAUUUACGUGUUUAAAUUUUGUUUUACCUACUAUUUAAUAUAAUUUUUUCAUUGUAAUUUCGUACACAUUGUAUGUGCUAUUAUUAUUUAGUUUCAAAUUAUAUGUUUAAUUGUUUAUUAUAUAUUCUUUUAAUUAAAAGUUUUUGUAUUUUUGAGAUUUUAUAACAUUUCGACUAUUAUAUAUAAUAAUUAAUUUUUAUAAGAUUUUAUAAUAAGUAAUUCAUUUAAUUUUGUAAAAAUUAAAAUAAUAUAAAAAUUAUGUAAUAUUUCAUAUUAGAUAACCAAAAUUGUUUAAUUGCAUAAAUGGAAAGUACAUACAUACCUUUGGUAUUAUUGUUGUUUUUGGUAUAUGCUGGAGAUGGUGGGAGAUGGGAUCGAUGGCAUUUGUUAGUAUGCGAUGAACUCUCAAAUCCUGAUGGGCAGUAGCAGACUGUUUGAUUGUUUGAAUCGUUAAAACCACAGCUUCCACCCGAAGCAUUGCACUUCCCGCAGGCUUCCAUAUCCUCCUCCCAUAGCACCUCGAAUCCUGUUUCCAGUGCCUCUUCCAAAUCCAAGGUUUUAUUUCGAAAUCUUUCCCAGGAAGAUUGAAGAACAGGAACUCUAACAUUAGCUGAACAUCCAUCUCCACGGAUAUUAUCUGUAGUUAUGGAAACAUUGUUGUAAUUUGAAGAAUUGCAAGGGAAGAUUCCAAGACUCGAUGAAGAUUGGCAAUCAUAUAACAGAGUAAGAUUGGUAUUCCGAGAACCGGGAACAAACGGCUCAGAAUUCAGGAUCGAAUCUUGAAUUGGAAUUUGAGGACGACAAGAGCCAUUGUUGAUGAAGUCCUCCCUCGCAAUCCUUAGAAUCCGACUUUCAUGAUGAAUGUCCAACACCUUAUACUUAAUACCAACAAUUUCAAUCUUAGUAGUAUUAGUAAAAUCACAGCGAAGCUCCAAAUUAGGAUGUCCGCAUUCUGGUUCUCGAUCACCUCCGGAGAAAGGAUAUCCAAUGGAGAUAUUCCCACAUUUGAACACUGCAUCACGACACUUCUCGUACAGUUGACUAGGACUGGGUGGUGAAACAAGAAACGCAAGAUUAAGCAAAACAGAAGAAGAGGCAGAAAGAAAUAGAAUCCAAUUUCUUUUUCAAAAAUUUUCAGAGAAGAGAUAUAAGGGUUGAUUGCUAAUGUCACCUAUCAUGGUGACAUCAACAAUCACCACUACCUUGAGAUCGUCGGUUCGUAUAGGACUUUAUGUUGAAAUUGACAUGCAUUUAUUACCUACGUUGGGAUCGUCCGCUUGUAUGAGGCCUUUGGUUAUAGCAAUCCAAGUUGCUCCCGUAGCUUACACCUAAUAUGUCACAGUACCUCCGAUAGAAACCAAUCCUAUCUGCCACUCUGUCAUCAGGACCAUGACCGCACUCUAGCUCACCAUUGAUUAUGUUAGUGAUGACUCCAUAGCCAGGGAGCCAACCUGCAUCCCUUUCUGCAGCAGACGGUGUCCAUUGCCCGACAAGUACGUUAUGGCUUGAUGGUUUGUUUCCUUGCGGGGUCAUCCAAAACCAAAUGGCCGUCUUGAAGGAUAUAGUCGGGUUGGUGGCUACGAGGUCUGGAUUAUUUAUUAGGUCUACUCCAAUGUCUCUUCCAGCUGGCCCAUAGUUGAAGUUGCUGAGGAAAUUAAAUUGUGAAAGUUGUGUUGAGUCAGUCAACAACAUCAUGAACUAGUACUUCAUUAGUCGAGCGACUGAGAAACUUACUAAGCCAAUUGGAAGGGUCCUCGUCCAUAAUACAAUCUUCCACGAGGACACGGCCAGACACCAGGAAGACAAUAUGCUUGGUCGUUGUUUUGUUCCCUUAUAAAGCAAUAUCCCCAUGCAUAUGGGCCAUCUGGUGCACUUGGCCAUCCUCCUGUUGUUUCAUGAGAGGUUUGAGCUAAGAAAGCUGCGAGUUCCCUCUUUCUGGUUGUAAGAUCUCCGGUUGUGCCAAAUCCGUUAAAAGAUCGAGCAGCGGUAAUGAAAGCACUAUAAGUGUAGAAACCAUUGCCAGGACAACGUGAAUCAUUUAGAUAUUUAAGCAUAUUAUUAAAGAGGUGUUGAGUGAUAAUGCUGCCAAUAUCAUUGCCACUACACUGGCUCUGGCAGCCAGAUCCGCAGUAGUCAGACGUGCUGCCACACAUCCCAAAUUGACUGCAACACAGUCCAUUUGGACAUAGAGCACCUCCUGCUUGUCUUCCGCACACUUCUGCUGCAAGAAUAUUGCUAGACUACUUAGCGUCAAAGAGCCUACAACUUUUUCGUAUCCAUUGAAACUUGGUGUGGGUUUUCAGUUUUGGAUUGAGCAAUUACUAGAGGGUAUAUAUCCAUUUAAUGUAUAAAUUUUGUAAUUUCAUGAAUUAGACUUUCCGGCUGAAUUAGAAAUUAAAAUGAAGAAAAGGUUCCAGCUCCCGAAUCUAUCCAAUCUGAUCUGUGGACAAAUAUGAUUAUUUUAUUUCAUCAUUCUGUCCAUUAAAAUAAUUUUGUGGUUAGAUUUUCAGAAUAGAUUUGACUAAAUAACACAGAAAACUAAUGCUGAUUGCGGCGAAAUUACUCCUUUAAUUUUUUUUUAUUAAUUUUGUCACUGUUAUAAUAUUCUUUUAAUUCUUUUUAAAAUUACAAAAUUUUAAGUUAAUCUUUUAAGAUUCAGCGUGAAAGAAAAUUGAAGCUUGCAUCAAUGGGUGCCUCUGAACCUGCCCUAUUAGGUUCUUCAUCGGUAUGUUUUUUAAUUUUCUCGAAGUUAAAAAUUUUCAAAAAUCCCAUUGAAGUUCAACAGGUACCCAUUUCAAAUCAGCGAAUUCAACGAAAUGAGAACAAAAGAAAAAACCCAAAAUGGAAAUGGACAUUUUGUUUUCUCGAGAAACAAGCUGAAAUUGAAAUUUGUUAACAAUACAAAUAAUCUAAUUUAUUAAGGUCGGUUGAAGAAAUCCCCCCAAACGACCCAACCUAUCACAAUGGAUAGAGUUUUCCCCGUUGAAGAAAUCCCCGAUCACUACUGAUCUUCAUCCGCCGUCACUUCCGCUGCCGGUGGUGGCGACGAAAAUAGAAAUAAAAACCUCGGUUCUGAAAUGAACCGAAAUGCUUCAGAGUGGGCUUUUCAGCAGUUCCUUAGAGAAGAAUUUAAUAUGAAAGGUGAAAAUAACGAAGAGGAGGAAGCUAAGGAGGAGCUGAAGAAUGGGUGUUUAGAAAAUAAUAACAACAACACCAACAAUAUUCCUGCAGAUGUAGAAGGUUAUCAGGCUUUUCUUAAGAAGAAGCUUAACUUGGCUUGUGUGUGUAGUUGGGUGAUGAGAAAGGUGGAGAGGAUAAAGGAUAAGGAAGGAAAAGUUUAGAUCUUGAAUAGUUUUUCUUUUCUUUUCAAAAAGAUGGGAUUCCUUUUCUGGGUUAUGUUUGGCUUCUAAGAAAACUUGAAGGGAAAUUUGCAUGUCUGGAUUUUGAUUUUUUUUAAUUACAUUCUGGUUUAGCAAUUUGGGUUCUUUAAAAAUCUAGACUGUUUCUCUUUCUUUUUAAAUAUUUUUUUUUAUAUUUAUCAGUUCAAAAGAUCUACGUAAGUUCUAAAAUCUGAAACUGUUCUUUUUCCAUUGAUGCAAGCUUCAAUUUUUUUCACGUUAAUGGGUCAAAACUCAAAAGAUUAACUUGAAGCGUUGGUAAUUGGAUCAAAGAGUGGAUUGAGGAUGGAAAGAAUGAUAGGGAUGGUUGGCAAUGGUUCUACGAGGAAUAUGGAAAACGAGGGAAAAACAGAGAAAUUUCAAGUCAGAAAUCAUAAUGCAGGCCAAAACUUCCAGAAUAACCUCCCGCAGCUAAUGGCGUGGAAAAGGGGCAUCUGAACAGGGACAAGACAUCCAAAGGGUCCAAGCAGACGGUGAAUGGGUAAACUGAGAGAGGCCUUGAAACAGGAAAGGACAUUAUCUUCAUCUUAUUAAACUGUGUUAAGCACCCAAAUUAUUAAACUGGCAGAUGCAUGCAACCAUUAUCUUCAUCUUAUUACCAUUACCCAGAAAGAAAAGCUCUAAAAUGGAAAGUACAUGCAGACAUACCUCUGGUAUUAUUACUUUGUGAAGCAGCAACCCCAAGCAUCAUGAAUGAUAAGGAAAGCAAAAGAAGAGCAAGUUCAGAUGAUGAUGAAGUCAUUUUGUUUUUAGAUUUUCAGAGAACAAGUCAAAUGAUGAAUAAAGAGAAAGGAUUGAUUAUUGUCUGAGCUCAACUCAAAUGAAUUUCGAGGAAAUUAUCAAAACGAAGGCUUUGACCACACACUCUACCUUUUAAGACUUUUAGCUUCCAACAACAGUAAGGCAUUGUCUCAUCUUUGAAUUUCCAAUGAAAAAUGUUGUAUACAGCGACGUAAGUAAAUAGUAGCCGAGCCCCAACGUAGUACCAUGUAAUCUAAUUUUGUAAUUUACAUAUGAAUCGGCUUUGGAAUUAAAUUUACAUGCUAAAUUUGUUAUUCUAAACAUGAAUCUUAAAUCUAAUUAUAUUCAACUCUAAUUUAUUUAUUUAUUUAUUAUUUCUACCUCAUAUUUCUUUUGAAAAAAGAACCAUUUUUUUUGAGAUAACUAUUCGAUAUUAAACAGUACAUUUUUUAUAUAUAUAACCAUUUAUUUAUACUCCACGUCAUCACCUCAAUCCUAUUGAGGACCACCAUUAAGUUACGAUCACGUCGUUUGGAAUGGACGUACCGGCGAAGAAGUGGUUCUGAUGAAUGCAAAGGAGACAAAUAGUCGAGUGUAGUGGAUGCUAAUUUGUUUGGACGGAAAUUGAGUCGCUUGAAUGCCAAUUAACUAAAAUAAUGUAGACGUUAAUUGUCAAAGAGUACCAAGCACGGUUUGAAGAAAUGGUACUCCAUACAAUGAGUCUCUCUGAACCUUUCCUAACUCAAUGCUUCUUAUCUGGGUAGAGAUCAAACAUAAAAAAUGAGGUAUUAGUGCUCGUGCCCACUAUGAUGCAUGAAUCGAUUUCACUAUCCCAUUUGAAGGAGACAAAAAUUAACGAGGCUGGCGUUGGCAGCACUAGAUUUCAGGGUCAAGUUACAAGAAAAGCAGGCAGUAGCUCAACUGCUGGUGCAAUGGAAUAGUGCAAAUGAGAGCCAAGCUACAUGAGAAGAUGAGGACGAAAUUUUGAAGAAUUUUCCAGCUUGGAACCUUGUGGAGAAGGUUUCUUUACCAGGGGAAGGCAAUGUAACAAAUUUUGGGUCCAAUCAGCAGCCCAUGCAACAAUAUAUACCAGUUUAGAUUUGUAAAGGAACACAUGAAAGAAGGAACCCAAAAUAUUGGGAGACUACGUGCGUUUUAGUAGCAACUUAAUCCACUCGAUUGGAGCUAAAUUUUCUUAAACCAAGACAGUCCGAGUACUAAAUUGACAAGUUCAUGAGUUGACUAGGGAAUAGAAUUAUAAAUGAUUUGUUUGUAGACAGUACAGGGAAAAUUUGUUAGAUGACAAAACUAGAGUGAUUGGAUUAAAGGUAAAAUUUUUGGCCUUUAAUAUGCAAUUCACCUAGGACUUGAGAAUAAUUAAAAACUUGAUAGUGGAUUAACCUUUUAUCUACAAUCCACUUCCACUCACUUAAGCUUGGGUGAAUUAUAGCCAUUGAUUUAUUAUUAAAGAUAAAAACAUACUUAAGUGGGAGACAGAUGGAUCAAAUAUACAUUCAUUCUCAUCUUUUUCUUGUCCACAUACUUUUAUAAAAUGAUGAAAGUUAUAUUUGUAGUUUAAAAAGUCUAAUAUACCUCAACCAUCAAAAUAUGUUUUGUCAUGGCACAUGUAUUUUUAUAAAAAUGUCUUAUACUAUGAAAAUAUAUUAUGUAGUACCUAAAUUAUCAAUAUAUGUUUUAUUAGGAAAUAAAGUGUUAACACCGUUAACGAAUUGUUAAACCAACUAAUUAAAAUUUGACACAUAAAUUUUUUUUCCAAACCAUCAGCUCUACAUUAAUAAUAUAACAUUAUGGGAAAAACUAAAUAAAAAAAUUGAAUUGAAUUGAAUUAAAAAACAAAUAACUAUAUAUAUGAUUAAUAAAAAAAAAAGCAGUAAAUACUAAACUUUAUCUAUCAUUAUAUGAUUCAAGAUACACUAAUCAGAAAAGCUUCGUCUUCAUCCUUCAUCUAUCAUUGUUAAUUUCUUAAAGUGUUUUUAGUAUAUUUCUGUUAGGUUAUGUGAUUGAUAAGUUUUCUUUGAACCUGAACUUACAUAUGAUUUAGUGAGCAUCAAGAAUAAUGAUGUAAAGUGGUUUCAGGUAGAUCGAUCAAUGAUAAUAUCUUGAUCGCCUAGGAGGAUUUUUCAUUCUAUGAAAAUUUAUAAAGGUUUUGUGGGUUGGAUGGCAAUUAAGGUGGACUUUAAGAAGGCAUGCGGCCAGAUUAAGUGAGACUUCUUGUAAGAGUCCCUCAUUGAUGCUCGAAUUCCUCAUCAUUUUGUCCGUGUUACUAUUAACUGUGUUUCUACGAUUAUGCAAAUUCUCUGGAAUGGUUCUAUUGUUGAAAGCUUUAAAUCGAUUCGGGGAAUUCGUCAGGGUAAUCCACUUUCUCCGCAUUUGUUUGUAAAGGUAUGGAGCAGCUUGGGCAAAAGAUUAUCUCAGUUGUUCUGUUGAGUAUGUGGAAGCCUAUUAGAUUGUCAAACGAUGUUCCACCAGUAUCUCACCUUUUUUUCGAUGAUAUCUUAUUUUGUUUUGCAAAGCAGAUGAGGAGCAAGCUAAUUUAAUUAGUGAGAUUUUGUCCGAAUUUGCAGCUUAUUCGGGCCAAAAAGUUAAUGCUAGAAAGAAUCAGAUUUGUUUUUCGGGGAAUGUCAAAGGUAUGUGGCAUGGUCGAUUAGCCAAAGUUUGGGUUUUCAAAGGCUCGAUGCUUUAGGAAUGUAUUUGGGGAUGCCCCUCUUUCAUUAAAGAGUCAUGAAGAGUACCUUUCAGUUCCUUCUUGACAAAAUCCGAGAACGGCUUAGCGGAUGGAACUCAAAGCUCCUUUCGAUGGCUGGUCGUAUUACUUUGGUUAAUUCGAUCAUUUUUGCUAUUCCCAAUUAUUGCAUGUAGACAACUCUGAUCCCUAAAGAACUCUGCGACAUUUUGGAGAAAUUGAUCCGAGGACUUUUUUGGGAUUCUUAAGAUGAAAGGCGAAAACCGCAUCUUGUGAAUUGGAGGGAUUGUUGUCAGUCAAUCUCGUCGGGUGGUCUCGGUCUUUGAAAAUUUUCUUAUAAGAAUGAGUCUUUUCUUCUUAAAAUGGGCUUUAACCUUCUUAAUAAUCCUGAAGCAUUUUGGGUUCUGAUCAUCAAGGCAAGUCUAAGGUUGAUGUUUGGUACCCAGAACAUAUUUGUAGAACAAAAAUGUUCGUUUGUACGGAGAAAUUGUUGGCAAAAAUUUGGGAUGUGUUAAAAACGAAUAUUUGUUGGAGAGUGGGAAAUGGAAGGAGAUUUCGUUUUUGGAGAGACAAUUGAAUUCCGGCUCAUGGGCCUCUUGUAAAUCUUACUCAAUCCAACCCUCCAAAUCAUGAAGUUUGUGUUUCCGAUAUGGUUGAUAUUAAUGGAAAUUGGAGUUGGCAUAAAUUCCAGCAUUUGUUGGAAGCCUCGACCAUGUUGCACGUUGCUGCUAUUCCUCCACCAAAUCCUAUGGCGGAAGAGGACAGGUUUGCUUGGUCAAGUUCUGAAAAUGGCUUGUUCUCUUUAUCUGUACUUAUUCUCUUCUGGCCAACGCAGAUUGGAAUGAUAAGGAUGCUAAAUGGGAAGUAAUUUGGAAGUACGGGUGCCACAAAGAGUUCGGAAUUUUUUGUGGUUAGCUUCACGCAAUAGCCUCCUGACAAAUAUGGAACGGGUAAGGAAAGGCCUGUCGACCGGUUCUUCUUAUAGCCUUUGUGGACAUCAUGAGGAAAGUACGUUACAUGUUCUUCGAGAUUUUCUGAUUGCUAAAUCGAUUUGGUCAAGAUUAGUGCGUAGUAACUUGUAGUGCUAGUUUUUUCAGUUCUUCCUUUGUGAGUUGGAUGAUGAGUAAUACACGGAUGAGCUACAGAUUAAUGUUAAUGAGUGCGAAUGGGGGACUCUCUUUGCAAUACUUUGUUGGAGGCUUUGGAAGUAUAGAUGCAAUUUCCUCUUUUCAAAUUCGACUUGGAGUGCUGAAACUAUUGUUAGCCUCAGUCGGGCUUGCGUGAUAACCAUCUUUUGGACCUGGCUGUCGGAGGAAAAAGCUCGAUCUUUGCAGGGAAGCCAUGACAUUUGGCUACCACCAGCGAAAGGUUGGGUCACUGUUAAUUCUAAUGGCGUUGGCUUAUGGGUUACAACCGCGAUAGACUUUCAGAUUUCGAUUUUCACACUUUUGAGCAACCUCCGGUUAGUGCAGGGAGGCUGUUACGUGAUGAUAGUCUCAAUGGUUCUUCUUUGCUGUAAUUUUGUUAGUCUUCUUUCAGUCUUUGACUGAGCUUUUCUUUUACCAAAAAAUGUGGUGAAGUUAAAUUUUUAUAAAUAGACGAACCAUAAGUCGUCCUCUUCUAGUUUAGGAAGGUGUUAGCCAUGUUGGUGGAUUUCCGAUUAACCUUCACCAACCCCUCUUCCUCUAAUUUCUACUCCUACUGACAACAAAGUUGUUUACAAGGAAAACAUGUCCGGAUUACAAUCUCACUUCAACCAUCUUUGCACCGCUAUUAACCCUUUUAUCACUUCAUCCACAUUUUUGAAAGCACUCAUUUGGAUGAGCACUGCACAGAUCAGUUAUCUUCAAUGGAUUUUAGGGGGAACAUUGUUGAUGAAUAUCCUGGAAACCGCCAUUAUUUUAGAACAGACAACUUAUAAUUGAUUAAGUACUAUGUGUUGAAUUGUAUGGAAUCCAAUUCGAAUUAGUCGAAUUAAUGUAUCUUAUUUUAUUAAUUAAAUUAAUUUUUUAUUCUUUUACGAAUUGGAUUCAAUAAAAUCAAAUUCGAAUUGAGUUGAAUAAAUUUAUUUGGUUUAAAUUUAAAAUAAAAAUAAAAAUAAUCAAAUUAAAACCUUGUUCACAAUACUAGAGUAAAUAAAUUUGAGAGUAUAUAAAUUUGAAAAUUUUGAAAUUUUUUAGAAUGUAAAUAUUAUAUGAUUUUUAUUUUUAUAUAUUUAGUACAAUUCUGGAAAAAAAUUAUAAUUCUUUUUGAAUUUUAAAUAACAAGUUUUUAAGAUUUUUUAUUUUUAUAAUUAAGAUUAUUUUUUUAAAAUUAUGAAUUGUUAUUAAUAUUUUUAAAAUAAAUUUUUAUAUACUUUUUUUUAUUUUUUAGAUUUUUAUAUUAUAUAAAUUUUACUUUUUACUUGUUUUUUUUAUAAUUUUUUGAAUUGAUAAGGACUAAAAAGAGUAUUUACAUCAAAGUGAAACAAAACUAGACCUUAAAACAACAUCGUUUUAGAUAUUAGGAUAUUUUCAAAUUCAACUCGAAUAACUCAAAGUAUUAUUUGAAUUGACCCAAUAACUCAAAUGACUUAUUUAACUUGAAUCAACUAAUUUAAAAUUUGAUUUUUUUUUUCAAAUCGAAAUGAAUUUUACUAACCCUUAAACCUAACUUGAUUCUUAUAUGUAUCAUAUUUGGCAAAAAUCCCUGCACAAUCUCUAUGCUUUUAAAAGUGAUCAACAAAUUGAUCUCAUUACUGAAAAUUGUAUUAAUUAAUUUUCAGUUAAAAUAUGUAAUAGAUUUCGGGACAAUUCAUAAAAAUAAAACUUCCAGAAAUUUAUAUCUAUUCCUCCUAACAAUAUAAUCUGUUUAUAUUUAUAAUGUUUAUUUCCACAAACGAUACAUUUAAUAAGCAUGCCAUCAUAUAUAUGUAUAACAUAUUUAUGUAUAAAAUUUUUGACACAUUUAGUAUGUUCUAUUUGUAUAUACACAACUAACACUAAAAAAACAUGAGAUCAAAAUGUACAUUUUGCCAAAUCUACUUAAGAUUGCUUCAACAUGAGCAAAUUACUCCAGUUAACAAGUCUGCAACAUUUUUAGGUGGGUUUUGGCGGAAGUACCAAUGAUUGAAGGCUUCCUUGUAACAUUUCCAACACUUCAGUUAUUGAUGGUCGAUCUAUUGGAUGGGUUUGAGUACACCAAAGGCUCACUGUGAAUAGUUUUUUUGUUAUUUCUUCUUCCCCUUCAGCUAUUACUUCAUUAAGAUUGAAGUUCAUAGGCUUAUCAAGAUGGUUAUUUAUCCACGAGGGAAAGUAUGUUUCACUAGUUUGGGAACCCUCAAUAUCUAUAUUUUUUCUUCCUCCUAUCAUUUCAAGGAGCAUCAUUCCAUAGCUGUAGACAUCAGAUUUAUGAGAAACACCACCAAAAUUUCGACAAAACACUUCAGGAGCUAUAUAUCCAACAGUUCCUCUUGUACCUGUAUUUGCAAUAAUACUUUCUUUUCGUUCGCAUAACUUAGAUAGACCGAAAUCAGAGAUCUUAGGACAGAAGUUUUCAUCUAAAAGGAUAUUGUGAGGUUUUAUGUCGAAGUGCAAGAUCCGGGUGUUGCAACCUUGAUGCAAGUAUUCGAGUCCUCUAGCGAUGCCUAGUGCAAUGUUAUACAAAGUUUUCCCCUCCAAUUGACGACUUUGAUUAUGUGGUCCUUUAUUAUAAAUAAAUCCAUCCAAAGAUCCGUUGGGCAUGAAUUCAUAGACCAAAGCUCUCUUUGAUCUCUCAAAACAGAAACCAAGAAGAGUCACUAUGUUGACGUGAGAAGUUCUACUAAUGCUAGCUACUUCAUUCAUAAAUUCCUCCCCAUUUUCUUUGAAUUCACUCAGGAUUUUGACCGCCACGAGACGUCCGUCGGGUAAUUUUCCUUUAUAUACACUACCAUAUCCUCCUUCACCUAAUUUAUCUUUAAACUUAUUUGUCAUUUUCUUAAUGUCUCCAUAAAAAUAUCGAUUCGGAGCCAAAGAACCAAACUUUGUGAUGAAUUCCUCGAUCCUAGCAUUGUCAUUCUUUUUUCCCUUCCAUAGAUGACUUGACAGUGAUUUCCCUUUCAACCUUAACACGAAGAAGCAUAGAGCAGAAACCAAAACAAUGGUGAUGGUUACAACAACCGUGAAUCCUGUUCAUGGUGCAUUAUUAAUCAAUUUUUACUAAAUCAUUUAUAAAUGAAGAUGAAUAAGGUGAAGUAAGUAAAAACUUUGAUCAGUUAAAACCAAACAAGAAAUCGUAAAGCAAAUAACAGAAGAUUUCAUGAAUAGAUAAUAUUGUCGUAACAACAAAGUGUUUCAUACCUAUGAAUACUAGAUUCAGCCUCGAUUUGGAUUUGGAUUUGGAUUCGGAUUCAGAUUCUGCAAAUAAAAUAUAGCAAUGAAAAUUUUGAAGGAGUAAAAAAUCAAUUUAAAAGACUUAAUAAAAAAUCUAAUCAACUAAUGAUAACAGAUCAUGGACUAAAUGUGCAAAUAAUUUUACCCUAUCCUAAAUGUGUUUUUAAAAAUGGUUUAAGAUAUAAUUUUUGAAACUAUAAAUGAAAUCUUUUAAAAAGCAAGGAAAUUUUAAUUAAAUUUAAAAAUAUGAAUUAUUGUUAAUACUUGUUUCAUUGCAUAACUUUACGAAUCAUACUGAGUUGAGAUAAUAUUGCAAAGUAUGUUGGACUUUUUUUAAUAUUAAUUUCAUUAUAUGUUCUUAUUAUAUUUGUUCUUUUUGAUACAAUGCUUAGAAUUAUCCAUAACCCCUCUCCAAUCCUUAAAUAGGAGGAUAAUGCGUUUCACCGCACUCGAACCCACAUCCUCCUACACUGACAACAAUGCCGAUCCCAAUGGAGUUAAGACUCAAUUGGUAAGUAUGUUGGAUUUAAAUAUGAAACAAUUAACAUUUUAAAUAAUUUAAAAAAUGGGAAUUUAUUGCUAUUAUUUAUGAUUUCAAAUUAGUAUGUAUAUUUUUACAAUAAUUAUGAAUUAUGAAUUAAUUUUUGUCUAUAAACUCAAUGUGUAUAUCAAAGUUUAUCUUAUAUUUUGCAUGUACAUCACCCUUGAAUUUUCAAUAGAAUAAAACAUUGGUUUUGUUGGAAGCCCAAAUUUAUUUCAUUGACACAUUAAAAUACAUCACUAGUAUUUUGUACAAUUAUGAUAUUUUCUUUUAACCAAUUCUGAUUUAGAAAUUUUAAUUAGUAAUCAUGUUGUGAUAAAAUGUUUGGCAUUGUCACAUAUCAAUUACUCAUUUCAUAUAGAAAUCUAAAACCGUGUAAUAUAAUAUAUAUACGUUUGGCUAAAUAGAUGAUACCACAUCAUAAAAAAAAUUAAAUAUAAUAAUAAAUUUAGUGAAAAAUAUUUAUCUCUAACCUGUUUUCUUAUUUACCCUUAAUCUUUAAAUGUUAGUCUUUUUUUUUUUAAAUAAAAAAAUUGAUUAGGCUAAAAUUUUAACAACGUACAUGAUAAUUCACUUAUACUUUAUUAUUAAUAUUUUUUAAAAAAAUAUGGAAUUUUCUUAAUUUUUACGUUUUUCUUAAAUUUUCUUAUGAUAUACAUGGACUGUUAUACAAAUAAUCACAUCAGUUUUAAAAUUUUAAUAGUUCAAUUACUUUUUAGUUAAAAAUAAUAAUUUAACAAAAAUUUAAAAGUUAAGGAUAAAAGUGAUCCAGUAAAAAGAUAUAAAAAAAUGCUAAAAGAAUUAAAUAUUAAAAACAAAUUUUAUUAUCGUACCAAAAAAUAGAAAAUCUAAAUAACAUCCUUGUCAUUAUCUUAUAAAAAGGACGUAUCAUUGAGAUAUAAAAAGAAUCUAAAUGAAUGGAUCAAAAUUAGAUAUAUCCAAUUUUAGGUGUUGAAUUUUCCUCAAAAAUUAAUGCUGAUUAAUACGUUAUUAUUGCUUUAAAUGAUUGACAAUGACGGAAGAAAUAUAAUUUUUUUUGGGUAAAGUUUUGUAUAUUUCAAAGAUGUUAUUAUUAAGCAUAUUUUUCUUCUCUCUCUUUUUUCUACUCUAUUUUAUAAUUUAUGUUUGAAAUUGUUCUUCUCAAUAAUAUUACCUUUAAAAUUUGAAUGUGCCUUCCCUUAAACAUGUAAUGUCUUUUACCAGCACAUUUAUGAUGAGAUCUGAUUUUUAAAAAUAUUUUCUAUUUUUAUUUUCAAAAAAUAAUUUCCAUUUUCUAUUUUUUAAAAAUUAAAAAGCACGUUUGAUAAAUAAAAAAUUAUUUAUAAUAAUUAAAACAUGAAUAUAUAUAUAUCUAGUAACUAUUUUUCUCAAAUAAAAAUAAAAUAAAAAAAAUUACAUUUCAUCUAGAUUUGAACUAGGAUACCAGAUUUAAUAUUAAAAAAAUAAUUGAAAAAAGAGAGAAUAUUUUUUUGCAUUUAUAUGGGUUUGAACCCGGAUCAAUUCAUCUAAACUUAUUUUUAUUGAACAAUCUCAUGAUAGGUUCUGAUCAUAUGUGUUCUUUUUAACACAAUGUUUAAAACUACCUAUAGUUACUCCCCAAUACAUAAAUAGGAGGAUAAUGCGCUUCAGCGCACUCAAACAUCAUGUCCUCCUGCAUUGGGAAUAAUGUCUAUACCAACUGAGUUAAGACUCAAUCUGUCAAUUCAUCUAAAAUUAAAAACACUUGUAUUUAUCAUUUUGUGUGUUUGGUUUCAAGAAACAAGAGUUGUUUUUAUUUAUUCGACCCCUUUUAACUUUUAAAAGAAAUUCAAAAAUUUUGAAAAUAAUGGGUUUUUUAAGUUUAUUUUUUGCAUUAAUUUAUUAUGAUUCGAAAUCUUUUUAAAAGUAAUUAUUUAUAACAAAAUUUUUAUCAUUGAUAAUAUAUUAAAUUUUCUUUAUAAUAAUGAAGAUUUUGUCCGUUGUUUAUAUAUUCAUAACAAUAUAUUGUUAUAUAAAAUUAGUUAUUAUAAAUUUACAACAAAAUUUAUAACAUGAAUUUCUAUUAAAUAAAGUAAAUGUGAAUUGUGUUAAAAAAGAAAAAAAAGGGAGAAUCAAAUGAACAAAACUAAAAGACAUAUAGUAGAUGCAUGCAUUAUUACUUUUAUGUAUAUUUUAUUUUACAUUCUUUCACAUGAUUAAUUUAAACAAGUUCAAUUAAUCAGUAUGAGUUUUCUAAUUAAAUUAAUGAAUUUAUCAUAAUAUAAUUAAUCAAUUUAUAAGUUAUAAAAUAAGUUUAUAAUGAUCCAAAUUCAUAGUAGAAUAUUUAUUAGGGAACUUAAUAGUUUAUUGAAUUGAUAUCUUUAAUUCACUCAUUAAAGAUUAUUUUCAUUUAAUAAAAUAUUAUUAAUAGGUUUUAAAUGUGAAAUUUAAAUAAUUUAUUAAAAUAUUUUAAUUAUUGUAUUUUUAUUUAAUAAAUUAUAAUUAAUAUAAAAUAACUAUAAUCUUUCUAAAAUUUUCAAUAAAUGCUAUUAUAGAAAAUUAAUUUGAUAAAAAAAUGUAUUCUAUAAUUAUUGUUGUUGCUGAUAUUAUAAGUAAAAAGUUGUUGCAAAUGAUUAAAAUAAAACAUAAAAUAUUAAUUUUACUAAAAAUUUAGUUAUUAUAACGAGGGAUUAUUAUAUAAAAAAUUGAAAGUAUAUAAAAUCAUAAGAUAAUACGUUAUUAAAUGAAUUAAAUUAUUUUACAUGAUUCAUAAUAUAAAAAAUAAAAUAAAAUAAAUUCAAGUUUUAUUAUUAUUUGUCGGAUUAUCUAUCAGGCUUUUGAUAAGAUUAUUUUUAAUGUUUUUGAAAUAGUGAAAUCAAACUUCUAAUAAACUUGAAUAAAGAUUUUUUCUUUUUUCUUUUUUUAAAUUCAGGUUGCAAUCCAGUCUGAUCUUACUUAUCAACACCAAUACAGAUAAAAAGUACAUACCUUGGGCAGACGACGUUGGUGAUGAUGAAGAAACAACGCGAUGGCAUUGUCUGUCAUCGGGCGAAUUCUCGAACAUGAAAGGGCAGUAGCAGAACAUUGUUUGAUUCUCCGCCGGCCCAAAGAAACCGCAGGCUCCGCCGGAAUCAUUGCACUUCCCACAAGCUUUGCUGUCCUUCCAAUUCCAUUGUACCUCCACUCCUUUGUUCAAGGCUUCUUUCAACCUCAACGAAGAAUUCAGUGAUCCCUCCAUGGAAGAUCGAAGAACCGGAACAGUAACAUUAGCCGAACAUCCCUUCGGCUGGAUAUUAUUCGGUAUCCCCACGGAAACGUUACUGUAAGUGGAACCGGCGUUAUCGCAAGGGAAGAACCCGAGAUUGCGUGACGAGAUGGAAGCUUGGCAGUCAUAAAACAAAGUAACGUUGGCAUAACCGGGACCAGGUGAAAACAACUCGGGAUCGAGGACCGAAUUCCGAGUUGCGAUUUGAGGGCUACAAAGGCCAUCGUACUUGAUGAGGUCUUCCCUCGCAAUCUUUAGAAUAUGACGAUCCCAGCCGAUGCCCAGAACCCGAUAUUCUAUGUUACUAAUUACGAUCGUUGUUGUGUUGUUGUUGUUGUCGCAGCGAAGCUCGAGACCGUGUCGUCCACACUCCGACACUCGUUGACCGCCAGAGAAAGGAAAUCCGGCGGAGAUAUUCCCGCAUCGGAACACUGUAUCACGACAGUUCUCGUACAGUUCAUGAUUGCUUAGUGAAAGAGGAAACCCAAACAUGAUGAAUAAUAAGGAAUAGUACAGAAGUGGAAGACAAGGUAAUGGUGAUGAUGAUGAUGAGAACCAAAGAUUAUUCAUUUUUUAAAAAAAAUUUCUGAGAAUUGAUGGAAGAUUGAACAAGGUAAAUGAGAAAGUACAGAAAGGAUUGAUUGGCCCUCAAUAAAGGGAAAGUUUAUCAAAAGAAAGUCCUCGUCAAUGAAGUUUACUUAAAAAGACUCGUGUAAUAUGAUUUACGUUUAUGCUGAAUUUUGCACUGUUCUAAUUUAUCACUGGGUAGUAAAAAGUCUAAAGCUUUAUGUAAAAAAAAGAAAAAAGAAAAAGAAAGUAUAACUCCUAAAAAAACAUAAUUUUAAGGCAUUAAAUUUUGAUCUAUAUUUACCAUCUUCUUCAUUUAUUUAAAAUAAUUAAUAUUUAAAAUUAUAAACAAACAUUUUUUUUAUUUUACAAUUUUUAAUCAUUUUGCUUUUCUUUCAAGUUAUUUAGUUUUUCAAUCAAUUUUCUUAAAAAAAAAUUAGUUUCUAGACAAUGGAUUUUUUUUUCAUUUUAAAUUGUUUUCAAGUUAUUUGAUUUUUUUAUUUUAAUUAUUUAUAUACACUUUUUUUAAAAAAACUUUGGAGUUGGAGAACAGGUUGAAUAUGAAUAAGUGUAUAAUAAUAAUUUCAUGUCUUUAAAAUUUGAUAAUGUGAUGAAAUUUUAUUAAUGCCUAAAAACCUUAAAUUUUAAUAUCAUUCUAAUAUAAGUUAUUCCCUAUGUUUAAAUCUUCCAUUCAUACUUAAUGAUAAAUCUUUAAAUAAUUCUUUAAAGAAAUGAAUAGGAGAAAAAAGAAAGUCGAAAAAAGUAUCUAAUAGGGAAUAUAUAAAAAAUAAAAUAAAUACUGAAAUAGGAUAAGGGCCCUAAUAUUUAUAAAUCUAGGCAAAGCGAAUAGUGUAAAAUCGGUACUGCCUAACCAAUCGGCGACACCCCUGUCCCUUGCCACCGAUGACAUCACAUUUUUAAAAAAAUAAUAAUUUUUUUUGGGUGUCACCUAAGCAAUAGGCAGCACCAGUAUUUCAGACCUAAAAAUACACGAUUUUUUAUAUUGGUAAAACGAAGUAUUCGUUUGACAUUACAUAUCAGCUUAGAGGUCAGCCAGUCUCUAUUUGAACCGAUGUGGUUCCAACUCGUACCUUGAACUGUUACAACAUAUUACGUGUUGUUUCACAAACUCUAAACAUAUGGAAAAAAACUGAGACAGAUAGUUACCCAUCUUUAAAACUUGUUUACACCAAUCCGCAUUUUUGAAUUCCUUGUGGAAGUUCGCCGCAAUGUGCCUGAUGCAAUAGACGGAUCUCCACAAAACACUUGAAUGCCUAAUUGCGGCAAUUAUCCCCUUUGAUCUAUCGAGAAUGAUGCAAACGUUGUCUUGAGUGACAACAUACCUCUACAAGUUCUCUAGGAAAAAUUCUCAUGACUUCAUGUUCUCUUCCUCAACAAUGGCAAACGUUAUCGGUUAGCAAGUUCCAAUUCCCAUCUUGUGCAGUCACAAUGAGAAGGAUUUGCGUAUAUUCCCCGUAUAGCCAGGUUCCACCUAUCUGCACAAACGGGUUAUAGUGGGGAAAGGCUCAAAUGCAUGGAUUAAAUGUCAAAAACAUCUAGUGAAAAGUUCUUUUCCCCUCGGAUGUAGUUGGUUGUCCCAAUCGUAUAAGGCAACGUCUGCAACUCAAUGACUAUCCAUGUAACAUACUCUUGCAUUGCGGCUAUCCACCCUUAGAGUCCAUUGUACGACGCAUCCCAAUCUCUGUGCAACUGAUCCAUGGCUAUAUGUUCAGUCAACCAUGUCUUCCGGUAUGAAACUCGGUAUUAGAACCGUUCUUACAUUUUGACAAUCAGCACUGAUAUAGGAAUGGUGGGCAUAUAUUUAAUUGUUGCCAAUAUACAGUUGCAGAUGGUUUUUGAAUCAAGCUUGCGGUGGUCCUGCAUCAUAAGUGCAGAAGUGCAUGUAUAAAACCUAACAUAUUUUUGUAUCUUCCACUACUAGGACUUCUGGAUAAAUGUAGCUUGUACCCGCCACUUGCACCCUUUUGUCAACUUCCAACACUCACCAACAUAGAUCAUUGAUUUAAAGUCAGCCACCUUGUAGUCAACAGACACCUUUGUUAAGUAUGACUCCUAUUUCAGUCAAAUUUGAGAAAUAAUCUUCUAGUUAAAUUCUAUUUAUUUGUUUCAGUUAAACUCUUAUUAGUCUAUAUUAUUUUAUUAUUAUUUGACCUAUGAAUUUAACCUAUAAAUAGGCUCUUUUACAACAUUAGAAAAUACACUUAUUAGAGAUUAAAACUCAUAACACAUUUAGAGAAUUUUGUGUUUAUGUUUUGAGGGUUUUUUGUUUUUAGGUUUUCGGGGUUUAGUUUUUAUCUCCAUCUUUUGUACUCUUCGUUCUUUUGCCAUUAUAGUAAAAUUAUCUUUGCCCGUAGUUUUUUUUAUCCUCUUUGGAGGGGUUUUUCUAUGUUAAAUUUGUGUGUUCAAUUUCUCAAUUUCUUUCGCUAUUGUUACUUGUUCGUUGUAACACCCCUAACUCAUAACUGUCGUCGAAAUAGGUUAAGAGGCAUUACCGGACUUGCAACUCAUUUCAGAACAGUAAUUCAUCUACAUUUAACUAAUAUCAUAUCAUUUCAGUAAUUAUCAAUCAUUCAUAUUCAUAACAUGCCUAAAUCAAGCAUUUCCAAAAUAUAAAACAUCAUACACAUCACAUACUAUAUACCAUACCAAUUUGCCACAUUCAUAAAGCAUUUUCAAAUCACUUAUUCAUCUCAUAAUAGUAUGGGCAUAUGCAUUAAGACUUUUAUUCAUGAGUUUGUCAAAACAUAUCAUUUUGCACCCAUUUAACUAUUAUGUCACUAAGCCAAAUCUCAUGGCUUACACACAUCAAACAUAUAUACAUAUACUUUAUAAACUAAGUGAUCAAAACACCAUCCUUUCAUCUAGCCUAUACAUGCCAUAUUUACACAAUUUUCUUGAGUUCAAAAGUACCGAGAAGUCGCCUGGAUAGCGUGAUGACAAUCUCUAACUUUGUCCGAAUCGAGCUAGCUAACGAACCUCUAUAAAACACGGAAGAUAAACAGAGUAAGCAUUUAAGCUUAGUAAGCCCCGUAUAAUAGAAUUAAACUUACCACAUUGCAUAAUUUGAGCAAUUAAUCAAUAUGUCCAACUCGAAUAUUCAAAUGCCUAUCACACAUACACCUCAAUAGGUUAGAGUCUCAGACAUGCAUAUAACUAACAUUUCAUCUAUGAAUGUUUCAAUUUAGUAUUCAAAUCACAUAGCAUUUCAUUCAUAAAUUUCAUAAUAUCUCAUUUCCAUUUCCAUAUGUCCAUGUAACACAUAUUACAUUUCAUCUAUAUAAUUCACAUAGCUCAAAUUCCAUUUCAUUCUCCAUUCUAUAAUCGGUAAUAGUAUAAUGCCCGUUGAACCUACCGAAACAUCGAAGGAUACUCGGGUAAUAUACUCUAUGUGCAUUAAUCGGUAAUCCGUCAAUUCAUUAUCAUUUCCAUUCUUUUAUGAGCUGAUAUAUCGAUAAGCUUAUACGAGCUGUGGUGAGUCCGCAACAAAUGUAAGAGCUCGACCAAAACGGUAACCCUAGAGACAUGUCACUCAUAUCCUACGAUUUUCUAUAGUUCAAACGGGGUUCGGUAUUACUCAAUACAUUAAUCUCCAUUCUCACAACAUUUUAAAUAUAAAUUUUUCCAACCAAAUACUAUUAUUUCUGAUCAACCAUAAAUUAAUUAUAGAACACAUUUAACGAUUACGAUAAUAACAUAACUCGAAACACUAUUCCAAUCCAAUUUCCUAUUAGUUUAACAAUUAAAAAAACAUAAAAAGUUAAGGGAAACAUUACCUCAAAGACUUACUCGGAUAACUCUAUUUAUAAAUAAUGUAUAAAGUCAUAAAUAUAAAGUAUACAAUAUUAAUAUACAAGUUUUGGACAGCUUAACCAUUAAAAAUAAGUAGCAUGUAUACAUCAAAUGCUUAAUCAAUUUAAAUGUUAGAAAUCAGACAACAUUAAUAUACAAAUUUUGACAAACAUUAAUUCUUGAAUUUGGACAAGCAUUUAAAUAUGGAAAAACAUAGGUAACAUGUCUUGUUUUGGACAGCUUUAAUACUUCAAUUAAACAAGCAAUUAAUUCAAUCGAACAACAUAAAAAAAAAGUCCAACUUUGAUCGAUUAACAUUCAUACAACCAAAAGUGUAAUGUUAAGCAAUUCAAUAUCAUUUAUUUCAACCAUUUAAUUCACAUAUAUAUACUUAUUCAUUUCAUACAAUUGCAAUUAAAUGAAAGUUCGAUUCUAGUUAUACGAACUUACCUCGAGUUGCUCAAAUAGAAAUUAUCGACUAUUCUUCCACUUUUCCUUUUCCCCAUUCUAAUCCUAAUCUCGACUUAUCUUGAUCUAUAUAUUAUCAAAAUUAGCUUAUUUAAUAAACUAUUUAUUCAAUUUAAUCCAAAACACACAUUAGGGCUAUUUUACACAUUUGCCCCUAAACUUUCACAUUUUUACAAUUUAGUCUUUAUCACAUAAAAUUGCAAAUUCAUGCAAUUUAGUACAAACCCAUGCUUAACCGAAUUUAAUACAUGUUACUAGCAGCCCAUAUUUUCAAUUUAUUCACACUUUUAACCACCACAUUUCAUAUUUUAUCAAUUUAAUCCCUUUUUGACAUCUUUGUCAAAAAUCACUUAACAAAACUUGUAUAUCUAACAUUAAGCCUUCAUAAUCUAUCAUUAAACACUUAAACAACCAAUCAUUCAACAAUGGCAUCAUUUGAAAUCUAUAACAGUUUCAAAAACGAAGGUACGGGCUAGCUAGAUUAAGCUAUAACGAUCCCGAAAACGUAAAAAUAAUUAAAAACGAGACAAAAUAUCUUACCAAUCAAGGAAAACAAGAAUGGCCGAAUGCUAAGCUUCCAUGGCUUUCUUUUUUUCUUUUAUUCUCAGUUGAAAAAAUGGUUAAAGAUGAUAACCUAAUUGUUGUUUUAUUUUAUUUUGUUAUUAUUUACCAAAGUACAUUAUUUACCAAAGUACAUAAUUGAACACUUAAGGACCUUUACUUUAAGGUUUUAUAGCUAUUUAAUAUAUUUAACUAAUAGAACACAAGUUUUUUACUUUACGUGAUUUAGUCCUUUUUGAUAAAUUAAGCAAUCAAAUAGUAAAAUUUCUUUACGAAGCUUUCAUAUAAUAAUUCUAUCAUACUAUAAACCUUAUUAAAAUAAUAAAAUAAAUAUUUUAACUCGGUUUUGUGGUCCCAAAAUUACUGUUCUGAUCUGAUUCAAAAAUAGGCUAUUACAUUCGUUACUUAACUAGGUUGGUUCCCAACAAGUGGUAUAAGAGCAGGUUUAAUUUUCAUAGAUCAGCUCGUUCAGAGAUGGCAGCAACAAGGUUUGAAAUUGAGAAGUUCAAUGGUGUCACAAAUUUCAAUUUAUGGCAAGUUCGGAUGAUGACAAUUCUAGUUCAAACCGGCUUGAAAAAGGUUGUUACAGGGAAAAAAACUUGAGAAUCUAAAUCAAACAGAAUGGGAAGAACUUGAUAAAAAAACCUUAUCUGUAAUCCAGUUGUGUCUCACGAAUACGGUAUUGUAGGAGGUAUUGAUGGAAAAGACCUCAUCCGCCUUGUGGAAUAGGUUAGAAACUCUUUAUGCAACAAAGUCUUUAGCUAACCGUUUAGUGUUGAAACAACAUCUAUUUACGUUUCGCAUGAACGAAUGUGUGUUUGUUAAAGAUCACAUUAGUCAAUUUAUUACUCUUUUAAAUUAUUUAAAGAAUGUUGAGGUUCAGAUUAACGAUGAAGAUCAAACUAUACUAAUAUUGUGCUAUUUACCCCUUUUAUACAAGUCUUUCAGAGAGACCUUGAUUUAUGGCAGAGAUAAACUCUCAUUCGAAGAUGUAAAGGGUCAUUUGUUGAGUAGAGGAAAACUCGAUAAUGAGUUUGGUUCGAAUAACAAGGCAGAUAAGUAAGCUUCUAUUUUGGUAGCAUCAAAGAAGCGUGACAAAAGGUGUCGCUAUUGUAAAAAGUUAGGUCACGUCAAAGCAGAUUGUUAUAAACUGCGAAAUAAAAGAGCUGCUGAGAGUAACGAAGAAGAUGUAGCUGGUGCUAAUUUGCCGAUGAAAGUGGUGAUGAUUUCUUACUAGUGUCAACGAGCGAUAACUCUAAGCUUACUUCCGAGUGGGUCUUAGAUUCGAAAUGUUCUUUCCACAUGUGUCCCAAUAGAGAAUGGUUCUCCACAUAUAAUUCGGUUGAAGGUGGAGUUGUGCGUAUGUGAAACGAUUCAUCCAAUAAGGUAAUUGGUAUUGGUAUUGUGAAAAUUAGGAUACACGAUGGGAUGAUUAGGACAUUCUCAGAUAUCAGGUAUGUACCUAAGUUACGAAAAAAUCUCAUAUCCUUGAGUAUUUUAGACUUAAAAGGAUACAGAAUCAACAUUGAGUCGAGCGGCACUAAAGUAUCUCGUGGAGCUCUCAUUUUGUUAAAAGGUAAAAGAAUUUGCAGUUUUUGUAUUUUAGAAGGUUCUACAAUGACCGGUGAAAUUGGACGUCCCUCAUCCGUUAUGGAGUCGAAGUCAACUCGUUUGGAGCAAAGACAACUUAGUCACAAGAGGGAAAAAUGUAUGAUUAUUUUGUUGAAGAGAUGUUCUCUUUUAGAUGCAGGUUUUGAGAAGUUAGGGUAUUGUAUUCGUGAAAACCAGACCUGAGUUAGUUUUGAUUUAGCAGUGUACAAGUCGAAGGCUAGAAGUCUUCCAGUGAAAAGUUAUUUCCCCCCCGAAUGUAGUUGGUUGUCCCAAUUGUAUAAGGCAACGUCUGCAACUCAACGACUAUCCUUGUAACACACUCUUGCAUUGCGGCUAUCCACCCUUAGAGUUCAUUGUACGACACAUCUCAAUCUCAGUACAACUGAUCUAUGGCUAUAUGUUUAGCAAACCAUGUCUUCCGGUAUGAAACUCAGUACUAGAAUCAUUCUUGUAUUUCGGCAAUCAGCACCGAUACAGGAAUGGUGGGCAUGUCUUUAACCAUUGCCAAUAUGCAGCUGCAGAUGGUUUCUGAAUCAAGCUUGCGGUGGUCCUACAUCAUAAGUGUAGAAGUGCAUGUAUAAAACCCAACAUAUUUUCGUAUCUCCCACUAUUAGGACCUCUAGAUAAAUAUAGCUUAUACCAGCCACUUGUACCCUUUUGUCAACUUCCAACACUCACCAACAUAGAUCAUCGAUUUAAAGUCAGUCACCAUGUAGUCAACAGACACCUUCAUGUUGUAGUGCUUGAUGACAUUGACACACUCAUCUUUGCUCGCGAAUGUUUGACCCACGAAUAAAUCUCUCGAUUCAGGAUCUGCUAACAUCAGCUGAGUAGGUAUUAUGUCUAGGUACUCGGGAAACUCAGAAGCAUGCGUUGCAUCAGGAUCGAUGAUCGACAUGUGGGUCUGGGAUCAUUGCGUAUAACGAUGCCACGACUCAAGUUUCCGACCGAAGGGGCGUGAUCAUUUCCAUUAUCCGGUCAUUCGUCGUCAAUAUCAUUUGGGACAUUGUCUAAAUCAGGGUCACCAAAAAUCUUCACCUUCGUGAUCAAAACAACCAUUAUUACCGAAUCAAUCUUCACCAAACGCAUCAGUUUCAAUAACAACUGGAUGUAUCUCUAACCCACCACCGUACUGAUCUAAACAUCCAACAUUAAGAUCGUUGUCAAAACCGCCCACAGACGACCUCCUAUCGAUGGACGCUCUGGAACUGUUGUACACGGGUUCGCAACUCAUAUUGUUGACUUAACUGAGUUACAUUUUCGACGGGCUCCGCAUAUGCUAACUCAGCAAAUAACUGAACCGGUUCAGUGUUCACCCUCCCUGGCGGGCAAUACAAUGCGACUAUUGUCUCGACGUCAUCAUCAUCUAAAAGUUCCAUCCCGGUAAAAUUGAUAGGAUUUGACGAAACUAGAAAUUUAUAGAAUAGUUUUGUCAUCCUCCUUCCACAACGUUUGAAAAUUUUUUCAUUGACAUUCUCUUUCAUAUCAACGACGGACACAUUUCUAUUGAAUCUUAUUACCAUUUUCUAACGAGUUUCAAAAAUACAACCAACAGUUGUUUCUAAAAUACCAUCAUCGGAAUGAAUGGCUGCAACAAAUUGAUUCUCCAUUUUUUUUAUAAAACUAUAAAAAUACAACAAAACAUCUUAAUAAACGAACAAUAAAAAGUAAACAUACACAGUUAUAAUAAAUUUCAUAAUUAACAUACCUUAAUACUAAAUAAAAGAAACUAUUAACACAAAUAAACUACUACUUAAAAACUAAUUAUACUACUAAAAAGAUAACCUUAAUAGUAAUUAACUAACCUUUUCUUCUUGAUUUUGGGUAGGGGACCUUUAGCUAGAUCUAUUUUUUUUUCCUUUCGUGUGGUGACUGAUCUGGGGGGAAUAAUUAGUACUAACCUUUUUUUUAACAAAAUAACAUUUCUUAAUAUUGAACUACUACUAAUAUAACUAAUUAUACUUAAAAAAAAUACAUACCUUCCUUUUGAUUUUUGGGGUGGGGGGGGGACCUUCAGCAGCUCUUGAUUUUUUUCCCUUUCGAUUGAUAUAUGUAGGGGCGAUUGAUAUAUGUAGGGGAGAAGGUUUGGGGGCCAAACCAAUCCCUUCUAUAAUAAUAAAAAUAAUAUAAUAAUAAUUUUUUUUAUUAAAGCUGAAAAAAAUUGGUAUAUUAAACCUGUCGGUCACGGGUCUGGGUUCCAAUACCCGAAAUUUAAUAUACCAGUUUUUUUCCAGCUUUAAAAAAAUUAUUUAAAAAUAUUCGGGUGUCGCUUGGCACGUCGGCGGUACCAAUAAAAAAUAUAAUUUUUUCGUUUUACCAAUAUAAAAAAAUCAUGUAUUUUUGGGUCUAAAGAUAUCGGCGGCACCCAAAAAAUUAUUUUUUAAAAAAUGUGAUGUCAUCGGUGGCAGGAUAGAAGGGUGUCGCCAAUUGGUCAAGCAGCACCGAUUUUACACUGUUCACUUUGCUUAGAUUUGUAAAUAUUAGGGCCUCAUCCUAUUUCAGUAUUUAUUUUAUUUUUUUAUAUUAUCUAGGUAAAAAAUCCAUAUAUAAAUUAGUGAGUCAAACAAACUUCCUCAAUAAUUAUUUUAUUUUUUACGAUUUUGAUUCGAACUCAAAUUAUUUUUUAAAUAUAUAAAUACUCGAUUAUACACAACUUGAGAUUCUAUUUUUUAAUAUUUAAGAGUAGAAUUUUUAAAAUUUAAAGUUGGAAAUUUUGAAGUUUAAAGAAACAUAUGUUAUUUUAUUUUUGUUUUCUUGAAAAUAAAAAAACAUUAAAAAAAGUAUGUUUGGUUGAAAAUUUUAAAAAUGAUUUUUGGAAAAUGAAAAUGAAAAUGAAAAUAUGUGUGAUAUAAGUUAUACAAUAAGAAAUUAUUUUCAUUGAUUUCACUAAAAAUACUUCAUAAAAAUAAAAAUAAUAAAAAUAAGUGUUUUAACUUUAAAUGAAUUGACCUUGAUUUAAAUACAUAAAAAAAUAGAAAUAUUCUUUUAAAAAAGUAAUUUUUCAAUUUUGAAAUUGUAAAUUAUUUUAUUUUAUUUCUAAAGUUCUUAUUAUAGGAAAACAGUAUCAAUAUGUUUUUCAUUAUUUAAUCAAUUUUUUUAUUAAACUGUAUUUUUUUAAUUUUUAAAAAUAAAAAAUAUUUUUUAAAAUGAAAAUAGGAAGCAUUCUCGAAAAUUAAACGGAGUAUUAAAAAUUCUAUUUUCGUGAAAGGAAAGUAAGUACAAAUAUUUUGGUACCAUCAAUAAUUUUCCGGGGUACAAUUUUUAGAUUUUUAGAUUUAUACCGUAUGAAAUUUUUUUGAGGAAUAGCAUAUGAUUUUUUAGAGUUCCAAAUUAAAAAAAAAAAAGAGAAAAGGGUAAAUUACAUUGCAGGUUACAUUAAAAUAGCAUCAUUUUUCUUUUGAUCACAUAAUUUUUUUUUGUUAAUUUAAUCACUUUAAUUAAGAUAAUUAUUCGAAUUAGUAACUAUAGUUAAAAAUUCUGUUAAUCCACUAACUGAUUGCUGACAUGAUAUUUUUUACUUUUGACAAAAGCUAGGGACUUCUAACAUUUGAAUCCUCUUUAAGAAAAGGAAACCCAAUGACAACGACAGCAAACCAUGACCACCCUAUCCAAUAAGCCCACAUGUCAGUGCGUAACUUCAGUGAGGAAAAUAUCGAACACACGAACGAAACACGAACAAGUUGAAUAGAAAAACAAAGCAAUAGGACAAGGCUCCAAGGCGUGUAUCAAGCCAUUGUCUUUAAGGUUCUAUUUGCCCUCACCUAUACUUGGUAUGCAAAUGAGUUUCAAGCAAAUAAACCUCAAGGAUACAAUGAAACCCAAUGAUUAUUUAUGUUUUGCACUGAUGAAAAUAGCUGACUAAGCAAUGAGCAUGGUAUAACAAGAAAAUCAAUUUUUAUGAAGAACUUCUAUAGUAUUUUUUUAUAGAACAAUCUACGAAAUAUGGAAGAAUAAUAGAAAGAACUUUUGAGAAUUUUUUGAUAUAUUUUCCAAAUAAAAUCUCACUCCUAUUUAUAGGAAUUCUCAUGUAUUUUCAUAGAGACAUAAUUUCUAAUAGGUAUCUUUUUUGAAUAAUCACAUAUUUAAAAAAGACAUAAUUAUUCAACUAAUAUUUUUUAAAUAGAUAUAACUAUUAAAGUAAGAGAUACAAUUUUUCAAGUAACAUCUCUUAAAUAAACAAAACUAUUCAAGUAAUAUUGCUUGAAUAAUUGUAGUUUUUUGUCAAAAAAAUCAAGUGAUAUAACUCUUCUUACUUAAGAGACUUAACUUAUUGUUAUGGAUUGUUAUAAUUCUUGAUCAAUAACAAAAAGAUAUAACUUUUGGUUAAUUACACUUUUUCAUUUAUGGCUAUUAGAACACUAUAAAUAUUUGAAAAUGUUCCAACAAUCUCCCCCAUUUUCAAAAUAUUUUAGAUUUUGAUAAUCUAGGAAAUUAAUUUGCAUAAAUGAGUCUUACGAUUGAAACUCUACUUAAUGAAAACAUGUUAAAGUUAAUCAAAAUUGGAUGGUAGAUUAAGCUUUGAACCAGCUAUUCCGUUUGAUUAGCCAAACACAUCUCACUUAAUGAUUUCAACAUCGAUCAAUGCAUAGUAUCUGCGGACACUAUUAUGGUCAUGUAUUUGUGUCAACUUUUCAUGAAUGUUGUUAGAGCCAAGCCCUUGUGCUCCUAAAAGUGGCCACAGUUUAUACUCAUAUAGGUAGAUCUCAUCAAGAGUGUUUUAGUAAUUAUAACACUUUAACAUAUUUAUGUUAUGGGUCCGUUAAAAGUACAUUACAAAUCACUCUAACAUAUUUAUGUUAUGGGCCCGUUAAAAGUACAUUACAAAUCUUUCCCUUAUCAUCACGGGUACCUAGCACUUUAAUCUUAAGAUGAGUUUAUUUAUAGUGCUAGCAGUCACAUACUAAUUAUGUACUUUGUCUCAUUAAACUCAAGACUUGACGUUAUACUAUGCAUUAAGUCAAGUUUCCAUCAUGGGUGACUCUAAUUAAUAAGCUUGAGUCCUAUCCCUUUUGAGGUCUUAUUGACUACAUCUCUAGCAAGACCUUUUGUCAAAGGAUCCACCAAGUUUUCACUUAACGUCACAUAAUUAAUAGUGAUUACUCAAUCAAAGAUUAAUUGUCAGACAUAGCUGUCUUAAUCUAAUGUGUCUAGACUUUUCAUUAUAUACUUGGCUAUAUGCAUUUACUAGAGUAGUCUCACUAUCACAACGAAUAGAAAUAGGUGAAAUUGGUUUAGGCCAUAGAAGUAAAUCAUAAAACAAAUUUUUUAACCAUUCUGAUUCGCUAAAUGUAGCAACUAAUGCAAUAAAUUUAGUUGUCAUGGUGGAAUCAGUAAUACAUGUUUGUUUCUUAGAACCCCAAAAAAUGACACCUCCACCAAGAAUGAAGAUCCAUCCAUUAAUAGAAGCAUGAUCCUCCAAACUUGUAAUCCAACUAGCAUCCGAAUACCUUUCUAAAACUGAAGGAUACCCACUAUAGCACAACCUGUAGUUAAUAGUUUUCAUUAAGUACCUAAGUACUUAAUUUAAAUCUUGCUAAUGAAAACUACUUGGAUUACUCGUGUACUUACUCAAUUUCCUAAAAGUACAUGCAAUAUUUGGUCUUGUACAAUUCGUUAUGUACAUAAGACAAUCAAUUAGACUUGCAUAAUUCAAUUGAUCAACUUUCCUACCAGUAUUAGAUACUAAUUUUAUUUGAGAAUCUAUGGGUGUAGAUGCUAAUAUAUAAUUGAAAAGAUCAAAUUUUUUAAGCACAUUUUCAAUGUAGUGUGAUUGUGAUAAAGUUAUAGUGCUUUCUUCUCGGGUUAUUUUAAUAUCAAGAACAACAUUUGCUACACCUAUAUCCUUCAUAGCAAAGUUGUUUGACAAGAUUUUUUUAAUUAUUAUGUGUAGUAACACUCGAGAUUUGGACUCGGUGAAUCGGGUCAGGUUAAGGGCAUUACACAAUGCAUAGAUUUGAUUAUAUGCAUCAAUUAAAGUAUAUUACAUUUAUUUAUUAAAAAAAGCUGCAAAUUUUGUAACCUUUUGGAAAUAUUAUAAAUGAAAAGGUAAAAAUAAAAUGAUAUAAAAUUUUUACUUUUAGAAUCUUGAUGGUUUGUAUUGUGAUAAAUUUGUAUUGAUUUUAAUUUUUUUAGGGUCAAGAAUAAAUAAAAUAAAAUAAAAUAAAUUUAUUUGUAACACUAUGCAAUUUCACUAUUUAUAGCGUAAAGAAUGUGAAGUUAUUGAAUAUGUUUGAUUUAUUUUUAUUCAAAAUUCUUUUAAUUUAUUUUUUACUUUUAAAUUGUUGAUUAUGUAAAGUUAUAUUUCAUAUUACUGAAUAUGUUUGCAAUUAAUUCAAAAUUUUGAAGAAAUUUAAUUUAGUCGUGUCACUAAGAAAAAAAUUACAAACUAUUAAUUUAACAAAUUUAUAUCAUUUCAUUAAGUUUUUCUCUAUUUUUUAAUAUAUAAAAAUUAAGAAAAUAAUAUGAAAAGUGAUUUUUUUAAUAUAAUUGUUGUUAUAUAAUAUUCAAACAUUUUGACACAAAACUUUUUUUUUUUCAUUUUAACAUAUAACCAUUGCGAAACCCAUAAAAAUUAUUCACACAAUAUUGAAUACAAAUGUGCCCUAUAUAUAAAUAUAAUGCCACUUGUCAAAUACUGAAGCAUGCCACCUAAGCUUGUUUCUUUUUUCCUUCUAAAACAUUAUAAAUAUAUAUUAGUUUUAGAUUUAAGAUUAUAUAUAAUAAUACUCGAAUAAUUUAUUGAUAAUAAAUAAAUUCAAAUAUUUCAACAUAUUUUCAUAUUUAGAUUUCAAUAAUUCAAAAAAUAUAAGUAUUCGACUUGUUGUCAUUCCUAUAAAAGGGGAACAUUGAAGGAGUUUAGGUUUCUAUUAGGAAUCUUCAAUCAAAUCUUAUCUUUGCUUUUUUUUUUUUAAUGGAAUUCAUGUAUAUUUUGUUUUAUGAUUCAUGGUGACAAAACCUCUUAGGAAUUUUUUCCGUUUCUCUCAACGAUGUUAUCUUUUAAUAUUUAUAAAAUUAUUUCUACAAAAAAUACGUUGAAUAAGAAUAACACCAUUUAGGUAUAUCAUAGAUUUAUGUUUAAAAUUUUACACAUUUAAAUUGUUCUAUUUAUAUAUACACAACUAACAAUAAAAAAACAUGAGAUCAAAAUGAACAUUUUCCUAAAUCUAUUAAAGAUUGCCUCAACAUGAACAAAUUACUCAAGUUAACAACAAAUCUGCAACAGUUUUAGGUGGGUUGCGACGGAAGUGCUAAUGAUUGAAGGUUUCCUUGCAACAUUUCUAAUACUUUAGUCAUUGAUGGUCGGUCUACUGGAUUGGUUUGAGUGCACCAAAGACUCACUAUGAUUAGUUUCCUUGUUAUUUCUUCUUCCUCUAUAGAUAGUACUUCAUUAGGAUUGCAGUUCAUAGGUUGAUCAAGAUGGUUAUAUAUCCAUAAGGGAAAAUAUGUUUCACUAGCUUGGGAACCCUCAAUAUUUUUAUUUUUUCUUCCUCCGAUCAUUUCAAGGAGCAUCAUUCCAUAACUGUAGACAUCUGAUUUAUGAGAAACACCACCAAAAUUUCGAUAAAACACUUCAGGAGCUAUAAAUCCAACAGUUCCUCUAGCACCUGUAUUUGCAAUAGUGCUUUCCUGUCGUUCACAUAACUUAGACAAACCGAAAUCAGAGAUCUUGGGACAAAAGUUCUCAUCUAAAAGGAUAUUGUGAGGUUUAAUGUCAAAGUGCAAGAUCCGGGUACUGCAACCUUGAUGCAAGUAUUCGAGUCCUCUAGCGAUGCCCAUUGCAAUGUCGUACAAAGUUUUCCACUCCAAUUGACAACUUUGACUAUGUGAUCCUUUAUUAUAAAUAAACCCAUCCAAAGAUCCAUUGUGCAUGAAUUCAUAAACCAAAGCUCUUUUUGAUCUCUCAAAACAGAAACCCAAAAGAGUCACUAUGUUGACAUGAGAAGUUCUACUGAUGCUGGCUACUUCAUUCAUAAAUUCCUCUCCAUUAUCUUUGAAUUCACUUAGGAUUUUGACCGCCACGAGACGACCGUCUGGCAAUUUUCCUUUGUAUACACUACCAUAUCCUCCUUCACCUAAUUUAUCUUUAAACUUAUUUGUCAUUUUCUUAAUGUCUCCAUAAAAAUAUCGAUUAGGAGCUAGAGAACCGAACUUUGUGAUGAAUUCCUCAAUCCUAGCAUUGUCGUUCUUCUUCCCCUUCCAUAGAUGACUUGAUGGUGAUUUCCCUUUUAACCUUAACACAAAGAAGCAUAUAGCAGAAACCAAUACAACGGUGAUGGUUACAGCAACCGUCAAUCCUGUUCAUGGUGUAUUAAUCAACUUUUACUUAAUCAUUUAUAAAUGAAUAUCAAUAAGAUUAAUUAAGUAAAAAAUUAUUACUUUAAAAAAACAAUGAAUAGAGUUAAACAAGAAAUCUUAAAAUAAAUAACAGAGGCCUUUUAACUAUGCAUUUUGUUUAGGUUAGGUAUUUAAAUUUUUUUUUUGUCAAACAGGGUAUCUAAACUUUACUCAUAACCACAGUUGGCCUUUACUGAUAGACUCCAUUUUAAAAAAAAAAAGCUACAGCGGAUCAAGAAGUGCCACAUCAGCACCUCAUUAAAAUCUAGUUAAAUAAAAAAUUAUAAUAAUAAUAAUAUUAAAUAAAAUAAAAAAUAUCCCUUCCCUCACCCUCUUCCUCACCUAGAUCUAUUCAUAAGCCGAGCUACUCACCUAGGCCCGAAGGUCUGCCCGAAAUUUGAGAUGGUUUGGAUAAAAUGAUUAGGCUCAAAAAAUUAGAUUGGGUAACAAAAUUAGGCCCGUUUAAAAUAUGGAUCAGGCUCGGGCUCCCAACCCGAUCCACUUUUAAGUUUAUAAUAUUUUAUAUUAUGUUUUUUUAUAUAUUAUGUAAUUUAUAACACAUUGAAAAAAUAAACUUAUAUUAAAGAUAUAAUACUACUCUAAUAUAAAUAUUAAAAUAAUAUUAUAAUGACUAUAUAAAAAUUUUCAAUAAAAAUAUUAAAUAUUAAAUAUUAAAUUAAAAUAAUAUAAAUAUCUUAAAAAUAAUAUGGGUGAGUUUAAAAUGGAUUUGGAUUAGUUUUUUUUUUUUACAAAUAUAAGCAAGUUUGAGUAAAAUUGUAAGCCGAUAUUUUGGGCUGAACCAAUCUUAGACAAACGUAAAAUAUAUUUAUAUUAUAGAUAGACUCAACCCGACCCAAUCCAUGAACACAUUUAAUCUCACCCUUCUCCUUCUCUCCCCCAUUAAUUAAUUGAAGGUUACUAGUUCUUUUUUGGUAGAAUUAAAUUCAAAUCCUUAAUUGAUUCAAGGAAUGAGAGGAACCACUUUCAGAUAAUAGUAAAAAAAAAAACCCUAUAAGGAAACCAAGUUUCAAUAAAUAAAUAAAAAGUAAAAUUACUUAAACAAAAAAAAAACAUAAAUUUAAAACCUUUUAUUCAAUUAAAUUUAAAUAACAAAACAUUUGAUGAAACAAAUUGAUUCAUACCUAUAAAUAUUAGAUUCAGCCUCGAUUUCGAUUUAGCUUUGGAUUCUGCAAGUAAAACAUAUGGCAGAUGUAGUAAAUUAGUUUAUUCUGCAGUUUUAAUCAUUUUAAUAAUUCCACCAUUUAAAUUGCUUCUUUUUUUUUUUUUAACAAAAUUCAAAUGAGUUUCUUGAGGAAAAAGCAAAGUAUGGUUUAUAUUUGAUAAAAUAUUCAAAUAAAAAAUAUUAAUGGAAUGGAUAAAAGUUACAUACAGAAUGCUAGGUGUUGACUUGUCCUCUAAAACCAAUGCAGAUGCGUACCUAACAAAUAUUAGUUUCUCAUAUUAACGGUGUUGUAUAUUUGUCUUAAAAAUAUUAUAAAAGUUACUUUUUAUUGAAAUGGUAAAGUAUUCAUUACAUGCAUUUUUUUUUGGAUUUUAUAUAAAAAAUAUAUAAGAAUUUAAACUAAUAUUUAUUUUUUGUUAAAAUAAUGAUAUUUUAGUAAUUUAAUAAUUGAGACAUGAUUCAAUUAGAUUUGAUCAUGAGUCAGGUCAAAUGUCUAAGUUUAAAGACCAAUAUAAAAAGCGGGAGGAUUUAAAAAUAUAUAUAUGCUCGAAAAAUAAGCUUGGACAAAAAAUAAGACCCGUUUUCCAAACGAGUAACGGGUCGGGCCUCAGACAUAAAUUUUUUGUUUUGGGUCUGGUUCAGCCAGAAUCACAUAUACCUUUUUUUUUUGUAUUUUCAAUUUUUAGGAAACAUUUAUUUUAAUAUUUUUAAUGUAUUUGAUGUCUUAUAUUUUUUAAAUUUUUUAUAUAAAAAUAAUAUGGUUGGGUUGGGUCGGUUUGGCUCGAGUUUAGCAUUUUAAUAUGGGUUGAGCUAGGACAAAAUUUUAGACUCACUUUUCAAGCUGAGGCAGGCCUGAACUUAAAUUUUGCAUCGACCCAACUCGGCCCAUGAUGCAGUCUAGGUCCAGUUACGGGCAACACCAACUCAAUCAAAAUAUUUAUGUAUUCUUAAUCUGAUAUAUUACACGUUUAAAUUUAAUUUUACUUAUAAUUUAAUCUAUUUUUAUUUUAAUAUCAUAUAUAUUUUAUUUGUUACUAUUAAAUAAUAUAUUUAAUUAUUUAUUAUUAUAUGCUAUUUUUAAAAGGAAUCUUGAUGUUUUAAAUGAGUAAUUUUCAGAUGAGAAAUUUUAAUUUAAUAUAAAUAGUUUUGAUGCAUUUGAACCAGACACUCACGGUUGCUAAUGUAUCUGCCAUUGACAAUAAUUUUUAUUUUAAUGCUUCAUCUAUAUAAGAGUUGGAUGCUUUUGAUAACAUCAUUUUUAAUCAUUUUGAAAUAGUGAGACUUGAACAAAGAAUUUUUAAAAAUUUGUCAGGUAUAAAAAUUACAUACCUCGGGCAGUCGUUGGGGAUGGUGAGGAAACAAUGCGAAUGCAUUGUCUGUCAUCGUGCGAAUUGUCAAACAUGAAAGGGCAGUGGCAGAACACUGUUUGAUUCUCCGCCGGCCCAAAGAAACCGCAGGCUCCGCCGGAAUCAUUGCACUUCCCGCAAGCUUCACUGUCCUUCCAAUACCAUUGUACUUCCACUCCUCUUUUCAAGGCUUCUUUCAACCCCAACAAAGAAUUCAGUGAUCCCUCCAGGGAAGAUCGAAGAAUCGGAACAGUAACAUUAGCCGAGCAUCUCUUCGGUCGGAUAUUAUUUCGCGUCGCAACGGAAACGUUACUGUAAGUGGAACCGGCGUUGUCGCAAGGGAAGAACCCGAGAGUACUGCGUGAGGAGAUGGAAGAUUGGCAGUCGUAAAACAAAGUAACGUUGGCAUAACCAAGACCAGGUGAAAACAGCUCGGAAUUGAGGACCGAAUUCCGAGUUGGGAUAAUUUGAGGGCUACAAAGGCCAUCGUACUUGAUGAGGUCUUCCCUCGCAAUCCUUAGAAUAUGACGAUCCCGAUGGAUGGCCAGAACCCGAUAUUCUAUAUCACUAAUUACGAUCGUCGUUGUAUUUUUGUUGUCGCAGCGAAGCUCGAGACCGAGUCGUCCACAGUCCAUCGCUCGUUGGCCUCCAAAGAAAGGAAAUCCAGCGGAGAUAUUCCCGCAUUUGUAGACUGCAUCGCGACAGUUCUGGUACAGUUCAUGAUCGCUUAGUGAAAGAGGAAAACCGAAGAUGAUGAAUAAUAAGGAAAAGUACAGAAGAAGUGGAAGAUCAGGUAUUAAUGAUGAUGAGAAGCAAUGAUAAAUCAUUCUCUUUUUUUCUUUUCUUAGGAUUGAUGGAAAAUAGGACAAGGGAAAUUAGGAAAGUAUAGAUAGAAAGGGUUGAUUGGGUCUAAAUAAAGGGAAAGUUUAUCAAAAGAAAGACUUAGACUAUAAAGUUGACUUGAAAAGACUCAUGCAACGUGAUUUACAUUGUGACCUGAAUUUUGCACUGUUCCAAUUUAUCGUUGUAGUAGUAAAAGCUCCAUUCAUACUACUGACACUGAAUCAUUUUAAAAAAUAAUAUAAAGUGUUAGGUUUAAGACGUACAGAUUUUAGAUUUAUAAUUUUAUUUUAUUUUAUUUUUAAGAUUUAAGACGUAGAGAUUAAAUUUUGUUUUAUUUUCAUACCAAAACCAAUGAUAAUAACAUUAUUUUUUACGAGUAAAAAAUUUAAAAUUUAAAUUUCUACAAAGAGUACGUACCUUAUUAUAAAGAUAUGUUAUAAUUGUGUUGAAAAUUUCAACACAUCUCAUAACUGCACGGCGAACACUAAAAGCAAACACUAGACACAAUACGCGGAUUGCCCGAUUACUCGAGACAACUUCAACAUGAAAAGACACGGACAACACAGAAAGACACCAAUACAAACAUCGUAGUAAAUUAUAGCUUAAGACCUAUAAAUUUUAAUUUAGCAUUGGGAUUGUAGUGAAAGUUUUGUUUCAACUUAAAUUGAACGAUGAAAUUUAACAUCCAAAAAAAGCUCUUUCUUUCUCUCAAGUAAAAUGCUUCUGUCAUGGUCCUUGACCAGGAGCACUCACACUUCUCUCCAUCGAGAUAAGGCUUGUCCUUGUUCUUUUUUUGGUUGGCAUAAUAACCAUCUCUUGCCUUUUUGCUUGCCACCCCUAGGCCGAGGCAUACCAUAGUGGUCGAUUUUCUAGGGUCUCCCCUCUUUCCUAUCCAUCCUCCCUCUAGGUAUAUGAUACAUGCAUGUGUCACAGACCGCAGUUCAAAGCCCAUGACUAUCGCACCAAAUGCAUCCAAUGGAAGUUUCUUGUUUAGAUAGGGAUCAUUUGACCCAAAAGAACUGGCCCGAUUCGUAAGCUAUUAGAGAAGCAUGUCAGGUUGAAGCCUGGUGGCCUGAUGAUGAAGAUAUGACAACAUAAGACUAUCUUGGUAAAUUUGGCAGCUAAUCUUAGAAGAUUGCUAGGAAUCAUAUCUUGUAAAGAUUAGAUUAGAUUUGAUAUGACAUAUCUUGUAAAUCCCAUAAUUUAAGGGAUAUGAUUAAUCUCGUCCAACGAUGAAAGUUUUGUUUGAACUUAAAUUGAACUUUGUGUGAUGAAAUUUAACAUCCUAAAAAAGCUCUUUCUUUCUCUCAAGUAAAAUGUUUCUGUCUUGGUCCUCGACCGGGGACGCUCACACUUCUCUCCAUCGAGAUAAGGCUUGUCCUUGUUCUUUUUUGGUUGGCAUAAUAACCAUCUUUUACCUUUUUGCUUGCCACCUCUAGGCAGAGUGUAACAACUCGAUUUUCAGUGGUGUUGGAAACAGUGGUUCGAGACCACCAAAUCCCACGAGUAAGAUUCUAAAUUUUAUUAUUUAGUAUUUACAAGUUAAAUGUGAUUUUAGGAGAAUUUUUGAAUUAGUAACUUGUGUUUUAUAAGGAUUUAUUAGGUUAAAUAGUUUAGAAAAUGAGGUAUCGAGACCUUAAUUUUAUAAACCGAGCCGUAAAUAUUUUUAUAAAUAUUUACGAAGUGUCAUUAAGGUAGUAUUAAAGUUUUGUUAGAAAAUUUUAACGUUUUAGAUAGUUAAUUAAUCAAAAAGGACUAAAUUGAAAAAGGCACAAAACUUGCUAAUUAAAUGAAAUAGUGAUUGAAUGGCUUAAAUAAUGAAUAAAGGAGGACUUAAAGGGUAAAUAGACACAUGGGAAUGGUUGAGGUGGCAUAAGCAGAAAAGAAAUAAUAAAUUAGUGUGAAUUAAGGGUAAAAUUGUAAAUUUUAUAAAAUUAACUUAAAUAAAUUGAAUUUUAAAAUUUUCUAGGUCAUUCUUCUUCAAUUUCUCAGCCAAAAAUGCCAUAGGAGAAGAUUUUAAGCUGGUUUUACUUAUUUUGACUUCAUCUGAGUUCAAUUUUUGCCUUUCUUUUGAAAUUUUUAUGUUUUUGAGACUUUUACAAUUAAGUACAUGUUAGGAAUAAAGAAUCUGUUAGUUGUUAGGCAGUUGUUAUUCUGUUAUUCUGUUAAUAACCACUGCUAGCUGAUAUAUUACUGCUAACGUACUGCCUAUAAAUAUCCUUGUAUAUUUUCUUGUUGAUGAAUGGAAAUGAGUUUACACUCAACAUGGUAUUAAGAGCCAUAGUGUUUCUGGUAUAAAUUUUUUUUUCUUUUCUACGUUGUUUGUAUGCAUGGCUACAGAUGGUAAUCCUGCAGAUGGUACGCCGCAUCAUUCCAGCAACUAUGGUGCAGAAAUUCAUCCGUCAGAUUCUGGAGGUUCAAGUUUAACUUUUGUUCAGUACUUUGCCAAGCAUGACACCAUUAAACUCAGCAGUCAGAACUUCUUGCUAUGGAAACAUCAAUUGUUAUUGAUCCUUGAAGGGUAUGGCCUGGAAGGGUUUGUGCUAGGCACCACGAUCCCUCCAUCUGCGCUAAUUUCGGAUUCUGAUGGUCAGCUUGUUGCAAAUCCAGCGUUCAUUGUUCAUCACAAACAAGAUAAGUUCUUGGCAUCAUGGCUUUUAUCCACAGUUUCUGAUGAUAUUUUGAUACACUUAACCAAAGCUAAAACCAGUUUUGAUAUUUGGGCUACCAUUGAAAGACGAUUUGGUGCUAAGUCCAACAUCAAGUUAUCUAGUAUGAGGCAUGCCUUAUAUUCGAUCAAGAAAGCCAGUCUUUCAGUCAAAGACUAUCUUUCCAAAGUCAAGACUCUAAGUGAUGAUCUAACUAUUGCUGGGAUUCCAGUCUCUGAACAGGAACAGAUCAGUGUUAUCCUGGCCGGCCUUCCCGUUGAGUUUAAGUCUAUUCGGGUUCUUGCUACUGCUACUUCCUUGAAUCUUGAUCUUGUCACUGAAAUGCUACUCGAGUGCGAAGAACGUCAGUUAAGUCAGUUAUCUGAUGCAUCACUACAAGCAAAUCUGGUAUCCAGUAAGCAACAAAGUAAUUCUGAAACUUUGAAACCAAGUUCAGAUUCCAAUCGUGACACUAAUCGUGGACAAAUGGGUCCAGGCCGUGGGAGGUCUCGUGGUCGUGCUCGUGGUUCGGGUCGAGGGUGGUCUCGGUCUAAACCACAAUGCCAGUUGUGUGGUAAAAUAGGACAUUUGGUGCAAACGUGUUACCAUCGGUUUGAUGAGAACUUUGCUGGUUCUGAUUCAAGUUCGGUGAUGGCUGUUAACUAUCACCAAUUUCAUGGUGAUCCUACAAACUGUUGUUCCUCUCAGAGUUGUUGUCAUGCAUGCCCCGUCUCCUCACCAUCUUCAGUACCUGAUCAGAUGUGGUACCCAGAUUCUGGCGCAACCAACCAUAUUACUCCAAAUGUAAAUGGUCUUCAGAAUGCUUCGACUUAUACAGGUACCAACAAAGUGUCCAUGGGCAAUGGUGAGUUAGUAUCCAUUGCUAAUACUGGUUCUUCAACUUUUGUAGCUGGUUCUCGAUUGUUGCAUCUAAAGAACGUACUGCAUGUUCCGUCUGUCUGUAAAAAUUUACUUUCUGUCGGACAAUUUGCAAGAGAUAAUGCAGUCUACUUUGAGUUUCAUCCUUUUCUAUGCUUUGUGAAGGACAUACAGACAUGAAUGAUCUUACUGGAGGGCCACAUGCAUAAUGGCUUGUAUAGAUUUGAUGUUUCUCCUUCCAGUUCACAACGUCUCCUCUCUACCAAAAGAAUCGAGUCUCCUAGUGUCUGCAAUGUUCAGAUGGCCUCAUCUGUUGAAGUCUGGCAUGACAGGCUUGGACAUCCAUGUCCCAGCACUCUUGCACGUGUUCUAAAGUCUUGCGAUGUUCCAUUCAAGCACGACAAGCUACAUUCUGUCUGUACACCUUGUCAGAUGGGCAAGGCUCACAAACUGCCGUUUAGCACCUCUCGAACAGUUUAUUCAGCUCCGUUUGAGUUAGUAGUAUCGGAUGUUUGGGGACCUUCCCAUGUUACUUCGAAUGGUUGUGCUUACUAUGUGUCCUUUAUAGAUAUGUACAGUAGAUUUACUUGGUUGUACUUUCUCAAAUCAAAGAAUGAAGUUUUCCACUGUUUUCUUAAUUUUCAUAAAAUGGUUCAAGUACAGUUUGGGGCAACCAUCAAAAUGUUGCAGACAGAUGGAGGGGGUGAGUAUCGAUCCUUGACCAACACUCUGACUACUCUGGGAAUUCAACAUCGGGUAAUAUGCCCGCACACGACAGAACAGAACGGAGUAGCUGAACGCAGGCACCGUCACAUAGUUGAUAUGGGACUAGCGUUGCUAGCUCGUGCUUCAAUGCCAUUAGAAUAUUGGUUGUCUGCCUUCUCGCAUGCAGUCCAUCUUAUCAACAGGUUACCAACACCUGUCUUGGAGCACAAAACUCCCUAUGAAAGAUUGUUUAAAGCUAGACCAGACUACUCUCAGCUGAAGGUUUUCGGGAGCGCUUGUUUUCCAUACCUCCGACCUUUUCAGCAACAUAAGCUCCAGUUUCGGUCACAACAGUGCGUAUUUCUUGGAUUAAGUUCUAACCAGAAGGGGUACAGAUGUCUGGCUCCAGAUGGCCGAAUUUAUGUCUCAAGACAUGUGGUGUUCAAUGAGACACUAUUUCCGUUUCAGAAUGGGUUUAUCUCGUCAAGGAUUGACACGAGUGCCAGGUUCUGUCGUCACCAAUCUGUUAUCCCGAUAGUUCGCUCGAGUGACCCGUUGGUCUCAAUACCAGUGCAUGCACCUGAAGCUCCCACACAGUCUUUACGGUGUCAUCAGUCCCCCAGUUCUAGGUCUGCCCACAGGGGUUCGGAUAAUGUGGUCGACUCAACCAUGUCUCCAUCUACUGUACAGGUAUUCCCUACUACCAACAGACACCCCAUGUGCACUCGGUCAAAGAAUGGAAUCUUCAAGCCCAAAGUCUUUUCCACUAUUGUUGAAGAGAAGGAACCAAUCACGAUUGAUGAGGCGUUCAAAAGCACUGCUUGGACUGCAGCAGCACAUGCUGAGUAUCAAGCAUUGCUGGCAAACAAAACGUGGGACCUUGUCACGUUACCUGAAGGGCGUCGAGCAGUAGGGUGCAAAUGGAUCUUUAGAGUUAAACGUCAUGCUGAUGGGACAAUCGCUCGCUACAAGGGUCGAUUGGUGGUCAAAGGUUAUUUACAGGAAGCAGGCGUUGAUUUUUUCGAGACCUUCAGUCCAGUGAUCAAGCCAACGACGAUCAGAGUGAUCUUGUCUCUCGCAGUAUCUCGAGGGUGGCAUCUCAGACAAAUCGAUGUGAACAAUGUAUUUCUGAAUGGAGACCUGGAUGAAGAAAUAUAUAUGACUCAACCACCAGGGUUUGAGCAACACUCGGCUGAUGGGAGACCUCUUGUUUGCAGGUUGCGAAAGGCACUCUAUGGGUUAAAACAAGCCCCUCGUGCAUGGUUUCAGAAGCUACGAGACUUCCUGGUAGCUACUAAUUUUAUUGCAUCUAAGGCUGAUAGUUCCCUUUUCAUUCGACAAGAAAGAUCUCAAGUGCUUUAUGUCCUCAUAUAUGUUGAUGAUAUAAUAAUUACAGGCACUAACUCUUCUGUUAUAGACAAGUUUGUAAAAAGUCUUGAUGUUCAAUUUUCCUUGAAAGAUUUGGGUCCUCUAAAUUACUUUCUUGGGAUCGAAGUAACAUACACUUCGAGUGGCGUUUUUCUCAGCCAGAAGAAGUACAUUCUGGAGCUACUUCGACGAGCUUCCAUGGACACAUCCAAUCCCUCUCCUACGCCAAUGGUAACUACAUGUAAAUUGAUGGUUAAUGAAGGGGAUCCAAUAGAAAAAGAGAGUAUGUUCAGGAGUAUUGUGGGAGCCCUACAGUAUGUGGUCAUAACAAGACCAGAUAUUGCGUUUUCAGUCAACAAGGUAUGUCAAUACAUGCACAAGCCUCUCGAUACACACUUCAAAGCUAUAAAACGGAUUCUGAGAUACCUACGAGGGACACUAGAUUAUGGACUACAGUUCACUCGCAACUCCAAAAUUUUCUUGAGGGCUACUCUGAUGCAAGUUGGGGUUCAGACAUUGAUGACAGACGAUCAACAUCGGGGUUUUGUGUUUUCUUCGGUGGGAAUCCAAUAUCUUGGAGCUCCAGGAAGCAAAAAGUAGUAUCGAGAUCCACAGCAGAGGCCGAAUAUCGCAGCUUAGCUCAUGUUACUGCAGAAAUAGCAUGGAUUCGAUCGUUGCUGACAGAACUUGGUAUUGAGGUUCGUAGCAAGACAUUGGUUUGAUGUGACAGUUCUGCUGCCAUUGCUAUAGCAAACAAUCCGGUCAUGCAUUCUAAGUUCAAACACGUAGAGCUAGACUUAUUUUUUGUAAGGGAAAAUGUGGUGAAUGGCUUGCUGCAAGUUGGUCACGUCUCUGGCCAAGAGCAAGUGGCCGAUGUUUUGACCAAACCAUUAUCAGCAGGGCAGUUUGAAAAAUUCAGAAAGAAACUUCGAGUAAUUCCCAUGGAAAGUCGUGAUAUAUAGCAGCAAGAACAAAUCUCAUACAGGAACGAAGGAAGUCAAGAUGCAUGGGCCAUGUUAGGAAUAAAGAAUCUGUUAGUUGUUAGGCAGUUGUUAUUCUGUUAUUCUGUUAAUAACCACUGCUAGCUGAUAUAUUACUGCUAACGUACUGCCUAUAAAUAUCCUUGUAUAUUUUCUUGUUGAUGAAUGGAAAUGAGUUUACACUCAACAAUACAACUACCUAUUACAUUAGUUUUUGAUUUUAUUGGAAAUUUUGAAAGCUACCAUUGAUUAAUUCUGGAUUGUUUUGAUAAAUUAACAUGGAUUUAGAGCUUUAAUUUUGUUAUAUGAUGAUUUUAUCAAGUGAUUUUGAUAGAUAAUGAUUUUAGGACUAAAUUGUAAAAAGGGCUAAAUAUUAAGGUUUAGUAUUAAAUUCUAUUUUUCAAGUGUUGUAUGAUAGCUUAGAAAAUUUAGAUAAAUUUUCAAUUGAGAAAAAUUAGCUCAUUUGAUAGACUAAUUUAUUGAGGGACUAAAUUGCAAAAGUUGUAAAAUUUGGGGAAAAUUGUGUAAUUUUGAAAAUUGAAGGGUUUUAAUUGUGAAGUGAAUUGAAACUGAAAUAUAUGCUAACGAAUGAAUAAUUUUAUAUUUUAGAUCAAGAGCCUGUAGACAAUCGUGAAAAAGAGAAAUUAGCAAAAUAGUUUCUGAACUACUACAAAUCUUACAAUUUAACCCAGGUAAGUUCGUAUGGUUAAACUUUAAUAUUUAUAUAUUAAAUUUAUGAAUGUUAUUAUUUAUUUAUUCAUAUCUAUUGUUAAAAAAUUAUUGUUAAAAUUAUGAAAUUGAACUAAAUGUUCAAAAUGAAUGGAGCGCGGGAUUGAGUAUAAUCGUUAUGUGGAAAAAAAUAGCAAAGAAAGAAUUGACAGCAAAUUACCCAAGUAAACUGAGGUUCAGCAUUUGUUGCGAACUUUCGUGUUUACUUUCCGUUUAGCUCUCACUAGUUUCUGUUUAACUCAUUUGAGUUUCCGUUCAACCCUAAUGGGUUUCCGUUCAUCUCUUUUGAGCUACUGUUUAACCCUUAUGGGAUUCCGUUCAGCUCUUAUGAACUUCCGUUCAACAUUUACGGGUUUUUGUUUAGCACUUAUGUGCUUCUGUUUAGCCUUCGGGCUUCCGAAAAUGAUGUACUCAUAUUCGUAAGCCGUUCUCCGAUUUGGUAAGAUUUGGUAAAUGACUUAUGUGAUUGAAAUUGAAAGAUUUAUCGUUUAUUAUUAAUAUUGAUUUAAAAGAAGUGUGUUCAUCGAUUUAUGUUGUGAUUGACAGGGAGAGUGCAUGAAUAAUUUACUAUUUAAUUUAUUAUAUUAAGUUUGGUAAGAUUUAUGUUUAACCUAUUGAACUUACUAAGCUUCAUUAAGCUUAUUUGUGUUGUUUAAUGAUCUUGUAGAUUAACGUGAGGUUGGGAGAUCGAAUCAACACAUCAAGCCACACUAUCCAACUUAAUCCGGUAGCUUUUGUAACAUAUGCUUUGGUUUAUACAACAUGUAUAGGGUUGGUUUGGAAAUGAAAUACUUAUGUAGAUGUUGAUAAGUCAGUGAAAUGGAUUAAAUAGGUAAGUUUAAGAAAUUGGGUAUUUAUGAUGUUAUGUCAUGAUUAAAACAUGAUUUUAACUUGUAUUGAUUUCUUGUUUGGGAUAUAUUGAUGUAUUGAAAUGUUGUGUAUGGGUUGAUAUCAAAAUGGGUGAGAAAAGAGGCCUUAAAAUUACCUAUUUUUGUCCACACGGGAAGAGACACGGGUGUGUGUCUCAGCCGUGUGUGACACACAGCCUAGCAUGUAACACCCCUAACCCGUAUCCAUCGCCAGAAUAGGGUUUCGAGGCAUUACCAGAUAUUUCAGAACAUUUUCGGAUAAUUCGAGUCAUUUACAAUUCAAUUUAGGUUUCAUUAGAUAACAUCAUAUACUAUCACAUUUAGCCAUUAUUUAUCUCAUGAACAUUUGGUUCAUGCUUUCUAUUCACAUUUUCAUAUUCAAUUCACUAUUUUUUCCUGUCAAUCACAAUUUCAAAUGACAGAUUCAUGUAAAUGAGCUCAAUAUCAUUAGCUGUUUAAUUUCUGUCACUUAAAUUCACAUACACAUAAUUUAUUAACAUAACCUGUCAAACACAAUCUCUGAAUGAUGAGAUUACAUAAUUGAGCUAAAUUUCACUGUUUAAUAUGCUUUAUCACAUAAAAUUUGCUUAACACUUGCCAUAAUUUGUCAAAUUAGAGAACAUCUUACGGGAUUGAGUACUUCAUUUUCACAUUACCAUAGUAUAACUAUGGUCUUGCACAUCGUCACAUAUCACACACCAAAGCCAUAGCCCAUCUAUGGUCUUACACAGAAACACAUAUCACACCGAUGCCAUAUCCCAUAUAUGGUCUUACACUAAUCACAUUUAUCACUUGUCACUUAUCACUGAUCAGAUAAGUGUAGCUAAAGCUACCACUUAUCACUUGUCACUUGUAAUUGAUCAGAUAAGUGUAGCUAAAGCUACCACUUAUCACUUGUCACUGAUCAGAUAAAUGUAGCUAAAGCUACCACUUAUCAAUCGUCACUUGUCAUUGAUUAGAUAAGUGUAGCUAAAGCUACCACUUAUCACUUGUUACUGAUCAGAAGUACUCAAAUCCGACGUUCCGCUUAAUUUAAUCAUUUAUUCGGUUUUCGUACUUUUAUUUUAUUCUCAAUUCAUCAACAAAUAUAUCUCAUCAUACAUUAUAUAAUUCAUGAAAUUAACAUUUAAUCAUUAAAUUUCAGCCAUAUGAACUUACAAUUCGAUUUUUAUAACAUAACGAUAAUCAUAAUUUCAUAAUAACUAUUUGAAAUAAAACAUUAUAUCAUUUCUUGUAAUGGCCCAAAUUCAAGGUUAUCGGAAUAGUGGUUUCGUAACCACAAAUCCGAUUUAAAGAGAAAUUUAUUUUAAUAUUUUUGCAUGAAUAUUGGUAUGAUAGGAAAAUCAUAUGAAAAUAUCGAUACAAAAAUUUUACCGAUUUAGUGAUUAGUUAGAAAAAGAAAUUAUUAAAGAAAUUGGGUAAAAAUAAGGUAUCGAGACCCCAAUCUCGUAAAAUCGAGUCAAAAAUAUUUUUAUAAAUAUUUAUGAAGUGUUAGUAAUAUGGUAUUAAAAUUUCGUUAGAAAAUUUUAAUGUUUGGGUAGUCAAUUAAGUGAAAAGGACUAAACUGAAAAAGGUAAAAAAGUUACUAAAAGGAUUAAAUAGCUCAAUUUUUAAAUGAUGAGGGACAUAAAUUGCAAAUAACCCCAAAAGGAGAUAUUUUGGGCGACAUAAGCUGAGAAAAAUCAGGAGAAUUGAAGAAUUAAGGGUAAAAUUGGAAUAUUGCAAAAUUUACUUUAAAACUUAGGACUAAAGUGGAAUUAUCUAGAUUUCUCUUUAUUUUUUUGCAUUCUCAUGAGCCAAAAACGUCCUAAGGGUUUCUUCAAGCUGGUUUUUCAUAAUUUUUGCACCAAGUGAGUUAAUACUUGCCUUUUUCUUGUAAAUUUUGUGUUUCUAAGACUUUUACAACCAGGUCCUAUUACUAAAUUCAUUAGUUUUUUAUUUUAUGAAUGAAUUUGAAAGUUGCUAUGAAUAUGUGUUGGAAUUUUAUGAUGAAAUUGAAGCUUUAAUCUGUUUAUGAGAUGAUUUUAUUAGGUAAUUUCAAUAGAAAUUGAUUUGUAGGACCUAAUUGUGAAAAAGUUUGGAAUUAAAGUCUAGUACUAAAAUUCUGAUUUCCAAAGCUUAUAAAGUAGUUUAAAGUGAUAGGAUAAAGUGUUAAUUGAGAAAAAUCAGCUCAAUUGAGAGGUUAAUUGAGCAGGGAUGAAAUUAUCAUUUAUUGAAAGUUUAGGGAAAAUGGUAAUUAACUUCAUACACUAAAACAGUUUUGGACAGCAGCAGUAGUCUAACUUUGAAAAAUCACCAAAAAUUGUAGAGAUUGAAUUAGAGGAUGAAUAAAAUAUUAAAUUAAAGCUUAUUGAGUCUAGUUUCUCAUAAAAGAAACAGUUUAAUCAAUGGAAUUGCAAAUCAUGAGAUAUAAUAGAUUUUGUGAGACAAGGUGUAAUGACCCAAAUUCAAAGUUAUCGGAAUAGUGGUUUCGUAACCACAAAUCCGAUUUAAAGAGAAAUUUAUUUUAAUGUUUUUGCAUGAAUAUUGAUAUGAUAAGAAAAAAAAUUGUAUGAAAAUAUCGAUAGAAAAAUUUUACCGAUUUAGUGGUUAGUUAAAAAAAAUUAUUGAAGAAAUUGAGUAAAAAUAAGAUAUCGAGACUUCGAUAUCGUAAAACCGAGUCAAAAAUAUUUUUAUAAAUAUUUAUGAAGUGUUAGUAAUAUGGUAUUAAAAUUUCGUUAGAAAAUUUUAAUGUUUGGGUAGUAAAUUAAGUGAAAAGGACUAAAUUAAAAAUUGUAUAAAAGUUACUAGAAGGAUUAAAUAGCUUAAUUGUUAAAUGAGGAGGGACAUAAAUUGUAAAUAACCCCAAAAGGAGAUAUUUUGGCGGCAUAAGCUGAGAAAAAUCAGGAGAAUUGAAGAAUUAAGGGUAAAAUUGGAAUAUUACAAAUUUUGCUUUAAAAGUUGGGACUUAAGUGGAAUAUCUAGAAUUCUCUUCAUAUUUUCUGCACUCUCAUCAGCCAAAAACGUCCUAAGGGUUUCUUCAAGCUGGUUUUUCAUAAUUUUUGCACCAAGUGAGUUAAUUCUUGCCUUUUUCUUGUAAUUUUUGUGUUUCUAAGGCUUUUACAACUAGGUCCUAUUGCUAAAUUCAUUAGUUUUUGAUUUUAUGAAUGAUAUUGAAAGUUGAUAUGAAUAUGUGCUGGAAGUUUAUGAUGAAAUAGCAUGAAAUUGAAGCUUUAAAUUGUCUAUGAGAUGAUUUUAUUAGGCAAUUUUUAAUAGAAAUUGAUUUAUAGGACCUAAUUGUGAAAAAGUUUGAAAUUAAAGUCUAGUGCUAAAAUUCUGAUUUCCAAAGUUUAUAAGGUAGUUUAAAUUGAUGGAAUAAUGUGUUAAUUGAGAAAAAUCAGCUCAAUUGAGAGGUUAAUUGAGCAAGGAUGAAAUUAUCAUUUAUUGGAAGUUUAGGGAAAAAUGGUAAUUAACCUCAUGCACUAAAACAGUUUGGACAGAAGCAGUAUUCUAACUUUGAAAAAUCACCAAAAAUUGUAGAAGUCGAAUUAGAGGAUGAAUAAAAUAUGAAAUUAAAGCUUAUCGAGUCUAGUUUCUCAUAGAAGAAACGGUUUAAUCAAUGAAAUUGUAAAUCAUUAAAAAUUGUAAAAAAAUGAUUAUGAGUUAUAAUUUAUAUGGUUAGAAGAAUUAAUGAGUCUAUUUUCAGAAGAAAUAAAGUAAAACAUCAUCCGAAUUCUGUACAAAGAGAUAAUUAAUUUUUAGUGAAGAGGGGUUGGAACUGUCAAAUAGUGAAACAGGGGAAACUUUAAAGAAUAAACUGUACUUAUUGGCUGAACCAAAAAUUCUAAAAAUUUUAUGGUAAGAAGAUAUGUGAGUCUAGUUUCAGGAAAAAUUAACAUAUCUUAAUUUGGAGUUUUGUAGCUCAAGAUAUAAAUAAUUUAGUGACAGUGACUCAGUGAGGCAGCUUUGAAUGCACUAUAAAUAAUAAGGAAAUUAUAGAGAAUGUUACACAUGAACAUGAAAUGUAUUAGAUUAAUGAUUAAAUUUAUUUAUUUAGAUCCAGAAAGUUCAAAUACGAAGCUAGAUCAAGGAAAAUAAAAAGUUCCGGAUUAGUAGAUUUUUGUUUACGAACAAUUAUCGAGGUAAGUUCGUGUAACUUGAAUUAUAUUCAUAAAUGCUUGGAAUGUUUGUUAUUGAUGUGAAUAUGAUUUGGAUGUUUAUUGUAUGAUAACUGAUGAAGUAUUGAUAUUCUGGAUGAAAAGAGGAAAUAAAUCCUUGUUGAAUGAAAGGAAAAUUCGAUGGAUAUCUGAAAAAGGAAUUGACGGUAAAAAGGAUCUAGCACGGACGGGUGAUCCUAUCCUGAUAUAGCCCUCCCGAAGAAUAUGUGGAAAAUGGAUUUAGCCCGGACGGGUAAUCCGAAUUAGGGUCUGAAUUUAGCCUGGACUGGUAAUUCAGAUCCAAGCUCAUUAGAGUAAUUGUCGUUGCAGGGGAUUUAGCCUGGACUGGUAAUCCCGACAAUACUCUAUGAGUUUAUAUUAUAGGGGAUUUAGCCUGGACUGGUAAUCUCGCUGUAAGGAUGAGGUUCGCGGGAGUGUGCUAUCUGAAAUGGAAAUGUGCGCACAUGAAUAUGAAUUGACGGACCCGGAUUUGUACACUUAGGUGUACCCCUGAAUAUCCAUCGAAAUUCCAAGUAGUUCAACAGGAUAAAUAUGGAAAAAUAACAAGGAAAUGGAAAUCAUGGAAUUGAUGAGCUCAUCAAUCAUUUAUCUUUGUAAUGAAUUUGUAUGAUGUUGAGUUUGUAUGUGAUAGGUAUAUGUUUAUGUGAAUUGGAUGUGUGCUUGUGUUAUUAAAUGAUAGAUGUAUAAGUAUGGUAAGUAUAAUUCCUGUUGCAUGAACUUACUAAGCACAAAGUGCUUACCCUGUUUCUUUUUCCCCUAUUUUGUAGUGUUAAGAGCUCAGAGGUCGGAUUUGGUCGGAGACGCAUCACACUAUCAACCUUAAGAUCUCGGUAUAUAAAGAAACUUUAUUUUGGAAAUCAAUGGCAUGUAUAAGCUAGUAAAGUAUAUGUUAAUGUGAAAUGAAUGUAUAGUUAGCCAUUGGUAUGGCUAACAAAUUUUAAUUUUGGUAAGUGAUGAGAUUAUCUUAUGAAUACAAUAAAUCUAUCUUGAAAAUAUAUUGAAAUGAAUUGGUUGUGUUGGAUUGGUCUCGGUUUUAAAAAAAAAUUCGGUAAAAUCUGGUAAUGCCUCAUACUCUAUUUCGGCGACGAAUACGGGUAGGGGGUAGUACAUUUGUUGGUAUCAGAGCUACGGUUUAGCCGGUUCUCGGACCGACUAGCAAAUAUGAGAUUAGCUAUACAUGCCAUUUAAAUUAUCAUUGAUAGUGUGAUAUCUCCUGACCAUUUGAAAUGUGAUUUUCUUAUAGUAAAUGUCUGCCGACCGAGCUCAACCCGAAGAAGUCGAGAGUCAUGCUCCGGCUUCAGAACAAAGAGAAGCUGAAGCUACUAGUAGUAGAAGGUCCGAGACAAAGGCUCAAAAUGAAGAAGCUAAAAUGGCUUUCUAUCAAAUGAUGAAUGAAUGGUUUACUCAGUAUAUAAGAACUAACCCUGUAGUGCAGCAAACUCAAGCUCCCCCUCGUCCUCCUCCUCCUCCAUCAGUUCCCGAGAUUCCACAGGGUACAGGUACUAAAUCUAUCAGAAAAGGGAAAGCUCCGGUUGAUAAAAUCAGAAAAUAUGGGGCAGAAGAAUUCAGAGCUGCAAUUGAUGAUGAUUCUGAACGGGCUGAGUUUUGGUUAGAGAAUACUAUUCGGGUUAAAUCUGAUCAGAUAGAGGAAUUAUCUAAUGUGAUUUCGGUUAUGACAGCUCAGAGGUGUGUCAGAAAAGGGUGUGAUGCUUAUUUGGCAUAUGUGUUAGACACUAAGGUAUCCGAGUCAAAGAUACAUGCAGUGCCAGUUGUAUGUGAAUUUUCUGAUGUAUUUCCAGAGGAAUUACCGGGGUUGCCACCAGAAAGAGAAGUGGAAUUUUCUAUAGAUUUGAUUCCGGGAACUACUCCAAUCUCCAUAUCUCCGUAUCGUAUGGCUUCUACAGAAUUAAAGGAGUUAAAGACACAGUUGCAAGAACUUGUUGACAAGGGUUUUGUUCGACCAAGUCAUUCACCUUGGGGUGCUCCGGUUUUAUUUGUGAUAAAGAAGGACGGGUCUUUAAGAUUAUGUAUUGAUUACCGGCAGCUCGACAAAGUCACUAUAAAGAAUAAGUACCCAUUGCCUCGGAUUGAUGAUCUGUUUGACCAGUUGAAGGGUGCCACUAUAUUUUCAAAGAUUGAUAUUCGAUCGGGCUACUAUCAGUUACGGGUAAAGGAGUCAAAUGUACCGAAGACAGCUUUCAGAACCAGGUAUGGGCACUGCGAGUUUUUGGUUAUGCCUUUUGGGCUGACUAAUGCACCUGCAAUAUUUAUGGACCUGAUGAAUCGGAUAUUCAGACCAUACUUAGACAGGUUUGUCGUAGUUUUUAUUGAUGAUAUCUUGAUCUAUUCCCGAGAUGAAAAUGAGCAUGCAGAACAUUUGAGAAUUGUGUUGCAAAUUCUGCGAGAAAAGCAGCUAUAUGAUAAAUUCAGUAAAUGUGAAUUUUGGCUUCGAGAGGUGGGUUUUCUCGGACAUAUUGUAUCCGUAGAAGGCAUCAGGGUAGAUCCGAGUAAAAUCUCAGCUAUUAUUAAUUGGAGUCCACCGAAAAAUUUAUCUGAAGUUAGAAGUUUCUUGGGUUUAGCUGGUUAUUAUCGGAGAUUUGUACAAGGGUUCUCUAUGAUAGCUUCUCCGAUGACCCGUUUAUUACAGAAAGAUGUUAAAUUCGAGUGGACCAAUGAAUGCCAGCAGAGUUUCGACCGAUUGAAAGAUUUGUUGACGAGAGCACCUGUGUUAGUAUAGCCGGAACCGGGUAAAGAAUUUAUUAUUUAUAGUGAUGCAUCAUUAAAUGGUUUAGGUUGUGUCUUGAUGCAAGAAGGUAAAGUUAUAGCCUAUGCUUCGAGACAACUUAAGCCACAUGAAAGAAAUUACCCAGUGCAUGAUCUUGAAUUAGCUGCUAUUGUAUUUGCAUUAAAAAUAUGGCGACAUUGCUUGUAUGGUUAGAAAUGUCAUAUUUAUACUGAUCAUAAAAGUCUAAAAUAUCUGAUGACACAGAAAGAUUUGAAUUUGAGACAGCGUCGGUGGCUUGAAUUGAUAAAAGACUAUGAUUUGGUUAUUGAUUACCAUCCGGGUAAGGCUAAUGUUGUAGCUGAUGCUCUGAGCCGAAAAUCUCUGUUUACUUUGCGAGCUAUGAAUGCCCAAUUGUCUUUGGUUGAUGAUGGUUCAGUCGUAGCUGAGUUGAGAGUUAAACCGACAUUUCUACAACAAAUAUAUGAAGCUCAGGAAAAUGAUGAGAAGCUACAGACUAAACGGGUACAAUGUGAGUCAAGUAAUGAUUCAGAAUUUCAAAUUGGGAUUGAUGGUUGUUUAUUAUUCAGAGGUUGAGUAUGUGUACCGAAGAAUUCAGAGCUUGUACAGAAGAUUUUACACGAGGCACACAAUGGUAUUAUGUCCGUACAUCCGGGAGGUAAUAAAAUGUAUAAUGAUUUGAAGAAGAUGUACUGGUGGCCAGGUAUGAAACGUGAUAUUUCUGAGUUUGUAUCAAGAUGUCUGAUAUGUCAACAGGUCAAAGCUGAACAUCAGGUACCUUCGGGGUUACUUCAGCCAAUCACUAUAUCAGAAUGGAAGUGGGAAAGAAUUACUAUGGAUUUUGUGUCCGGAUUACCAUUGUCUCCGAAGAAGAAAGAUAUCAUUUGGGUAAUCGUUGAUCGAUUAACAAAAUCAGCACAUUUUAUCCCGGUACGUAUGGAUUAUUCUUUAGAUAAAUUGGCUGAACUGUAUAUAUCUGAAAUUAUCAGGCUACAUGGAGUGCCAAUCUCCAUUAUAUCAGAUAGAGAUCCCUGAUUUACAUCUCGUUUCUGGGACAAAUUGCAAGAAGCCUUGGGUACUCAAUUGCAUUUCAGCACUGCAUUUCAUCCUCAAACAGAUGGCCAAUUGAGCGUGUAAUUCAGGUACUGGAAGAUAUGCUCCGAUGUUGUAUAUUAGAGUUUGAAGGUAAUUGGGAGAAGUAUAUACCUUUGAUUGAAUUUUCUUAUAAUAAUAGUUAUCAGUCCAGUAUUAAAAUUGCUCCGUAUGAAGCUUUGUAUGGUAGAAAAUGUAGAACACUGUUAUAUUGGACAGAGCUCAGUGAAAAGAAAAUCCACGGGGUUGAUUUGAUUCGGGAAACCGAAGAAAAAGUAAAGGUGAUUCGAGAUAGUCUAAAAGCAGCUUCCAAUCGUCAGAAAUCAUAUGCUGAUCUUAAACGAAAAGAGAUUGAAUUUCAGGUGGGUGAUAAGGUAUUCUUAAAAGUUUCUCCUUGGAAGAAAGUUCUCAGGUUCGGUCGAAAGGGUAAAUGGAGUCCAAGAUUCAUCGGGCCAUAUGAAAUCAUAGAAAGAAUUGGACCAGUCGCUUAUCGAUUGGCGUUACCACCGGAACUCGAUAGAAUUCAUAAUGUUUUCCAUGUGUCUAUGCUACGACGGUAUCGAUCAGAUCCUUUACAUGUUAUUUCUCCGACAGAAGUGGAGAUUCAACCGGAUAUGACUUACAACAAAGAACCGGUCAAGAUAUUGGCACGGGAAACAAAGGAGCUCAGAAAUAAAAAGAUAAAUUUGGUGAAAGUAUUAUGGCAAAAACACGGGAUUGAGGAAACGACAUGGAAACUGGAGGAGGCAAUGAGGAAACAAUACCUGAACCUCUUUACUGGUAAGAUUUUCGAGGACGAAAAUCCUUAAAGGGGGAGAGAGUUGUAAUGACCCAAAUUCAAAGUUAUCGGAAUAGUGGUUUCGUAACCACAAAUCCGAUUUAAAGAGAAAUUUAUUUUAAUGUUUUUGCAUGAAUAUUGAUAUGAUAGGAAAAAAAAUCGUAUGAAAAUAUCGAUAGAAAAAUUUUACCGAUUUAGUGGUUAGUUAAAAAAAAUUAUUGAAGAAAUUGAGUAAAAAUAAGAUAUCGAGACUUCGAUAUCGUAAAACCGAGUCAAAAAUAUUUUUAAAAAUAUUUAUGAAGUGUUAGUAAUAUGGUAUUAAAAUUUCGCUAGAAAAUUUUAAUGUUUGGGUAGUAAAUUAAGUGAAAAGGACUAAAUUGAAAAAUGUGUAAAAGUUACUAGAAGGAUUAAAUAGCUUAAUUGUUAAAUGAGGAGGGACAUAAAUUGUAAAUAACCCCAAAAUGAGAUAUUUUGGCGGCAUAAGCUGAGAAAAAUCAGGAGAAUUGAAGAAUUAAGGGUAAAAUUGGAAUAUUACAAAUUUUACUUUAAAAGUUGGGACUUAAGUGGAAUAUCUAGAAUUCUCUUCAUAUUUUCUGCACUCUCAUCAGCCAAAAACGUCCUAAGGGUUUCUUCAAGCUGGUUUUUCAUAAUUUUUGCACCAAGUGAGUUAAUUCUUGCCUUUUUCUUGUAAUUUUUGUGUUUCUAAGGCUUUUACAACUAGGUCCUAUUGCUAAAUUCAUUAGUUUUUGAUUUUAUGAAUGAUAUUGAAAGUUGAUAUGAAUAUGUGCUGGAAUUUUAUGAUGAAAUAGCAUGAAAUUGAAGCUUUAAAUUGUCUAUAAGAUGAUUUUAUUAGGCAAUUUUUAAUAGAAAUUGAUUUAUAGGACCUAAUUGUGAAAAGUUUGAAAUUAAAGUCUAGUGCUAAAAUUCUGAUUUCCAAAGUUUAUAAGGUAGUUUAAAUUGAUGGAAUAAUGUGUUAAUUGAGAAAAAUCAGCUCAAUUGAGAGGUUAAUUGAGCAAGGAUGAAAUUAUCAUUUAUUGGAAGUUUAGGGAAAAAUGGUAAUUAACCUCAUGCACUAAAACAGUUUGGACAGAAGCAGUAGUUUAACUUUGAAAAAUCACCAAAAAUUGUAGAAGUCGAAUUAGAGGAUGAAUAAAAUAUUAAAUUAAAGCUUAUCGAGUCUAGUUUCUCAUAGAAGAAACGGUUUAAUCAAUGAAAUUGUAAAUCAUGAGAUAUAAUAGAUUUUGUAGGACAAGGUCAGAAUGAAUUCGGGUUCCCCUGUUCUGACUUUGUAAAAUCAUUAAAAAUUGUAAAAAAAUGAUUAUGAGUUAUAAUUUAUAUGGUUAGAAGAAUUAAUGAGUCUAUUUUCAGAAGAAAUAAAGUAAAACAUCAUCCGAAUUCUGUACAAAGAGAUAAUUAAUUUUUAGUGAAGAGGGGUCGGAACUGUCAAAUAGUGAAACAGGGGAAACUUUAAAGAAUAAACUGUACUUAUUGGCUGAACCAAAAAUUCUAAAAAUUUUAUGGUAAGAAGAUAUGUGAGUCUAGUUUCAGGAAAAAUUAACAUAUCUUAAUUUGGAGUUUUUUAGCUCAAGAUAUAAAUAAUUUAGUGACAGUGACUCAGUGAGGCAGCUUUGAAUGCACUAUAAAUAAUAAGGAAAUUAUAGAGAAUGUUACACAUGAACAUGAAAUGUAUUAGAUUAAUGAUUAAAUUUAUUUAUUUAGAUCCAGAAAGUUCAAAUACGAAGCUAGAUCAAGGAAAAUAAAAAGUUCCGGAUUAGUAGAUUUUUGUUUACGAACAAUUAUCGAGGUAAGUUCGUGUAACUUGAAUUAUAUUCAUAAAUGCUUGAAAUGUUUGUUAUUGAUGUGAAUAUGAUUUGGAUGUUUAUUGUAUGAUAACUGAUGAAGUAUUGAUAUUCUGGAUGAAAAGAGGAAAUAAAUCCUUGUUGAAUGAAAGGAAAAUUCGAUGGAUAUCUGAAAAAGGAAUUGACGGUAAAAAGGAUCUAGCACGGACGGGUGAUCCUAUCCUGAUAUAGCCCUCCCGAAGAAUAUGUGGAAAAUGGAUUUAGCCCGGACGGGUAAUCCGAAUUAGGGUCUGAAUUUAGCCUGGACUGGUAAUUCAGAUCCAAGCUCAUUAGAGUAAUUAUCGUUGCAGGGGAUUUAGCCUGGACUGGUAAUCCCGACAAUACUCUAUGAGUUUAUAUUAUAGGGGAUUUAGCCUGGACUGGUAAUCCCACUGUAAGGAUGAGGUUCGCGGGAGUGUGCUCUCUGAAAUGGAAAUGUGCACACAUGAAUAUGAAUUGACGGACCCGGAUUUGUACACUUAGGUGUACCCCUGAAUAUCCAUCGAAAUUCCAAGUAGUUCAACAGGAUAAAUAUGGAAAAAUAACAAGGAAAUGGAAAUCAUGGAAUUGAUGAGCUCAUCAAUCAUUUAUCUUUGUAAUGAAUUUGUAUGAUGUUGAGUUUGUAUGUGAUAGGUAUAUGUUUAUGUGAAUUGGAUGUGUGCUUGUGUUAUUAAAUGAUGGAUGUAUAAGUAUGGUAAGUAUAAUUCCUGUUGCAUGAACUUACUAAGCACAAAGUGCUUACCCUGUUUCUUUUUCCCCUAUUUUGUAGUGUUAAGAGCUCAGAGGUCGGAUUUGGUCGGAGACGCAUCACACUAUCAACCUUAAGAUCUCGGUAUAUAAAGAAACUUUAUUUUGGAAAUCAAUGGCAUGUAUAAGCUAGUAAAGUAUAUGUUAAUGUGAAAUGAAUGUAUAGUUAGCCAUUGGUAUGGCUAACAAAUUUUAAUUUUGGUAAGUGAUGAGAUUAUCUUAUGAAUACGAUAAAUCUAUCUUGAAAAUAUAUUGAAAUGAAUUGGUUGUGUUGGAUUGGUCUCGGUUUUAAAAAAAAUUCGGUAAAAUCUGGUAAUGCCUCAUACUCUAUUUCGGCGACGAAUACGGGUAGGGGGAUUACACAAGGUCAGAAUGAAUUCGGGUUCCCCUGUUCUAACUUUGGAAAAUCAUUACAAAUUGUAAAAAAAUGAUUGAGUUAUAAUUUAUAUGGUUAGAAUAUGAGUCUAUUUUCAUAAGAAACAAACGGAAACAUCAUCCGAAUUCUGUACAAUGAGAUAAUUAAUUUUUAGUGAAGAGAGGUGGGAACUGUCAAACAAUGAAAUAGGGGAAAAUUUAAAGAAUAAACUGUACUUGUUGGAUAAACUAAAAAUUCUGAAAAUUUUAUGUUAAGAAGACAUGUGAGCCUAGUUUUAGGGAAAAUUAACGGAUCUUAAUUUGGAGUUUCGUAGCUCAAGAUAUAAAUAAUUUAGUGACUGUGACUCAGUGAGACAGCUUUGAAUGCACUAUAAAUAAUAAUGGAAUUAUAGAGAAUGUUACAUAUGAACAUGAAAUGUAUUAGAUUAAUGAUUAAAUUUAUUUAUUUAGAUCCAGAAAAUUCAAAUACGAAGCUAGAUCGAGGAAAAGAAAAAUUUCGGGAUUAGUAGAUUUUUGUUUACGAACAAGUGUUGAGGUAAGUUCGUGUAACUUGAAUUAUAUUCUUAAAUGCUUGAAAUAUAUUUUCUUGAUGUGAAUAUGAUUUGGAUGUUUAUUGUAUGAUAAUUUAUGAAGUAUUGAUAUUCUUGAUGAAAAGAGGAAAUAAAUCCCGGUUGAAUGAAAGGAAAAUUCGAUGGAUCUCUGAAAAGGAAUUGACAGUAAAAAGGAUCUAGCCCGGACGAUCCUAUUCUGAUAUAGCCCUCCCGAAGAAUAUGUGGAAAAUGGAUUUAACCCAGACGGGUAAUCCGAAUUAAGGUCUGAAUUUAGCCUGGACUGGUAAUUCAGAUCCAAGCUCAUUAGAGUAAUUGUCGUUUCAGGGGAUUUAGCCUGGACUGGUAAUCCCGACAAUACUCUAUGAGUUUAUAUUACACGGGAUUUAGCCUGGACUGGUAAUCUCGCUGUAAGGAUGAGGUUCGCUGGAGUGUGCUCUCUGAAAUGGAAAUGUGCUCACAUGAAUAUGAAUUGACGGACCCGGAUUUGUACACUAAAGUGUACCUCUGAAAAGCCAUCGAAAUUCCGAGAAAUUCAACGGGAUAAAUAUGGAAAAAUAACAAGGGAAUGGAAAUCAUGAUAUUGAUGAGCUCAUCAAUCAUGGUAUAAAUUAUUGACGCAUGAAAAUUAUUUGAUUAAUUUGAAUGUUGAGUUUGUGCAUGAUAGGGGAAUAAUGUGUUGAAUGGAUGUAUGAAUGUUUAUUGCAUUGUAUUGAAAAUAUUAGGUAAGUAUAAUUCUUGUUACAUGAGUUUACUAAGCACAAAGUGCUUACCCUGUUUCCUUUUCCCCUGUUUUGUAGUGUUAAGAGCUCAGAGGUCGGAUUUGGUCGGAGACGCAUCACACUAUCAACCUCAAGAUCUCGGUAUAUAAAGAAACUUUAUUUUGGAAAUCAAUGGCAUGUAUAAGCUAGUAAAGUAGAUGUUAAUGUGAAAUGAAUGUAUGGUUAGCCAUUGGUAUGGCUAACAAAUUUGGUUUUGGUAUGUGAUGAGAUUAUCUUAUGAAUACGAUAAAUCUAUCUUGAAAAUAAAUUGAAAUGGAUUGGUUGUGUUGGAUUGGUCCCGGUUUAAAAUUUGCAGGGAGGAUUAGAUUUUUAUAAAGGGGUUAUAUUGAGUUUUUAAAAAAUAUAUAUAUUUAUUCGGUAAAAUCUGGUAAUGCGUCAUACUCUAUUUCGGUGACGAAUACGGGUAAGGGGUAUUACAUUUCUAAUUCAACGUUUAUCGAUUAUAAUCGGGCAUAUGACCAAUUUAUACACAAGUCAUUAAUAUAUUUUCCUCCUCCUCCUCUCCAUUCCACAUCCUUAAUGUAUAUAACACGCUUAUAAGUAACAUUAUCUAUAAUUUCACUAUUUACUUAAAUGUAUAUUCAAAGUUGUCCAUCCGUGUCAUAGUCACUAAAUUAUUUUUAUCUUGAGCUACAGAACUCCAAACUAAGAUCCGCUAAAUUCCUCUGAAACUAGACUCACAUAUCUUCUUACCAUAAAAUUUUUAGAAUUUAUGGUUUAGCCAAUAAGUACAGUUUAUUCUUUAAAGUCAUCCCUGUUCUGCUAUCUGACAGUUUCAACCCUUCUUCACUAAAAAUUAAUUAUCUCCUCGUAUGGGAUUCGGAUGAUGUUCCCGUUUGUUUUUAUUGAAAAUAGACUUAUUAAGAAUUUAAACAUAUAAAUUUAAGCCCCUAAUUAUUUUCUCCAAAUUUUGAUGAUUUUCCAAAGUCAGAACAGGGGAACCCAAAAUCAUUCUGACAUUGUCUCACAAAAUUUAUUAUAUCUCAUAAUUUACAAUUCCAUUGCUUACACCGUUUCUUCUAUGAUAAACUAGACUCAAUAAGAUUUAAUUUCAUAUUUAUUCAUCUUAUAAUUCGAUUCCCAUAAUUUUUGGUGAUUUUUCAAAGUUAGACUACUGCUACUGCCCAAAACUGUUUCAGUGCAAAAUGUUGUUUACCAUUUUAACCCUAAACUUUUAAUAUAUGAUGAUUUCAUCCUUAGGCUCGAAAAAUGAAAUUCUUACAAUUUAAUCCUUGUUUCAAGACUAAUCAUUCUUAUACAUAUCAAUAACAACCCAUGAAUUCCAUGAAAUUUUAGAAUUUUUCCAUAAAUUCAGUAAUUUUCAAUUUUUAUCCCUGAAACAUGUUUUCAUCCAAAAUUCUCUAAUAAAACACCUUUAGACAUCCAUUAACAUCUCAAUUUCAUCAUCAAAUAGCAAAAAUUAUAUGAAAUUAUCAAUGGUAUCUUCUGAAACCUUCAACAAAAUCAAAAACUAAUAGAAUACUAAGUUGGACCUAGUUGUAAAAGUCCAAAAAUAUAAAAAUUUCAAGGAAAAAGCAAGAAUUAAACUUACUUGAAGCUAAAAUAUGAAACACCAGCUCUAAACUCUCUCCCAUGUCUAUUUUUCACUGAAAAUUAAAGAAGAAACGGUCUUGAAAUCCUUAAAAUAAAUUUUGGCCACAUAAACUUUAUUAUAAUUCCAAUUUUGUCCUUAAAUACAUAAAAAUCUUUGAUUUUUUUAACAGUAUGCCGCCUCAGCCACUUAAAUUGGUCCAUUUACUCUUUUAGUCCUUCCUUAUUUAAUUGUUAAGCUAUUUAACCACUUUAGCAAGUUUUGCAUCUUUUCAAUUUAGUCAUUUUUAAUUAACUGACUGCCAAAACGUUAAAAUUUUUUGACGAAACUUUAACACUAUCAUAUUGACACUCCGUAAAUAUUAUAAAUAUUUACGGCAUGGUUUAUAACAUCGAGUUCUCGAUACCUCUUUUCCUCAAUUUCUUGACUUAAUAAAUCUUUAUAAAACACAAAUUACUAAUUUAAAAAUCUCUUAAAAAUCAUAUUUGGCUCGUAAUUAUUAAAUAAUAAAAUUUAUGAGUUUAUUUUCUGAAUUUGGUGGCCUCGAACUACUGUUUUCGACAUUUCUAAAAAUCGGGCUAUUACAUAGCACAUGGCGUGUGGUCUGACUGUAUGUCCCCUGCAUCUUAAAAUUUAGAAACAGAAUGCCUAGGUUUUUGCACACAGCCUAGCACACGGGCGUGUGGCUUAGCCGUGUGACCCCUGCACCUUACACAUGGCCUAGCACACGGUGUGUGGCAUGGUCGUGUGACCCAAGUUAGAGAGUUACACGGGUAUGGGCAUGGGCUGAGACAUAGUCGUGUGCCUCACAUCGAAUGCCCACACGGCCUAAGACACAGGCGUGUCUCUAGCUCACACGGCCUGGCCACACGGGUGUGUAUCCCCUGCACCUAAGGAAAAUUUUGAAAUUUUGAGAAAAAUUCUUCGAGUUUUCGGUUUAGUCCCAAUAUACUUUUAAUGUGUAUUUUGAGCCUUGAGGACUUAUAUAAGGGACAAUAUGAGUGUUUUAUGAUUGGUUCAUGAUAUGUAUAUUAACUGUUAUGAAAUGUCUGCAUUUAAUCUGUAAAGUCUGGUAAUGCUCCAUAACCCUAUUCUGGCGACGAAUAAGGGUUAGCUGUGUUACACAGAGGCAUACCAUAGUGGUCGAUUUUCUAGAUGUCUCCCUCUCUUUCUUAUCCAUCCUCUCUCUAGUUAAAUGAUACAUGCAUGGAUGAGGUGAAAUUUAUUAAAGUAAAUUCAGUCAACCUGUCAAUUUUCAAGCUCAAAAGAUCAUUCAACUUGCAAUGAAUUUUGGAUAGGAUUCGGACAUUUAUGGGUUGAGAUGUCUACAUAGCACACGGGCGUGCGGGGCCAUUUCAAAAAGGUACACGGCCUGGCACACGGGCAUGUGGCUUGGCCGUGUGACCCAAGUCAGAGAGUUACACGGGCACAGACACGAGCUGGGACACAGCCGUGUGUCCCUACUUCGAAUGCCCACAUGGCCAAACACACGGGCUUGUGACUUGGCCGUGUGACAUGGCCAUAUGAACCCUGCAGUUAAAAUUUUUCUAACUUUUUCUUAAAAUUUCCAAAUGUUCCCGAUUUAGCCUCAAACCAUUUCUAAAGUAUUUUUAAACUUUCAAAGACUUUAAUAAAGGACUCUAUGCAUGUUAAUAAUGAAUCAUUAUAUUAUUUUUGAAAUGUCUGAAAUGAAUGAUUAGAUUACGAUUACUUGGUAAUACUCUGAAACCCUAUUCUGACGACGGAUAUGGGUUAGGGGUGUUACAUGACCAUUUUAGAUAGUUUUUCUUUCUGCUUAAUAUUCAUGUUCUUCUCUCUAGCCUCAACAUUUUCUUUUUCAUUAAGAUCAAAAUAAAAUCUAGUUUAAUUAAUAGAUGAUUCUACAUUCUGACAAGUCUUACAGCUUUGCACGUUAUGAAGGAAGAGUAUUGCAGGAAGACCAUGCAUAGGGGUUGCAUGUAGUUGAAAUGUUAGUAAAAUGUCUGUAAUGAGGAUUCUAGUGAAAAUCUUAUGAUUUUUUAAGUAGUUCCUGCUAUUAUGUUAGGAAAGACAAUCGAAAUAGAAACUCUAGGUCAAAGUAAAGGUAGGUCUUCAGUGAGCCUCUGAACCUGACUUUUGCUUGUCAUUUUAUGUUGAUUAUGCUAUGGUGUUUACCCUUAAACACCUAGAGAAGUAUUUUGAGUGUCAAGGGAUUAAUUGAGAGGAGAUCUGGUUGGCAAAUUGGUACAGGAGAAAGGGUGAACAUCUAGAAUGACUCGUGUAUUCCUGAACUUAGGAAUGAGAGAAUUAUACACCAGAAUAUUGAUGUUAGAUUUUUUACUGUUGCACGUUUGAUCAAUUCAGAUUCUUGUACUUGGAAUGAAGGAAGAGUUAGAUCCCUCUUUGAUGCUGAUCAAGCUGAGGAAGUUCGUACAAUUCCACUUUCCUAGACGAAGCCUUCGGAUACGAUUGUGCAAUUGUCUGAGCGGAUAGAGGAAUACUCCAUUAAGAGCAGUUACAAAUUGCUCAUAGAAGAAGAGCUACAGAAUAGAGAUUAUUACUCUAUGGAUAUGCCUAAACAAUUGCAAUAUUUUUUUUACAAAGAUGUGGGCGUUAUAAAUCCCAGCAAAAGUAAAAAUUUCUAUGCGGAAAUUCAUUAAUAAUUUUCUUCCUACUUUUGGGAAUCUUAUCAAGUGCAAGUUUCAAAUUGCUAAUGUGUGCCCUUUGUGCAACGAAGCUGAAGAAACAGUUGAUCACCUGUUGCAGUAUUAUUUUGUCUCUAAGAAAAUGUUGAAUUACCUGAAGGUUGCGGUGCUCCUUGUCUUACAAUACUCGGAUUACAGAAUGUGGUUAGUAAAGACUUCCAUAAAUGCAGAUAUCAGAUCUAAAAAGAUGAUGGUAAUUUCUUAUAGGGCUAUCUGGUACACACGAAACAAACUGAUUCACAAGGGUUUUAGAAUACAUUAAAGGAGUUGACAGGCUUUAUUAUGGGAUACUUGCUAGAAAUUGAGGCUAUUGAUCAGGAGCUAAGGCCAUCUACGUUCCUACGUAAAUAGGAAAUAAGGGUGCCACUAGAUCCGAGCUACAUAAAGAUAAAUUUUGAUGCAUCUUUUAAUGCUAUGUCAAAAACCUCUACUUCUGGGAUUCUAGCAACAGAUGCAUUUGGACAGAUUAUGGGAGCGUUUCUUGCCCACAUCAAGAUGUUGCUAAUACGUUUGUAGCAUAAGCAAGAAUAUGUGAGCAGGAUGUCAUUUUUAUGCAUGAACUAGGGUUUCGUCUGGUCCAGGUUGAACGGAAUUCACUUUCAAAGAUUAAGAAAUUAAACCCCUACACAGUGGAGUGCUAAGUCCGAUUAUUCAAGACAUUAAGGUAAAUAUUGGUUUUUUUUUAGCGAAUUAAUUUUCGUUUUGCUAGAAAGGAGGCAAACGCAAUGGCACAUGUUUUAACUAGUGAAGGACACCAGUUUCAGAGCCACGGUGUUGGAUGGAGGAAGCACCAGUAACAGUGGACCGGAUGGUGAUCGUAGAUUAGCACAGAUGGUUGUCUCAUACAUAACUGGGGCAACGUUUAGCUUUGGUGUUUGGAGAUUAUGCUAUAUGUACUCCAAAGAUGUUACCAAAGUGACUUUUCUCUCUGAAAUUAGUUAAUGGAUUUAGAUGCAAUAGGGUUGAUGAAAGAUUUUCAGGGAGGUCUUCAAUUGGCUUCAUCGGUCGUUUGGUAUGCAAGGGAAGAGGGUAAUGGGUUUUUAGCUUUCCUUGUUUACUUUUUGGUAUUUAGUUAUUUCUUUUAUUUUUCUUUGGUUUUCUCUAAAGUUUUUUUGUUGUUUUUGUUAGUGGGACGGUUUAAGUCCCUUGACUUUGUCUUCCCUAGGUAUUAAUGGAUGUAGUUGUUAUUAUUUAAAAAAGAAAAGAACACAAAAUUAUAUAUAUUUAAAUUUUGGACACAUUUAAUAAUAUAUGUGUUAUAUUUAUGUUUACACAACUAACAUUAAAGAUGUUAUAAAAAAACUAAACAUUAAAAAAUUUAUAAGAUAAAUAUACAUUUUGUCAAAUCAAGUUAUGAUUACUUUUAACUCAAGUUAACAAAAAAGUUUGCAACAUCUUUAGGUGGGUCGUGGAGGAAGUUCCAAUGAUUGAAGGCUCCCUUGCAACAUUUCUAUUACUCUAGUCAUUGACGGUCGAUCUAAUGAAUUGGUUUGAAUACACCAAAGACUCACUGCAAUCAAUUUUCUUGUUAUUUCUUCUUCCUCUUCUGUUAUUUCUUCAUUAAGAUUCAAGUUCAUAGGCUGAUCAAGAUGCUUAUAAAUCCAUGAAGGAAAAUAUAUUUCACUAGUUUGAGACACUUCAACAUCAAUAUUUUUUCUCCCUCCAACCAUUUCAAGGACCAUCAUUCCAUAACUAUAGAUAUCAGAUUUAUGAGAAACUCCUCCCAAAUUUCGAAAAAACACUUCUGGAGCAAUGUAUCCAGCAGUUCCUCUAGCACCUGUCAUUGAUACAACACUCUUCUUUCUUUCACAUAAUUUAGAUAAGCCAAAGUCAGAGAUCUUGGGACAAAAGUUCUCAUCUAAAAGGACAUUAUGAGGCUUUAUGUCAAAGUGCAAGAUCCUUGUAUUGCAACCUUGAUGCAAGUACUCCAGUCCUCUAGCAAUUCCAAGGGCAAUGUCAUACAAAGUUUUCCAUUCCAAUUGACGACUUUGAUUAUCCGUUCCUUGACUAUAAAUGAACUUAUCCAACGACCCUUUUGGCAUGAAUUCAUAAAUCAAAGCUCUCUUCGAUCUUUCAAAGCAAAAAGUCACUAUAUUAACAUGAGAAGUUCUGCUAAUACUAGCUACUUCAUUCAUAAAAUCCUCUCCAUUGCUCUUCGUUUCAUUUAGGGAUUUAACUGCCACAAGACGACCAUCAGGCAAUUUUCCUUUAUAUACACUUCCAAAACCUCCUUGACCUAAUUUAUCAUUAAAUUGAUUUGUCAUUUUCUUUAUUUCUCCAUAAGAGUAUCGCUUUGGAGAAAAGGAACCAAACUUUAUGAUGAAUGCCUCAAUCCUAGCAUUGUCAUUCAUCUUUAUUUGGUGGAGAUAAUUUGAUAAUAAUUUCCUUUUGAACCUCGGGACAAAGCAGCAAACGGCAAAAAUCAGUAGAAUUCCAACAAUAGCUGAUCCUGUUUAUGAAUUAUGAAUCAUUAAUCGAUUUUUGUUAACUCAUAAAGAAAGAUGAUAUAUAUAAUAUUUAAUUAAGUAAAAAUAUUGGUUAAACAAAAAUCUUAAAAGAAAGCAUAUAACUUCUGUUAGAAAGUAUCGCUGUCAAUUUAAAAGAAAAGCAUUAUAAGUUAGACAAAGUAUAUAUAUUUCUUCAAAACUAAUUAAAAUUAUACACUUUAAUUAUCGUAAAUCUUAAUUAAUAAAAUAUUACUUUGGAUGGGACAUGCUGAUUUUGAUUCCAACUUUAAAAAUUAAUUAUAGUAGCAAUAAAACCACAUAUUAUUACCCAAUAAACCUCAACCUAUAAGACAUUAUAGUAGUAGUUAUUAUCUACCAAAUUGUGUGUGUUUUGUGUGCGUAGUAGAUAUAUAGUUAAUGAACAAAAGAAGAAGAAGAUAUAUAGUUAAUUCAAACCACAUUAUUAUCCCAAAAAUUGUUUCGUACCUAUUAAUAUUGAAUAUGUCAACUUCAAAUUGGACCCACCUACAGGAAACAAUAUACCACGUAAAGCAACACAUUUGUUAUUGCACAAUUUUAAUGAUUACGAUUAAGUUUUUAUCAAUAGUAAUAAUUUAUACUAUUAUAAAGCUGGUAUUAUUGGGUUAAUUAAAAACCCUAUUACAAAUUAAAUAAUAGCAAUUUAUCAGGUUAUAUUAGUGGCUAGCAGUAGUAAUAAUUGAAAAUUUUGUCAGGUUGUAGAAGUGGAAAAGUACAUACCUGGGCGUGGGCUAUAUGUUGGGGCCAAUACUGGGCCUGGGAGGGGAGCUAAGCCGAGACAUUGUUUGAGCUCUGGCGAGUUGUAAAAUCCAGAGGGACAGUGGCAGAUUGUUCGAUUGUUGCUGUCGGAACCGCAGGUUCCACCGGAAGCAUUGCACUUGUGGCAACCUGUUUUAUUCUCCACUCUUUUCGCUGCACUUCCAUUAGUCCUGUUUUCAAUGUUUGUUCCAAAACCAAAAGCAAGCAAGGAUCAUUGAGAAAAUGUUUCCGGAUUCCAUCCUCCGUUGGAAUAAAACUUUAUAUUGAAAUUGGUAUGCAUUUAUUACCUGGUGGAAGGGGAUGGGCAGAAAGUGAUGUCAUAAUCAGCAGCAAAACAACUGAAGGUACUGUUUGCAUCAUCUUGGGGGUAGCUAUAAGCAUUAGGACACCGACUCUUGAAGAAUUGUUCGUAAGAAGUGGGCUUGCACGUAUUUGUAGUAUCACAGCAAUAUUGGGGGGGCCCAAAAGCAGUGCAGGCACUCUUACAUGCAACUGUCUCACUCCCAUUGACAACCUUAAGCUCCGAAGGACAGUCACCAUUCAAAUCCGCAACACAUCCAGUUGAGUUACAGUCAUCUCCAGUUCCACCAUGUGGGGAUAUCAUCAAUGGUAGAUUGAAUCCAUCAACAAGGCUAACAUCAUAGAAAUCGGAUCCCACAGAACUAUUGAAAUAAAACUCUGCAAGGGUGGCCUGGAUGGAACUAUUACCAGAACACUCUGGUCUAGAUGUGCCGCAGUCCCCGGUGAGGCAAGAGAAAUUGCCAGAAGAGUCAGUACCACAAUGAGUUCGACCCGAUAUCCGACCUGACCAAGAUGGUGGAACAGAAAUAGAUGUUGAUUCGCCUGGUUGAAGAAUGAAACCUGAAGGGGAAAUUUGUGUAGAUUGAGGAUAAGACACUACCGCUGGCCAAACUGUAUAGUUGCAAUUGUUUACAAUAGUAAACGUUGAUGAAUAAGCACCUGUAAAACCGGAAAAUGGAUUUAAAUCAACACCAAAAAAGAAGAAGCAACAAUCAACCUUUCUUUGUUAGUCUUGAAUAUUUAAAUAAUCAUUAAUACUUAAGCCUAUAUAACUGGAUCAAAGAGGUGGAUUGAAGCCGGAAAGAAUGGUUGGGAUGAUUGGCAACGGUUGACAUGGGGAAUAUGGAAAACAGAGAAAUUUCAAGUCAGAAACCAUAAUGCAGGCCAGAACUUUCACAAUAACUUACUGCAGCGGCUGAUGGCAUGGAAAAGCGGUAUCUGAACAGUGACAAGACAAGCAAAGGAUCCAAGCAAGCAGAAUUUCAAACAGGACCUUAGAGAGGCUUUUGUAACAGAUUGAAAUAGGAUAUAAUCAUUUGUGUUGCAAUAAACACCCAAAAUCAAGAGGAAGUUAUUAAACUUGCAGCUCAGGCAAUCAAGUGUUGUACGUUACGAGUAAAAAUAAAAUAAAAUCAGAUUGGGGAGGGGAGGGGAGGGGAGGGGAGGGGAAGCAAAAAGUCCAAUGAGAAGUACAUUCAUACAUACCUGAGACAUUAGUGCUUUGUGAGACGGUAAGUCCGAGCACGACGAGUAAUAUGGAAAACAAAGGUAGAUGUGAUGAUGAAUUCAUCUUCAGAGAACAAGGGAAAUGAUGAUUGAUGUGUAUAUUCGAUAAAAAGGAUUAGAUUGCCUCAGCUCAGCUCUAGGAAAUUAGGGGAGUGGUCGAAACAAUGACUUAGAAGACUUGGACUUUUGUUUUGUGGUUAGGUUUGACUAAAUCCAACGCUCACUGCGGCGAAAUUGGAUACUACAGCUACUCUACAGCGGCGUCUUUAAAAGUAUGUUCAAAUCCCACUAAAUGGAAACUAUGAACUCUCUAAUUUUGUGAAAAGUGUCGCUUUAUAUGACUGCCAUUUGUGCAUGAUUAAUUAAAUAUUGGUGCACCAUUCUAUUAUCUUCCUUAUGUUUGAGUUAAUUAAAUAUUUUAUUAUUAUUUUCAUUCCGUAACUAAUUUUAAGCCAACUAUUUAACUUUUUGUUACUUAUUAUAACUUAAUUGUUAUUCACCUCUCUUAAUUUAUAAAUUUCUAUAAUUAAAUCCUCUAUUAAUAGUUUAUUAUUUAUGUUUUGAUCCCUAUUAAUUUUCAAAUGUUAUAGCUUAAUAUGAUUAAUACCCUUAAAUCUAAAUUGAUUAUUUAAGGUAGCCUUCGGUGCGAUUGAAAAUGGUCACUUUCUUGAGAAUUUAAUCAGGUAAAAAGUGAUUCCAACAUUUAAUAUGUCCAAUUUUAUUUACUUUUCUUGAAAUUUUAUUUUCCCUUGUGAGUUAUUUUCUUAUAAAUAUGGAAAUGUGAUUCCCAUGAUAAAAUAUGGGAAAGUUACUACUUGAUUUUCUCUUACUUCAAUGGAGUUUUUGCAAAUGUUAUAUAUACAUUUUUUUUUAUUCCAAAACAAGUUUUAUAUAGACAUGAUUUUAUAUGCACAUUAUUAUAUUUUAAAAAAAUAUAUGAAGGAGAAAUUUGAAACAAUUUUGCUUUCAACUAACAUUAUAAAUUAAAAAUAUUUAAAAAUAUCAAUUACAAAUUAUUAUUAAAUAUAUAAUCCUAAUAUUUGUUAAAAAUAAAAUUUACUAAAAACUUUAAAUACAUGACUAUUAUAUUUUCUUUAAUAAUGGUAAAUACAAAAAGAAGAGGAGGGGAGAGAGAUGAGGCUUUGACAAAAUUGGUAUCAUUUGUUACUUUGAGGCCAUGAAUCCCUCAGUAAAUGGAAUAACAACCAUUUGGGUAAGGGCAGAUUUCCUUUCCUGUUUUGGUAGGAAAAACUAAGGACAUGUUUCUUAAAUAGCUUUUAGGGUUUAAACAGAAGAGCAAUGAGAAGUUGAUUUUGCGGGUAAAGUUGAAAGGUGGUUGCAAUUUCUGUUUAGAUUGAGAGUGGAGAACGGCAGAUUGUGAGCGAAAAUGGAGAUGGAAAGGCAGAGGUUAGUUUGGAAAUAAGAAAAAAGAAUUUAUACAGAACAGAAAAGCCAAAAGAGAAUAAUUACACAAUAAAUGGUUUGGUAAAUACUCUAAAAAUUUUUUUUUUGAGUGAAGUUGGCCUUCAUUAAAUAAAGAGGAACUAAUGCGUUCCAUCAAACCAUAUCAAAUCAUAAUAAAGAAACAAAUAACCCUAAUCAGUAAAGAAACCCCUUCCCCCUAACUAUAAGUAACAAAUGAAGCUAGAAUCUGAACAAUCUUCUUGUAGACACGACCCCAGCGAGGACCUGCAUGAAAAAUCAGAGAAGAAACGCAGGAAAAUCUUGCCUGGGGAACCUUUUGGAGUGAAAGAUACUGUGAUCUCCAAAAUCCAAAGCCAAAACCAUUGAAAACUACCCCCCGGAGCUUCGUGACGUCCAUUACUGUCAAUCCAGAGUCGUUGAGCGCUUUACCUCUAAAGGAGCUUCCUCAAUCCAAUAUUGUGGUGCUGGAAGGCGACACCCACUUCUUGCAAGAACAUGAGCUGUUGUAUUCGCCGAUCUGCCAACAAACCCGAAUGUAACACUAUCAAAACCUCUAACCUUCCCCUUAAUGUCUUGAAUAAUCAGACUAGUACUGAUCUGUCUGAAUCUAUGUUGUUUAAUUUUUUCAUGACUGUGAGUGAAUCUCCUUCCACAUGUAUCGAUCUAAACCCAAGCUCUUGAGCAAAGGUCAUUGUUUGUUCGCAUACAUGUGCUUCAGCUAUGAAAGCGUCUGCAACGCCAAAAUGCGGGUAAGUGCAAGCUGCCAGAAUUUCCCCAUUUUCAUUUCUAUCUAAAACACCCAAAAUAGGAAUAUUGGUAUUAGUAUUGAAAGAAGCAUCAUAGUUUAGCUUUAUGUUGUUUGUGUCUGGAGGAACCCAAAUCUCUUAUUUAGGAACGAAUGAGGAAGGUCUCAACCCCUCAAGGGCUUCUAUUUCUAUGAGAUAACCCUUAAUAAAUACCACUAGUUCCGGUAUAUUUGGCUUAAUACCAUCAUGAACCAACCUAUUCCAAGAAUGCCAGAUUACCCAGUAAGCAAUUACAAGAACCUCCUUUUCCUUAUCAGCCAGCUGAUUAAAACCCAUUGCUAACCACUGCUUAUAAUUUGAAUAUUGUGACAAAGGUAACAUCCUUGUUUUCAAAGAGGCUAGUGUUUGUUUUGAGACAAUACACGACCUCAAAAGGUGGUCCACAGAUUUUUCAGUUUCUUUACAUAGAGGGCAUAAUCUAUCAACAUGCAUCAUACGUUUAGAUAAAUUCUCGAAUGUAGGUAGAAAGUUAUGUGUAAGUCUUUAGAAUGUAAUUUUGAUUUACCUUGGAAGAUGUAAAGCCCAUAGUUUUGUAAAUAGCAUUGUAAUUAGAUUAGGUAAAUCCGUAGACUGGGAAGUCUUAAUUAGCAUGUAAUUCUUGGUCAAGCAACAACUUGUAACCACUAUUUGGAGAAUACUCACCCGACCCUUCAUAUCGCCAGACCAACAUAUCUAGACAGUCUGCUUGUGCUAGUGGAAUCAUCAGCACCUUCUCAGCUUGUUUGUACAAGUAUCAAAAUUAAUUAGUUGUGAGACAGUAUUUUGACACUGUAUUUUCCUAUUCCCUGGCCCAGGAAUCCAAGCAUCAUUCCAGAUGUUUACACUAUUACCCGUGCCAAUUCUCCAGCCAAUUCCCAUUUCAAUUAGGCCCCUUGCACUUAAAAUACUCCUCUAGGUAAAAGAAGCAUAAGAUCCUAACCUUGCCGACAUGAAAUUUGAUUAAGGAAAAUAUCUAACUUUUAAAACUUUUGCCAAUAAACAAUCACCAUGCGUAAUAAUAUGCCAACACUGCUUGGCCAAUAAUGCUAUGCUGAACUUGGAUAAAUCACAAAAACCCAACCCUUCUUUCGCUUUCAAUAAACAAAGUGGGUGCCAUGCAGACCAAUGUAUACCUCGAAGCGUAUUAUUAUUCCACCAUUAUUAAAAAUGUUAUCCAACUGGGUAUAAAGUGUCUUUGGAAAAAGAAAACAUUGCAUAGCAUAGACUGGUAGAACUUGCAAUACGGAUUUUAUGAAAACCUCUUUCCCACCUAUGGAUAGAAAUCUCAUACCCCAACCUUUCACCUUCUUACUAAAGCAAUCCAAAUAAUGCGCAAACGCUUGCUUUUUACUUCUACCAGCCAUGACUAACAAUCCCAAAUACUUCUUGGGGUUUUUCAAAAUCCGAAAGCCCAACAGCCUCCCCACAACAUUUUAGACAUUCAAAUCCACAUUAGCUCUAAAAUAAAGAAGAGACUUUUCAUAGUUGACCUUUUGUCUCGAAGCUUUUUCAUAUUUAGAAAUGAUUUGUUUUAUAUUUUGAGCUCCUUCCCUUAAAGCCUCACCAAAUAAAACACAGUCAUCCACAAAGAAGAGGUGAUUUAUUGCUAGUCUCUCCCUUCUUAUACACGCCUCAUUUAUUCGCCCUACUGCUUUUGCUUCAUUAAGAAUAGUCGAGAACCCCUCAACAAACAAUAAAAACAAGUAUGGACUAAGGGAUCACCUUAAUGCAAACCCCUCGAAAGGAAAAAAAAGAUUCACUAAUGCUGCCAUUAACCCCGACCAUAUAGGAAACAAAGGACACACAUCAUAAUUAGCCUCACCCAAUUUUCGUGAAAACCCAAGUGUACCAUUAUCCCUAUUAGAAAGUCCCAUUCAACUCUAUCGUACGUUUUGCUCAUAUCGAGCUUAAGCGCAAAAUUUCCUAGUUUACCCAAUCUCUUCACUUUGAGUCAGUGCAAUAUUUCAUAUACAACAAGGACAUUAUUUGAAAUUUGCUUGUUAGGAAUAAACUCUCAUUGAGCUUCAUCAACACACUCUCCCAACAGACCACUUAUUAUAUUCACUAUUACCUUGGUAAUGAUCUUAUACAACACAUUGCAUAAACUAAUAGGCCUAAGUUGUGUCUAGGGGAGAGCAUUCAAUCGAAUCGAAUCAAAAAUUUUUGAGUUAAUCGAGUUUUCGAAUCUCAUUUUAUCAUCCUAACUUUAUUUGAAGUUUUCUCAAAUCGAGUCAAGUGAGAUAGAAUUCGAAUCAAAUCAAAUCGAAUAUAUUUGUUCGAGUUAAAUUUUAAAAAAUAAUUUUGGGUCCUUGUAACCACUAUCACCCAUUGUAAUAAAAUUUGUCCACCUUAAUCAAUUUUUUUAUUAAAUUUCACCACCUCAUAAUUUAUUUAUUAAUUUUUUAUAUAUUGGUUAGCUUCUUUGCUUACUUAGUUGUUUCAAUUAUCUUCAGAUUCUUGUCACUAUGUAUUUUGGAAUUAAAAAAUAUAUAAAUGCAAAAAUAUGGUUUUUUAAUAAAAGUUAUUUUAAAAAUAAAAUGUGAAAUUGAUACCAAUAUAAAAUUUUAACACGAAUAUUUUAUGGCAUAAUUAAUAAUUCAAUUUUAAUAUAAAUAUUCAAUAUGACUACACACUUCAAUAAUAUAAAUAAUAUAAAAUGUGAAAUUUAAUUUAAUAAUAUAAAUAGUAGAUAUAAAUAAAAUUAUUACUAUUUAUGUUUAGUGAUUUUUUUUGGAUAAUUUUGAUUUUUUAUUUGAUAGUAAAGGUGAGAAGUAAAAGUUUAGGGGGGAAAUAAAAAGUUUUGGGGAAUAAAAGUUUGAGGAAAAGUAAAUAGGAGGGAGUAAAAUUUUGGAGGGAAAAUAUUAAAAAAAAAAUUGGAGGGGGAGGGUUUUGGGUAGAUGGGAGGUGGGAUGAGAAGGGAAUAAAAAUUUUAGGGGAAAAGUGGGAGGGAGUAAAAUUUUUGGGGGAAAAUAAAAGGUUUUGAGGGUUUUGAGAGUAAAAUUUUGAGAAAAAAUGAAUAGGAGAGUAAAGUUUUGGUGGGAAAUGAAUGUUGGGUAGAUUGUGGGGUUGGGAGGGGAGUAAAAAUUUUUGGAGGAAAGUGGGAAGGAGUAAAAGUUUUGAGGGAAAAGUAAAAAGGUUUGGGAGUUUGGGGUAAAAAUGUAAAAUAUUAUAGUUUGAUAUUCAAAUUACUCGAAUUAUUCGAGUUAUUCGAAUUCGAAAACUCAACUCGAUUCGAACUCGAAAUUUGAAAAAAAAUUCGAGUUGAUUCGAAUAACUCGAUUCGUUUAACUCAAAAUUUGAAUUUUUUUUGUUUUUUUCGAGUGAGUCGAGUCGAGUUUUGCUCACCCCUAGCUGUGUCAUAUUGCAAGGAUUAUUUACCUUCAAAAUCAAAACAAUAUGAGUCCUAUUGAGUUCGUUGAUAGUAAUCUCCCCACGAAGAAACUCAAAGUAAUAGUUCGUAACAUCAUUACUUAUGACAUGCCAAUAUUUUUGAUAAAAUAAAGUAGGGUACUUAUUAAUACCUGAUGUUUUAAGAGGCGACAUAGAUUUGACCGCAACCCAUACUUCUUCAGGUAGAAAAGGUUGCAGCAAAUCCACAUUCAUCUUUGGCGUCACCUUUCUCUAGACGUUAGCAUAAAUCCUAGAAGUAUCCUCUUCAUCCGAGGCCGUGAAAAGUUCUAUGAAAUACUUAGAGGCAAUCUUCAGAACCUCUUCCUCGUCAGUUACCCCUUCCCUUUUAAUGCCAACAAUCCCGUUUCGCUUCCCUCGACCACAAACUACCUUAUAAAGAAAGUGGUAUUCCUGUCCCUAGUCGAAAGUCAGUUAACUCAGGCUCUCUGUUCCCAAAAUAGUUCUUCCUUAUCAUCCUCCAAAUUUAGCCUAAUUUGGAUAUUCGUUAAUUCGGCAAGGAUAUCAUCAUCAAGCUUAUUAGUGUAAAGCUCAUUCAUCCUAAGUUCUAGCCUUUGUUUAUUGGCCACUCUGCUUCUUUUAACCUAAUGACUCCAAUUUCGCAAUGUUUUCCCCAAACCAUUUAAUUUAAUCAGUAAAGCAUCCGUAGAAAAUGACCAAAAAUUGUAAAUUUCUUUCUCACACGAAUCCUUCAAACACCAAUUUGCAUCAAAACGAAAUUGACCCUGACCUCUUCGUGGCCCACUUUGUCAACUGAUUGUGUUUAUCACAAUUGGAUAGUGAUCAGAUAAUGAGUGCGUCCAAUGCGUCAUAGAGUAAUCCAAAAAUAAACUCCACUGAGCCAGAUUUCCCACACAUCUAUCAAGUCUUUCUCGAAUAUUGGUUGUCGCAAAUCUACCCUUCUCCCAUAUGAACCCGCGCUUUAUGAACCCUAUAUCACUCGAAUAACAAUCUUGUAACAUAAUUCUGAAAGCCUCUAUAUUUCUUUCUAGACGUAAUCUACCACCUCCCUUUUCAAAAGAGUAAUCUAUCUUAUUAAAAUCACUAGCUACUAAUGACAGGAUAGACUGAUCUUGACCCAACUACGAAUUAGAUUCUACGAAAUACUUUUUAAUCGUUCUUCAGGAUUACCAUAAAAACCCGUGAAGCACCAUACCACCCUUUCCCGAUCAUCAUGAAUAUCAACAUCAAUAUGAUAUUGAGAAUAACUAUGUAGAUUAACCACACAAUUCUGUCUCUAUCCCAAUAACAAUCCUCCUUUAGUACUCACUGCUCCCACAUUAAUACCAUUCGUGUAACCAAAUUUCCUCUUAACAAUCUCUAUAUUUCAUGUACUGAUUUUUAUUUCCAUUAGAAAUAAAAUAUGGGGACAUAUUUCUCUCAGCUUAUUCUUGAGACGACAUACUGUCUGUGGCCUCCCUAAACCAUGAACGUUUUACCUUACGAUUUUCAUUGCAUCCGGUUGCUCUGCAUAGUAGAACUAGUCGGUCGAAUAUAACCAUAUUCUGAUACACCACCAUUGCCUUUAAUUUUACCGGUGGGAACCUGCCCCACCACUCUGUCAUUUAUUCCCUUUAACGUAUUGGAUAAGAUAUUUUUCCCUAUUUGAACCCAGCUCAAUAAGCCAAAGAUUAGUAGGUCUACCCCCUUUCAUGUCAGUAUCCAAGUGAGAUACACCUGCCCUAUCCCGAACCGGUUGGCAUAUGGUAGACCCCACUAAUUGUAGAUUAUGAUUGGGAUACAAAUUGGUAGCAUUAUCCCCCAAAAUUAUGCCUUAAUUGACUCAUUUCCUUAUCCACCCUUUGACUCAUGAAACUAUCUGGUUCCCGUAACCUUUGACUCACUGCCGAUGAGCCUCUUUUCAUUGGUUCUUGCAAAGAGAUAUCCCAUCCAAAUUGGAUUUUUUUUCGGAUCUAUUCGCACCCUCAAUGGGCGAAAUCUCUCCCUAUGCCCAAGCAUACCACAAAGAAAACAAAACAAAUUAAGUCUUUCAUAUUGAAACGAGCAUAAACUGUUCGACUAACGCCUAAUUAAAUCUUCUUACGCUUUAAUGGAAGGCAAACAUCCAACCAGACCUUAAUUUGCAUAAAUCUUUUUGCAGCCGACAAAGAAAUCUUUGUAUCAUAUUCAAGAAAACUACCUAGAAACACUUAGAACUAUCGUACCAUAGCCUUUGACAUUAGACCCUAAGGUAGAUCAUGAAAUUGCAUCUAAAACUCAACGAAAAAUAAUGGCAACAUGAUAGAGUCCUCCUCUGGUUGGAUCAUAUGCAGCAAAAACAAAUGAUUGUUAAAGAACUAUAGUGUUCCUUCCAAAACGCGUUGCAUAUCCAUUUCAUAAAAAAAUGAAAUAAAACUCGCUUUUCUCCUAGAUCUUUAAUAAAAACUCCACCAAUAAGGUGCCAUAAAUCAACCAAAGUAUUCCUUAGCGAAGGGAAAUGCACCACGCUAUCUACUAGGCAACACCCUACUAAACAGAACUUGAACUUCUCCUCUACCUCACUCUCCUCCCCUGAAACACUUCUUCCUCCUCAUCAACAAGCCUCAAAUUCGUUAACUCGUCUUCUAUAGCCCUCACCUAAAACCCUAAAGAAAUUAUGUUAAAAGACAGACUAAAAUCGGCGUAUUGGUAUAGAUUAAGCCAAUAUUUUAUAUUUGAGCUCCUCCAGAUCUAAUGGUAUAGAUUGAAUUACAUCAACGGUUAAAAUUAGUGCCUAUCUACAAUAUGAGAGUUCUAAGGGAUUUAAACUCUAUACAUCAUUAUUCCUUAAGAUUUACAAUAAUUACCUUGGCAACUUUAGUUUUAAUAGAGUGUUUCAUUAGGCCACCAAGGCUCCAAGUAGAUGAGUUUCUCCAUAUGUUCCAUGAAUCGAGCCAAUUGAAGUGGGUCAAAUGAGCCCCAUUUAAAUAGUUGACCUUCAUGGGACGCUUUAUGUGCAUUUGUCACAGGUUUUGAUCUGUAGCCUAUGACAUUCUCCCUAACUCAUUCUCGCAAUGCCCUCGUCGCGUCCUUGGAAUGACACUAGUUUGGCUCAUCUUAGAACUACCUCAAUGCCUCAGUUGAUGCCCAACUAGUCUCUCUAUCAGGUAGUUCCACUCUUCGAAACAUUUGCCUUGGUUUAUGUCUCCGCUGUCACCUAACUCGAAUUGUAUUUCUCUCUUGUACAUUUCAUUUGCAAGAGUCUACCGCUCUUACUUGUCCCCAUCAUGACUUGCCUCGAUCGGAUAGUAGGAGAGAAGUUAUGAAUAUAGUGGAUAUAUAUAAUGGUAGUUUACUAGAAGUUACACUUAUGUAACUCAUUUUAGCAAAGGGAAUGUUACAUACAAACUUAAAUGCAAGUGCACGGUUUGGUCAAUGAGAAGAGGGAAAGACAAAAAAACAGUUGCAUUCUAAUGAAAGGUUAAUAAGUAAAAUUAUUAAUAAUAUUCUUAUAUGAGAUUCUAAGCUAUGCUCUCUAAGACAUUCUAGUUAUGGGGCAAACCAAAGAAUCCUGCUAAUCUUUUCAAUAUAAAGUGAUCCUACAAUAAACAAUAUUUUCAGAUACUACUAUUAAUAGAAACAUUAAUAACAAAAAAUGAGUUUCCAUAUUUUACCUCUUGUAUGAGAGUUUUUAUUUUAUGUUUUUUAUGAAAAUGAAUUCUCAUGCAUAAAAAAAAAAUAUGGUGAGAAUGAUAUCGAAAAAAUUCAUCGAAUGGAAAAGAAAAACUAAAAGAAUAUCAAAGAUUACUAAUAAAUGCAACAUUUAAAAACAAUAAGCUAUUCAUCUAACCUACGUUACUUGGGCUCGAGUGUCUAUAUCGAUAGGGGCGAAGCUAGAAAUUUUUUUUAGGGAGGGUCGAAAUGAAAUUUUAAUUUUUAAUGGUCUAUAUCUUUAUAAUUUUUAAAGGAUUAAAUUAAAUUUUCAUAAUUUUAAGGGGGCAAAAUGUAAUUUUAUAUUUACUAAUUUAAAAUUUUCUAAAUGACCAAAACAAUAAUUUUCUAUUUUAGGGGAGACCGUGGUCCCUACCUACCCUUUGGGUUCGCCGAGAUAGAUAUGUUCAAAAUUUAUAAAUUUGUUUCCAUAUAUUGAAGAUUCUUGAAGAGUAUCUUAGAUAUGUGUCCAACACUAAAAGGAAGCUCUAUUAAAACUUAAACAACAAUGCUAAUUAAACUUUUAAUGAAACAUAUAAAAUUGACAAAUUUUAAAACAUGGCAGUCAUUACAAACAAACCCCAAGAUUUCACUGCCCACCGUCUUAUGUUACUUAUAUUUGGGUUUAAGUGUGAUAGACAAAUAUGUCUAUUAAAAAUUUUCUAAAUAAUUUAUUGUAUUUGGAGAAUUUUUAAAGAUUAUAUUUCGAUAUAUAUGUAUUUGAUAGUUGAUACUAGACCUAUCCAUGGCCGCCCGGCCCGACGGCCCCCCCCGAAAUAUGGGAGGGUUCGAGUAAAAAUAUAGGCCCGAAAUAUGGGCUUAAAAAACGAGGUCCGUUUAAAAAACGGGCUGGGCCUCGGGCACCACUUUUUUGGCCUGGGCCCGGCUCGGCCCGAAUAUAAUAAAUAUAUAUUUUUUAUUUUUAUUUUUUAAUUUUAAAAUACUUUUAAAAUAAAUUUUUUUUAUUUUUUUAUUUUUAAAACAAAUUUUUAAUAUUUAUUUUAAAAAUUGGCCGGGCCAGGCCGGGCUCGGGCUUAUGAUAUUUUUCUCAGGUCGGGCCUGGGCAAAAUUUCAGGCUCAUAUUUCGAGUCGGGCUGGGCCCGGGCCUAAGAGGCGGGCCAAAAAAUUUUUGGGCCUGGCCCGAACUCGGCCCGGCCCAUGGACAGUUCUAGUUGAUACUAGUGUAAAAUAUGAAUAUUAAACGGAAGCGUGAAACACGAGACUAUAAAAAGGAAUAUAACUGGACUGUCAAUAUUCGUUAUUGAUAUAAGAUCGAGAUAAACAUGGUCAAAGGGUUUGUUUCCUUAAAUAGCACUAAGUUGUAGCAAUCUUAAAUAAUGCAAUAAUGUGGCCAGGUUUUGACUCUCUCCGCUGCUAAUAUUCAUUAUCAAAUUUCCUGGAAUUUUACUAUCCAAAAAACCAAUCAUGCUGGGAGUAAUUACACUUCACAGUUAUUGCGUCUAUAAUCAUAAAUGCAAUUUAAAUCAUUCUUUAUUCAUGAGUUUAAAGAUUUGAUCAAAAUAAAAUACAUUUUAUGAUUAUUCGUUUUUUUUAAGAACACUCAUGAUAAGAGAAUUAUUUAUUGUUACAAGUAAUAUAAAGAAAAAAGUGCAAUUUUAAAUCCAUGAAAAAUGAGUGUUAAAAGAUGAUAAAAAGAUACAGAUACUUCAAUAAUAAGUGAGACCAACAGAAUUGAAAUUGGGUUGAAGCAAUGGCUGAUGUCUUCAUCUUCCUCCUGCAUUUUGGUACGGUCAAGUGUUAGUGUGGGGUACGUUACAUUUGAUGAGAACGCUUUGGAUAUGAUAAUAAAGGGAAUCUCCAACAUUAAUAAUAAAAAUGAUACACAGAAGAAAAGCAAGUUGUUUUGGGUUGAAACAUUGAAACCAGACCUCUGACGCCUGGCCCAAUAAGUCCGACCUUUUCGGACCAUGUUUUUGACUGAAAUCUCCGGUUGAAGUUUAAAACCGUCCAUUAAAUUUAGAGUAGAGUAGGGUUUAAUGGUGAGUUUGGAUGGGUGGUGGGGUGCGGUGUGGUAUGUUUAGUUUAUUUUUUGCCUCACGUUAUAAUAUCGUUAUUGUAUUUAAUCUCACCGCCACCUAUACUUUCUAUACUAACUGCAAGUAAACGCACCGUCUAUCUAAACUCACCCUAAGUCGUAUAUGAAAACGAAAAUCCUUUUUAACAUUGUUUUAUAAGACUCAAAUGGAGUUUUAUUACUUCAAACAAACCAAAUAUUAGUUGAAGGUUAGUUCAUUUUUUUAAUCUUCAACCGUUUGGUAUUUAGAAGUCAUAACAAUCUAAUUAAAUUUAAAGUUAAUUUAGGUCUUUAUCUUUAAAAUUCAAGAAUAAUGUAAAUUAUAAAUAUAAUAGUCAUAAAUAUUUUUCAAAUCGAAUUUGACAUUUUUAUAAAUUUCAGAUAUAUAUUUUAUUUAGUCUAAAUCAUGAAAAACAUAUUAUUUAUUUGAAUUUAUUAAAAUAAAAGUGAUCCAUGCAAAGCUUCCAUCAUUCUAGUGAAGUGACUAAAGAUCCAAAGAGAUACAUACACACAUGCCAUGUGCAUAUCAUUUGUCAAAGUCGCCGUCAGGCGACCCUUCCUAUACCCACGCUCACGCCCACGCCCACGCGCCUUCUUGCUUUUUCCUACCUCCUUUUAAUGGAUAAAAUCCCAUUUAGCUGUCAUUUCCCAUCUCUCAAAACAUUUAAAGAAACUUCGCUUCGUUACGGCAGCUCCCGUCUCAACGCGCCUCCCUUACCAUUCCACGCGCCACCUAUCUUCGUUUUCAUUUUCCUUCUCUUUCAUUUUCCUUCUAUCUUAAAUGAAAUGAGAAAGAUCUGAAGGAGAUUGGAAGUUGGUGAUUGAGAUUUGAGGUUUCUGAGGAGAGUGACUUAUUUUGGUAAUUUUAAUGAAGGAUGAACAACGUCUGGUGCUAAGAAGAAGAUGGGAGGAGUAACGUCUUCGAUUGCCGCGAAAUUUGCGUUCUUCCCGCCAAAUCCGCCGUCAUACAGAGUGCUAGAGGACGAGUUAUGCGCUGGUCAGCUUUACAUACCAGAGGUACCGAGGAGGGACGGUGUCGACGUCUUGAAGCUACGCACGCGCCGCGGGAACGACAUCGUCGCCGUCCAUAUAAAACACCCCAAGGCUUCCGCUACUCUCUUGUAUUCUCAUGGAAAUGCCGCUGAUUUAGGACAAAUGUUUGAGCUUUUCGUCGAGUUGUGUAAUCGCCUGCGGGUUAAUCUUAUGGGGUAUUUUUAUUUUCUUUCAUAAUUUUUGCAACAUAUAGAACAUGAUAUUUUAAGUCGGCUUCUUAGGCUUUUACUGUUUUAAUUGUAUUAGAUUUCUUUUAGCUUAGUAAAGUAGUUCGUUUGGGGUUUGGUCUGAUUUGCUUGUGAUUUUGGGGGAUUUAGGGUUCUAUAAGUGUUGGAAAAUUCUGGUGAAGUGGAACUUGCUUGCCUUAUGUUCAGCUGUAUUAUUGAGGUUGAAGCUAGUUAUGGGAAGAACAGAGAUUCUGGUUACCAGUAAGUGAAAGUUAUGCUGAUUAUGGUAUAUUGUAAGAUUGAGCUAAUGGUUUUACUUUAAUUGGCUUCAUUUGUGCAGUACUAGAGAGAGAGAAUAAAAAAAAUAUAGGAGAAAGAGAGACUUGGACAAAGAGUUACUGGUGAAGGCGAUGUUGUUGAUUUAAAGUUUCUUAGGGGUGACCGGUUAUUUGUUAUCCUUUCCUUCUAUUGUUUCUUCAAUGUGCGGACUUUUGCAAUAUUAUUGAGCAUGGAUACUGCUCAAACGUGAUUUAAAUACUUUGGGAUAUUUUUUUUUUCUGUUUACUGAUCGUGGACUGAAGGCAAUGUUGAAGAAGAUGGUUUAUGGCAGGGUCAUAUUAGUUACGGUUACUUGCUUGUUAUUGAGGAGCUUUAUGUUAUUGGUUAUACAUUUUUGCAAAUAGUGCUUCGAUGCUAAUGCCAAAGCCCUAAGGACAUUGGCAUGCAGGCAAUGUUGUUAAAGAAAAAAGAAAAACUGUAGGCACAUGAUUAGAAUGUGCGAGAAGUGUGUAGUCCUUUAACUGGAUGUUCUGUUUCUAUAGAAUAUAGGCCACACCUUCAUAAUAGCCCUAUGUUACUAUUGAGGCAUUAUGACUAACUGAAGAGACAUUUUUCAAGUUUUGAAUAUUCUAGCUUUUAUUUUAUGCUUCAGAAUACUAUUAGGGACGCUUAAUUUUACUGUGUCCUAUUGUAGACUGUGGAACAAUGCAAUCUUGACUUCCUUUGAUUAUUAGGUUCUAUUAUGUUGCUGCAUUAUUUUCCUAUAAAUUCCCAUGUUUAUGAAUUAUCUGCUUCUGUUCCUUCCUUCUCUGCCAUUACCACAUCCAGAACUUUUAUUCUAUAUUUACCAUCAAUCCUUGAAGUUGAUGGGAUCUUCUCAUUGUUGCUUAUCUAUGUUCAUUUGGAAAAGCUAGAUAUUUAGUAACUCGGACUGCAGUAUGAGUAUGAUGAGCAUAGUGUUUGUCAUGCCAGUGGACAAAAAUGUAAAUGGAGGUAGGUUUGUUUGUGUAAUUAUGUGGUCACAUGUAAGUUUUUAUUACGACUUAAAGAUAUACUACAGAAGUUAUUGAUGACAUAUAACUGGGAUAAAGUGCUAAAAGAGAAGGAAACAUUAUCUUUUUAAGGUCAAAUUUAGGAUCCCAUGCAACUAGCUCAAGCCAUACUGUCUGUACAGUUGAUUGGUCAGGGUGCAAAAUUGGGAUCAAGUGAAAGAAAAGAGAAGGAAACAUUCUCCUUUUUAAGGUCAAAUUUCUUGUUUGUAUAGUUGAUUGGUCAGAGUAUUACUCCUUGCUGUUUGGGCGGACUGCAAAGUUGUAGCGACUAAAUUAUUAUCACCUAACCUCCAAAGUGAUGACUGAUAAUUAUUGAUAAUGUUAUUUCAGUUAUGUUAGAUUAUGUUAUGCAAAUGUAGGAACAAUGCAAAUAAUAAUAUUUCCUAGCUUUUCUUACUGACUUAAUAAUCAACCACUUCUGUAGGGAAUUUCUUUUAGGCCCUGUUUCUACUUCUAGAAAAUGAUUUAUAAGAAGUUUUUCAGCGGUAGUUUAGUGUUUUAGGGCUGUAAUUGCUGUACUGUCAAGUUGGAUCUUUGUAUGUUGCCUUAUGGUAACUAUUAACUCUUUCAAAUUUCUUGUGACUUAUGCUGAUAUGCGUUCUCUUGUUCUUGUAAAUAACAAAUGUUGGCAGCUUGGAAAUGAUUGUCUUCUGUCUGUUGUCAAACUUCUGAUGUUUGUUGUAGGUGCUCUCCAUAACUAUGUAAACAGCCAGGAAGGUUUUAAAAAAUAAAAAGCAAGCUUAAUGCUUCCUUGUAGAUGAAAUUUUUCCAAGAGAAAACUAGAAAAGUUUGCUUUCAAAGUAGGCACUGACUUUGAAUUAUCUAUUGAACUUAAAUAACUGAGCACAUUAUUCUCCUGUGGAGACUUUUGUAGAAGAAACUGAUCAAGGGAGUCUUCAAUCCUUAGAUGUAUAGCGCAUUGCAAAGUUUUGUGAAUUAUAAUGCAAAAAGGAACUUUUAGAUAUAUCUUAUCCUAUAAAUUAUUCUUGGGAUAGUUUUUAGACAUGACAUGAUUGUACAGAUAAUUAGAGUUCCUGAAAAGAAAAUGUUUUAUCAUCUUUGUGCUUGAUAGGUCUAUUUUAGUCUAGCCAUUUAUCAUAUAUAUAUAUACAUUUGUUUUCUGUUCCUAAUGUCACUCAUUCUUUUCUAGGUAUGAUUAUUCUGGCUAUGGACAAUCAAUUGGAAAGGUAGGUCUCUUUGCUUCUCUUCUCUAGUUGCCAAUUUCGGGAGCAAAAGUUGCCUUUAUUCAUAUUAGCUGUAGCAAUUCAACUAUCAUAAUGGGCAUUUUAAAUAAUUACACAGUUAUCUUUUGGCCAAUCCUUUCCUCCUUUUCUGCUAAUAGAACAGUGUUCAUUUUACUGCAAUAGUUUUGCUGAGUGUAAUAAGCCUGUUGGGCAGCUUUUCUUUAUUAUAUAAUAUCUAAAUGUAUUGGUUGAUAGAAAUGUUUUCAGGUUUCUAUUUUUAACCCUUAAUUUUGAUAUCUUACACACUAGUUAAAUUCUUGCUAGUACUGUGGGGCUCUCUCAUUAAUUGGCUAUGUUCAAUGUGUAUCAAGAUUUGAGCAGCCAUGUCGUUCUGAUUUAUUGUACAUAAUGAACGAACAUCUUACUGCUUGCUAAAAACUUGUAUUCUAAUAGUCACCUUCUUUUAUUUGAAACAGCCAACAGAGUGUAAUACAUAUGCAGACAUAGAUGCAGCUUAUAAGUGCCUUAAGGAAGAGUAUGGAGUUAAAGAUGAACAGUUAAUAUUGUAUGGUCAGUCAGUUGGUAGUGGACCUACUGUUGAUCUUGCUUCUCGUUUGCCGAACUUGAGAGGCGUUGUUCUUCAUAGCCCAAUUUUGUCUGGCAUGAGAGUAUUGUACCCUGUCAAAAGGACAUACUGGUUUGACAUUUAUAAGGUAAGUCUGCAUUUUUCACUGUUUUUAUAUUUUCUUGUUUUGUCUUGUUGACCUUCAUUACCAGAUUUUUUCCCAUUCUAAUUUUCAGAAUAUUGACAAAAUUGGAGCAGUGAACUGUCAGGUUUUGGUAAUUCAUGUAAGUAUUACUUCCAUUGUUUCCUCUCCAUCUUGUUUCAUCACCAUUAUCUCCCUUCUCUUUCUCUAGCCUCUGUUUAUUUGACACGUUAAUAUUUGUUAUAUGGUUCUGGUAAUUAAUUAUUUCAGCCGUUUUUGGCAUUUUUUAAACAAAAGAACCUAUUUGGUUUCAAGAAAAUUCAAUCUUGACAAAAGCAUCCCGGGUCAUUUAUCAAUCAAAAUACUUGCUCUAAAUGAAUAUUCAUACACCUUCAAGUGCUUUAGCUUAAUCAGUCUAGAUUGUUAUAUUGUUCUGGCUAUAAAUAGAUUACUGAGAUUCUGAUGCUAAAUUAAUGAACUUAACAGCAUUUUCUGCUAGUACCAAUUUCAUUUUAGAGUUUCUAAUGAAUUAAUUUAUCUUUUAGCACUUCGUAUUGUGCCAUGCAUUUAGGUUUCAAGAAUUUAAGACUAUGAAGAAAGAGAGUGAAUGUGUGUGUGUGACUGGAGAGAAACAGAUAAAUUUGAGCCUUUUUGGGUCUUUGAACCCAGCACUAGAGCUGUUCGAUAUUGUUCUCGUUUUUCCUGUACAUUAUCAAUUUAGGGUGAGUAGUGACCAUGGUUAGCUUUGAGCCUUUGACAAGUUAGGUCAUCUACAUGUCAUGGUCCAGCAUACAGGUCGUGACAUCCAAGGAAAGCUUGUACGAGUUUCCUUUUUUUAUUUUUAAUUCAUUUUCUGUUGGCAGGGGACAGCUGAUGAAGUGGUUGAUUGUUCCCAUGGUAAACAGCUUUGGGAGCUUUGCAAGAAUAAGUACGACCCUUUAUGGGUAAACGGAGGAGGACAUUGCAAUCUGGAGCUCUACCCAGAAUUCAUUAGACAUUUGAAGAAAUUUGUACUGUCUCUACAUAAAUCAAAAGCAGCCACAAAUGGUUCUGAAAAAAUAGCGGUGAACUCUGACAAUCAGACAAAACCACCUGAUGGUGGAACUUCGGAUACUUUUAAACUGGAUGCUGACCUUCCAGAAGUUUCUAGAAACAGCUUAGAUAGUCGACUGGAGAAGUCUAAGAAGUCAAAUAAGCCUGAGAAGUCUCGAAUGAGCACAGACCGUGUUGAUAGGUUUAGACGAAAAAAGGGCUUAGUUUGGUGAUUACUUACACAAAGAACAUGUUAAAAAUAAAAAAAGCAUGCAGAUGUAUCGUGUUUGAGGUAAUUUACUUUCCUUUUUUAACCUUGAGCUUUUGUAAUGUUUUGAGAAUGAGUGUGUGAUGAUUCUCAUAAAAUGUUAUAAUUUUUCUGUAUGUAUCUUUCAGAUCAAACAAAGUGGAAUUCAAGUUUUAAAAAAUCUUCCAUUAUCAAUCCAUAUCUGUGAAAUCAAACAGUCCGAAUCUAAAUGAAAAUAUACUGGUUUUGGGCUAUGUAUUCGUGUGCUUCUUUUUCGUAUUGGCAGAACUUUACUGUGUUGAAAUUUUAGACACCAACAUGAUGAUCGUUGUGUGUAUUUUAUAUUAUCUUCUUUUCAUAAUUUGGACAUGGUAUGAGGUAUCGGUGGUUAUCGGUUGCACUGGAGCUUAAAUAGUUAGUGAAACCUUUUAGGUGCAGUCGCAUUGCUAUGUUUAAUGUUUGUGCGUGAGAAUUAAAGUUUUUAGAAUUGGAUUAAUGGUUGAAUCGGUUAGGUUAUCAAUUUGAUUGGUCUGAUUAAUUCGUAUAGUCUAAUUAAAAAAUUGUUUAAAAAAUAAAAAAAUCGAUUCAAUUGAUUUGUAUUAAUUCACAGUUCAAUCAAUCUUAUGCAUCUCUUUAGAUUGAUUCUCAAUUUCUGGUCAAACCAAUUGAUCUGAUCUAACAACCAUGAUGAGAAUAGAAAAAUAUAUACUCAAAAGGAUAAGAUGAAAUCCAAAGAAACCUUGGUAAAAUUAAUGUUAUGACUAAAUAAUAAUAAAAUAAAAUAGCCAAUUGUUGAAGGAUAACUCCACCUAAAAAAGUUUGAAAUGUUUUGUCUCUCGGAAGUCGACGAAUCCCUCAACGAAUUGAUAUUGUCCUUGGUAUAGGUUUUGUUUCUCGAUUUUUCUUAGAGCUCAAGUUCCUCAAGAGACGGUGGUGGAUUCAUAGAGUGAUAGUGCCUUGUUAGGUGUUUGAUAAUGCGCUUUUUUAUUUUUUUGUUGAGGGGAGAUCGAUUUUGUCGAAAGCAGUUUGCAAAGUGUAAUCUACCUAGCCCAAGUGGUAGUUUUUUUACCCAAUACUUUCUAUAUGUUAAUGCAUGUGCUUAAAUCUCACUAAACACAAAUAUGUUCCUUGAUGGGUAAUCAUGCAAACACACAUAGUUCGCUUUCUCAAGCAUCCGAUGAAGUGCUUACACUUCGUAGGCUUUUCUCGAACGAGUCACUACUAAGUAAAAGUGUUUAUGAAUUAGGUCAAGCCCAAACUUGAUUUCAUAAAUUUUCAAAGUUCAAGCUUGUCUUGAUCCGCCCAAAUGGCCUAUUCAUUCAUAAAAGAAAAAAGAAAAAAGAAAAACAAUAAAACAACAUUUGGGAAUGAUAGAUCAUACUUGUUUGAAGUUUGAAGGUAUAACAAGAGAGAUGAUUAAUACGAACAUUAAAAAAAUAUCAUAAUCAACCACAAACUAGAAUUUUUACUUUCAAAAUGAUCAUUUCAUUUAAAGUGACAUAGCGCAUGAUUGAUUAUACUUGUUUACGAAUAAAUAAUAGAUAAUGUAAGCUCAAAGCAAUCAUAUUUUAAUAUUGUAUCUGGUUAAAAGUAAUUAUUAAACCACUAAUCAAAGAAAAAGAGAGUGUUGGACAUCAGAUAUGAUCGUCUAAGGGUGAGUUUGGAUGGAUGAUUGGAUGCGGUGUGGUGCGGUGAGUUUAGCUUACUUUUUGUCUCACGCUACAAUAUUGCUACAGUAUCUAAUCUCACCGUCACCGCUGUUUUUACACUAACCGCAGAUAAACGCACCGCCCAUCCAAACUCACCCUAAUUCUAAGAAGUCCAAGUGAGUUCAUUAGUAGUGGUUUUUGUCCAUCUCCAGGUCAAGAUUGGAUCCUAGAUUUUAAGGUGUUUACUCAACUUUGCCACUGUUACUCUGUUUUAUGACUGCCCAUUUUCCAUCUCAUCCAGUCUUGGACACUUCCCUUGCAAGUAAUAGAAAAUAAUAUCAAAUCCAGAGUGAUGUUCAGCAAUUGUGAAUGUUCCCAUUCUUAAAAAUUCCUUGGAAAGACAUACCAAUCACGCCUUUGAUUUGAAAAGAGCCUUGGAAACAGGAUUCGUGGUGCAAUGGAAGGAGGAUUCAAAUGCAUGUGGGAACUGCAUUGCUUCCGGUGGAGCCCGCGGUUUCAUGGAACAGCAAACAUUCUGCUACUGCCCAUUUGGAUUUGAGAGUUGGUCGGAAGAUCCCAACCAAUGCCAUCGCGUUGGUACCGGAAACAAUAAUCUCUCAGGUAUGCAUAUACUACCCCUUUGACCAACUAAACAAGUUUCUCUAUUAUUUUUAUGCUUUAAUAUUUAAUACGUGUAUAAGUAUUAUGUGCUAUCAUUGAACUACAUUAAAUCUCCUCACAAUAAGUAAAAUAAUAAAAUAUUUGAGGACUUAUAAAUAAAUAUUGAUAAAUUUAUUGAAUUAUAAUUUUUAUUUUCUUAGCUUCUUUCCAUUGGUAAAAUUUUUCCAAAUUGGGUUUUGUUUUUUUGUGUUAUUAUUAUUAUUUGUAAUUAUUUCAUUGAUUUUUGAUCACUAAAUAAUUAUUGAGAGAUCUAAAUUUGUCAAUAAUGUUAAUGAAGAUAAAAGGUAAAGAAUUGACUAUGGAGAUAUAUUGUUAUCGAGAUCUAAAUAUCCAUGAAAGUAUUCAUCACCUAUGGAAGUAUUGUUGUCAACAAUAUCUUUUUAUUACGUAAUUGUUAAAUUUGUUGAGUUGUUAGUUCUCUAUGAUGAGUUGUUAGUAGAGGUGCUCAUGGGCCAGGCCGGGUCGGGUUCGGGCUGGGCCCAUAAAAACUUACGGCCUGAGUCCUAGGUCCGGGCCCGGCUCGGCCCGAAAUAUGGGCCUGAAAUUUUGCCCAAGCCUGGCCCAUGAAAAAAACCAUAAGCCUGGGCCUGGCCCAUUUUUUUAAUAAAUACCAAAAAAUUAUUUUAAAAAUUAAAAAAAGUAUUUUAAAAAUAUUUUAAAAUUAAAAAAAAUUUUAAAAAAAAAGUAUUUUAAAAAUAUUUUAAAAUUAAAAAAAGUAUUUUAAAAAUAUUUUAAAAUUAAAAAAUAAAUAUAUUUAUUAUAUCGGGCCGGGCCGUGCCUGGGCCAAAAAAGUUGUGCCCGAGGCUCGGCCCGUUUUCUAAACGGGCCUCGUUUUUUUGCCCAAGCCCAUAUUUCGGGCCUAUAUUUUUACUGAAACCCUCCCAUAUUUUGGGCGGGCCAUCGGGCCGGGCCGGGCCACCCGGUCCAUGAGCACCUCUAGUUGUUAGUACUCCCCCUCUCUCCCUUACAGUAAUCAUUAAAUUUAUACUGUUAAAUUUCAAAAUACUUAAUGGAGCAAAAAAGAUUGUCAAAAUAAUUCUAAAUCAAGCCAAGAAAAAUCCUAUACCUCAGUUUAUAUAUACGAGACGGAGAAGAGAAAAAAAUCAACAAAAUAAUUCUAUUUGUUAGAUGAAUAAAAAUCAAUGAAAUGUUAUAAAACAAUCAAAUAAAAGAACACUUAAAGUAAACAUAGAAUUUUCUCAUAUCUUCUUUUCAUUUAUAAAAGAACUAUAUAUAAGCUAUUGGCAUUCAAUGCAACAUAAAUGAAUGAAGCUUAUUUAAUUGCUUCAUUAACACGUACAUUAAGCAUCUUUAAUAAUGAAUGGGGGGUUUAACUCAUUACUUUUAUAAAUGUUUAAAGGUUAUAGACAUCCAUUUAAUGUAUUUACAAUACUUCCCCUUGGAUGUCUUUUAAAUAAAAAUGUGUCUCAUUAAAACAUUUAUUAGGAAAACCCUGUGGGGUAAAAGCCUAAUGAAGGAGAGUAUACAAUCUCCUAUUACAAGUUGCCUCGUUAAAAACCUUUACCAAGAAAAUCCAGUGAGACAAAAUCUUAGUUAAAGGAAAAGAGUACAAUGUGUUUUUUACUCUCCCUUAUUGCAAUAUCACAUUACAUCUUUCAGUUGACGCAUUCCAAUCUUGUGUAGUAUUCUUUCAAAUGUUGAAGUUGGCAAUGCCUUAGUAAAAAGAUCUGCUAAAUUAUCACUAGAACGAAGAUGUUGAACUUCUAUAUCACUUUUCUUCUCAAGAUUAUGAGUGAAGAAUAAUUUUGGUGAAAUAUGUUUCGUUCUGUCACCUUUGAUAUAACCACCCUUUAAUUGGGCUGUACAUGUUGUAUUAUCUUUGUAUAAGAUAGUUGACAUAUUUUCUUGUAAAGACAAAUUACAUAUCUUCUAGAUAUGUUAGGUUAAUAACCUUAGCCAAACACACUCUCGGCUUGCCUCAUGCAUUGCAAUUAUUUUAGCAUGAUUUGAAGAGGCUGUAGCUAAUGUCUACUUUGUCGAAUGCCAUGGUAUGGCAGUCCCUCUACAUGUAAAUAAAUAUCUCGUUUGAGAUCGACCUUUAUGCGGAUCCGAUAAAUAUCCAGCAUCAACAUAAACAACUAAUAGAGAUUUUUAAUCAUUUGAAUAAAACAACCCCAUAUCAAUGGCCUCUCUGAGAUAUCUAAAUACAUGUUUAAUUCCAUUCCAAUGUCUACGUGUUGGAGAAGAACUAAAUCUUGCUAAUAAGUUUACAGCAAAAGCUAUAUCAGGUCCUAUGUUGUUUGCAAGAUACAUCAAUGCUCCUUUGGCACUUAGAUAUGGUAUUUCAGGACCAAGAAACUCUUCAUCAUUCUCAUAAGGACGAAAUUGAUCUUUAUUCACUUCUAACGAUUGUACAACCAUCGCGGUACUCAAUAGAUGUGCUUUAUCCAUAUAAAAUUUCUUUAAGAUUUUUUUCGUAUAAGUUGACUGAUGGACAUGAAUUCCAUCUUUUAAAUGCUCGAUCUGCAGGCCAAGACAAAACUUUGUUUUUCUAAGAUCUUUCAUCUCAAAUUCUUUCUUUAAAUAAUUUACUGCAUUUUGAAGUUCUUCAGGAGUUCCAAUAAUAUUUAGAUCAUCAACAUAAAUAGUAAUUAUCACAAAGUUUGAUCCAUACAUUUUUAUAAAAACACAAGGGCAGGUUGAAUUGUUUUUAUAACCUUCUUUUAACAAAUAUUCACUAAGACGAUUGUACCACAUACAUCCAGAUUGUUUUAAUCCAUAUAAACUUUUCUUUAAUCUGAUUGAGCAAUUUUCCUAGGAAACUCUAUAUCCUUCAGGGAUUUUAAAUCCUUCUGGGAUUUUCAUAUAAAUUUCACUAUCAAGUGUACCAACAAAUAGGCCGUAACAACAUCCAUUAGAUGCAUGUCAAGUUUUUCACAUACUACUAGACUAAUAACGUAUCUAAAUGUAAUUGCAUCCACCACAGGAGAAUAUGUCUCUUCAUAAUUAAUGUCGGGCCUUUGCGAAAAUCCUUGUGCUACAAGUCGUGCUUUAUAUGUUACGAAUUCAUUUUCUCAUUUCGUUUUCGCACAAAUAUCCAUUUCCAUCCUAUUGGCUUUACAUAUUUAGGUGUUCGGACUAUAGGUCCAAAAACCUCAUGUUUAGAAAGUGAAUUUAAUUCUGCUUGAAUUGCGUCUUUCCAUUUUGGCUAAUAUUUUCUAUUUCUACAUUCCUUAAUAGAUUUAGGUUCAAGAUCCUCAUUUUCUUUUGCUAUUUCAAUAGCAAUAUUAUAAGCAAAAUUGUUGUCGACAACUACAUUUUUUCGGUUCUAUAUUUUUCCUGAAGUAAUAUAACUUAUUGAGAUUUCUUUGUUAUCACCAUUUUCAGGUACCUGAACCUCUUUUGGAGUUUUUUGAUUAGUUAUAUCUUUGGCCUCUUCUUGGGCACUUGCCUCCACAAUAUUACCAUAUUGAAUAAUUCCUCAUUUCUUUUUACGAGGAUUUUCAUCUUUGGAAUCGAUUGGCCUUCCACGCUUCACACAUGGAUUACUUUCUUUUGCACUAACAAUUUGCCCUAUUAGGAUAUCAAUUCGUAUUGGAGCAUUUUCAGCUGGUAUGUAAGAUUUUACAAUUCUCUUUAGGUUAGUAAAUGAAUCUGGCAGUUGAUUGGCAAUGUUUUGCAAAUGUAUGAUCCUUUAAACUUAAUGAUCACUAAACUAACUAUAAUUACGACAAAGACGAACACACCUAUCAAACAAUAGUAUAGCUAUGAGUAGGGAAUAUCGUAUCCACGAGGACUAAAAGUACUAGUAAUUACCAUUUUUCUAUUCUUCAUCCAAUAAAUUGAGAUGAUUGUUUUUAAUCUAAAAUUACUAAACUAAUUUAUCUAAGAACGCAAUAGAGAAUGAAAUAGGAAAAUAAUCGAAUAAUAGUCAAAGAGAUAGACAAUACCUAGGAAAAAAUCCACCUAGACUUCACAUAUUAUUAUGAAUCUAAAUUAAACAAUUUAUUCACUAGUGUCUUAAUCCGUAGAAAUCCCUAAAUUAUGUUAAUAUCUCUUUCGAGAGUAAGAACAACUGACUCUAGGUUGAUUAAUUCAAAUCUCUUUCUAAUUAAAACCAUUAUCGUCGCAUUAACUCGAUUUAUGGAUUCCCCUAUUAGAUUUGACUCUAAUCCGGUAGAUUUAUGUCGUCCUAUUUCUAAGAUUGCAUGCAACUCCACUCAAUUAUGCUAGAUCCACUAUUAAACAAUGACUUUUGCUUCACUGAAAUAGUCACAUUAAACAUGAAUUAAUAUCCCAAAAAUAUUAAAACAUGAAAUAAGCAUACAUAAUUGAGAACAAAAAUCAAGUAUUUAUCACGUAAAAAUAGAAAUUAAAUAAGAAGAUUCAUCAUAGGCUUCAUCCUCUCUAGAUAUCUAUGAAAUUUAGUUCAUAAUUCUGAAUAGAAAUAUCUCAAAGUUAGGAUAACCACAAGACUUAAAGAAACUCAAUAAAACUUUGAAAGAAAUUAAAUGGAGAUCUUCAAUCUUGAGUGAGAUCCGCUUCCGAGUUGAUUCUGAUGGCGUUCUUUGAGUCUUUUCUUCGAUCUUCUCUGAUUUCCCCAUUUUCUAUUCUUCUAAUUGGUAUUUAUAGUCUUUAGAAUGCUAAAAAAGCUUAAAAAUUGGGUUUUUCUACGUAUUUAAGAAGUAGAGUGCCAAAUCGACAUGAGCUGGCACAUGUGCAUGUGGCCAGCCCGUGUGAAAAUGCCCAGGCCAUGUGGAUCCUUAAAAUAGCUCUAUUUGUCUGAUUUUGGCUCAUUUUUUCUCUCAUUUCACUCCCAAAUGCUUUCCGAAGUAUAUAAAUAUGAAUUUAAAAUAUUAGGAGCAUCAAAUUCACUAAUUUGCAUAAUUAAUCAUCCAAAAAUGCAUUAAGAAUGAGAUUAAAAAAUGUUACUUUUAUAGCUUAUCAGAACUUCUUGUUCACAUUGACUUGUGCGAGGAUCUACUUGAGAUAACGAUGAUCAAUUCCAUGUAAUUUCUUUUACCAGUUGUAUUUUCUCUCCCCUUAAUGUUGGGAAUGUUGUUUCAUCAAAAUGACAAUCAAUAAAUCGUGCAGUAAAUAAAUCUUUAGUUAAUGGUUCAACAUAUUUAAUUAUAGAAGGAGAUUCAUAACCAACAUAUAUUCUUAACCUUCUUUGAGGACCCAUCUUUGUAUGCUGUGGUAGAGUAAUUGGAACAUAUAUUGCACAUCCAAAAAUUCUAAGAUGGGAAAUAUUUGGCUCUUGACCAAAAACGAAUUGUAAUGGGGAGUACUUAUUAUAACUUGUUGGCCUUAAUCGCACAAGUGCCACUGCAUGCAAAAUAGCAUAUCCUCAAGCUAUAAUAAGGAGUUUUAUUCUCAUAAGCAAUGGUCGAGCUAUUAGUUGGAGGUGUUUGAUAAAUGAUUUAGCUAAACUGUUUGGCGUGUGAACAUGAGCUACAGAAUGUUCAACUUUAUCCCAAUUGACGCAUAAUAAUCAUUAAAAGCUUGGGAUGUAAACUCACCAGCAUUAUCAAGACGAAUAGUUUUGAUUGCAUUAUCUGGAAAUUGUGCUCUUAAUCGAAUUAUUUGAGCAAGUAGUCUCGCAAAUACCAAGUUGCAAGUUGAUAAUAAACACACAUGUGACCACCUACUAGAUGCAUAUAUUAAUACCAUAAAAUAUAUAAGUGGUCCACAUGGUGGAUGAAUGGGCCCACAUAUAUCACCUUGAAUACGUUCUAGAAAUGCGGGAGAUUUAAUCCCAACUUUAGCUGGUGAUGGUCUAAUAAUCAAUUUUCCUUGAGAAUAAGCAACACAAGAUAGAUUCUUUAAUUCAAGAAUCUUUUGGUUUUUUGAUGGGUGCCCAAUUGAAUUCUCGAUGAUUCUUAGCAUCAUAAUAGAUCCGGGAUGACCUAAUUGGUCAUGCCAAAUAGUAAAAGAUGUGGUUCUACAAACUUCUGGCUUGUAGUAACAUGUGACUCAAUUGCACUAAUAUGUGUAUUGUCGAAACCUUUUUGGAAAUCAAAUUUUUAUUUUAAAACGAAGACGGAUUCACCACCAAUCCUUUUUAAUUAGGUGUGAUCGGAUCACCUUGAAACUUAAUCAUUUUAAUAAAAAAGUUAAAUUUACUAAAACAAUAAUUUUCGGUCUACAAAAUCCAAGAAGUGGGUUCGGGAGUCAGUUAUGUAUGAGAAAGGAUUAUCUCCCUCAUAACGCCCAAAAUUGGUACCUAGUUGAUUACUUGAUGUCUUAGCGUCGAAAAUUGAAAAUUUGAAGAGAAUUUAAAAUACGAUCCUCUGUUACAUGAUGUUAUUUGAUGGCAUUUAAAAUAUCACUAUCUAAAUUAAAUUUUAUGGAAAAGGCCUUCAUAUUUUGAGUUAAUUAGGAAGAAAAUCGUGCCUCAUAAGUUAGGGCACGAUGUUUCAAAUCCUAAAAAAUAAGAAUAAUCGCCAUUUAAUUAUUACCUAAGUCCUAUGUGCCUUGAAUUUUAAAAGAAUGUUCGAUUAUUUUGGUUCAAGGAGAAAGCCGUACCCCAUAAGUUAGGGUACGAUUUCUCGAAUCCCCUAAUUAAAGAACAUCAUCUCGGUUCUAAUUAUUUCUUAUGCGUCGGGUAAAAGCUAAUAUAACAUUUAAUGCAAUAUGUGAUUAAUUUAUUCGAGUCUAGGUACAAAAAUGAACGAGUAUUUAAACGUGUUGUAUAAUAUAGUAGUGGCAAAGAUAGAAUAAAAUAGCUUACGUGGGUAAAAAAUGAUAAUAAAAUCAUAAAAAAGUAGCAGUGGGAAUAAAUUUUAGUCGAUCAAUAAUACUACUUAAUAAUGGUAAUAAUAGUAAAAUAAUACGAGGAAGUAUGAUAAUGCUAUGAUCACGAUUGGGAUAAUAUUAGCAAUGACACAAUGUUAAAUAUAAAACAGUAAUUAGCAAUAAUAAUCAUUUAACAAUAAUAUCAACAUUUAAAAAUAAGAAAAAAACUAAAAUGAAAUGAUUAAGAAACUUGAGGAAUAAACCUUUAAAUUACGUAAUUUAAAGGGUAAAAAUAUAAAUAAGGAAAUUAAAAGUGCUGGAAAUUAAAUAAUAGAAAAUAAAGGGGUGGAAUUAAAUAAAUAAAAGACUAAAUUAAAAUUUAAACAAAAUUUAAACCAUGAAUUGCAAAAAAAAAAGAAAAAAGAAAAGGGGAAUAAAGGGCUAAAUUGAAAAUAUAACAAAAUUUAACACCUAAAUUAUAAGAAAAUAGAAUGUAAAGGAUUAAAUUAAAAUGGAAUAGAAAAGUUUAGGGACUCAAAGGGCAAUUAAUCCAACCAAGUACACGUGUCACUCCCUAAAGGGUCAACAGUCUGAAGACCAAACUGGAAACAAAUCAAAAUUAAAUGGUAUAAUUUUAAAAAGAAGAAAAAAAACGAAAUUAGGACCACAUCGAAAAAUGUCUAAAGGCCAAAGGACCUAGGAAGUAAUUUGACCCUUCUUUUGAAAACACGCGGAUCCAAGGGAUCCGGAUCGGGUCAUCGAGUUGAGCUUGAAACGACGUCGUUUUGGGUUUCUAAAGCUAAGCCCAAAACGACGCCGAUUUGAGAAGACUAUAUAAGUAAAAAAAAUGAUAAAAAAUUCAUUUUUGCAUCAGUUUUUUUAAAAAAACCACUUCCUUCCUUUCUUUUUUUUUUCCUCUCAAGCUCUUCUUGGUUUUUCUUUUUUUGUUUAGGUUUUGGGUUGGUGUAUUUGGGCUUUAGGGGUUUUUUUUAUUUGUUUGUUGUUUGGGCCGAACAAAAUUGGGCUGUUACAUGUAUAAUAUAAAUCUAAUAAAAAAGCAGGUAGCCUUUCCAAAACAUAUUUCUUUCCACAUUCAAUAUUUGUAAUAUAAAGAUAUUCAAUAUUUUUCUCAUUCAUAGUCUCAAUAUGAUAUCCCUUAAAACGAAUAUAUUUAAAACUCAAUAAAUUUCUUUGAGACUCAGUGGAAUAUAAAACAUCAUCAAUGACAAAUUUUGUACCUUUAGGAAAUAAUACAAUAGGUUUUCCAGAGCCUUCAAUAAGUUUUGAAUUACCUAAUAUUGUAUUCACAUGGGCAUUACUCAUUGUCAAAUGAGAAAAGUAUUUUUUUUUAUCUUUGAGUAUCGUAUUGUUGUAGCACUAUCUACAAGACACAUGUCUCCAUUGAUUUUGGGUCCACCGAAAUUUUGUUGAAUAUUCAUAUUCUUCAUAAAAACAAACAAAAAUAAUAUGAGAAACAUUACAAAUAUUUAUGAAAUAUAUAAAUUAUUCUUUAUGCAAGAAAAUAAAACAUACUUAAAACAACAUAAAAAUGUCAAAAUAACAUCAAUUUUUUCUAAUGAUUUUCAAAGAAAUCUGUCACAUCUAGGUGAGUUAUAUUAUUAAGGUCAUGAAAUUUAUCACCCUUGUAGGCAUGGUCAGUUUUAGUAUUAUAGUGAAUAUCUUCAUCUUUUUUCUCCAUUUCAUCAUUUUGGGAUAUAAAAUUUUUCUCUAUAUGCUUUCCCUUCUUUUUAAUGGAUGCUUGAUAAAGUUUCACUAAAUGCUUAGAUAUAUGACAAGUAUGUGACCAAUGCCCCUUCAUACCACAUUGGUAGCAUAUAUUCUAAACAAUCUUUAAAGGAUUAUUUUCACCACUUCUUUCUUGUCUUUCAUUGUUAUUAUUUUUCUGGUGGUUAGAAAUAUCAUUGUUAUGACCACCAUGAUAACGGUUACUAGUACGUCCUCGACCACGUCCCCCACUACGUCUACGACCACGACCACGACCUCUAUAUUUUCUAUUUUCAUAAUUUUGUGUAUUGUUACAUUCACUUUAGGGAAUGGUGCAGAACCAGUGGGACGAAUUCCAUUAUUUUUCAUCAACAGCUCAUUAUUUUCUUCAGCCACCACAAGGCAUGAAAUCAAGUCAGAAUACAUUUUAAAACCAUUUUCACGAUAUUGCUGCUGCAGGAGCACAUUAGUAACAUGAAAGGUUGAAAAUGUUUUCUCUAACAAGUCUUCAUCAGUUAUGUUUUCUCCACAUAAUUUUUUGUUGAGAACUAAUUUUGAAAAGUUCUGAAUUGUAUUCACUUACAGUCUUAAAAUCUUGCAACCGUAAGUGCAUCCAAUCAUAACGAGCUUUAGGGAGUAUCACCGUUUUCUGAUGGUCAAAUCGUUCUUUCAAAUUUUUCCACAACUCAAGAGGGUAUUUCACAGUGAGAUAUUACACUUUUAAUCCUUCAUGUAGAUGAUGACGGAUGAGAAUCAUUGCUUUUGCCUUGUCUUGAUUAGAUGCUUCUUUAUCUACUAAUAUAAUAUUUUCUAAACCUUUAGCAUCUAGGUGAAUUUUAGCAUCAAACACCCAUGACAAAUAAUUCUUGCCUGAGAUGUGUAAGGCCGCAAAUUCAAGUUUGGCAAGAUUUGACAUUAUAAUCACUUGAAUCAAAAAAAAAAAAUUAGUAAAAUAGUAAGCAUUCUCAAUAUAUAUACCAUAUUUGCUAAAUAAUAAUAUGUAUGUCAAAUAUUGGUAUAGAGAGGAAUAGUCAUAAUAAUAACUUAACACAAAUUAUAUUAAUUGAAAUUUCUUUUAAUAAAAAAAACUAUGUAUAGAUAAUUAUCAUUAUUAGAUUUGAGUUGUAAAAAUAAAUGUGCAAAUUUUAUCCAAAGCAAAUAUUUCAUCUAGAAAAUAAAAUAAAAUAAUUAUGAAAAUACAUAUACCAUAUAUAGUUUAACGAGAGUUAUACGGGCAAAUUAUAUAAAGUCGAAAUGACGUGAACUUUACUAUGAACUCGUAGAAGCUCGUGUUGAUAACGUCUUAUAAAACAAUCAAAUAAAAGAACACUUAAAAGUAAACAAAGAAUUUUCUCAUAUCUUCUUUUCAUUUAUAAAAGAGCUAUAUAUAACCCAUUGACAUUCAAUGCAACAUAAAUGAAUGAAGCUUAUUUAAUUGCUUCAUUAACAUGUACAUUAAGCAUCUUUAAUAAUGAAUGAGGGAUUUUAACUCAUUACUUUCAUAAAUGUUUAAAGAUUAUAGGCAUCCAUUUAAUGUAUUUACAGGAUGAAAUAAUUAUUUGAUAAUUAAAAAUUAAUGAAAGAAUUUUAAAUUGAACCCAAAAAAAUCUCAAAAGUCAAAACCUAAUUUAGGGAAGAAGUUUUGGUACUCAGAGAAAGAUUUGAAAUAGGUAAAACUUUUUGCAAAAGAAUUACAAAUAUAUAUAAUAAAAUAUUUGGUAAACUGCUAGUAGAAUUUUUAAACUCCAUAAAUAAGGUUAGGAGUUGAUAGUGUCCUAUAAAAAUAUAAUAAAUUAUUAAAAGGCAUAUAUAUUUUAAAAAAAGAAAUAUAUAUCAAUUUUUUAAUAAUUCUUGUGAAAUAAAAAAAUGCUAUUAAUGUAUCAAAACUCACCAUACUGUUAUAAAAUAAAGAGAGAUGGAGAGAAUAAAGAACAAAGAAAGUAUGAAAGCAAUAUAGAAUGUACUUUAUUGAUAAAAAAGGAUGAUUACAACGCUUCAUCAGAGUCUUUAUUUAUAGGUAUAAGAAGUAUAAAAGAAGUAGAGAUCUAAUUCUAAUAACUAUUAGAAUUUAAAGUACAUUAAAACUUUAUAUUGAUCAUGAUGAACAUCCACUUAAUAAGAUAUUCAUAACACUCCCCCCUUGGAUUUCCAUUGGUAGAUAAUGUGCCUCGUCAAAACCUUAUUAGAAAAAAACCUUAUGGGAUAAAAUCCUAAUGAAGGAAAAAGAGUAAAUAAUCUAUAAUACGCAUAAUAUGCUGCCUCAUUAAAAACCUUACUAGGAAAACCUAAUGGGACAAAACCUCGAUUAAUGGAAAAAGAGUGCAACGCAUAUGUACUCUCCUCAUGAAAACUGUAACACCCCUAACCCGUAUCCGUCGCCGAAUUAGGGUUAUGAGGCAUUAUUGGAAAUAACAAGAUAAAACAUAAUCAUGGAACACUCUUAAUCACUUAAUCAUGAAGUUACUUUUAUGACUUUGACAGACUUAACUAAUCACAAAUAGAUUCAAUUACAAAUCAUAAAUUACAAAUCAGCACUAUUAAAAUUUAUCAUUUAUUCGAUACUUAAUAGUCAACUUUAUUGACAUAUACUAAACCAUCAAAACAAUUAACGAUGCAAGUAUUAUCAUCACAAUCGAAUUCUAGUACUCAUGGCACAUUCGGACUUAUAUACCUUUCAUAUCAAUUUACAUUUCGGACUUAUAUACCUUUCAUAUCAAUUUACAUUUUAACUUAUUACCAAAUUCAUAUAUAGAUGUGCAAUUCAUUUGAGUCAAAUAAAUAAAUAAAUAAAAGCAAAACAUCCAGAUAUAAUAUGUUAUGUCAAAUAAACAUAUUUAUUCACAAAAUAAAUAAAAAAACUUAUCAAUUAACAACCACACCAUUACAUAUUCAUUCUAUUAUAACAAAUAAUUUGCCAUAACAUUUAAAUUUCUCAAAUAUAUGAGUCACAACCGAAUGCAUGUAGUAUUAAAACAAUAGAUAUGUCAUGCUUAAAUAGCCGACAAAUUUCAUGUAAUUUAUACACAUUUAAUCAAAAUCAUUUAACAUAUUCAAACCUAAUAUUUAUCAAUUCACGUAUAUAUAUUCAAAACAUUAUUUAACCAUUUAAUACAUAUCAUGUCCGAAAAUAUGAGUUCUUUACACGUAGACUUAUAACAACCUAUAAGGCCGAACAUACAUAGGUGUUUAAUCAUCCAUUAACUAAGAAAUAAUAUUCAAUUCAUGAACCUAUUUUUAAGCCAUAUAAGCUUAACCAAAGCAUCAUCUAAAUCCAAUAUGUCAAAAGCAAUAAUACUAAACUUUACCUAUCAAACAUAUUUGCCUUAGCCGAAUAUAUACAUUACCUAAACUUAAUUAACCAUGCACAUGAUAACAUAAGCAUAUACUCCAUAUUGCCCUUAAACUAUAUGCAUCAAAGCCAAAUUCAAACAAAAAGAGAUAAGCCAUUUUCACAUGGCUUUUAAUUAAACAUACACAUUGGUUCCAAAAUCAACAUUUUAACUAUGCUAUACAUGCCAUAUACUUGAAAAUAACUUAGCAAAGUACCCAAAGAAAAUGUCGAUAGUGUGAUAGGCUUGGCUGACGAUCCCCGAGUAGCGAUUUUAAAAUCUAUAAAACAAAGUAAACAAAUACAAACACACAAUAAGCUAAUUGGAACUUAGUAAGUCAUAAGCAUAAACACGUAUAAUAAUUAUGACUUGUAACAUUGAAUUAAUAAAGAUAAAAUUCACAUCAUUCACAGUAAAGAAUUAUCAUCUACUACUAUAUUAUACGUUGAUCACAUAUACAAAAUACAUGGCCGAAUAUGGUCUUUCAUAAACAUAUAUAAACUUUUACUCUUGUCAUCAUGCAUAAUGCUAUAAGCCAAAUCAAAUUUGUAUACAAUCAUGAUAUUUCACAGCUUAUAUUCACAUAUCUUAUAUAAUGUCAAGAAAUCAACUCACCUCGUUUUCAUAUAUAUAAUUAACUAACACAUACCUGAACAGGUAGUUCAAUUUCACAAUCAAUCUUUACUGAACAUUUCCCGUUGAACCGUUCGGAACUAAAAAGGAUACGCGGAUAUUGGAAAACUCGUACAACGCCAACGUCCCAGACGUGGUCUUACAUGUAAACAUAUAUCGAUGCCACUGUCCCAGAUAGGGUCUUACACGUAAACAAAAACUGAUGCCAACUCCCAGACGUGGUCUUUCACGAUAACACAUAUCAAAAAUCCUAUGUCAUGAAAUAUGUAUCCUAACUAUUUCCUAGGGUUCGUACGAGACUUCCGGAUACUAAAUCUCGAAUGAAUCGAACUUGGAAUUUAAUCUCCCAAUCAUAUAUGCAUUCGGCAAUACCAAAAAAAAAUCAUGAUAAUCUCAUUCAUAAUAUAGCAUAAAUAUAUAUCAUAAUUUAUCAACAUUUAUAUGCUUAUCGACUUACCUCGGAUGUUGUUAAUUAUUAAAUCAGCUACUCGACCACUUUUGUCUUUCCCCGAUCCAAAUUCGAUUUCUUUAAUUUUUGAUCUAAACAUAUUCAAAUUAAGCUUAUUUAAACACAAUUCUAUUCAAUUUAGCCUAAAAACACAUAAAUGGUCAAAUUACAAUUUUUCCCCUAACAUUUCACACUUUUUACAAUUUAGUCCUUUUUGCUCAAAACACAAAACACACAAAAUUUGACUACACUCCUUAAGGGCCGAAUAUUCCUAGUGUCCAUACAAGCCCACACAUUUCAUUUAUUUCACAUUUUAGCCCCUCAAAAAUUUAUUUUUAUAAUUUAACCCUAAUUACUCAAAUUCAUCAAAAAUUCAAAGACAAAACAUGUUAAUCUUUCACAUAUCUUUCAUAUUUCAUCAUCAACUAUCACAAAGCUCAAGCAUUCAUCAAUGACAUUUCUCAAAAUCAUCAACAAUUCACAAAAUUUAGACAUGGGUUUUGAAGUAUUCAAAACAACGAUCUCAAAAACGUAAAAAUUAUCAAAAACCGAACAAAAACUAACCUUAAAUUAAGCUUCAAAAUGGCCGAAUGUUUCAAGCUUUCAAACCUUGUUUUUCUUUUCUACAUUCGGUGAAGAAAGAUGAACAUAAAAUGGUGGUAUUUUUUAAUGUUUUGUUUUAUUAUAACAUAUAUUAUUAUAUUAUUAUUAUUUUAACUUUUAUUAUUAUUAUUAUUAUUAUAUAUAUAUAAAUCACAUAUCAUCAUUAUGCCAUCCAUUACCUAUUAUUAUUGGCUAAAUUACAACAUAAGACCUCAAACUUAUAAAGACAACAACAAUUAGGCACUUUCUUAAUUAACCAUCAAAUUUUUAUUUUACGAGAUUAAGCCUCUUUUUUUUCAAAUUAAGCACACAAACAAUAAAAUUAAUUCACGAAACUUUCACACAUGUAAAUUCACACAUAAUUAACACAGAAAAUAAUAUUAAAAUAUUUUUUCAACUCGGAUUUGUGGUCCCGAAACCACUGUUCUGAUUAGGGUUAAAAUCGGGCUGUUACAAAAACAUCACAUAUUUUCUCAUAUUCUACGUAUUCAAUCUUAAAUACUAGUUUUUCAAAUGACUAUUUUAAUGUAAUUGAUAAGUAUUUAUAUUACCAUUCUUUUAAAAGUCACGGGUUAGGGAAAUUUGGGGGAAAUAUAUUUUGAUCUAUUCAAGAGAUUCAACAAUAACCAUAACAAACUUUAAUAAUGAUUCUUUAAUAAAAAACACAAAUAGGUAUUUUGGAUCAUUUUAUGAUCCUCCUUCAACUACUAUUCACUAAGUCAAAUUUACCACAUAUGUUCAAAUUAUUUCAAUUCAGAUAAAUGAACAAUUUCUCGAGAAUUUCAAUAUACUUCUAGCAUCCUAAAUCCUUUAAAGAUUUUAAUAUAAACUUUACUAUCUAGUGAUUCAUAAAAGGUUGUAAUAAUAACCAUUAGGCGCAAGUUAAAUAUUUUAUGAAUUGUCAACUUAAUAAUAUAUCUAAAGGUUAUUGCAUCUACCACAAAAUAAUAUUAUAGAUUUUCAUAAUCAAUGCCAGGACUUAGUGAAAACUUCAUAUUUUUAUCCCACUUUUACAAAACUACUUCAAUUGCACCCUCAUUGGCUUUAUACCUUUAGAUAUUUGGACUACUGGUCCAAAAACUCCACGAAUUUAAUUGUACUUGAGUUGCGUCUUUCUAUUUUGAUUAAUUUAUUCCAUAUUUAUAUUUCUCAAUAGAUUUAUUUAAGAUAUUCUUUUUAUUUCAUUAUUUCAAUAAUAAUAUUGCAUGCAAAACCAUUGUCGUCCACUUUUAUUAUUUGGUUCCACAUUUUCUCGAAUUGACAUAACUUAUCGAGAUUUCUUAUUUUCAUUUUUUUAAAAUUCAGUUUUAGGCAUCUGAAUCUCUUUUGAAGUUUUACUUAUUAGUUAUGUUUUGGGUUUCUUCUUGAGCACUCGCCUCAACUAUAUAACCAUCUAGAAGAAUUUUUAUCUUUGAAACCAAUCAAUUUAUUAUUUAUUCUAAUUGAUUGUCCUAUUGGGACUUUGAUUCAAAUUAAAAUAUUAGAUGGUAUAUAACAUUUGGUUAUUCUCAUUAAGUUUGUAAAUACAUCUAACAGUUAACUUGUAAUGAGUUGUCCUUAUUGAACUUCUGGUUCAAAUUACUCUCCCCCUAACUCAUUACCAGUUAUUAUUUCUCUCCCCCUAAUAUCGGGAAAACUAUCGAAUCAAAAUUGUAAUCACAAAUCAUGUCAUAAUUGAAUCUGGAAUACAUUCAAACAUCUAAUAAUAUAAAUAAACUUAUAAUUAAUAUAUAUUUUCAACUUUCUUUGAGGAUUCGCUCAUCUUUGUGCAUUGUGGUGGAGCAAAUGGAACAUAUACGCACAUAAAAGAAAUUCAAAGGUGAGAAAUAUUUAGCUCUUGAUUAAAAACCAAUUGGAAUAGGGGGUAUUUAUAACUUAUUGACUUGAUGUGUACAACACAUAAAUCAACAUAAUCUCAUGUUGAAAUAGGAAGUUUAGUUCUCAUAGGUAAUGGUUUUGACAUUAAUCAGAGAUGUUCAAUCAAUAAUUUCUCUAAACCAUUAUGCGUAAACUUUUACAAAAAUUUUUCAAACUCAAUCAAUAAAAGAUUGAGAUAUAAACUCAUCAGUAUUAGCAAGAGGAAUUGCCUUAAUUGCAUGAUUUAAUAUUAAUUAUUUAAACAAGUAAUCUUGCAAAUGACAGGUUGCAAAUUGAUAACACAUAUGUGAUUAUUUUGUAGAUGCAUCUACCAAAAUCAUAUAAUAUCAAAACCAUCCACAUGGUGGAUGAAUGGGCCCAUAUUCGUUUCAGAAAUGCAAGACAUUAAAUCUCAACUUUAGCUAUUGAGUUUCUAAUAAUCAAUUUUCAUUGAGAACAAGCAACAUAUGAUAAUUCAUUGAGAACAAGCAACAUAUGAAUGGACCCAUAUUCGUUUCAGAAAUGCAAGAACCAGAAAAUUUUUUAAUGAAUGUCCACAUGAAUUCUUAAUUAAUUUUUGCAUCAUAUAUGAUCUAGGAUGGUAUAACCGGUCAUGCCAAGUAGUAAAUGCAUUUGUAUCAGUAAACUUCUGUUUUACUUUAACAUGUGUUUCAAUUGUACUAAAUUGUAACAAAUUAAUAAUUUUACUAUCAUUCCUUUUACUUUGUAUUCACAUAUAAGUGCUAUUGUGACGUUUACUAUUGGAAAUGUCUAAAUAAAUGUGAAUAUUAUAAUGUCACUAAUUCAACAAAAUAAAUAUAAUUUUCAAACAAUUAUAUGAAAUAUUCGCUUCAGAGAAUAUGCCAAAAUAUUCAUAUAUCUAUUUUUUUUUUUGCAACUUUAGGUACAUCCAACCAUAACGAGCUUUAGAUAGAAUUAUCGUAUUUUAUUGCUCAUAAAUAGAUCUUUCACAGUCAAAUAUUUUGCUUCCAACCCCUUAAUGGGGAUGAUGACAAAAGAAGAUCACAAAGAUUAUAAAAUAAAUAUAAAUUAAUAACCCAAUCCUCUCUUUUUCAUCCUUUUAUAGCAAUAGUGAUUCAUAUGAAAUAUAAUAUUUUCCUCAUUCACAACCUCAAUAUAAGAUCCAUUAUAAAUAUCUUUUAAAACCAAUGGACUAACCAUCACAAGAUAUUAAUAAAUUAGCUCUUCUAGAGCUUUCGACUAAUUUUGUACUAUCAAAUAUUAGAAUAAUAUCUAUUUGUUUUAGUACCAAAUAAGAUAAAUACUUCCUAUACUUUCUAUCUAUAGUGAUAGAAUUUAUUACUACAUUCACAUAUCCUUCCUCAAAAAAUAUUAACAGAAACAAAAUAUUUAGGCAUAUGCCACAUAUGUGGCCAAUAAUCUUUCAUAUCACAUUAAUAACAUAAGUUAUCUUUCUUGUUGAGAUAUAAACUCAUCAGUAUUAGCAAGAUGAAUUGUCUUAAUUGCAUGAUUUAAAAUUAAUUAUUUAAACAAGUAAUCUUGCAAAUGACAGGUUGCAAAUUGAUAACACAUAUAUGAUUAUUUUGUAGAUGCAUCUACCAAAAUCAUAUAAUAUCAAAACCAUCCACAUGGUGGAUGAAUGAGCCCAUAUUCGUUUAAAAAAUGCAAGACAUUAAAAUUUCAACUUUAGCUAUUGAGUUUCUAAUAAUCAAUUUUCAUUGGGAACAAGCAAUAUAUGAUAAUUCAUUGAGAACAAGCAACAUAUGAAUGGACCCAUAUUUAUUUCAGAAAUACAAGAACCAGAAAAUUUUUAAUGAAUGUCCACAUGAAUUCUUAAUUAAUUUUCGCAUCAUUUAUGAUCCAGGAUGGUCUAACUGGUCAUGCCAAGUAGUAAAUGCAUUUGUAUUAGUAAACUUCAGUUUUACUUUAACAUGUGUUUCAAUUGUACUAAAUUGUAAAAAAUUAAUAAUUUUACUAUAAUUCAUUUUACUUUGUAUCCACAUGUAAGUGCUAUUGUGACGUUUACUACUGGAAAUAUCUAAAUCAAUGUGAAUAUUAUAAUGUCACUAAUUCAACAAAAUAAAUAUAAUUUCUAAACAAUUACAUGUAGUAUUCGCUUCAAGGAAUAUGCCAAAAUCUUCAUAUAUCUAUUUUUUUUUUGCAACUUUAGGUACAACCAACCGUAACGAGCUUUAGAUAGAAUUAUCAUAUUUUAUUGCUCAUAAAUAGAUCUUUCACAGUCAAAUAUUUUGCUUCCAAUCCCUUAAUGGGGAUGAUGACAAAAGAAGAUCACAAAGAUUAUAAAAUAAAUAUAAAUUAAUAACCCAAUCCUCUCUAUUUCAUCCUUUUAUAGCAAUAGUGAUUCAUAUGAAAUAUAACAUUUUCCUCAUUCACAACCUUAAUAUAAGAUCCAUUAUAAAUAUCUUUUAAAACCAAUGGACUAACCAUCACAAGAUAUUAAUAAAUUAGCUCUUCUAGAGCUUUCGACUAAUUUUGUACUAUCAAAUAUUAGAAUAAUAUCUAUUUGUUUUAGUACCAAAUAAGAUAAAUACUUCCUAUACUUUCUAUCUAUAGUGAUAGAAUUUAUUACUACAUUCACAUAUCCUUCCUCAAAAAAUAUUAACAGAAACAAAAUAUUUAGGCAUAUGCCACAUAUGUGGCCAAUAAUCUUUCAUAUCACAUUAAUAACAUAAGUUAUCUUUCUUGUUGAGAUAUAAACUCAUCAGUAUUAGCAAGAUGAAUUGUCUUAAUUGCAUGAUUUAAAAUUAAUUAUUUAAACAAGUAAUCUUGCAAAUGACAGGUUGCAAAUUGAUAACACAUAUAUGAUUAUUUUGUAGAUGCAUCUACCAAAAUCAUAUAAUAUCAAAACCAUCCACAUGGUGGAUGAAUGAGCCCAUAUUCGUUUAAAAAAUGCAAGACAUUAAAAUUUCAACUUUAGCUAUUGAGUUUCUAAUAAUCAAUUUUCAUUGGGAACAAGCAAUAUAUGAUAAUUCAUUGAGAACAAGCAACAUAUGAAUGGACCCAUAUUUAUUUCAGAAAUACAAGAACCAGAAAAUUUUUAAUGAAUGUCCACAUGAAUUCUUAAUUAAUUUUCGCAUCAUUUAUGAUCCAGGAUGGUCUAACUGGUCAUGCCAAGUAGUAAAUGCAUUUGUAUUAGUAAACUUCUGUUUUACUUUAACAUGUGUUUCAAUUGUACUAAAUUGUAAAAAAUUAAUAAUUUUACUAUAAUUCAUUUUACUUUGUAUCCACAUGUAAGUGCUAUUGUGACGUUUACUACUGGAAAUAUCUAAAUCAAUGUGAAUAUUAUAAUGUCACUAAUUCAACAAAAUAAAUAUAAUUUCUAAACAAUUACAUGUAGUAUUCGCUUCAAGGAAUAUGCCAAAAUCUUCAUAUAUCUAUUUUUUUUUUUGCAACUUUAGGUACAACCAACCGUAACGAGCUUUAGAUAGAAUUAUCAUAUUUUAUUGCUCAUAAAUAGAUCUUUCACAGUCAAAUAUUUUGCUUCCAAUCCCUUAAUGGGGAUGAUGACAAAAGAAGAUCACAAAGAUUAUAAAAUAAAUAUAAAUUAAUAACCCAAUCCUCUCUUUUUCAUCCUUUUAUAGCAAUAGUGAUUCAUAUGAAAUAUAACAUUUUCCUCAUUCACAACCUUAAUAUAAGAUCCAUUAUAAAUAUAUUUUAAAACCAAUGGACUAACCAUCACAAGAUAUUAAUAAAUUAGCUCUUCUAGAGCUUUUGGCUAAUUUUGUACUAUCAAAUAUUAGAAUAAUAUCUGUUUGUUUUGGUACCAAAUAAGAUAAAUACUUUCUAUACUUUCUAUCUAUAGUGAUAGAAUUUAUUGCUACAUUCACAUAUUCUUCCUAAAAAAUUAUUAACAGAAACAAAAUAUUUAGGCAUAUGCCACAUAUGUGGCCAAUAAUCUUUCAUAUCACAUUAAUAACAUAAGUUAUCUUUCUUGUUGAGAUAUAAACUCAUCAGUAUUAGCAAGAUGAAUUGUCUUAAUUGCAUGAUUUAAAAUUAAUUAUUUAAACAAGUAAUCUUGCAAAUGAUAGGUUGCAAAUUGAUAACACAUAUGUGAUUAUUUUGUAGAUGCAUCUACCAAAAUCAUAUAAUAUCAAAACCAUCCACAUGGUGGAUGAAUGAGCCCAUAUUCAUUUCAAAAAUGCAAGACAUUAAAUUUCAAAUUUAGCUAUUGAGUUUCUAAUAAUCAAUUUUCAUUGGGAACAAGCAACAUAUGAUAAUUCAUUAAGAACAAGCAACAUAUGAAUGGACCCAUAUUCGUUUCAGAAAUACAAGAACCAGAAAAUUUUUAAUGAAUGUCCACAUGAAUUCUUAAUUAAUUUUCGCAUCAUUUAUAAUUCAGGAUGGUCUAACUGGUCACGCCAAGUAGUAAAUGCAUUUGUAUUAGUAAACUUCUGUUUUACUUUAACAUGUGUUUCAAUUGUACUAAAUUGUAACAAAUUAAUAAUUUUACUAUCAUUCCUUUUACUUUGUAUCCACAUGUAAGUGCUAUUAUGACGUUUACUACUGGAAAUAUCUAAAUCAAUGUGAAUAUUAUAAUGUCACUAAUUCAACAAAAUAAAUAUAAUUUCUAAACAAUUAUAUGUAGUAUUCGCUUCAAGGAAUAUGCAAAAAUCUUUAUAUAUCUAAUUUUUUUUUUGCAACUUUAGGUACAUUCAACCAUAACGAGCUUUAGAUAGAAUUAAAAUAUUUUAUUGCUCAUAAAUAGAUCUUUCACAGUCAAAUAUUUUGCUUCCAAUCCCUUAAUGGGGAUGAUGACAAAAAAAGAUCACAAAGAUUAUAAAAUAAAUAUAAAUUAAUAACCCAAUCCUCUCUUUUUCAUCCUUUUAUAGCAAUAGUGAUUCAUAUGAAAUAUAAUUUUUUUCUCAUUCACAAUCUCAAUAUAAGAUCCAUUAUAAAUAUCUUUUAAAACCAAUAGACUAACCAUCACAAGAUAUUAAUAUAUUAGCUCUUCUAGAGCUUUCGACUAAUUUUGUACUAUCAAAUAUUAGAAUAAUAUUUGUUUGUUCUAGUACCAAAUAAGAUAAAUACUUUCUAUAAUUUCUAUCUAUAAUGAUAGAAUUUAUUACUACAUUCUCAUAUCCUUCCUCAAAGAAUAUUAACAGAAACAAAAUAUUUAGGCAUAUGUCACAUAUGUGGCCAAUAAUCUUUCAUAUCACAUUAAUAAUGUCGAAACCAUUUUUUAUGGAUUUGAAAAAUGGGAAUCGACUUUUAAAAAUGAAAAUGGGAGUCGCCACUGAUCCUUUGUUGAGGUGUGAUCGGUCCACCUUAAAACGGUUUUGGCCUACGAGAUUUGAGAAAAUAGGUUCGGGAGCCGGUUAUGCACGAAGAAGGGUUAACACCCUCGUAACGCCCAAAAUUGGUACCGAAUCGAUUGUUUAAUGUCUUAAUGUUGAAAAGAUUUUAAAAUACGAUCCUUUGAAAAGAAAAUUUGAGUAAAAUGAAUUGGACGAUGAGACUCACCUAUUUCAAAGAAAUAAAUCGUCACACUCAGUAAGUUAGAGCGCAACAUUUUAAAUCCUCAAAAUUAAAUUUAUCUCUUGACUUUUGAAACCUAUACAUUUUGAGAAGGAUUUCCGAUUAUUUGGGUCAAAUCAGAAAAUCAAAACCCAGUAAGUUAGGGUUCAAUUUCACAAAAUCCCUAAAUAUCAAAUAUUGCCUUUAUUUUUAUUCAUUAUUUAGAAAAAAUCCUCAUCUCGAGAAAACCAUACGUCGUAUUCAAUGCGUUAAGAUACAACAUAUCGAAUUCCCGAUAAUGAGCUUUUUAUUUGUGUGUUUUGAUUAAAGAAUAAACUCGAUUAUUUAGAUUCGACGAGGAAAAUUGGAACCCAAUAUGUUAGGGCUCAAUUCUUUCGAAGAUCCUAAAUACCGAACUCUGCGUUAUCUUAAAAUUUUUUUUGAGUAAAUUGAUUUUGAUACUUAAAUGAUAUUAAACGUAAUCUUUUGAACGGAUAAAAACGAUUGAAUAAUAAUGUACCAUGCGAGAUGAGGAUUCAUAAACUAAAGCAUACACUAAUGAGUAACAAAGAUUUAAUAUAUACGAAUAAACAAUAUCAUAUACAUAAGAGCAACAAUUUUAUAUCCUACAUUAUGCAAAUACUAACAUCCAUAUUAGCAAGCAAAAUGAAUUAAAAAACUAAUAUUAAAAAAAUUAACAAGCGAAUUAAAUAAAAUGGAACAAGUUUUUAAAUAAAAAAAAAGCAACAUUAAAGAAGGGAAAUUAUAUAUUGAAAUAAGUUUAAAAUAAUAUAUAUACACAUGAAAGUUUGAAAUAAAUGAAAAAUAUAGUUAAAAACAAAUACUUCAUAAAAUAAUAGUAUCCCAAUAAAUUUAAAAAUAAAUAUUAUAAAACUAUAAAAAGUGUACAAAUUAUAUUUAGUUAUCAUAAAAUUAAGAUAAUAAGUAUUAAAUUUUAAUAAUAAUAUAUGAAAAAUUAAAAUAACACGCGAAAGAAAACUUUUAGAAAAAUGGUUCAAUUGAUUUAAAUAAUAUCAAUAAUGAAUUUAUACUAAUAAGUUUAAUUAUUAAAAUAACAUUAGAUUAAACUUAAAUAUAUUAAAGAAAACAGAACCAAAAUAUUUAAAUUAAUUAAAAUGAACAAAUUAAAAUAGAGAUUAAAAUGGAUUUAAUGCUUAAUCGAAAAAAGAAAAUAAAUAAAAAGAAAAAGAAAAGAAAAUUAAAAGGCAAAAUGAAGCUUGCGCAUUACAUGAGGGAUUAAAUGGGAAAUAUUCCCCGCCCUUCAAAACGCAUAGUGGCAGAAGGGACCAAAAUGAAACAACAAUGACAUAUCAGGCAGAAUCUAAAAAACUAAAAAGAUUGAUUUGGAUGCGCUUUAAAGGCGAGGGACUAAGCGCGAAAAUAAAGCACCAGAGGCCAAAAUGCGCGGAUCCAGCUGGUUCGGGUCGGGUUGGACGCGCGGGUAUGCAAAUACGACGCUGUUUUGGUGGUCACUGAUUCAGGCCCCAAACGACGCCGUUUCAACACCCCAAAGAACCAACUUUAAAACCCUAAACAAGGUUAUUCGACCACUAAAAAAAUAGCAUAAAAAACCUUUGCCUUUCCUCUCUCCUCUUGCACCAUUCUCAGGCUAAAACCAUCCCUAACCUCUCUGGUAUCCACGAAACCGAUGAGAACGAUGACGGGGUCACAGAGGCAUGUACUCCCUUUCCCUUUUAUUAUUUCUGUUCUUAACAAACAACUAAUGAACACAAAAUAAAAGAAAGAAAAAAACGGUAAAUAUAAAACAAAAGAAACUCAGAAAUCACCUCUUAGUAUUUCAAUUUUUUUCGUGUUCUAAAUUCGUGUCCCCUUUACAAUAUUCAAAUGGCCUUUUUAUGGCCAGAAUUACAGAAAAUAAAAUAAAAAGAAAUCCUCCCAAAUCCCCUCUGUUGCCCCUUUUCUAUCAUUUCUUUUUUACUGCCGUGUGUUCGUUGCAGGUUGUUUGUCCUUCUUGCAGGUACGGAGCAGUGGACGUGGAGGCAUGUGAAGGCAUCGCGCAUGUGUGAGGAGUGGCUCGAAGGUGUGGUGGCGUACGCACGAGAGGGGAGCAUGCUGGCUGCGGCGCUGGUGCUAGGGCUGAAUGCCUAGGGUUUUUGCUUGUGGUUAAGGCUAGUGGGGUUAGGUGAUUGGGCUCAUUGGGUUGGGGAUAUUGGGCUAGGCUAGUGUUUGGGUACUUAAUUUAACUGGGUUUGUAAUCUGGACAUUAUGUUUUUUUUGGACCAUUUUUUUAUUUUAUUUGGUUUAUUUUACUAACAGGCCAGGCAAAUUAGGCCUAUUACAGCUACCCCUCUUUUCUCGUUGUCAUGAAACGGGAACAAAGCAAAAACUAAAAAUGGCCGAUUUUUCCAGGUUGAUUUUGGACCUUGGUGCUCUUCUUCUUCGAGUUGCCUCAUUCCAUCCUACUGCAUCUUCAGAGGUAUAGGAAUUGGUGUUUCGAUCCACUCCACUGUAACAUCAGGGUGAUAGGAUUUGUAACUCGUAACCUUAAUAUGUUUAACUGUGAUGUCGAGGAAGCAAUAUUCGCUGUUGUAGCUUCAAUCUGUUCCACUACACUGCCUGGGAAGUAAGAUUCGCUGUUGUAGUUUUAAUCUUUCUAACUGCAAUAUCGGGGAAGCAAGAUUCGCCGUUGUGGCGUUAAUCUAUUCCACUGCACCACUUGAGAAGUAAGAUUCGUUGUUGUAGCUUUAAUCUUUUUAACUGCAAUGGCGGGGAAGCAAGGUUUGCCAUUGUGGCUUUAAUCUGUUCCACUACAUCGCUUGGGGAGUAGGAUUCGCCGCUGUGGCUUUAAUCUUUUUAACUGCAAUGUCGGGGAAGCAAGAUUCACCGAUGUGGCUUUAAUCUAUUCCACUGCACCGUCAGGGAAGUAGGAUUCGCCGCUGUGGCUUUAAUCUUUUUAACUGCAAUGUCGGGGAAGCAAGAUUCACCGAUGUGGCUUUAAUCUGUUCCACUGCAUCGCCUGGGAAUUAGGAUUCGCCGCUGUGGCUUUAAUCUUUUUUACUGCAAUGUCGGGGAAGCAAGAUUCACCGAUGUGGCUUUAAUCUGUUCCAUUGCAUCGCCUGGGAAGUAAAACUGGUAUUUUCGAUCUGCUUCGUUGUCGAUGCAGGAAGACAAGAUCCGCUAUCUUCACUGAUCUGUUGUCUGGGGAACAUGACCUGUAUAAUGAACCUAAUUAUGCCUAAUGAUUAAGAUGCCAUGAUCAAAAUGAAUCCAAUGCUCCUAACUAGACAUGUGAAUAAUACUUGCAUGAACGCAGAAUUUUAUUUUUUCCGAGAAUGAUCCCGUUUAGGUUGUCAUUACUCCAAGUUUAUUAAGGCUUUGUGACUGACGUGCUACAACGCCUUCUUGCUUGACUGGCUUUUCUGAAGAAACAUUUAGCCAGGUUGCCCCCCACUGUAAACCUCAAAGUUUAAACCAUUAGGGCGCAAAAUUUGUACCAUCAUUCUCCCACUGCAAUCCAAGGGUAGAAAUAUGUGGCUUUUACUCAAUCCUCUCUUGUCACAAUUCAAUGAUACAGGACCUAAAUCGUUCUAGUUCCUUACACCAUUCUCAGGGUGUCAUACCAAAGACUCAUGCGCAAAUGAAGGCUCUCUUCUCUGAGGUAACCUCUUCCUAUUGCCUGAUGAUCAUUGCUUGCUCAUUUAUUUAAGCUUUGUCAUUAACACAACAUCUUGUCAUUUUGUUCAAUCAAUGCAUUUGACCACAAAAUCCAAAGAGAUAGUCCAAAUUUAGACUCUUCCUUCUCAAAUUUCCAACCUUUAAAUUUGGUGUGUUCUAAACAAUAGUCCUGUUUCAGGUUCCUAUAUUAUUUAGAAACUUUUCAGAGUAAUAUGCAAAACUUCCCUUGUGAAAGUUUUAUUAGUCCAUUAAUCAUUAUUCCAAUGCAUAAGAAUAAAGUUAGUCCUGGCAUAGCUCAAAAUGAAUAAGUUAUCAAAAAUAGUAAAGAAGGAUAAUAAAGAAAUUGAUCGGGAAUGUAUAUCUUGGAAAAGAAAAAAGUAUUCCAAGAACAACAAAUUCAAUAUAAAUAAGUUUUCGCCUUGACCUCUCCUUUUCUUUUUCCUUCUCUCUUCUUUCAUUUUCAUUUUGACUUUGAUUUUGAUUUUUCUUUUUCUUCUUUUUUUGUUUUUGAUUUUGAUUUUUUUUAAUUUUUAAUUUUUAAUUUGUCUUUAUCCUUUCCUUUUUCUUUUUUUAUUGCUUUUUUUAUUUUUUUCUUCUUUUUAUUAUUUAUUUAUUUAUUGAAUAUGAACUCAUAGGGUUAGGCAAAUCCUUGUUAUCCUUUUCGAAGAAUCUUCUUUAAUAUCGAAUUUCCUUCAUAGAGACUUCUAGGGCGAACCUACGACAGAAAACUUUUGCUCUUCCUCUUCAAUCAGGAUAAAAUCCAACAACAUCUUGAAGGGAUGAAAACCCGACUUCAAAUGGGCAAAACUAUGCUGACUCAACGAGAAAGGCAUUUCCCCGGCAAAGAAUUACAUAAUUUAUACUGUAGAUUUCUGACAUCGUACUGUUGUGCAGAUUUCAUUAUCAGUGCUUAACCCGGGCAUAUCCUGGUAUGAUCAUACAAAGACAUUUUUGAACUCUAGAGGUAACUCAACAAGGUCUUGCUUCGUCUUUGCAGUCAGGUCAAUUCUAAUUUUCACCAAACUCACAAUUCCUAAUGAUUCCUUGUGGGGUAGGAUCUGUCUAUCCUCUUGUUCAACCAUCCUUAACAAGUCCAGCGAUAAGCUACAAUUUUUGUCAUUUUAAAAGUCAUGAGAUCCCUCUAAACACGUGCCCCGCUCAAAAGGAAAAUCUGGGUCUGUAGCAGAGUUAUUCACGUAAUUGAUAUCUGGGGACCCAUAAUAAGUACCGAAGAAUAUACAAAAGAAUGUAUAAAUUCAUGAAUAAUUAUUUGGACCAUAUGAUUAUGAAUGAAUGAAUAAUAAUUUGGAAGAAAAUCCAAAAGAAUGAAAAAAUCUGGGAUUGUUUGUAAAGAAUGAAAAUAUUGGCUCAGUAAUAAUUGAAAAGAUGUAUUUCAUUAAAAUAAUAAUGUUCAGACAUGAGCCUAUUUCACAAAGGAAAUUUCUAUCAUUUUUAGGCUAAAAACAACAAAAAUGUUCUAAACAUUACUCUAAAUAAGUUCUAAAAACUACAGGGCUUUUUUCCGCAGCCCAAUUGCUUAGAACACUCCCGAAUUUAUAAGGGCAGAUAUCUAACAAGGUCCCUUCUUCAGUUGCUUUUCGUUGAUGUGAACAUUUCCCACUCUUCUUCAUGCAUUGCAUUCACUCCAUUAUCAAUUAUGAUUAGGUAACGGAUUUUCUGCACUGAAGUCAUCAAACUUGACAACACCCAUGUUAAUGAGCCUUUCAACAAGCUUUUUAAAGAUGGUGAAAUUUUCUAUCGAAUGUCCCCCAAUUCUCCCAUGAUAAUCACACUGUGCAUUUGCAUCAUACCACUUGGGGUACGGAGGUUGCAAGGGCUUUGAGUAGAAAUGGGCAACAAUGUGCGCAUCGAAUAAGCGUUGAUACAGCUCCUUAUACGACAUCGGAAUUGGUGUGAACUGGAGUUUCUCAGAACUUGGUUUCACUCCAGAUUCUUGUCUCAGUGCACCUUAUUGACUAGCGACCACUUUAUCUGGAUGACUUACUGACCUUGAGUAACCUAUGUUACUCAUCUCAUCUUCUUUUCUCUUUGAAACUAACUUUUUGUUACUCUCUCCACCAUCUAUUCUUCCAUUUUUGAUGGCAUUUUCAAUCAUUUCGCCAUUCAUGAUUAUAUCUGAAAAACUCUUCGAAGCACUUCCCAACAUUUGAGUGAUGAACGGGGCCUUCAAUGUGUUGAUAAAGAGCAUUGUCGUCUCCUUCUCUAGGUGUGGCGGCUAAACUUGGACUGCAACCUCUCUCCACCUCUGUGCAUGUUGUAUAAAGCUUUCAUUUGAUUUCUUUUCCAAAUUUUGCAAGGUGAUUCUAUCGGGGGUCAUAUUUGUUACAUGCUCGUAUUGUUUCAUGAAUGCCUGUGCUAGGUCCCUCCAUGAACCAAUCUCGGUACAGCUCAACUGAUUGUACCAUUUCGACGCUGCUCCAAUGAGGCUAUCCUGAAAAUAAUGUAUUAAUAGCUGAUCAUUGUUAAUAUACCCAGUCAUUCUCCUACAGAACAUGGUGAUAUGGGCUUCAGGGCAAUUGGUCCCACUAUAUUUCUCAAAUUCAGGCAUCUUAAACUUGUGAGGGAGUACUAAGUCUGGAACCAAGCUCAGAUCUUUAGCAUCGAUUCCCUGGUGACUAUCGGUGCUUUCCAGGGCUUUGAAUUUUUCCUCCAACCAUUUACACUUAUCCUCCCAUUGUUUUGACAGUUUGACGUUUGCCUUCUCUUUUUCAGCCAUUUCAUUGAAAUCAGGAAUAACAAGAAUCACUGGGUUAUCUCUAGGAUUAGAACCUAAUCCAGCCUGAAAGUUCAUCGGCAUUGAAACAACAUCUUGAAACUACUGAGGCCUAAUUGAAACAAAGGAUCUACGCGGAUGCACCUCAGCUUGAGUUUGCACAUGCGGAGGCGUAAAGCCUGGAGGAUAUAGAGGUCCAUCCUUCUCUUCUUCUUCAUUUUUAACCAUAGGACCUUUCCCCUUAUUUACUCCAUUGGUCAAUAGUUGUGUUAGCUUGGUCAUCAUGUCGUUUUGAGACUCCCUCAUUUUUUCUGUCAUGUCAUGUUGAAUUUUUUCCAACUGCUCCUUCAUUUGUUUCUGUAGCUGAUCUUGCAUUUCUUUUUGUAUUUGCUCCAGUUUCUCUAUUCUUUGAUCCAUUUCCUUAGCUUUGCAACGAGUACCAUAAGGGUGUUUGGUUGGUUGGUUUUCCAGAUUAGCUAAAAUAAAUUUACUCUAUUAGGCACUUCCAAUGGAUUUUAAUGCAUGUAAUGCAAAUGCAUGAAAUGAAUGCCUCAAGAGACGUUGAUUCUGAUUCAAUUACACUUAGAAAACUUUACUAGAAGCAAAUUCCUUUACAUAAAGCAGAUGCAUGUACGACCUCACCCUUAUAUUCCAAGAGACAACAUCGAUCCCUUCCUUCAUCCGUAUGUAAAUCUCGCAAAUUUCCAAGGGAUGCCACUGCUAGCUCUUUUUCUUGAUCUUGGUCACGAUCCAUCAUCUGCCCAUCUUCAUAAGGCUCUUCAGCUUCUUCAAGGGAGUUGGAACGUCGAAGGCUCUGUAACACCCCUUACCCAUGUUCCUUGCCGAAAUAGAGUAUGAGGUAUUAUUAGAACUUAACACUUAUAAUUUUUUUUUAUAAAAAUUUCGGCAGCAUUUCUGCUUGUUUUUACAUAAAAUCCCCUGCAACUUUCCAAAAAUAAUUUCAAACAACUUCAAUAUUUCCAACCAAUUACAGAUAUAUGUUCAGACAUAAUUUUUCCAUUAAUAAUCACCAACAUAUUAAACCGAACAACACUAUAUAUAUAUUUGUACCACUUCACAUAAAGUCAUCUAUACAUGCCAUAUUUCAAAAUAUUAAUUACAAAAUACCCAAAAAGUUGAUGAUAGUGUGGAUGAUUUCCUGACUUCGUCCAAAUUCAAAACUGGCUGAUGUCACUACAAUCAAGGGAAAAUAAAAACGAGUAAGCAUAUAGCUUAGUAAGUAAACAUAUGACAAAUAAAUAAAUUUCUCACAUGAUUUCAUAGCAACAUAAUUUUAAUCACAUAAAUUUCAGGGUUCGUUUAAUUUCCAGCAAACUAUCAUUCUGCGUCACUGACGCUAAUUUAUUUUUAUCUGAAGCUACAGAACUCAAAAUUAAGUUUCGUAAAUUUUUCCUGAAACUAGACUCAUAUAGCUUUCUACCAUAAAAUUUUCAGAAUUUUUUACUUAGCCAAUUAGUACAGUUUAUUCUUUAAAUAUUCCCCUAUUCCACUGCCCAACGGUUCUGACCUCCCUUUACUAAAAUUUACUUAACUCUCUGUAAAAAAUUCAAAAAAUGAUCUCGUUUGUUUCUAUUAAAAAUAGACUCAAUAAGUAAUCCAGGAAUAUAAAUUUCAGGCCAUAAUUAUUUUUGUACAAUUUUCGGUGAUUUUCCAAAGUUGGAACAGGGGAUUCUGAAAUCAAUCCAACCCUGUCUCAAUAAAAUUCAAAUAUCCCCAAAUAUACAACUCUUUUGCUUGCUCUAUUUCUUUCAUAUGAAAUAGACUCAUCCAGCUUCAAUUUCAUAUAUUAUUAAACCUCCAAUUAAUUUCCCACCAUUUAUGGUGAUUUUUCAAAGUUGCCCAACUGGUGUUGUUCAACACAGUUUUGUAUUUAAAUUGUUUCUUUUGCAUUUUUGAUAUUUCCUCCCAUCUUAUACAUGGGUCAAUUAAGUAUCAAACCCAAUAUUCCUCCCAUAAACUUUUCCAUCACAUAUAAAUAUUCACCUUCCUAAUUUACUCGUUGAACACUCGGAAUGUUAACCGUUAUCGGUGGAUUCAGCACUUAGCAACCACCAAUGAGUCGGGGAAUCAGCACUUAGCAACCCCUUUCACAUUUAAGAUACGGUGGGUUCAGCACUUAGCAACCACCAAUGAUUCGAGGAAUCAGCACUUAGCAACCCCUCGGGGGAAUCAGCACUUAGCAACCCCCUUCACAUUUAAGAUACGGUGGAAUCAGCACUUAGCAACCACCAAUGAGUCAGGGAAUCAGCACUUAGCAACCCCCUUCAAAUUUAAAAUACGGUGGAAUCAGCACUUAGCAACCACCAAUGAGUCGGGGAAUCAGCACUUAGCAACCCCUUGGGGGAAUCAGCACUUAGCAAUCCCCUUUUUAUUCAAUGUAAUCCGGCCUAUUCUGAGUGUUCAACCGGAAACCGUAUUUUUCAACACUUUACCACCUUUCCCUACUUAGCCACAUUUUUUUAGAAUCUUUGCCAAAUAUUUAUUCUAUAUUCAAAUAAAUCUCAACACAUAUCAAAUAAUAUCAAAAUAAUGCAUUAUUUCACAUGUUUACUUACCUCGGUGCAAAAUAUCGUAAUUUUGCAAUUUACUUCACUACUUUCUCCUUUCCCCGUUUGAGGUAUUCUUCUCGUCUUUCUUGAUCUAUAAUAACAAAUUUAACUCAUUUAAUGUUCACAUUUAUUAAAAUAAUCCUCCAUCCAACUUUUUGAAAAAUUACAAUUUUGCCCCCAAACUUUUGCAUAAUUACACUUUUGUCCCCAAGCUCGGAAAUUAAACUUCAUCACUUAUUAUUAUGUUUUAUGACAUGCUGAACAUUUUUCCCUUCUAUGGCAACAUCAAAUUCUCACUCUAGCAGAUACUUUUGAACAUUAACAAUUUUUACCGAUUAUGUCAAUUUACCCGUUUUCGUUUAAAAUCGCUUAGCAAAAGUUGUUUAACAUAAUUUCUAGCUUCAUAUUCCACCAUAAAACAACAAAAUAAACACUUUUCAGCUACGGGUAUUUUUCCAAAUAUAAACCCUAACAUGAAUUAUUGAUAAAAUAAGCUAAACCGAGCUACGAGGAUUUCAAAAAUGCAAAGAACAUUAAAAACGGGGCUAAGAUGCACUUACUAUGAGCUUGAGAAAGCAAAGAAACCCUAGCUAUGGUGUCUUCCAAAAUUUGGCAGCAACUAUGGAGAAGAUGACACCAUUUCUCCAUCUUUUUCCCAUUUUAUUUCUUUUUAUUACCAAAUGACUAAAAUGCCCCCAUUUAAAAAAAAAUCUAUUUCACCCAUUUCUUAUGUCUAUUUUUGUCCAUCAAUUUACUAAUGGUCUAAUUACCACAUAAGGACCCCCAACUUAUAAUCUCAUAACAAUUAGACACUUCUAACAUGUAGAACUCAACUUUGGCACUUUUUACAAUUUAGUCCUUUUUACUAAAUUGAGUGCCCAAACGUCAAAAUUUUCGAACGAAAUUUUUUUACGAAAUUUUUCCGUAAAAUUGUAGACCAUAAAAAUAUAAUAAUAAUCAUAUUUUCCCUUGUCGGAUUUGUGGUCCCGAAAUCACUGUUCCGACUAGGCCCAGAAUCGGGCUGUUACAGCCUCUUAGACAAUCGCCUUGAAUCCUCAGGCCACGAAGCAAGGGUCACGAACUCUUUCAUCACCCUUAUUGUGUUUCUUAGAAUAUAUUCAGGCAUUCGUAUUGUUUUCCACUUUAUCAAGGAAUUCGUAUUCCAUGACAAGCUUUCUAAUUUAGUAAUCGAACUUGAAUCGAUAUCUCUUUCCUAAGAUGCAAAUACAAUGCAACCAUAAUCAAAACACAACAAGAGGGGUUAGUACAAAAUAGAAGCAAGUAAGGAAAACAAAAGUACCUAGUCGGGUAGCCACUAGGGAUUUGGAGUGGCUCUAUCUAGGUUAAGUUCCUAAGUCCACUAUAUGAGGUUUGGUUCUAAAGAUAAGGUACCCAAACCAGUCGAUUCCUCGAUCUUCACCCAUUAUAGGCUCAUAUAGACCGAGUUCAGUUCAGGGGAAUACAUUUCCCUAUGGCUGCACGGAGAUGAAAAUCUCACGAAGACAUAGGUACAGAUGUAUCCCGAAAGUGAUCCAUUAUCCUGCACGGAGGUGAAAACCUCACGAAGGAGUAGCUUCUCACUCCCACUUAAAAGGGUAAGACUAAAUAGUCUUUAUGCAAUAUGAUGCCAAAAUAUAGAGCUCAAUUUACAGUAAUCAUGUAAACAAAUGCAAAGAGAAGAUCGUAAUUUUUCAAAUCAACUUUUUAAUUUUCAACGAUAAGACAAAAAACAAUCAAUUUUACGGCUUGACUCUCUAAAUCUCCCCAGUGGAGUCGCUAAGCCGUCGAAACCAUUUUUUAUGGAUUUGAAAAAUGGGAAUCGACUUUUAAAAAUGAAAAUGGGAGUCGCCACCGAUCCUUUGUUGAGGUGUGAUCGGUACACCUUAAAACGAUUUUGGCCCACAAGAUUUGAGAAAAUAGGUUCGGGAGCUAGUUACGCACGAGGAAGGAUUAACACCCUCGUAACGCCCAAAAUUGGUACCGAAUCGAUUGUUUAAUGUCUUAAUGUUGAAAAGAUUUUAAAAUACGAUCCAUUGAAAAGAAAAUUUGAGUAAAAUGAAUUGGACGAUGAGACUCACUUAUUUCAAAGAAAUAAAUCGUCACACUCAGUAAGUUGGAGCGCAACAUUUUAAAUCCUCAAAAUUAAAUUUAUCUCUUGACUUUUGAAACCUAUACAUUUUGAGAAGGAUUUCCGAUUAUUUGGGUCAAAUGAGAAAAUCAAAACCCAGUAAGUUAGGGUUCAAUCUCACAAAAUCCCUAAAUAUCGAAUAUUGCCUUUAUUUUUAUUCAUUAUUUAGAAAAAAUCCUCAUCUCGAGAAAACCCUAUGUCGUAUUCAAUGCGUUAGGAUACAACAUAUCUAAUUCCCGAGAAUGAGCUUUUUAUUUGUGUGUUUUAAUUAAAGAAUAAACUCGAUUAUUUAGAUUCGACGAGGAAAAUUGGAACCUAAUACGUUAGGGCUCAAUUCUUUCGAAGAUCCUAAAUACCGAACUUUGCGUUAUCUUAAAAAUUUUUUUGAAUAAAUUGGUUUUGAUACUUAAAUGAUAUUAAACGUAAUCUUUUGAACGGAUAAAAACGAUUGAAUAAUAAUGUACCAUGCGAGAUGAGGAUUCAUAAACUAAAGCAUACACUAAUGAGUAACAAAGAUUUAAUAUAUACGAAUAAACAAUAUCAUAUAUAUAAGAGCAACAAUUUUAUAUCCUACAUUAUGCAAAUACUAACAUCCAUAUUAGCAAGCAAAAUGAAUUAAAAAACUAAUAUUAAAAAAGUAACAAGCGAAUUAAAUAAAAUGUAACAAGUUUUUAAAUAAAAAAAAAGCAACAUGAAAGAAGGGAAAUUAUAUAUUGAAAUAAGUUUAAAAUAAUAUAUAUACACAUGAAAGUUUGAAAUAAAUGAAAAAUAUAGUUAAAAACAAAUACUUCAUAAAAUAAUAGUAUCCCAAUAAAUUUAAAAAUAAAUAUUAUAAAACUAUAAAAAGUGUACAAAUUAUAUUUAGUUAUCAUAAAAUUAAGAUAAUAAGUAUUAAAUUUUAAUAAUAAUAUAUGAAAACUUAAAAUAACACGCGAAAGAAAACUUUUAGAAAAAUGGUUCAAUAGAUUUAAAUAAUAUCAAUAAUGAAUUUAUACUAAUAAGUUUAAUUAUUAAAAUAACAUUAGAUUAAACUGAAAUAUAUUAAAGAAAACAGAACCAAAAUAUUUAAAUUAAUUAAAAUGAACAAAUUAAAAUAGAGAUUAAAAUGGAUUUAAUGCUUAAUCGAAAAAAGAAAAUAAAUAAAAAGAAAAAGAAAAGAAAAUUAAAAGGCAAAAUGAAGCUUGCGCAUUACAUGAGGGAUUAAAUGGGAAACAUUCCCCGCCCUUCAAAACGCAUAGUGGCAGAAGGGACCAAAAUGAAACAACAAUGACAUAUCAGGCAGAAUCCAAAAAAAUAAAAAGAUUGAUUUGGAUGCGCUUUAAAGGCGAGGGACUAAGCGCGAAAAUAUCCCACUAGAGGCCAAAACGGGCGGAUCCGGCUGGUUCGGGUCAGGUUGGACGCGUGGGUAUGCAAAUACAACGCCGUUUUGGUGGCCACUGAUUCAGGCCCCAAACGACGCCGUUUCAACACCCCAAAAGAACCAAUUUUAAAACCCUAAACAAGGUUAUUCGGCCACUAAAAAAAUAGCAGAAAAAAACUUUGCCUUUCCUCUCUCCUCUUGCGCCGUUUUCAGGCUAAAACCAUCCCUAGCCUCUCUGGUAUCCACGAAACCAAUGAGAACGACGACGGGGUCACAGAGGCAUGUACUCCCUUUCCCUUUUAUUAUUUCUGUUCUUAACAAACAACUGAUGAACACAAAAUAAAAGAAAGAAAAAAACGGUAAAUAGAAAACAAAAGAAACUCAGAAAUCACCUCUUAGUAUUUCAAUUUUUUUCGUGUUCUCAAUUCGUGUCCCCUUUACAAUAUUCAAAUGGCCUUUUUAUGGCCAGAAUUACAGAAAAAAAUAAAAAGAAAAUAAAAUAAAAAGAAAUCCUCCCAAAUCCCCUCUGUUGCCCCUUUUCUAUCAUUUCUUUUUUACUGCCGUGUGUUCGUUGCAGGUUGUUUGUCCUUCUUGCAGGUACAGAGCAGUGGACGUGGAGGCGUGUGAAGGCAUCGCGCAUGUGUGAGGAGUGGCUCGAAGGUGUGGUGGCACACGUACGAGAGGGGAGCAUGCUGGCUGCGGCGCUGGUGCUAGGGCUGAAUGCCUAGGGUUUUUGCUUGUGGUUAAGGCUAGUGGGGUUGGGUGAUUGGGCUGAUUGGGUUGGGGAUAUUGGGCUAGGCUAGUGUUUGGGUACUUAAUUUAACUGGGUUUGUAAUCUAGACAUUAUGUUUUUUUGGACCAUUGUUUUAUUUUAUUUGGUUUAUUUUACUAACGGGCCGGGCAAAUUGGGCCUAUUACAAAUAACAUAAGUUAUCUUUACCCUUUGAAGAGUUAUCUUGAGAACUCUCAUUGUUCUCUUAUUUAUUACUGUGUUCCCACUUUUAAUGGUUCGUGAUUAUAUCUUUUAUUUUGUCAUAUUAUUAAUAUUAAAUGUCAAAUCUAUAUUCCAUAAAUGUCCUUUAUUCAUUAAGUGUGUGGGAGGGAUACAAUGGAUUAUAACUUAUUCAAAGUGUGGAUAUUGCAUUUAGAGGGUACAAAUUCAAGUCGAAGCUAAAUCUAGUAUUCAUAGGUAUGAAACAAUUUGAUAGAAAUUUGAUUUUUAAUAUAUACUCAUAACACAAGUAUACAAAUCAAAAGUAGUAGGUUAUGAGUAAUUAGAGAGAGCAAAUUUUGAGUCACUCUACGGAUUUUAUAUCAAUGCGCUUAUUUAACGAAAUUUGUCAAAAGAAAAGGUGGAUGGGCGUUGGGGGUGAGAUAAUUGUCAUAAAUGCUUACUCUGUCCACGCCAAUUGAAAUUUAAAUAUAUUGUUUUACCUUUACUCAUAUUCUUACAUUUCUUCUUUUAUAUUUUUAGUAUAUACUAAUAAUAUAUAUGUUUAUAUAUAUUACAAAAGAAUUAUGUAAGUCGAAAUUAUAUUAUGAAUAAAUUAUAAAUAUAUAAUACUGUGAUAUUACAUUGAGACAUCAUUAGUAAAGGAAAUGGGUGAAGCAAGUAGGUAUGAAGUGGGUUGUGAAAUUCUCUUUGAAGUUCGCGACAUCGAGUUUCUAUUUCUGCAUUCCUGAUUCUUUCUUGUUGAGAUUUUUACAUUGGAAUUUUCCUAUCCUCAAAAUUGCGACCUACUGUUGAAGUUAUAACGUCAAUUUCCUGACUUCAAAGUUGUGACAUCAUGUUUUCGCCCUCAGUAUUGUAACAUGAAUCCUUCUUUGUCGCGAUAUUGUCCCUGUAUUUUGUAAUUCUUAUGUUUUAGUCUCUAAUUUAUUACAGGUGUUUUCUAAGAGUUUUCGUAAACCCGCUUAUAAUUCGGAUCUGAAUAAAUAAUGUGUUUUAUUAACUAUCAAAACUAAAUUGCUUGUAUGCUUCGUCUACUAAAUAUUGAAAUAGAAUCAUAAUUGCCUCAUAAACGAAUAAAACAUCUCAUUAUCUUAGAUCCGACAAUCAAGUCGAGCAUGGAAUAUUACUAUUUUAGUGAAACCUGUGGUGUCAGCAUCAACUAUCUAACAUUCCUCUGCUACUAGCCACUUGGGAGUUGCACUUGGCUAGAGCUGGAACAUCCUAAAGAAUGCCACUACGGUCCUUUCCUACCACCCCCAACCUCAGGCAUGUACUAUCCCUUUUUAUUAUGAUUAGCUUAAUAAUAAAUCCUUAGAAUAGGUCAAACUUUUUAUAAAAAAAAUUGCAAUAUAUUAAUUAUUAAGAGAAAAAUAUUUGAUACACUAUCGAUGUAUAAGUCUUAUGCACCAUCAUGACAAUAAAAUAAAAAAUAGUGGGGACUUAUAAAUAAAUAAACAAUAACUUUAUUUAAAUAUAAUUAAUAAUUAACUAUAAAUAAAUGCUAAAACCUUAAACUCAAGAUCCUAGACCUAAGCCAUUAAACCUAAUGCCUUAAAUCUGAGAGUUAUUAAUAUUUGUUUAUAAUUGUUAUGAUUAUUUAAUUAUAUUUAAAUAAAAUUAUUUGUAUUUAUUUAUAAGCCUUCGACUAUUUUUUUAUUGUUUUCAAUGAUAAGAUGUAAUGUUAUUACUUAUCGAUGGUGCAUGAGAAUUAUGCACUGAUGUUGCAACAAAUAUUAUUCCAUUGUUUAUUUGGUUAACCUAAUUAAUACUCCAUGAGCUGGACUGGCAGUUGCUAUAACUAUUGCCAUAUGCUUCGUUGUCAUGUGGUUCAAAGGAAAUUCAUUAUCAAAUCAUAUAUGUCAAGGAAAGAAGAAAGAGGAUACUAUAGGAUUGAGGCAUUCGUCAAAUUUCUCUUACCCCAAGGGGAUAGUCUUACGGAGAAAUAAAGAAAAUGACAAAUAAAUUUAACAAUAAAUUAGGCUAAUGGAUAUGGUAAUGUAUACAAAGGGAAAUUAUCUGAAAAUCAUCUCGUAGCGAUCAAAGUCUUAAGUGAAUCAAAAGAAAAUGGAGAGGAAUUCAUGAAUAAAGUGGCUAGCAUUAGUAGAACAUCUCAUGUUAAUAUUGUGAGUCUACUUGGUUUUUUGCCUAGAGAAAUCAAAGAGAGAUUUGGUUUAUGAAUUCAUGCUCCAUGUAUCAUUGGAGAUGUUCAUUUAUGAUAAAAGAUCGCACCAUCAAAAUCAUCGAUUGGAGUGGAAAGCUUUGUAUGACAUUGCACACGGCAUUGCUAAAGGACUCAAAUUUUUGCAUCAAGGUUGCAACACAAGGGUCUUGUACUUCAACAUAAAACCUCACAAUAUCCUUUUAGAUGGGAACUUCUAUCCCAAGAUCUCCGAUUUCGGUUUAUCUAAAUUAUUCAAAACAAAAGAGAGUAUUAUUUCCAUGUAUUGUGCUAGAGGAAUAAUUGGAUAUAUUGCUCUAGAAUUGGUUUGUCGAAACUUUGACAGAGAUUCCUAUAAAUCUGACAUCUAUAGCUAGGGAAUGAUGGUCUUCGAAAUUGUAGGAGGAAGGAAAAAUAUUGAUGUUGGAGUGUCUCAAACUAGUGAAGUAUAUUUUCCGUAUGGAUUUACAAGCAUCUUGGUCAAUCUAUGAACUUGAAUCUUAAUGGAGUAGUUGAAGAAUAAGAAAUAAUAAGAAAGUUGAUUAUAGUGAGCCUCUGAUGUAUUCAACAUGAUCCGACUGAUCGUCCAUCAAUGACUAAAGUGCUGGAAAUAUUACAAGGAAGUCUUCAAUCAUUGAUAAUUCCACCUAGAACAUUUCUAUAUUCUCCUAUACACUUGCUUGAACUUUUGUAAGAUCAUCUAAGAUUUAGUCUUAAAUUGGUUUGAUGCUGCAAGUUUAAUCCAAAAUCUAUAUAACUAUAUAUGAUAGGAAGGUUCAAAAUGGUAUAUUUCAAUUUUGAUCCCUUUAAUAUGUCUAAAUUUGAGAUUUAAUCUUUAUACUUUAAUUUUUAACAUAAUUUGAUCCCUAUAUUUUUAUAAUGUUAUUACUAGUCAAAUAGUUAAUAUUGCUAACUUUUCAAUUAAAAUGUUACAUGGUCAUACAUAAUUUAAAAUCAGAUUUUUAAAUCUAAAAAUUAGAGGGAUUAAAUUCUUAAAAAUAAAAGUAGGAAGACUAAAUUCCAAAUGUACGAAGAGUAGAGACUUAGAGCCAUGGUUAUUUGAACCGGACUGGACCGACCGAGGUAUCAGUCCAGAGAGAGGCAUUAGAUUGGUUCACUCGUGAGCUAGUCUUAAAGACUGACACAUGGUUUCUUAUUUCUUCUAUGUUUGCUCAGUCUUACCUUUUCCUUUUGCAAUUUUAUAAAAAUGAUUAAAUUUUAAUUUUGGUCCUUCUAUUAUGCCUAAAUUUUAGAUUUAACAGCUACACUUUAAUUUCCAAAGUAAUUUGGUCACUAUAUUUUUAUACUAUUAUUAAUUAGUCCAAGUAGUUAAUAUUAUUAAUUUUUCAAUUAAAAUAUUACAUGAUUUUAUAUAAUUUAAAUGUCCUAAGGGUCUUAGAGAUGGAUACAUAGCUUUCUAUUUCUUUUAGGCUUUCUUUUUUCUUUUUCUUUUUCUUUUUUGUACAUUAUAAGACAACAAUCAAAUGCCACUUUGUGUCUUAUAUUAUGUUCAAACUUGAGAUUUGAUCUUUAUACUACUUUAUUUUUUUAUAUAACUUGAUUUUUUUUUUACUUUUAUAAUGUUAUUAGUUAUUUUAAAUAUUUAAUAUUGUUAACUAAUUCAAUCAAAAUGUUGAUGUCAAUUUUUCUUAGGAACAAUAUUCCAACAAAAAAAAUUAUUUUCUCAUUACGAGUUUGAAUGAAUGUUUUUAAGAAAAAAAUCUAUAUAAAUAUUUUCAAUAUUGUUUUUAUUGUUACGUGAUUAACAAUUAAUUUUUUUUAAUUUCAAAAUAUCACAUCAGCGAAUUUAAUAGAAGAAGUUUAACCUUGGUAACAAUUGGACCUAAAAUUUUAAAUCCAAAAAGUAGAUGGUUUAAAUUUCUAAAACUGAAAGUAGGACUAGAGAAUAUUUUAAUCUUCAAAUUUGUACUUCAUAGUUUGACACAAACAAAUAAUCAAUCCAACAUGAAGCGAGGGAAUCAUACUAGUUCUAAUAAUAAUAAGGGUAAGAUACACCAUUAGUCACUUAGCUAUUAGCAUGUUUUUGUUUUGGUCAUCAAACUAUAAAAACAUUGAAUUCCAUGACUAACAUUUCCAAUCGAUUAUGUUUUGGUCACUUUUAGAUUGUUAACAAAAUUGAUGAUGCGGUCUUUUUUUAAUUGGUGUAAUAACACCCAUUUAAUCUUUAAUACUUAGACAUUAAUAGAAUUUGUAAAUCUGAAGGGUUAAAUUUAUUGAAUUAUUAAGAAUUGGGAGCAAACUGAUAGAAUUCAUAAAUGUGGAGGGUUAAAUUUGUUGAAUUAUUUAGAAUUAGAACCAAUUUGAUAGACUAUGUAUGUGUUGAGGACUAAAUGUAUUAUUAUACCAAUUAAAAAAAGGUCACACUAUCACUUUCAUUAUUGAUUUAAUAAAGAGUGAUCAAAACAAAAUCGAUAGAAAACAUUAGUGAUGAAAUUAAAAGAAAAAAUUAUAGCUUAAUAAGCAAAAUAAAAACACAUUAAUAAUUGAAUGAGUAACGGUCCAAUUUACUCCAUUAUUAUGUUUGGAUAUCACAAUUAUGAUGAAAAACAAUGAAUUUUAUGGUUAAAAAAGCUGCAACAAUUCAAAAUAUGUUAAAUCACAUUUUCAUAAGAUAAAAUUUGGAAAGGUUAGUCACAUCAAAUAGUUUAAUUUAAAGGCAUAAUGAUAAAUUUAACAUUCAACGUUUAUAAAUUUUGUUAACUUUUUUUAAGUUAACUUUGGUCAUUAACUUUUCAAAAAAUAGUCGAAUUGUUUUUUAACAAAAAUGUUGACUAAAACAUUAAUUUUUAAUAUUAUUGGCGUGACAACUCGCAUGACAGUUAAUGUGCACGUCAUAUUGUCAUAGUACCAUUUGUCUUAUAUGUCACGUCAAUAAAUAAUUAAAAAUUUUAAAAGUAAAAAAAUAAUUAAAAUCAAAAUAUAAAAAAAUGCUCAUAAAAGUUCAAAAAAAAAAACAUGAAAUACAUACUGAUUGUCAUACAAACUGUUGUGAUUAAAAAUUUAACAUUUUAGUUAAUAUUUUCAUUAAAAAAUAUUAUUUCAACUUUAAAAAAUAUGAAUGAUUAAAUUUGACUUUUUUUAAAAAAAAAUUAAGGAUUAAAUUUAGCUAAAAAUAAAAUAAAAAUUAAAUUAAGAAAUAAUAUAAAUAGUAAAGAUUAAAAUUUCCAUUAUGCAUAACUUAAAAUAUGAUUUGAAAAGAGGGUGAGUUAUAAGUUGGAAUGAUUUCUUUGUAUAACUUUGAGAAAUAUUAAAGUAUGAUUUGGAAACAGGAUUUGAGCCCUGAUUUAUGUCUCAUUAACAUAUCAAUAGGAAAAAUAUGUGCAAAAAAUGGAUAAAUUUGAAAGAACAAAAAAAUUAAAGUAAGGAAGAAAUUUCCUAAGAGCUUCGGAGACUUGACUGAUAAAAAUGUCUUAUCAAAAUGGAGUCACAUUCCAAGUAGAUAAUGAAGCAUACGGUCCAGUUGAUUGGUCUUGGGUUCAAAGACUUUUCUUUGUAACUACAUACGGCAUGCAUACUAUAUGAUACAAUAUGACGAAAAGAAAAAGAAAGAAAAUGAUACCAUUAUAUAAUACAAAUUAUUUACGUUUCAAAUUUAUUAUUAUAAAAAAAAACAUCACAUGUCAAGAAUCUUGAUUAGUUGAUGAUAUUUUUUUAAUGGAGAUAACGGUAGGAGUCAUAAUGGUUCGACUAAAAAAAGCGACAUAGUUUGAAGGCUGCUUAUUAAAUUCAGCCUGAUUAUUAUUUUGAUAUAAAUAUCAAAAUUAUAUAUAAAUUUUGAUUCAAUGUGCAAUAUCAUACAUAAACUUUGAUUUUAUGUAAUUUUAUACAUGAAAUUUUGAUUUGAUUCAAUUUUUAUAAAUUACUAACAAUAUUUUCAAAUUAACACGUUGAUAUAUUGCAAUCUAAUAUGAGAAUAAAUGUAUGUAUUCAUUUUUAUAAAUAUAUACAAUUGAAUCAAAAUCAAAAUUAAAAUUUUAUGUAUGCAUAUAAAUUUGAUAUUUAUCCAAGUUAAAUUGGGGUAGAGGUAAUAUGUAUGGAUGAGUGUUUAAUAACUAUUUUAUGCAUUUAAAAUAUGUUGUUAGCCUUUGUAUUUGUAUAGAAUUUGAGAUUUGGUCCUUGUAAUUUAAAUGCUAAGCAUUUAAUUCUCUACUUUUUCAGCUUAAAAAUCCUAAUCGGAUCAUUUUCGUUGUUGGUAGUUUUUAUCAAAAUUUAUCUAUUUAUAAAUGUUUAUUUUCUAUCAAUCCUAUGACAUGUCAUAUAAGGACAACAUAAUCAAAAUUCCAAGUUGAUAAAUUUUGACAAAAUAUACUUAGGGUUUUAAUGAAUGAACUAAGAUCUUUAAAUCGAAAAAGUAGAAUGAUUUUUUUUGAACUUUUUAAGUACAUAGACUAAACUUCAAAUUUUGUCAAAGUUUAAGGGCUAACAACAUAUUUUAAUAAAAAAUUUGGGACACCACACCUACAAGAAAAUAAUAAAAAAUAAAAAAUUUAUGACAUAGUAAUAUUUUAUUAGUGACUAAAAACUUAGUGUCUCCGUUAUAUAAAUUAUUCUCAAUUAAUAAUUGUAUUACAACUUUGCUUUGAAUUAAUUGUUAAAUAAGUUUUCUACAUAUUGUGAUUUUGUAAAAAAUUAAUAUAUAGUUUGUCUCUUAAAUUUGUCCAAAAAGUACAUAAUUAGUAUUUGAAUUUUUUUGGAUCUAGUUGGUACUUUAACUUGUAUUCUGUCACCUUAACUGGUACCUUUGCACUAACAUAAUUAGUUUGUGCUAACAUGACAUUGAUAACCAAUUUAGUGGUGACAUAUGGUAGCAUCACAGUAUGCCACGUGGUGAGAAUAAAUUAAAAUUUUAAAAAUAUUUAAAAUAUAUAAAUUAAUAAAAAAUGUGUUUUUUUCACACUCUAGACAAUCAUUUGUUUAGAUUCAUUUUAUAUGUAUUUUUAGUAAGUUAAUAUAAUUUUUUUAUAAAAUAUCAGCUUUUAGGUUAUUACUAUUAUAUAUAUAAUAUAAAUUUAGAAAAAAAAUAUAUGCAAUUAAAAUAUAUAAAAUAUUGAAAUAUUUGAAGCUAUUACAAUGUAUCAAGGGAAAUGCCCACUUCCUUCAUUUCUACGACAUUGCCAUGUUUAGAAUAUUGGAAAUUUAUUGAAGCAAAUCUUUGGGUUGUGCUAAUAUCCUAGAAUAAUUCAAACCUAUCAAUGAGAAUCAAUUCACUUGGAGAAAUUUAUCUAGAAGGUUAAAUUAAAUCUAAUCGGAUCGUGUGUAUCAAAUCUCUUGGAUUGAGGAAGUUGGAUUGAAUCAAAACUCUGAAGACUUAUUUGCCAACAACCUAUUUUACCUUGAUUGUUAGUAUUAUAUUAAAUGUAGCUAUUUUAAAUGUUGUUUAGAAGGGAUUGUGAUUGAUCUUCACUAUUUUAGCAAGUCUUGAAAACUCUAUAUGAUUUAAAGACUUGUAUAAGUUGAUGUACUGAUUGUUAAGAGUACUUAUCUAUUCAAGUGAGGAACAUUAUUUGUGAAAGUGCAUUUGUGAUUGUUAAACCUUUGUAUUGUGGUCUUACAGAUUAAAUUCUCAAGGGGAGAAUUUAGUGACGGGAGAUCUAGUCUUUGAAAUAUAAGAGUGAGGAUUCUUUACUAGAGUGUGUUAAAAUUAGAACACUAUCUAUAUUUGAUGCAAUGAUACGUAGAGAAACUAAACUGUAAACAAUUUUACUCUCCCCUAUUUACAUUGUGCAUGUUGCAAUUUUUGCAAAAGUGCCCAUAUCUGCAGUCACUUCUGCUCAUACUUUGUUACUUGUAGAUUUAGCAACUGUUCCAAGUCAAUAUAAAUAACUUAUAAUAUUUUUAAAAUAUAUAAAAAUUUAUGAUAUAUAAUAUAUAAAUAUAUAAAAAGAACUAAAAUUUUAUAAUAUAUAUAAGAUCUAAAAAACACAUCUACAAUGAAUCUGGACAAAUGGAUCUUUGGAUGCAUUUUAAUCCAAACAAGACAACCAUCUAUCUAGUUUUAUUCUUGAUGUAAAUUUUUUUAAUGUUUUUUUUUAUUAAUUUAUACAUUCUAAUUUUUAAAAUUUUUAUAUAUUUUAAAUUUCAAAAUAAUAAUAUAAAUAACUUGAUAUUUUAUAAAAAAAUAUAAACUUAUUAAAAAUACAUCAAUCCAGGCAUAUGGUUGUCCAGACUUAAAUAUAUCUAGACAACCAUUUGUCCAGGUUCAUUCUUGAUGUGACAUGAAUCUAGACAUUAAGAUGUCUAGUUUCAAAUGUUUCUAGACAACCAUUUGUCUAAGUUCGUUCUUGAUGUAAAAAAUCAUAUGUUUUUUAUUAAUUUAUAUAUUUUUAAAGAUUUGUUAAAUUUUAAAUUUAUGCCCACCACGUGUUACCAUUGGAUUAACUAUUAGUGCCACGUCAGCAUAAACUAACAAUGUUAGUACUUUGUGAUAGGAUACAAAUUCAAAUACCAACUAGGCCUUAAAAAGGUUCAAAUUCCAAUUACAUACUUUUGGGCAAGCUCGGUGUUUCAUAAUUCACGAAUUGUAAUACUUUCAGAGAUCCGUGAGUGAAAUUAUUUUUACUAGUAAGUACUUGAAAUGAAUAAAUAUUACUGUAACUCCCCAAACCCAGCCUAGACAUUAUGGUCGUAUCUGGCAAUGUCAUACAAUAGUGUUUUUGAAACCUCGUUGUUACAAUGAUAACAUUUCGUGUUAUUAUCUUUAGUAAACCUUUGUUAGAACUUAGGAAGUUGUCUUUAUUCAUUUAAAACAUUUGUUUUAAAACAUCCCUUAUUGUGGAAGCUUUAAUAAAAUAGUCUAAGUGAUCAUGCAUUUAGAAAAUACCUUAACUUUUUGAAAAUCGAAUUUCUUACGACCAGCAGGUAUAAAUCCAUAAAGUAAAAUAAAUAAAUAAAAACUCAAAAUUUAAAACCAAAGUCCCAGAGGGUCCAUAAAUUACAACCCAAAUAAUCAAUAAUAAUCAAAUCAUAAAUCGUAAAUUGAAAAUCAUGAAGUCCAAAUAUUAUUGUGGUCACCGCUGAGUCCUCCGUCGCACCGAUCUGUCUAAGUCUGGGGAUUACCUAUGCACAUUAAAUAAAUCAGUGACAGUUUGGGCCUAGCUCAUCUCAGUACAGUGUAAAAAAUACAGUAGGGCCUUAGCCCAUCAUAGUAUCAGUAGUAGCAACAGCUAUGAAAUUGCAAAAUCCUACCCAACCAACCUCUACACACCAUCUCUGUCCAACCCUACACUCCAUGUGGGGAUAUAAUCAACCCACCCAUCCCUACACUCCAAGUAGUACCGAAUGUGGCACAAAACAGUAGUUUGCAGCUGAGCUGCCAGUAAAUUAGGCUUAAAGCCUUUCAAUACACUUCCUCCGGAUAACAACCCCAACCCAAUGCAAUGCAACAUACCAUGGAUGAUAUGCUAUUAUGCAAUUUCAGUACAAAUAUUCAAUUCAGAUAUUAACAUGCUCAGUACAAAUAUCAUUCAGUCAAUUUCACACAUUUAGGGUUCUAAGUAGCGCUUACCGACCUUAUAGUAGGUUUACAGUUGACUUGGGCGACCCGUGCAAUCUUAGAACCAGUUCGGUAAAAAUGGGCCCACACGGCCCACUCGACCCAAAUUGGCCUUAGCCGUGUGAUCCAUUUUUUAAUGUAACCCAUGCUAGCUAAAUAUUCAUAUAUGUUUUCACUAUUUACUUUUAUGAUCAUUCAGAGUUGUCUACUUGAGUCAUUGUCACUAAAUUAUUUAGAUCUUAAGCUAUAGAAUUCCAAAUUAAUAUCCAACACAACUACUCAGAAUUUUGCCCCAACACAACUCUUAGCCAAAAUUGGAGCAAAAAUACUAUCUCCACACCAUCACAGAGAAUUGAACCCAAGACCUCCUUCACACUAACACUCCACUUAUCCACUAGACCAGCAAGCCUAUUCUGUUAAUUUUUUGCCCUCUUUUACUUAAAAGACUACUGACCAAAGAUAGGGCCAAAAUUUGCCCAAGUCCUAGCUUGAACUUGGGAACUUUCACACACCCAGAACACUUAACCACUGAAGCAGAUACACAGUUGAGUCACACUUUCACAAGAACAAAAAAAAAAUUUGGGGCGUUACAAUUACCAUCAAUAUCAUACCUAAUAAAAAAGGAAAAAUAAUUUUUAAAAAGGGUUUUUUUGUAAAAGAAAUAUAAGUUUAUUUAUUAAUAAGUAGUUAAAAUAUGUCAUAAGUCUCUAUGCUCUUUGUAAAUUUAGAAUUUAGUCUUUGUACUUUUAUUUUUAGAAAUUUAAUCCUUCCACUCUUAGAUUUUAAAAUUCAAAUUCAACUGUUAAAAAUAUUAAUAUUAUUUUUUAAAAUUCAAGUUCAUUCUAACGUCAUAUUUUUAGUUACAUGACUGCAAUAGAAAUUCUAGUCUGCAUAUCCUCAAUUAGGGCCGAAUCAUGUUGCCUCACCAUGUUACUAUCCAUAUUUAAAUCCAGGAUUCCACUGGGUUGAACUUCCAAAGCAACAGCUCGUUGCUCCAUGUGGACAAAAAUUGGGCUAUUAGCAGCCAAAUCCUCCUUUUCAAUUGUCCCAAAACCCGUUCCAUGUCCCAGCAUGUUUGGUUGAUUAAGGCCUAUUCCAGAUGAGCCCACCUCUUUUCCUAUAUGUCCAAAAGAAUUCCCUUUAUAGAAUCUAUUUGAAUUAACCCUAGCCCAUUGUCUCUCGCUCGAUAUAAUUCCAUCAUAAUCACCUAAAAUAGUGGUGUUCUUGCUUGUUAAAUUCAGAGCAUCAAAUAUUGUCCCAACUGAUCCAAAAUCCACCUUUUUAGACGGUAAACUCGUUCUUUCCCUGGGAUUUCGCUGAUUCUUUCUCUCAACUAUCAUCUAUGGCCUGUAGGCCACCACCUUUUCCAUCAUAGCUUGGUCAGUCCUUGUUGGAGCCUCCGUCGACAACUUCCCCUCCCUUGAGCCAGAUCUAUAACACUGUUUGGACACACAUCCUUCAAGUGGUCGUAACGCCCGCAGCCAAAGAAUAUCACCGUCAGCGAUUCAAACUCAACCUAUUGAAGAGUGUCGUUUAUCAAUACUUGAGAAGUCAGUGGCUCAUCAAGGUUAACGUAUACUUUCAUUCUCGCGAACUUUCCUCUCAUUCUACUAUCUGUGUUGAAAUCAAUUUUUGAGACUUUACCAACCAUCCCUCCAAUUUCUUCAAGAAUUUUCCGUUUGUAUAGAAACCCCAGAAGCCCUGGAAGUCUAAUUCGGGCCUUGAAAACAUUCGAAUUAAAACACCCCCUACCUAUAUUCAUCACUGGAAUAGGGUACGAGGCAUUACCGAAGUUUUCUGAAUUAAUUUUUCCAUUAUUAAGAAUUAAAUACUAUUCUUUUAUUAAAGCAUAUUAUGAUGUCCCUUAGAUGGGCCUCUGAAACCCAAAACAUACACCGAUAUCAAACCAAAUCAACCAAUUCAAUUCAACAUAUUUUCAAGAUAGAUUUACACAUAUCUAUAAGAUAACCUCAUCACAUACCAAAACCAGGAUUUGAUAGCCAUACCAAUGGCUAACUUUACAUUAAUUUCAUAUUAACAUUUACUUUAUCAACUUAAACACGCUAUUGAUUUCCAAAAUAAAGUUUCUUAAUAUACCAAAAUGUUGAAGUUGAUAGUGUGAUGUGUCUUCGACCGAAUCCAACCUCCAAGCUCUUAAUACUACAAAUCAAUGAAAAAGGAAAUAGGGUAAGCAAGUUGUGCUUAGUAAGCUCAUGUAACAAGAAUUAUACUUACCUAAUAUUUUCAAUACAAUACAAUAAAUAUUCAUACAUCCAUUCAAUCUACCAUUUACCUAUCACACACAAACUCAACCAAAACAUUAAUCAAAUAGCAUCAUAUGAGUUCGAUACAAAGAUUAAUGAUUGUUAAGUUCAUCAAUUCCAUGUUUUCUAUGACCCUUAUUAUUUCUCAUAUUUAUCACGUUGAAUUUCUCAAAAUUUCGAUGGAUUUUCAAAGGUACACUUCUAGCAUACUAUUCUGGGUCCGUCAAUUCAUAUUCAUGUGCGCACAUUUCCAUUUCAGAAAGCACACUCCUGCGAACCUCAUCCUUACAACGAGAUUACCAGUCCAGGCUAAAUCCCCUGCAACGACAAUUUACUCUAAUACGCUUAGAUUUGAAUUACCAGUUCAGGCUAAAUUCAGACCCUAAUUCGGAUUACCUAUCCGGGCUAAAUCCAAUUUUCACAUAUUCUUUGAGAGGGCAAUAUCAGGAUAGGAUCACCUGUCUGGGCUAGAUUUUUUUACCGUAAAUUCCUUUUUAAAGAUCCAUCGAAUUUUCCUUUCAUUCAACCGAGAUUUCUUCCCCUUUUUAUCAAAUAUAUCAAUGUUUCAUCAAUUUUUAUACAAUGAAAAUUUAAAUCAUAUUCACAUCAAUAACAUACAUUUCAAGCAUUUAAGAAUACAAUUCAAGUUACACGAACUUACCUCGAUACUUGUUCGUAUUCAAAAAUCUACUAAUCCCGAACGUUUUCCUUUCCUCGAUCUAGCUUCAUAUUUGAAUUUUCUGGAUCUAAAUAAAUAAAUUUAAUCAUCAAUUUAAUAAAUUUCAUGUUCAUAUGUAACAUUCUCUAUCCACUAUUAUUUAUAGUUCAUCCAAAGUUGUCUACUUGAGUUAUAGUCACUAAAUUAUUUAUAUCUCAAGCUACAGAAUCCAAAAUUAAAAACCACUUGGUGUUUAUGAAACUAGACUCAAAUACCUUUCUACCAUAAAAUUUUCACAAUUUUUGGUUCAUCAAAUAAGUUCAGUAAAAUCUUCAAACUUACCCAUGUUCUGCUGUCUGAUAGCUUCGACCUUUAUUUGCUAAAAAUUAAUUAUCUCUUAGUACAAAUUUGGAUGAUGUUUCUAUUUGUUUUUAUUGAAAAUAGACUCAUUAAUAAUUUAAACAUGUAAAUUUUAACUCCUAAUUAUUUUUCUCCAAUUUUUGAUUAUUUUCCAAAUUCAGAACAGGGGAACCCAAAUUCAUUCUGACCUUAUCUCACAAAAUUUAUCAUAUCUCAUGAUUUACAAUUCCAUUACUUACACUGUUUCUUCUAUGAGAAACUAUACUUAAUAAGAUUUAAUUUCAUAUUUUUUUCAUCCUCUAAUUCAAGUUCCACAAUUUAUGGUGAUUUUUAAAAGUUAGUCUACUGCUGUUGUCCAAAACUGUUUUAGUGCAAGAUAUUUAUUACCAUUUUUCCCCUAAGCUUUUAAUAAAUGAUAAUUUCAUCUACGAUCAAUUAACCUCUCAAUUGAGCUGAUUUUUCUCAAUUAACAUUUUAUUCUAUCACUUUAAACUACUUUAUAACCUUUGGGAAUCAAAAUUUCAGCACUAGACUUUAAUUCCAACCUUUUCACAAUUAGGUCCUAAAAAUCAAUUUCUAUUGAAAUUACCUAAUAAAAUCAUCUCGUAAAUGAAUUAAAGCUUCAAUUUCAUGUUAUUUCAUCGUAAACUUACAGCACUCAACCAUGGUGACUUUCAAUUUCAUCCAUGAAAUCAAAAACUAAUGAAUUUUAUAGUAGAACCUAGUUGUAAAAGUCUUAAAAACACAAAAAUUACAAGAUAAAGGCAAGGAUUAACUCACUUGGUGCAAAAAUUAUGAAAUACCAGCUUAAAGACCCCCUCCUAUGGCGUUUUGGCUGAUGAUAAUGAAGAGAAAUCACAAGAAAUCUAGAUAUUUCCACAUUAGUCCUAAUUUUAUUUAGUUAAUUAUGCAAUAUUCCAAUUUUGCCCUUAAAUCAUCCAUUUUCUUGCUGAUUUCAUGCCCUUGCCGUCCAGCCCAAAUAAAUUUUGGGUCUAAUUUCCUUUUAAAUCUUUCCUCAUUAGACACUUAAGCUAUUUAAUCAUCUCAACCACUUUUACACCUUUUCCAAUUUAAUCAUUUUCAUUUAAUUGACUACCCAACAUUAAAAUUUUCUAAUGAAAUUUUAAUACAACAUUACUAACACUCCAUGAAUAUUUAUAAAAAUAUUUUUGGCUCGGGUUUACGAGAUCGAGGUCUCGAUACCUUAUUUUUACCCAAUUUCUUCAAUAAUUUCUUUUUCUAACUAACCACUAAAUCGAUAAAAUUUUUCUAUCAAUAUUUUCAUACGAUUUUCCUAUCAUAUCAAUAUUCAUGCAAAAAUAUUAAAAUAAAUUUCUCUUUAAAUCGAAUUUGUGGUUACGAAACCACUGUUCUGAUAACCUUAAAUUUAGACCAUUACACGAAUAAGGUUGCAUCAAAUUGAAAUCCAUAGUCCAAGGUUGCACGAUAUGUACUUUUUCAUAAUCCUCUGUUUCAAAAUUUUCACUAAAACAUAAUCGUUCUCUAUGUCCAUUAAGUGGAAUGACAAUGUUGGCUUCCAUAGACUACUAACUCUAUUUUGUAAGACCUUAUAUCCAAUAGACCAUCCCAAAAGCUUAAUAACCACCAUUGUUGCCAUGUCUUUGAUCAAUAAAUGAUUAAUUCUUUUAGAGAAACUGAUUGCAGGGAUGCCAUUGAUCAAGGAUCUUGUAAUAUCGACAUCCAAAAGUUCAAAAUCGUCAUAUUCAACAAGUCGAGACUAGGCAUCUGAUGCCUUAGAUCCAUCAGACCUACCACCCAAAAGUCUAUCUUUCUAGGAAAGCGUCGACUUAGGUUCUGAAUCAACCGCCAUAUUAGAGCCCUCAUCCGUAUAUGAGUCCUUGAAUAUUACUUUUUUGGUUGAAGGAUUUUCAGAGAAACCAAAAAUAUUACUUUCAUUCGCCAUUUUGAUUGAAGGAUUCACAAUUUUAAAUCCAUUUCUCUGCUUCAUCAUCUCUUCAAUUUUAAAUUAAUUAAUUUAGCUCAACAUAGUUAACAUCGAUUGUUUGGAUAGAGUGCCUAAUUAAUUCUAGAGUGAUUCUUUACUUUUAGUUCUUAAAAUUUGUCUCUUAGGUUUCGAUGUUGAAACUAUUUCUAACUCGAAUUUACCUUCAUUGUAAUUAUUAUCUAAUAUGUACACUUGUGUUACACAUUCCACCCUUGUGGUUGAGACAAUCAAUCCUUUCUAUUUGUUAUCAUUACUAAUACUACUACGAUUGAAAUUAGUGAAGUAGAAUCCUCAAAUUUUAAGGAUUGCGAUGGAGUGACUUGCUUUUGUCGCUCUCAAGUUAAAAUCACAAUUUCCAACAUAAAUUCUCAAUAAAAAAACAUAUGGGUGGAUAAAAUAUAAUAAAAAAAUUAAAACAAUAUUUAAGGCGUGAAUCACUUUCUUUAAGGACCGACAUUUAAAGCAUGCAUUGAUAUAUGUUCCUAUUGUAUUAUUACUAAGCUAGCCUAAUUAUCAACGUUGUAAAAAAAUGUUAUUUAAAUGGGAUAUAUAUAAAAUUAUACAUGAAUCUAAAGGAUUGCGAUGGAGUGACUUGCUUUUGUCCCUCUCAAGUUAAAAUCACAAUUUCCAACAUAAAUUCUCAAUAAAAAAACAUAUGGGUGGAUAAAAUAUAAAAAAAAAUUAAAACAAUAUUUAAGGCAUGAAUCACUUUCUUUAAGGACCGGCAUUUAAAGCAUGCCUUGAUAUAUGUUCCUAUUGUAUUAUUACUAAGCUAGCCUAAUUAUCAAAGUUGUAAAAAAUUGUUAUUUAAAUGGGAUAUUUAUAAAAUUAUACAUGAAUUUUCAUUCAAUGUGCAUUUUGAUGUUUAAAGUUUGAUUCAAUAUCAUUAUACACAUGAAAUUUUAAUUACAGUUCAAGUAUAUAAAUGAAACUUUGAUUUUGAUUCAACUAUACAUAUUUGAAUAAAUAAAAACAUCAAUUUAUUUUUAUAUCAAACAAACAUAAUUAUUUGUGUAUGAAGUAUGUUAACGUACAAUGAUGUUUUUGAUAAAUGUGUUAGAAUUUUUGAAAAUUGAAUCAAUUUAACAUUUAAUAUAUAAGAUUGCACAAAACUGAAAUUCACGUAUAGAAUUGCAUACUGGACCAAAGUUCAUGUGUAGUGUUGGACAUUAUCCCUAUUAAAUUCUCUAUACUAUGUAUUUCUUGAGAAUAUGAUAUUGCUACCAUCGCAAAAUAAUAACAAUCCAACAAUGAAGCUAUUAAAAGCUAGAAAGGUUAGAUUUGAUAUUCUACAUUUACAAUUAUUUGAGUAUUACUCAUCUGUUGUGAUUUGUGAUUGACGGGAAUUCUGUUAAGAAUAAUUCAAAUAACAAGUUCUUAACAGAAUUCCAGUCAAUCACAGAAUUCCUCUCAAGUUCGUCAUUUAAAGUUAUAUUUGAGUGUGUUGUGGCUUGUGUAAAAUAACUAAAGUAGUGAAAUGUUGGAUAAUUGGGGAUGUGGUGUCAUUGAUGGCACAUUGGUUAGGUACCUAGGUUGGUUGUUUAACUUGAUUUGAGUAGUUGAGAAUGCAUUCCAAAGUCUUGUGAACAUGUGUGUAAGUGUAUAAUUAGGUACUUAAGCAUUUGUUUGUGAAAUGAGCAUGUUUUGAGACAUUUAAAAGCACAAAAGGCUUGGGACAUAGGUUGUCACCCGAUCGUGUGCCUCUAGCAUGUUAUGGUACAGGUUGAUCCACACAGGCAUAGAGAGUUACACGGCCUGGCGACACGGCUCUGUGACCUUAUAUUACACGGGCAUAGUGAGUUACACGGUCUGCGCACACGAGCUUGUGGUUUGUCACACGACCAUGUUUAGAACCACACAGUCUGGGUUCUGCCACACGGCCAUAUGACCCUUAUUUUGAAAUUUUUUAGUUUUUUUUUGAAACUUUCUGAUUUACUUUGAAUUGGUCCCUGAUUGUUCCUAAACUAUUUUUAAGGCCACAUAAACUUGAUUUAAGGCCCAUAAAUGUAUGUAUUACUCCAAUCUGAAUUAUUUAUGAAAUUCUAUUAAUUAAUUUUGCAAACUUGAUGCUAUUUGUUAUUGAUUGUUCUAGUUUGUAUGGUAAUAUGUCAUAACCCUAAUCCGACGACGAGUACAGGUUAUGGGUGUUAGAUUUAGUGGUAUCAAAGUUAUAGUUUAUUUGAUUCUUGGACUGAACAUAACAUGUUUGAAGUUUAGAGAAUUACAUGCCAUAUAAACCUAUAAUAGUGUGAUAUGAUUGAUCUGAUCUAACCUCUAUUUUUCUUACAGAUUUAUAAAUGUUAAUAGAAUUUGAUUUUGAUCAUACUGACCUUGAUGAGGUAAAUGGCCCCACAACCGAUUUUGCAAAUGUUUGAUAGUAAAAUCAAAAUGUCCUUUUGAUUUAAUGAGUUAGUGGUUCACAAAAGUAGUGCGAGCCAAUUUAGUGGUAAAACAGUCGAUGACUCAACUAGGGUUAGGUACUGGAUUGAAAAUUUCUAGGAAUAUUUUUGAUGAUAUGGGUUGUUUAUUUGAUUAUUAUCUUAGAUGUGACAUGUCCUUAACAACAGGUAAGAUUUUAACUAGUAUUCAACAUUAACGGUGGUUGUAUCGAAAGACUAGAUUAACUAGAAUUUCUUUAGAUUUGAGUUUAGAAAGAAAAAUGUCAUCAAAUGUAGUAUGGAUAGGAAUUUGUACAACUCAGUAAAUAUAAUCGAGAAAUUGUACCUAUAGAUUGUGUUAAACAGUUGUCUACGCCUCAGAAAGGCAAACACAUUGGUCAGAGAUAUAACAUUGGAAUUAAAUAUAAUGGAACCGAAGACACAAUUGUUAGAUCUGAAGCUACCGCAUCUGAUAUUAUUUCUGGUACGUUCUAUCUCUUUGGUAUUAUUUAUUGUAUAUGCAUUGGGUGAUACUGGAUUAACUUACUUAUAUAUUUGCACUACAUUAGUAACGAAUAAGGAUAUAUUUCUUAAGUCAGUUGAGUUUGAUUUCUAGUCAUAAUCCAUUGGGUAGAGUGUAAUAGUUAACUUGGUAUAUCGAAAUUGUCUGUUGAGAAUCUAUGGUUGUGAUUUUCCUAUUGAUUUGAUAUUAUUACCAUUUCAUGAAUUUGAUAUUAAUUUGGGAAUAGAAUGGCUAAGCUUAUACGAUGUUGUAGUGAACUAUAGACUGAAAUAAAUUGAUCUAUAUUGUCAUAAUUGUGAAAGGAUUAUGGUUGAGUUUGAUUAAUUUAGAUAAUACUACUAGAUUUAUUUCAGUUAUCUCUGUACAUAAAUUGACUUGUAAGCAUUAUAUAUAUGUUUACUUGACACUCAAGAAAUGGGAUCAAAGAUUUAUCAUGUAUCUAUUGUCAGCGAAUUUCUUGAAUUGUUUCUUGAAAAAUUUUCGGGAUUUUUGCUUAAACGUGAAAGUUGAACAAAUUCAGGAUAAAGAAUAAAUAUAUUUUAUCUCGUUAGACGACCUGUUUGAUUAGUUAAAAGACGUAAUAGUGUUCUCGAAGAUAAAUAUAGAUUUGGAUGUUAUUAGUUGCUAGUAAAGAUUGUGACAUAUUGGAAAUUGUUUUUGAGCUCAAUGUGGCCAAUAUGAAUUUUGGUAAUGUUCCCUAGAUUAAUUAAUGUCUUUAUGAAUUUACGAAUUUGAUAAAUCGGUUUUUCAACUUCAUCUGAACAUAUAUUUUCUCGUUAUGUGAAAGUUAGUAAAUGUGGGUUUGACUCAACGAGAUUGGUUUUCUUUAUUAUGUAAAUUUGGUAGAUGAGAUUCGUAUAGAUCCGAGUAAAUUCUCUUCUAUUAUUAUUUGGAAAAUCUGAAAAAUGUUUAUAAAAGUUAUGACCAGCUCAAAGACUUACUGAUAGAAGUUUUGUAUUGACCCAACUUGAAUCCGGAAAGGAGUAUGUUGAUUAUAGUAAUGGUUUUGUAUUAGUUGAAUUGAAAAUUUGGGGAUUUCAAGAUGAUGACCUAAAAGUGAAUAGCUAAGUGAAAGCAAAUCCAGAGUGAGUUGCCUACAAGAUUUAUAGUGGAUACUGAUGGUAUGAUGUAAUUUAACAACAAAUUGUGUGUUUCGAAUAAACUAAAGUUAAAACGAGACAUUUUAUUUGAGGCUCGUAGCAGCACAUAUUCUAUUCUUUUAGAUAAAAACUGAAUAUCAAGUAUCAUCAGAAUUAUUACAGCUUGUCAUGAUUAAGGGUGAGCAAAACUCGAUUCUACUCGAAAAUUUCGAGUUUGAAUCGAGUUGAGUUUUCGAAUUCGAAUGUGAUAGCCCGAAAUAGGGCCUAAUCGGAAUAGUGGUUUUGUAACCACAAAUCUGAAGUGAAAUAUUUUAAUUUUAUAAAUUUUUAUUAGUUACUGAUUGAUUGAAAUAUUGUGUGAAAAUAUGGAUAGGAAAUUUUAAUGAUUUAGUGUCUAAUUGAAUUUUUAGGACUAAAUUGAAAAAAAUGCAAAGUGUGUCUAAUUAGUGAUUAAAUGACUUAAUUGAAUUAUUGCAUGAAAUUGGAAGUGUUUAUGUGGCAAUUAGACCAUAAAUUAGUGAUAUGGACACAAAAGGGUAAUUCUAGAAAAAUAUCUAAGUAAUGAGUUAAGGGCAUUUUUGUCCAAAUUGAGUAAAAGACAAAAUAAAGAGAAAAUAAGUGUCCAUCUUCUUAAAAAUCAGAUGGUUGCUCUCAAAAAAAUUCAUGUCACCAUAGCUAGGAUUCUUGAUUUUCUAAGCUCAAUUGUAAGUGAUUUCUUGCCCCGUUUUUAAUUAUUUUCGUAUUUUUAUGCUUAUUGAAGCUUGAAUUUCAUGUUUCUACCAUUUAAUUUAAAUGAAUUUAUAGUUUAAAAAUUGACCCAUUCAUGAUAUAAUUGUAAAUUGAUUAGUGAUGUUAGAUAAUGAAUAUUUGGAGUGUUAAUUUCAAGUUUUACUAGAUGAAUUUCAAUGAAAAUGUUGAAAAAGGGCUAAAUUGUGAAAGAUGGUAAAGUGUGCAUAAAGUUGUGAUUUUGUGAAAUUGAGGGCUGUUAUGAGCAUGAAAUAUGAUUUAGUAAAGUUUUAAAUUUAGGAAUUUAGUGAAUUUUAUUUUUACGAGCUUAGGGACAAAAGUGGAAUUUUUGAAAAGUUAUGGGGAAAAAUGUAAAUUUUCCAAAAUGUUGUGUAUGAAUUGUAUUUGAAUGAAAUGUUGAUAAAAUGUAUUAAAUUGUGUUAAUAUAGAUCAAGAAAGAAGAAAUAGUGGAAGUGAUCGGGGAAAAGAGAAAGUUAUCAACUAAAUUACAAAAAUAGUCAUUUUGCAUCCGAGGUAAGUUAUGUGUAAAUAAUAGUUAUAUUUUUAUAAAUUGUGAAUUAUAUUUGAUAUGUGAAUUAAUAUUGAAUGUGAAAGGAAAAUUAUUUAUGAAUUAUUCAAGUGAUAAAUUGUUUAAAAUAAAGUGUUAAGUGUAAAUUCCCGGUUGAACUUAGGAAUAGAAGUGGAUACAAGUGACAUGUCACUAGAGAUCAGUGUUACAGUGUUACAGUGAGUUCCGGGUGCUGGGUGAUCUAGCAUGUGUUGCAGACACCUGACAGCUUGUGUGAGCAGGCCCGUGGACAUUUCCAGUGUUAUUGAUCAGUGGUAGCUUCUGCUACGUUUUAGUGGUAGCUUCGGCUACAUUUCAGUGGUAGCUACGGCUACAUAUCAGUGUGGCACUUAUGUGCUAAUUCUCUACGUAUCCAUGUAUAUUCCAAGUGUUCAACGGGAUUAAUAAUGAGUUAAAGUGAAUAUGAAAUGAAGUGUGUAUGCAGGUACAAUUGAAAGAAUGAGCAUAUGUGAUAAAUGUUAAGUGUGAAAAAGUAUAUGAAAGUGAAUUGGUAAGAUUGUGCAUGUGUAAGUGAUUGAAAUUGCUAAGAAAUGUUUUGAUUAGUUAUAUGUUAAAAGUGUUAAUUAUUAAAUGAGUACCUAUUAUUUACAUGUAACUUACUAAGCUAUUUGUAGCUUACACAUUUUCUCAUUUCCUUUCUUUUAUAGUGAUUUGAGCUUGUUCGAAUUGGGGAUCGUCGGAGCUCGUAUCACACUAUCAUAACCAUCUCGGUAUUAUGUGUUUUCAAAAUGUUUAAACUAUGGCAUGUAUAGAGUCUUAAUCAUUUUGAGUAUGUCCAUAUGAUAUGACUAAGAUUAGUUAUUGAAAUGGUUGAUAAAGAUUAUGUUUUGAUAUUAUGUAUGUGUAAAUGGUAGCUAAUACAAAGAAGCAGUUUCUUUGAUAGCAGCAGUGAUGUGAAUGUGAAAAAUCACCAUAAAUAGUAUAAAUGGAAUUAGGGAGUGAAUUAUAUAUAGAAUUAAAUCUUAUCAAGUCUAUUUUUACAUGAAAGAAACGGUGUAGGCAAAAGAAUUUUAUAUUUUGAGAUAUUUGAAUUUUAGUGAGACAGGGUCAGAAUGGUUUUUGAAGUCCCUUGUUCUGACUUUAGAAAAUCAUUAUAAAUUGUACAGAAAUAAUUAUAGGUCAUAAUUUAUAUGUAUAGAUUCCUUAGUGAGUCUAUUUUCAAAAGAAAUAAAUGGUAACCUUAUAUAAAUUCUGUACAAUGAGAUAAUUGAUUUUUAGUGCCAAGAUGUCAGAACUAUCAAGUAGUGAAACAGGGGAGACUUCAAUGAAUAAACUGUAUUAGUUGGCUAAACCAAAAAUUUUAAAAAUUUUAUGGUAAGAAGGUAUAUGAGUCUAGUUUCAGAGAAAAUUUAUAUAUUUAAAUUUCGAAUUUCGUAACUCGAGAUAUAAUUAAAUUAGUGACAGUCACUCAGGUGGACAUUUUUAUUGUGAACAGUGAAUUUAAUUUUGAAAGCAAUUUUUUUUAUGCUCCAAAUUGGUAAGCUAAAUUGAAUAACAUCUCGUACUCAAUUCCGGCGACGGUCUCGGGUAAGGGGUGUUACAUCGAAUAACUCGAAUAAUUUGAAUAUCAAACUAUAAUAUUUUACAUUUUUACCCCAAACUCCCAAACCUUUUUAUUUUUCCCUCAAAACUUUUACUCCUUCCCACUUUCCCCCCAAAACUUUUACUCCCCUCCCAACCCCCCAAUCUACCCAAAAUCCAUUCCCACCAAAAUUUUCCUCUCCCAUUUACUUUUUCUCAAAAUUUUAUUACCAAAAACCCUUAAAACCUUUUAUUUUCGCCCAAAAUUUUUACUCCCUCCCACUUUUCCCCUAAAACUUUUAUUCCAUUCCCAUCUCACCUCCCAUCUACCCCAAACCCUCCCCCUCCAAUUUUUUUUAAUAUUUUCCCUCCAAAAUUUUUCUCCCCCCUAUUUACUUUCUCUCAAACUUUAUUCCCCAAAACUUUUUAUUUUCCCCUAAACUUUUACUUCUCACCCUUACUCUCAAAUAAAAAAUCAAAAUUAUCCAAAAAAAAUCACUAAACAUAAAUAGUAAUAAUUUUAUUUAUAUCUACUAUUUAUAUUAUUAAAUUAAAUUUCACAUUUUAUAUUAUUUAUAUUAUUGAAUUGUUUAGUCAUAUUGAAUAUUUAUAUUAAAAUUGAAUUAUUAAUUAUGCCAUAAAAUAUUCGUGUUAAAAUUUUAUAUUAGUAUCAAUUUCACAUUUUAUUUUUAAAAUAAAUUUUAUUAAAAAUUAUAUUUUUACAUUUAAUAUAUUUUUUAAUUCCAAAAUACAUAGUGACAAGAAUCUGAAGAUAAUUGAAACAACUAAGCAAGCAAAGAAGCUAACCAGUAUAUAAAAAAUUAAUAAAUAAAUUAUGAGGUGAUGAAAGUUAAUAAAAAAUUUGAUUAAGGUGGACAAAUUUUAUUACGAUGGGUGACAGUGGUUACAAGGACCCAAAAUUAUUUUUUAAAAUUUAACUCAAACAAAUAUAUUCAAUUCGAUUCGAUUCGAAUUCCAUCUCACUCGACUCGAUUUGAGAAAAUUUCAAAUCAAAUUAGGAAGAUAAAAUAUGAUUCGUCAACUCGAUUAACUUGAAAUUUUUUUAUUUGAUUCGAUUCGAUUGAACGCUCACCCCUAGUCAUGAUUCCUGAGUGGAAAGGGGCCAAUGUACAAUGGAUUUUGCAUAUGGAUUUCUUGUAUCACCAGGGAAGAAAUUUUUGAUCUGGGUUAUGGUUGAUAGAUCUCAUUUAUUCCAGUCAGAACUGAUUACUUGCUUGAGAAGUAGCUGAGUCAUAUGUGUCAGAAAUUGUUAGAUCGUAUGGAGUGACAUUGUUUAUUAUUUCUAAUACCGAUUUGAGAUUCACUUCUAGAUUUCGUGUUAAAAAUUUCAAGGACAAACUUUCCUAAGGGGGAGUUGUAACAGCUUGUUUUUCAGAGGUGUCGAAAAUAAUAGUUUUGGGACCACAAAUUCGAUGAGUAAGUUCGUAUAAUUAGUAUUUAAAUUAUAUGAGUCAAUAAUAAUUUUAUAUUAAAUUUUGAUGUGAUGAAUUUUAACUAAUUGAAUUAAUGGUUAGUAUGAGUGGUUGUUCCGGAAGUCAAGUGGUUUUAAAAAAUAAGGUAUCAGGACCCCGUUUCUGUAAGCCAAGCUCGUGAAUAUUUUUAUUAAAUAUUUACAGAGUCAUAUUAUAGGUGAAUUGAAGUUUGGUCUGGUAAUUUUAACAAUUGGUUGCUUAAUUAAGGUAAAAGUAUUAAAUUAUAAAAGAGGUAAAAGUUAAUCGCUAUAGAUUUAAGAUAGUAAAGGGAUCAAAAUGGUGAUUAAACCAUGGUCAAAAAGUCCAAGCGGUGGUGGAUGUAAUUAAAUUACUAGCUUUUGGGCUAUUUACUCAUUUAGUCCUAACUAGUUUAAGGCUAAAUUGAAAUAAAGUUUAAUUAACUAAUAAUUUAAUAUAAUUGAAGGACCAAUUGUGCAAUUAAACCCUCCUUAGAUGGUAAUUAAACCAUAUACUUAUAUUAUAGACAUAUAUGGACAUGAUUUAGUAAUUUUAUAAGUUGUAAUAAAAGGGUAAUUUAGUAAAUAGUUAAAGUAUAAGUUAAAAUUAAACAAAUUAAAUGAUAAUAUGAACAUUUUCUUUUCUUCUUUGUGGAAGAAAACCUGGAUAGCCAUUGUUAGGGUUGGGAAAGCUUCGUUCAAGCUUUAAUAUCUUAUUGGUAAGUGAAAUUUCGCCCGUUUUUAGUAAUUUUUAUGUUCUUGAGCUUGUAUUAGCUUGAUUUAGCUAACCCGAGGACUAAUUUAUAAAACUGUUAAACGUUGUGGAUUAUGUCAUUAAUGAUUUUAGCGUGUUCUUGAAGUUUAAUGGUAGAUUAUUAAACUUGAUUGCUAAAUAUGAUUACUUUAUAAAGUAGUUUUUGUUAAUUUUGAUGUUUAAGGACUAAAAUGAGAAAUAGCAAAAUUACAUGUACCUGUUGUGUAAUAAAAAUAAACAUGGACUGUAUUAGGGUCCCAAAAAAUUUAGCUAAGCUUGAAUUUGGUUGAAAAUUGGUUAAAUUGCAAGUUUGAGCUAAGGGACUAAAUCGUAAAAAAUGAAAUAUUAGGGUAAUUUUGUAAAAAUGCAAAAAGACUUAAUUGCAUAAAUUGAGUUGAUUUUUCUAUUAGAAUUAGCGAAUUGAAUAAAAUUAUUAUUCUAUAUCAAGAAUGGGUUGAAAUCGAGGCAUAUAGAAGUUGUAAAAUAGUCCUUGUGCUUUGACGUUGCUGCACUUUAGUCUGGUAAGUUUGUUUGGUUAAUUUUUAAUACAUUUUUAAAUGCAUAAUAGAUGAAAUUCAAUUUUUGAAUGUUUAUUACUACCAAUGAUACUUUGUAAGUGAGAACUAAUAUAUUGACACGACAACACUGUUUUUCUUUUGAUUGAGAUAUUAUGAGUCGAUGAACGUAGGAUAGAGUACGACUGGCAUGCCAAUAGGUUAUUUGCGCAUGGUACGAGCUUGGAAUGGGAUGUGAUGAGGAUUUCGACACACCUCCUGUUCACUGAAAUACCGAAGUCUUGCAUUUGUUACGGACUAUCAUGUUAUAUAUCAGUGUUUUUUUGGCACGUUAUCGAGGGUAAACAUUAGCCUACAGGCUAGACACUUGGCGCCGAGGCGUGUUAUCGGUUGGAUUAGCUCAUAUGAGCGUUUGGCAUGUUCUCAAAUGGUUAACUGUAUACUCGUAUCCAUAUAUCAUUCAUCGGGCAUGGUUUUACUAAUCACUGAAUAUUAUUGAAACGUGGAAAAUUAAUUUCUACUAUUAUUUGAGCAUUACUCACCUGUUGUGAUCUAUGAUUGGAAAGAAUUCUAUUAAGAUCCUUGUUGACAAGAACUCGGUUUAUUAAUCUUGUUAUUUGAAUUAUUAUGUUUAAUUUGAUAAGCCUUAUCAUUUAAUUGAUGAACUUAGUAAGCUUUAUAAAAACUUACUCAUGAUUUGUUGUGCUUUCUUGUAGAUAACAUUUUGUGGGUAAUCGGGCGAUUGGAUCAACUCAAAGAAAUCACACUAUCUUAGGUUCUUUGGUAAAUUAUGAAUUCGAUUUAGCUUAUAUGGAAUUCAAAAUGGAACCAUUGAUCAUGUUCCAUAAUGUUUCAUAAAUACAUGUAAUGUGUCCGAGUUGUGCAUUUUGAUGCUGUGGUAUGAGUAGUUAAUGUGAUAUAUGUUUAAAUCCAUGUAUAAGCAUAAGUGAACAAGCAUGAAAUGUUAAGUGUGGUAUAAAGGAAUUAAAGGUAAGUUAUAUUUGAGUGUGUUGUGGCUUGUGUAAUGUAACUAAAGUAGUGAAAUGUUGGGUGAUUGGGGAUGUGGUGUCAUUGAUGGCACAUUGGUUAGGCACCUAGAUUGGUUGUUUAACUUGAUUUGAGUAGUUGAAGAUGCAUUCCAAAGUCUUGUGAACAUGUGUGUAAGUGUAUAGUUAGGUACUUAAGCAUUUGUUUGUGAAAUGAGAAUGUUUUGAGACAUUUAUGAACACACAGCUUGGGACACAGGUUGCCACACGGCUGUGUGUCAUGCACGAGCAACCCACACGGGCGUGUGCCUUUAACAUGUUAUGGUACAAGAUGAUCCACACGGAUACAGAGAGAUACACGACCUAGCGAGACUGUCAUGUGACCUUAUGUUACACAGGCACAGUGAGCUACAUGAUUUGCGCACACGGGCGUGUGGUUUGUCACAUGACCAUGUCUGAAACCGCAUGGUCUGAGUUCUGUCACACGGCCUGGACACAUGGCUGUGUGACCCUUAUUUUGAAAUUUUUUAUUUUUUUCCUGAACUUUUUUUAUUUGCUUCGAAUUGGUCCCUAAUUGUUCCUAAACUAUUUUUAAAGCCCAUAAAUGUAUGUAUUACUCAAAUCUGAAUUAUUUAUGAAAUUCUGUUAAUUAAUUUGGUAAACUUGAUGCUAUUUGUUAUUGAUUGUUCUGGAUUGUACGGUAAUAUGCUGUAACCCUAAUUCAAUUACGGGUACUAGUUAUGGGUGUUACAUAUAUACAAUGGAUGGAGGUAGUAAAGUGUGCAUAAUAAAAUUAGAAUAUAUAAAAUUUCAAAAUAACGUUUAGUUGAGUGGUAAAAUAAAAUUUUUACUAAUACAAUUGGCAAGAGUUCAAAUCCUACUAAAUAUAUAAUUUUUUAAAAGUAAAAAGACUAAAAUAGCCUCAAAUAAUAUAAGUUAUUUUAAUAACAGAAUGGUAUCUCCAUAAUUUUCUAACUGAGUUGGUGCUCAGUUGAUUCAGGACACUAACUCAAUCAAAAGUUUAAAUAAUAGUAUAAAUUUAUUAAAAUUCUGGUUAAAAUAAUAAAAUUAAAGCAAUUUAAAAUUCAAAUUGUUUUUUUAAGAUAUUAUAAAAAUAUAAAACUACAAACGUACUCACUUUUUUAUAUUUAUUACUUUAUAAAAGGAAUAAAUAUAAAAAGAUAAAUCACUAGAAUGAAGAAAUAAGGCAAAAAAAUUUAUCCACAGAAUAUUAUUAUUUAUAUUAACUAUUUAAAAUGUACAUAAUAAAUUAAAUUAAUUUAUACUUUAUGUAUCAUUAUAUUAAAUUAUGUAAAUAUAAUUUAUUAUUAUAUUUAAGUUUUUAGAAUAUUUAAAAUAUAUUAUUAAUUUUACAAAUAAUUUAUCUUAAUUACUUAAAACCUAUUUAAAAUUCAUACUUUAUGUAUUAUUAUAUUAAAAUUUUUAAAUAUUAUAUAACUUAAUUAAUUUUUAACUUUUCGUUUAAAGAUUUCAUUUUAACUUUCAAACAUAAUUUUUUAGUCACUUAUCCGGAGGAAUUAUUCAACAGUAAUAUGAAUAAAGAAGUAGGCUUAUGUGACACAGCAAUUUCCAAGUGAUGAGAAAGUUGAGGGCAAGGAGCGAAAGCGUGUUAAAGUGUCUCCAUCUCUUGCUUCUAUUUUGAACUUUUGCAUUUCCAUUUACUCACUGCUACACCCACACCCACACGACACGACACGACUUAUGGAUGCUCAAAGUCUUUGCAAGUCAACUCUCCUACUCUAUAUUCCAAGUCUUUCUUUCAGCUUGGUUUUAAUUGUAUUUCAUUAGAGCUGAGGCAGGCAAUCAACCCUUUCUUCCUCCAUCUCUCUGCCCUCAAAAUGAUUUCUCCUUCUUUCUCAUCAUCUCUGCCUCUGCCUCUUCCUCUUCCUCUUCCUCUGUUUUGUUUAUUAUUUAUCAUGCUUGGGACCCCUGUUUCACUAACCACUGCCUGGUUUGAGCCUGAGUUCGAGAACUGCCGUGAUAGCAAGUUCAAAUGUGGGAAUAUCACUGCUGGAUUUCCUUUCCAUGGAGGUGAUCGAGAAAAAGAAUGCGGACAUCCAGAUUUAGAGCUUGAGUGUGGCGGUGACAUUACCACGAUGAAAAUUCGCGAUGUACGGUAUCGCGUGCUUGAGAUCCUACCUGAUCGUCAAAUCCUAAGAAUUUUGAGUGAGAAGGUGAUCAACAAAGGCAUUUGUCCGCCUCGAUUUCCAGAUGAAGAUUGGAUCCAAGAUUCUCCGGUGUUUACUCCUGGUCCCGGCUUUGCCAGUGUUACACUGUUUUAUGACUGCCUCUCUCGCAUCUCACCAGAUCUUCUAUUCUUUACUUGCAAUAAAAAUUAUGGUCAUAGUAAUGUUUCGGUAGCAAUAGCAAAUAAUACUAGUAUCCAUCCAGAGGCAUGCUUAUAUCGUGCCAAUGUUAUGAUUCCUGAAACUUCCUUGGAAAGCCUCCGCAAUCAUUCCCCGGAUUGGAAAGGAGCCUUGGAAACAGGAUUCGAGGUGCAAUGGAGGAAGAACUAUGCAGAAGAAUGCUGGAAAUGCACUUCUUCCGGUGGAGCCUGCGGUUUCGGCAUCCACGAUCAAGCCAACUGCUACUGCCCACCUGGAAAAUGGAGUGGGCCGGAAGGCAAAGAAUGUCGGCCCCAUACAGGUAAGUACUAUCCCUUUUUACAACUAAACAAAGCUUUCUAUUAUUAGUAGUAGUAUGAUUUCCCAGUGGAUUAAACUUCAAUACAUAAUUAAAAUAACUGAAGUUGAGGAUUUGAUAGUUGUAGACUUGCAUUGCAGUAAAACCCAGACACCAAAACAAAUACAUAGAAAUGAGGUGACUAACAAACUGGGAUAGGGGUUAUGAAUUAUGAGAUUGAAGAAAUGGAGGUUGGGAAACUCUCUUGUUUUGAGUUAAUAGAAAAUAGGUUAAUUUGAUGUAUAGAAGCUACAAGCAUGAGUAUCAUGUUAUCUUUUUUAGGUAAGAAUUGGAUAACAGCAUCACUCUAAUACUCUCAUCUUUAUUUAUUUAUUUAUUUAUUAAGAGUAGGAUUCAUUUUAUGCAUAACUUUUAUUAUCUAAAUAAAACAAAUUCACAAUAUUGAUUUACGGCUUUAAAUAAAAUAUUUGUGCUCCAAUUUAGUUUUAUUAUUGUUCACUCAACCCAAACCACAAAUAAUUAAUUUCAAACAUAAAUUUAAGCAGUUGGUAAAAGAGUUUAAUUCAUAAUAUUCUUUAUAAUAUCUCUAUCGUUAUGGUUGACAAUUUUUAAGUUAAAAAUUUUAAACUUUGAGAUCAAUUAUUUUAAAUAUUUAAAUUCUUUAAAUUUAUAAAAAAAUAUAUUUUAAAAAAAAAUAUUUCAUUGAAACUUUUUUAUAGUAUAUCUUUUUUAAAAUUUUAUCUAUAUUAAAUUUUAGAGAAUAAUACUCAAAUUUUUUCACUAAAAGUCAAAAUUAUAAAUUUAGUCACUUUGUAUAGUUUAAAUUACAUUUUGGUCACUAAAUUUUUAAAAAAUAUGAUAUGGUCACUAAUGUUAUCAAUAUGUUAUAUUUUGAUUACUGAGCUGUUAAUUAGUGUUGAUGUUGUAAUGGUAAUUGAUAUGGCAUAUUAUAUCAUCAAUUUAGACAAAAAAAAUUAAAAUAUAAUAUUAAUAAAAACGAAUUUCAAUCAAUUUAAAUAUUUUUAAGUAUUAUUUAAAUAUUUAUAAAUUUAGUCAAGGACAAAUCCAACUGAUGAACUAGGAACAACAUUAAUUUUGUUUUAUUCUAUGUACUGAUAGACAUAGUCAAAAUUGUCGGUCUGAUUUAUUGAAUAAUGUCAGUCCCCUCUUUUCAUCAUUGGUUUGCAUAAUCUGAACAGAUCUGAACUCAUCUGACAAAGAAAGCAUUCAUGUUCCACAUGAUAUUUCCUUUUUCAUUUCCCAGAAAUUACCAAACUCCAGGAAAUUUCCUACAAUGAACAGGAAAUUCGGGGAGACUCUUGCUGCCAAACUCAUACACACGCGAUCAGCAUGUCUUCAUCAACAUAUCCUGGUUGCAAACAUAAAAGUGCUAUUGUGAUUAGUUGCAGUGAAUAUCGAUAGCGGAGAGAGUCGAAUCCAUAAAAUAAUCACCCUAACAUCGUUUCCCGAUCGGUUCUUAAUCCUGUUAAUACAAAACAAAGAUUUUUUAGUUGUGUGUGUAGGUUGAUAACUUGAUAUAUAGAAGUCAAGUUCCAUUUCAUUGCUUUGAUCUUCAUUUAGUCUAUCAGGUCAAUUAAUCCAACACAAAGAAGAUUCUUAAUAGAAGUGGGGACUUGGCACCCAAUUUCCAAAUUAUUUUGGUUUAAGUCUCCACUUCAGUUCUUCGAUUUGGAAUUAGGGUGUUUUUAGUGUUGUCAACUUAUGUUAUGUCCAAAGCAUUUCCUGCCAGUUUCCUUCAAAUUCUGCCAUCGAAGCUUUGGUCUUCUUCCCCGUAAUAGAUGCCCCCAUAGACUUCUGCAGCACUCUAGAACCAAUUUUCCAACUCCUGACGUAAUUUCCAGAUUAGAAAAGGAUUAAACGUGUAUACUAAUAUUGUAGAAUUCAACAUUGACCAUUCCAUAAUUCAUAAAUAUAUUCAACCCAUCACCCUUGUAACAUCAACAAGAUGUCUUCGCUUUCUCUUCCGAUAUCUUCCCUUCUGGCCCUCUUCUUUCUCGUUUUCUUAACCAGAGUUCCGACGAUUUUAUCCGCUGACGAUCCGCGGGCCUGCAGGGAAACGCUAACAUGCGGAAGCGUAUCAAGUAUCGGUUACCCAUUCUGGGGAAUGAACCGUCUGAGUUAUUGUGGCCAACCAGGAUUUGAACUGAGGUGCGAGAAUAAUGUAACGGAAAUCCUGAUGAAUGAAAACACCUUACGAGUUCUUGACAUAGACCCUGAACGACAGAUUCUUAAGGUAGCUAGGGAGGAUUACUGGAAUGGUUAUUGUUCCACGAAAUUUAUCAACACCUCAAUCGACUUCGAUCACUUCAAUUACGGCUCAAACAUUAGGAACCUCACCCUAUUCUACGGAUGCAACCCGCUGCCAACCUCGACAUUUCUUCCUAACUGCUCCAUGAAUAGUACACUUAUUGAUGUGUCAUAUGCUGUUAGAAACAUGUUGGGUGACCCUCGCUAUGGCAUAUGCCGUGAAAUUGUCGUAGUUCCGGUUUAUGAAGCUGCAGCAAAGGACCUGGAGGUGAACCCUAUGAUUAUGCAAGCUGCUUUAAGAGGAGGUUUCGAAUUGCAAUGGGAAGCGGAUAAUGAUCAGUGCAGAAGAUGCAGAGAUUCAGAUGGGAUUUGUGGAUAUAAUCAAACUUCAAAUAGUUUCACUUGCUUUUGCAGCGAUAAACCUAAUUUAACCACAUGUUUUCCAACAACUGAAGGUACGUUAUAGCUCUUCUUCCGUAUAUGUUUGCUCAGCUGUUUGUUGUUGCAGAACUUGCUGUUUCAUUGAAUAUCUCGAGUCUUAACUCUUAAGUAACCUUCACGGUUUGACUCAUUCUGAUGUUCAAUCUUCAUUAGCAGUAGCAGCAAAUUGGCCUUUGUUACUUCAGAUCGAAUCCUAAUCUCCCCAAGAAGCCAAUGACUUCAUUAACUCUGACCAUUUUGAUUGGUUAAUACCAGUUCAUCUUCAAAUUCCAUGGUCGCUUGUUCUCUUUCCCAUCACAACUGCAUCAGCUAGCAGAUAAAACGUAGGGUCUUACCAGUUGCUUAUAGAUUCGACCUAGAAAUACUUUCAGCCAAAGUAGUACUAUUAUUGAUUUAUUCAAUCAUUAAAAUCAGAUGAUAUUUUCCAGUUACAGCUUUCUUCAAGUUUUCAACAAACUCGAACUGAGUUUAUACCUUUAUGAGUUCCGAGUCCUGAGACUAUUAUGUUGAACUGGGUUAUUCAGACUUAAUAAUAUAUUAUUGCCAUGGUAGGCUACCUAAAUUUCCAUAGACUGGCGCUUAAUGGUGGCAUACAACAGAAGUUUCCGUACUCCUAAUUAUAAAAAGGUUAUUUUUACAAUUUUAAAUGUGAAAAUUUCUUUUUAUGUUAUAAAAAUAAGAAAUUUAUUGGGUUUCAAUAAUUACUAUUUUUUUUAAAUUUUUGCAUGCACCUAUAAUUAUUGAUUCAUAUUUUAAUUAACAUUUCGUGAUUUUUUACUAUUACAGAGAAAAAGGAUGGAAAGUCUCUCCAACUUGGACUAGGUAUUAUUCGGUACCCUUAUUAACUUAUGUUUAAAUUUUAUUCCAGUCCAAUUAGUUUGAUUUUUUGGUUUUAGUUUAAAUUGUACCAACUCUUAAAUAGUUUUACCUGAAAUUAUUUGAUUCUAACAUUAAUUCAAUAAAAAUAAUACAUAAAAAACCAAAUAAAACAAAUAAAAAAUCGUUAUGAGAAUAUUUUGGUUUUUUAAUUUUUUAAAUAAAAUUUUAUCUAAUUAUUUGUUUAUUAACUUUUUUUUCUAGAUUUCUAACAAACUGUGCAUGUUGUUAUUAUUUCAGUUCUUUCCACUGCUCUAUUUUCUUUUCUCCAUCUUAAUUGUUUCACUUACUUUCUCUAUAUAUUAUAUAACUAAUUCAUUGUUUUCAUACUGCAGGAGCAGGAUCGGCGGUAGCUAUAACCAUUCUCAUAUGCUUCCUUGUCUUGUGCUUCAAAUUAGGAAAGUCAUUACCUAUUAAUCACGGAAAGAAGGAAGAGGAUGCUAGGAUUGAGGCAUUCAUCAAAAAGUUUGGUUCUCUUGCACCAAGGCGAUAUUCUUAUGCAGAAAUCAGAAAAUUGACAAAUAAGUUUAAUGAUAAAUUAGGUCAAGGAGGAUAUGGUAGUGUAUACAAAGGGAAAUUGUCUGACUGUCGUCUCGUGGCAGUCAAAGUCUUAAGUGAAUCAAAAGGAAAUGGAGAGGAUUUCAUGAAUGAAGUGGCUAGCAUUAGUAGAACUGCUCAUGUUAACAUCGUGAGUCUACUUGGUUUUUGUUUUGAGAAAUCAAAGAGAGCUUUAAUUUAUGAAUUCAUGCCCCAUGGAUCCUUGGAUGGGUUUAUUUAUGAUAGAGGAUUGCAUCAUCGAAGUUGUCGAUUGGAGUGGACAACUUUGUAUGACAUUGCACUUGGCAUUGCUAGAGGACUCGAAUACUUGCAUCAAGGUUGCAACACAAGGAUCUUACAUUUCGAUAUAAAACCUCACAACAUCCUUUUAGAUGAGAACUUCUGUCCCAAAAUCUCUGAUUUCGGUUUGUCUAAAUUAUGUGAAAGAAAGGAGAGUAUUAUUUCCAUGGCUUGUGCUAGGGGAACAAUAGGUUAUAUUGCUCCAGAAGUGUUUUGUCGAAACUUUGGUGGAGUUUCUUAUAAAUCUGACGUCUAUAGCUAUGGAAUGAUGGUCCUUGAAAUGGUGGGAGGAAGAAAAAAUAUUGAUGUUGGAGUGUCUCAAACUAGUGAAGUAUAUUUUCCGUCUUGGAUUUAUAAGCAUCUUGAUCAGUCUAUGAACUUGAAUCUUAAUGGAGGAAUAGUUGAAGAAGAAGAAGAAGAAAUGACAAGGAAGUUGAUUAUUGUGAGCCUUUGGUGCAUUCAAUCUGAUCCAUCUGAUCGACCAUCGAUGACUAAAGUGAUAGAAAUGUUACAAGCAAGUCUUCAAUCAUUGAUCAUUCCACCUAGACCUUUUGUAUCUUCUCCUGUACGAUCUCCUAAAACUUUAGAACUUCAAAAAUAAUUUAAGCUUUGAUUUGUUUGAUGUUGCAAGUUUAACUCAAACUUCUAAUAAAAAUUAUGAUUGAAUAUUACAAUUAUGAUGAAAAAAACUAUGGUUUUUAACGUAAAAAAAAAAGUCACAACAAUUCCGAAUAUGCUAAAGCACGUAAUCGCAUGAGAAAAUUUGGACAAUUUCAGAUGAUGAAAUAGUUUUCUCUCUCUCGUCAUCGUAUGAAUUAGAUUGAUUUCAUACAAUAUUAUACAUUUUGUUUCAUAUAAAAUUACAUAAGGCAUUGUGAUGGGUUAUCAGUUGGAAUAAUGAUUAUUGGUAAAGAAAUAAUAACAGUGAAUCUGAAGAAUUUUCUUGUAUUAAUUUGAUAAGGAUUAAGCAAUCAGCGAUGUACUUAAUAGAGUGAAAAAAAAAAGCGAAAAGAUAAAUAGAGAAUAAUAAAAAAAUUAAAAAAAUUAAAUUGAUUUGAUAGAAGGAUAAAACAGAAAGUCAAAUUAGAAUAAAAAGGGGGAGAAAUGACAAGGUAAAAGGUUAAGUGUAAAUUUUACAAAAUUUUGCAAUUUUUAAAAAAAAAAUUAUUAUUUCUGUUAUUUUUUCAACUUUAAAAAAUUAUAUAUUUAUGUAUUAGUGUUUCCUGCGGAGCUAAUAUAGGAAAGAAAUAUGCAAAAUGUCAUAAAGUGUGACGAUUAUGCGUCGAAUAUGUGCAUUAUGGUCGGAUUUCUAAGUUGGUUCAUGUCUUUGAAAGUUUAUUAGAAGUGACCACAAUAGCAUGUUUUGGAGACAUGAAUUUCAAAAAUAAAAAUUCAGAAAAAUAUAGUUUUUAGCUGAAGUCAGGUAUUUCCCAAAAUGUGUCUUCUGCUUAGAGAGACUCAAAAUGAAUGUUAGUUAUCAGACAUGAGUAUGCUUACUUUUUCUAUUUUCUUUUCAUGUAUUUGAAGUACACCACACCUGCAUGCAUAACAAGUAACAACUCCAGUACCUUGCUCCAUCCCACAUUUUAUUAAUUAUUUUUAAUUUAGUCUUGUAAGAAAAAAUAUAUACAUUAUAAUUUAUUCAUGUACAUAUUUUUAAUACAUAUAACCUGCAUAUAUGUCUAAAAUUACAUACAAAACAUAUAAAAUAUUUAUCACACUACAACGUAAAAUCACUUGCAAUUAGAAGAUAGGUAUGUUGUUACUAAAAUUCGGUUUGAAUCGAGUUUUGGAUAAAAUCAUUUUGCAAAUUGGAUAAACAAUAAUUCAAAAUGAUUAUUUUAAUAAUAAAAUAUUCCUAUUUAAAUGUAAUAAUAAAUUUUAAUAUAAAAAUUAUUAGUAUUUUAUUAAUUUUAAAAUAAGAACAUGAGUUUUUCGCAUCACGAUGGACUUAAACAUCAAAAAAUCUGGAGAGUGAAUCUUGUCAAGAAAAAAAGAAAGAUUCUGGACAGUGACCAAACCCUGGCCUAACCAGGCCCACGGACACGCAUAAUUGGACCACGUUACUUGUCCAACAAAAAUUUUAUAUAAUAACAAAUAAAAAUUUAAAUUAUUACAAUUUCAUUAACCAAAAAAUAAAAUAUAUGUUACUUUUGUUUUAAAUAAAAAAUUAAUUAAUUAUAUAAUAUCUUUAUAUUUCAUACAUAAAGUUUUAUAAGUAACACAUUUAUAUAAUCUAAUCUAAUCUAAUAUAUUAUAAUUAUAUUAAUAUAAUAUUUCUAUAUUAUUGAUGCUUUCUAUCUGUGUAAAUCUUUCUAAACAACAAGGCAUGCUUUGUAUCUCUCCACAUUGUAUUUUGAACACUUCUUGAUGUUAAGUAUACAUUUGCAACUAAUGCGUUUUUAUCUUCAGUCAAUGAAAUAAGAUCACAUACAUCAUUAUCUUUCAUGAACUUAAUCUUUUCGUCCAUGGAAUAUAUCCAUAUUUGAAAGCUAGAACUUUUGUUGGUUGGACAAAAGUUGAUUAGAUCAUCUUACAUCACUCCAAUGUCAACUUCAUACUUCAGAGAAAUAUAAUACAAUCAUAUGAUAUUGCAUUCUUUUUUUCUUUUUAUAGUGGAUAUUUUUAAUGGCAUUAGCUAUUGAGAUUGUAGAGUUUGUUUUUUUGGAAUAAAUUCUUGUUCUUGAUUACUAGAUUCAAUGGCAUUGUUUUGAUCUAGAGUUACUGCUUUAACAAAUUCAGGUAUAGUAGAUUAUUCCUUCUCAUUGUCAAUAGCAAUUAAAGUAAUGUGUUGAGAACUAUCAACAUAUUUUUCUUAAAAAAUAAUGUCCCUAAUUGUCUCCUCCUUACAAACUCAAUAUCCUCAAAGAACUGUGUAUUAAACAUAUCAAAACUUGCGUUAGUAAUGGGAUCACAAAAUUUAUAACCUCUAGACCUUUCAAAGUAACCUAUGAAAUAGCAACUAACAGUUAUUAAGUUCAAUUUCCUUUCAUUUGGCCUAUGAGGCCAAACCUGAAUUGGACAUCCCAAAGUGUGCAAAUGCUUUAAGUUAAACUUUAUUUCUAUCCAAAGUUCAUAAUGGACCUUUUCUUCUGCCUUAGUCGAAACUUUGUUGAAUAUAUAUGUUGUGAUCUUUAAUGCUUCUCGAAAGUGAUUUAAAUUAAGUAGAAUGAUUAAUCAUACACCUUAUUAUGCCCUUAAGGGUAAUGUUUCAUCUUUUAGCAACACCAUUCAUAGUGGGUAACUUAACAUAGUGUACUGUGGGAUAAUACAACUUUCCUCUAAGAAUCAAAUAUGUUGAUAACCUAAACCAUUAUAAUUGCAUUAGUAUUCACGAUCAGAUCUAACACGUUUAAUUCUUUUGUCAACUUGGUUUUCAAUUUCAACCUUAUAAUACAUUAGCAUAUCUAGUGUUUGCAAUUUCUCUUGAAUGAGAUAAAUGUAGUCACAUAAAAAAUUGUUUAUUAACGUUAUGAAAUAUUGUUGACCAUUCCAAAAAACUAUAGGGAACAAUCCACUAAUAUUCGUGUAUAUCAGUUUUAAAGCGUCUAAAUUCCUAUUGGCAUCAAAUCUACUAACAUAUGUUUAUUUCCCCUUAAUGCAAUUUGUACACACAUCAAGAUCUAAAAAAAUCAAAUGGAUUCAGAAUAUCGUCAGAUGCAAGUCUCUAAAUUCUCCUUUUGGAGAUAUAACUUAAUUUUUUUGUAGCACAAUGAACCAAAUUCUCAAUGGUUAAUUUAUGUUUUUUAUCUAUUAUGGUAGUGUGCAAAGAUUCAUUAAAUGAAGCAAUAGUAUCAAGUAAAUAUAGAUUAUCAUAAUCAGAUAGUGAACUAGAACCAACCAAAUUUGAAUUUUGAAAAGAUAUUAAAUUUUCCAUUUCCAAAUAAACAACAAUAAGCAAAUUAGCCCAAUGCUGAAAUGAUAAUCAAAUUCCCCUUGAAAGAGUCUCAUUCAAAUCCAAAUAAAAUCUAAUUCUUAAUAGUAACCUAAAAUUUCCUAUUACCUUAAUUUCUAUCAAAAUAUUGUCGCUUACAUAAUUGUAUAUUUCAACAUUAUUUAACUUUCAGUGGGUUUGCUAGUCUUGCAUAAACACGUUAAUGUGGGUUUGUAACACCCCUAACCCGUAUCCGUCGCCGUAUUAGGGUUACGAGGCAUUACCAAACAAACACAAUCAUUUUUAAAACCAAACUGAUCACAAAACAUGGAAAUUAAAUCAUUUUCGCAUAGCUAUUUAUAAUUUACAAUCAAAAUCUAACCAACAUCAUACUCAAACCUAUACAUGCCAUAAGAUCGAGUUCAAAUAUUUAACAAAAUACCAAAAGAAGUCGAUAGUGUGAUAGACUAUGCUGAUGAUCCCCCAGCUCGUAACGCGUCACCAAAAUCUAUAAAACAAAUGGACAAAAACAAUCAAAGUAAGCUUUUAUAGCUUAGUAAGUUUAUAACAUAUUUAAAAUACAUAUAAACAAACGUAUGUAUAAUCAUUAUAUGCUUAAAAUCAAGUUACAUACAUAAUCACUAAUUGCAUAUGAAAUUUCCAAAUAUACUUAUCAUUUGCAUUUCAUUGAAUGCAUGUCUAUUAUCUUUUAAAUACAUAUGUCGAAAGCUUAUAUUUUUACUUAUCAACUACAUGAAUCAAAUGCACAUUUAUACUUCUAAUUCACAUGUGCCGAUUUCAUACAUGUAUAUUGAACAAUUUAAACCGAAUGUAUAUACACGUUUACGUAAAUAUUCGAUUGCAUAUAUAUAAUCAUAUGUUUAAUAAUUUUUAGAAUCGAAUGUGUAUGCAUUUUUAUUUCCUGCAUACAUCCGAAUGCACAUAUAUACCAAUCACAUUAUAUAAUCAUUUGUAUAUAUAUAUAUAUUGAACAACCGUAUAUCACCAUAUGUAAUUAUAAAUUCAACAAUCGCAUAUUACCUAAUAUACAUAUGCUUUUAUUAAUUGUAUAUAUCGAAAGCAUACAAUUAUAUUUAACCAAUGCAAAACCCGAAUGUAGGUAUACACUUACCUAGUAUAUAAAAACUGAAUGUUUAUGUAUUCAUCAAUUUCAUAUAAUCAAAAUCAUAGAUAUAUCAAUUGCAUAUUCUCACAUAAUUUGAACAGAUUCACCGGCACUUAGCCUGCUAGGUUUUAAAACCUGAUUCAGUACACCAGCUCUUAGCUUGCUGGACCUAUAGUCCGAAAUGUAUCACCGGCAUUAAGCCUGCUAGACGUAAGGUCUGAAUUAUUUCACCGGCAUUAAGCCUGCUAGGCACAUAGCCUGAAUAACUGAGAUGCAAAGUUAAUCUUUCAUAUAAAUCUUUAUAACACACAUAGAUCUUUCUCAAAAACUAUAUCUCGAUAAGAAUUGUUUUAUAUUCAACUCUUUAUAGCAACCUCACAUUCGAACCACAUAUACAUAAUUCACAACAUUAAGUUCAACUCAAGAAACUCAAAUCCUAUUUUCGAUUCACAUGUACAAUUAUAUAUAAUUAUUAACAUUAAAUUCAACUCAAAGAAACUUGUAUCUUACAUUCUAACCUCUUUUAUAUAUAUAUAUAUAUAUAUUUCAAAUCAUUUCAUUCAAUUCAAAACAUUGCAUCAUUUAUUCGAACCACAUAUAUACAUACAAUUUAUAUCAUUAAAUUCAACUUAAAGAAUUUGUAUUACACAUUCGAACAAUAUCAUAUAUUUAUUUAAUAUAUGCUAUUAACUUCAUCUUAUUAAACUCAAGCAUGCAUGAUAUAACAUAUUCAAUAUUUGUAAAAUAAAAUUUCAACAUUCCAAUUUCUACUUGUAUAUCCGACUAACAAUUUAUAUAAUUCAUAAAAUCAAAUUUAGCUUAUAGAACAUAAAAUUCAGCUUAUAGAACAUAAAAUUCAGCUUAUAGAACAUAUAUAUAUUCUAAUUUAAUGACAUACAUUUGCUAUUAGACUUACCUCGGACGAUAGAAAAUCGAAGUCAGACGAUUAUUCGACUAAUUUGGCUUUUCCCCGAUCUAACUCCGAUUUCUUUGGUUCUCGAUCUAAAUAUUUUCAAAAUAAGAUAAUUUAUUUAUUAACACAUUCAAUUUAAUCCAAAAACACAUAAUUUGGCAAAUUACUAUUUUGCCCCUAAUAUUUACACUUUUUGCAAUUUACUCCCUAUUGCAUAAAACACAAUUUAUAAAAAAUUUGCCCAUACCACACAAGGCCGAAUAUUCAUGGUUCUCAUACAAGUCCACACAUUGCAUUUAUUUCACAUUUUAGUCCCCCAAAAAUUUAAUUUCACAAUUUAGCCCUAUUUACUCAAUUUCACUAAAAAUUCCAAUACAAAACAUAUUAAUCUAUCACAUGUCUUUCAUUUUUCAUCAUCAACUAUCACAAAGUCCAAGCAUUCAUCAAUGGCACAUUUCAAAAUCAUCAACAAUUCACAAAAUUAAAACAUGGGUUUUGAAGAACACAAAGCAACGAUCUCAAAAACGUAAAAAUUAUCGAAAACCGAACAAAACGAACCUUGAAUUUAAGCUUGAAUAUGGCCGAAACUUAACUAGGUUUUAACGGCUUUCUUCCUUCUUGGUUUCAGCUAAGAAAGAUGAUAAUCAUCUAAUGUUUAUUUUAUGUUUUUAACAAUCAUAUAUUAUAAUAUUUGUAAUUUACUAAUUUAGCCUUAUUUAAAUAAAUAUAACUUAUAUAUAUAAUAAGGUUAGUUUUGUCCUUAGCCAUCCACUAACUAUUUAAUGGUCUAAUUGCAUGUUUAAACCUUCCAAAUAAAAAGGCAACAACAAAUAGAUACUUUUAGCUUUAACCCCUAAAUUUUUAUUUUACGCGAUUUAAUCCUUUUUAUUUAAUCAGACACUCAAACGGCAAAAUUAAAGCACGAAAUUUUCACACUAAUAAAUUCACACAUAAUGAACACAGAAAAUAAUAUAAAAAUAUUUUUCUAAAUCGGAUUUGUGGUCCCGAAACCACUAUUCCGAUUAGGGUCAAAACCGGGUUGUUACAGGGUUACUGCAUUGGAAUUUAUCCACCAAGUGUAUCUAGGUCCUAAAGUUAAAUUGACCUCAAAAUAAAUAAAAAUAAGAAGUGUACCUUUCUUUGCGGUACAAUAUUUGCAUCGUAGUUAUUUUUCUUUGUAUACUUUAUUAAAGUUAGACUUAUGCAUACUAAUUUCAACCUUUUUAUUCUUGACAAAUCUCUUUCCAAUGUCGAUCAUGAAAUUUUUGGCCAUGGUAAUCUUAUCAAACGUAGUGCCCCUGAAUGUUUUUGGAAUGACCAUCAUAAUCAUCAUACACAUAUGGUUUGAUCUCUCACACCUUUUCAUCUACCUCUUUCUAUUAAAGGCACUCUCAUACAUAAACGAUGGAGGAGAAUUAACCCUUAAUACAAGAUCGAGAACUAUCAUAAGACUCUCUUAUCAUGUUUUGAAGUUCAUGCCAUUUAAAAAAAAAAAAAGGGAUUGCAUUCAUACUUACAAUUAUGCCAAAGGAUGUAAUAAUAAGUUAAUCAAAUAAAAAAGCUCACAUAAGACCUAAAAUAGAAAAAAUAAUAAUAAUUUUGAGUAAUGGUAAACACCAUCAAAAUAUCAGACACUCCAUUAAUAUUUCAUCUUUGAAUAAAUAUUAACUUUUAAGUGAUAUCUUAGUGUAGCAAUCAAACACCAACAAUAAGAGCAUGUCUAUAACACCCCUCGCCCAGUCCGAUUGCCAAACUCAAGCUACGCGAUGCUACCACUAUUAUCAGAGCAAACCACUACAAUUUAUAGUAAUUAAUCAUCUAAACACCAAUUCAUGCCAUAAUUCCAUGUAUAAUAUGAAAUACUAUCAAAACCGAGUCUUAAACGAGCUUACAAAAGCUUUUAGAUUGACCUGAGCACGAAUAAGGACCAAUCUAAAAAAAUUCCAAAACAAAAAUGGAAAUAGGUAUCGAUACCCACUUCAAGUACCGAUACCAUUUUCACUUUUGAUGUUACAAAAUUAAGAUGAAAAUGUACAAGUAUCGAUACCUGGGAUUUAGUAUUGAUACCUUUGUUACAAAGUAUCGAUACUUAUCCCAGUAUCGAUACCGUUUUUAGGCUCGAUAUUUGAAAAACUCAUGGAAAUUUGUAAAGUACCAAUACCUUUGUCUAGGGUAUACAUUUUGCCAAAAUGCCGAAAAUCACACAUUUUGGUCAUUUUUACAUGCUCAUAGGCGUGUGCAAAAUUCGGGUAAAACCAAAAAAAUUCGGUUAACUGACCGAAUUUGGUUAAUUGGUCGGUUAACUGAAGUUUUUCGGUCGGGGUUCGGUUAAUUAUUUUUUAAUUUUUUAGUUAACAGUUAAUUCGGUUCGAAACCGGUCGAUUAACAGAAUUUUUUUGGUUUAACCGAAAAAAUUAAUAAAUAAAAUUAUAAUAUAUAAAUAGGCCCACUAUUCACCUAAACCCAAUCCAAAUCCAAGUAUCCAACCCAACCCAAAUACCCAACCCAACCCAAUCAUAAAAAUUACAAAUAAUUUAAUAAAUAAAAAUAAAAUUUCAAUUAUGUGUUAAUUUCAAGACUUAUGUAAUGUUAGUGAUUCAAAUACUUAUGUAAUGUUUUUAAUUAUGUAGUGAUUCAAUUUGGUUAAUUCAGGUAAUUCGGUUAAUAAUUUUCGUUAAUUCGGUUAAUCGACCGAAUUAACCGAAAAAAUUUCGGUUCGGUUAAUUUUUUUGAAAAAAUUCCGGUUCGGUUAACGGUUAAAAAUUUUGAAAGAUCGGUUAAUUCGGUUAAUGUUAUUUCGGGUCGGUUAACCGACUUAACACCCCAACAUGCUCAAUCAAACUCAAACUCAAAUGGUGCUUGUAGACACAUUUUGACCUGCAUAUAAUCCACUCAAAACAUACCAAUAUACUACAUUUCAUCCAUUCCAAAAUGUCUCAAAUGGAAUCCAAAACACAACACUUCUAAUUGAACAAUUCAUACUCAAUUUACCAUUCAAUUUAUCAUUUAAUACCAUCGUGUUAUCAUGCCUAAUCAUACUCACAAGUACCAUUAUGUAUCAUUCAAAACAUACUAAUUUCAUACCAAAACUCACAAUUAAACAUAUUUCAAACAUCUAAACAAAUAUGUCACAUUUGACACCAAAUUUACAACAACCUACUUAUAUCAUUUCAUGCCAUUCAACCAUUCAUUUCAUCUAGUUAUUUCAGGUUCAACUAUGCAAUUAUGGAUGCCAACCACAUAGAACACAACAUAACACCAAAUUUAUGAACAUAAACAAUUUUCCAUUACAACAAAAGUUCAUUUUCAACUAAUGCUUCAAAUCAAGCUUAACAUUUUAAGAUAACAUAACCACUCCUAAGAACAUGCCACAUAUAACCGAAUUCAAAUGCUCAAAAGUCUACCGAAUCAGGAGAUGGAUAGUGUGAGUUCUGAGGCAAUCCGAUCAACGUAUUCUACGAACUGAAAAUCUAUAAAGAAGGAAAAACAACUAGGUAAGCAUUUCAAAUGCUUAGUAAGCUCAUACAUAUACAAACAAUUAACUUACCUCAUAUGACAAGUAUUUAUGUUAAUCUAAUGUGUAUAACCAAAUUUACCUAACAUAUCAAAAACACAAGCACAACUAGGUGAGCUUAAUUCAUAUUCUAUCAUGUAACAUAUCAAGUACAAGCAUAACAUUUAAUAUAUUCUAAAUCCAAUUUAACCACAACUCAAUCAUAUGUAUACACUCAACUUAUCAUUAACUCUUCCACUUUGCUAGCUUUGAUCAUUAAACACAUUAUAUUAAUUCUACGUUUCACAUCUUGUAAACUACCCGAUGAAACACCGUAAAAGAACUAAACCUUUUAUGCUUAACUAACCACAUCUGAUGCUCGUCUGAGCUAAACAUAUAUGUUUGUAUCAGGUUACUCGUCCGGGCUAAACCUAUAAAAGGACAUUAGGUUACUUAUCCAAGCUAAACAUGUAUCACAUGUAUCUUCAAGUCUACAACAAAUGAUGGAACUCAGAAUCAUUGGAAAUCAACCUAUAACCAUGUGUACAAUACAUUUACAAAGUUCCAUCAGGGUAAUUUCCAUCAUGUAAGUUCAUAUAUUUAUUCCUUUUCAAUUUUAUCCCAAUCUCACCCUUUAGUACUAAAUUGAGAUUACUUUGAAGUUCAACAAAGCAUACAUAAAUUCACAAUAUAAUGUACAUAGAGAUUUAAGAACAUUUAUCCCAUAUGAACUUUCCUAGAUAAAAUAGCAAUCGAUAAGGUGUCGAGGACUAAUCUACAAUUUUCUCUUUUUCGUGAUUAUCUUUCGAUUGGUUUAAAUCUCAAUCUAUACCAUAAUUCAAUUAAAUUAUCAAUUCCAAACAUCAUUUAACAGCCUACUAUAGUUAUGUAUCAAUUCAAUUUCAUCUAUCGAAUAUGUUCUCAAGUUUUGUAUUUUAUUCAAUUUAGUCCCUAAAAUCGAAAUUGCCAUAACUUUCAAAUUUGAGUUUUGAUUUUGAAACUGAUCUCAAUUUCAUCCUUCUAGACCCCUCCAAUAUUAAAAUUUACAUAAAUUUUGUACCAAAUUUGAAAUUGUUGCAUUUUAGUCCCUAUGUUCAAAACUAACAAUUAAACUUUACAAACAAGUCAUAUUUCAUUUAUAAGCUUAAAAACUAACAUUUUAACACCAAAACUUCAAGCAUUCAUCAAUGAUAAUAUUUUAAAAUUUUAACAAUUUUGAGAAAUAAAGUAAAAAUUAACUAAAUUGAGCUGUCACUAUCUCAAAAACAUAAAAAUUACAAGAAAAGAACUUAAAAAACAUACCAAAAUGAUAGGCCGAAUGUUGAAAUGUUUGUUUAUGUUUUAUAUUAUAAUUAUAAGUUAACAAACUAUAAUUAAUUGGCUAAUUAAUUAAAGCUUAAUUACUUAAAAUUAAACAUGUUUAGCAAAGUUGGUGGGAUACAUUUGUCAUCCACCACCGUUUAAAUCUUUCAGAGUGGUCAAUUUGCCUAAUUGGUCUUCUAAUUAUUACACUUUUAUAGCGAUUAAUUUUUACUACUUUUACAAUUUAGUUCUUAUACCUUAAUUAGUCACUAAAGCGGCAAAAUUACCUAUUCAAAAUUCAAUUUACUUAUACGAUAACUCUGUAAAUAUUUAAUAAAAAUAUUUACGAGCUUGAUUUAUGAAAACGAGAUCCCGAUACCUCAUUUUCCGACACCACUAACUUUAAGGUCAUUACACUUGUACUUUAAUUAACUAUCAAAUUAAUAAAUUUAAAUAUCCAAACUCGAACUAAACUUCACAUUGAUCUCAUAAAUAUUAAAUAUUAAUAUUUACGGACUCAAUCAUCGAAAAUGGGAUUCCAAAACUACACCACUGAAAAAUGAAUUGUUACAUUAAUAUUAAACAAUAAAUCUUCGUUUGAGUCAAUUUAUUACUCAUACGUAAAAUCGAAAUCAUCAUAUAUAUUUAUUAUCACAAUUGAACAUAUAAUUAUGUUAAAUAUUUGUAUUUAUUUGAACCUUUCAUUAUGAUAAUGCAUUACCAUCAGUCUUUUAAAUAAUGGGUGAUCAAAAGGUAUCUUUCUUAUAAUUAUAAUAAUACAACGGUUUUUUGGGGGUUCAAAAUAAGAGUACAACGUUUAUUGCAGCAUUAAUGAUCGGCAUUGAUAAGAUCAUCCAAUUUACGAUUGAAUGUUCGACUUUAAACAAGAAUGUUGACUAUUAAAUAAUCAUCCAAUUACAAUUGUGCAUUAAGUUUAUAUUUAUCAACUCUUAAAACUUUAAUGUAAAUCUGAAAAUUCAUCAUCAAAUUUUAAGAAAAAAUCAUUUAAAAUUAAUAAUUUAUUCUCGAUUAUUUAACAUGAUAAAGCUUGAAUGUCACUUAUUAAAACCAUAGUAAAUUUGAUGUAAAAAGUAAUAAAUUAGACUUUUCAUGUUAGAUUAUCAAGAACAAAUACUAGUUGUAGAAGCAGUUCUUUGAUAUGUUGAAGUCUUUUAAUCUUAUCGUUUUUUAUCUUCUAAACUAUCACGUCAUUCUUUAGAAAAAGUGAAACUCUUUUCAAAAGAUCGGUUGCUAGAAAAUUUAUCUUAUGUGUAAUUUGGAGAUCAUAACUCUAAUAUGUAACUUUAAAACCUUAAUCUUAUUGUUUUUAAUUAGCUCAUCAUUAAUUACAAUUUAGUUAGUUGAGUACAAACACAUAUUUGGCUCAUUCUUCUUUUUUUAAUAAUUGAAUCCCAAUUAACCUUAACUAUAUUAGGUCACUUUUAAUUUGGGCUAACAUUUUAUGAUGUUAAAUUAACAUUUAAUUAUUCUUGUUCCAAAAUAAAAAAUUACAAUGCAUGGUUGCUGAAAAUAAAAUAUUCAGUUUGUGAUAUAUGAAUAUUAUAAUAUAUACCUCAUCAUCAAUUAAAAUGAUCUUUCGUUCUUUUCUACUGCCAUUACCAUUUGAAUAUAAUCAGCAUUUUUUUUAAAAAAAAUAUUACUUUAAUUUUUUAAAUACUUCUAGACUUCUAGUUUAUCAAUGUUAAUAAUCCCCAUUCUUUUUCUCAAUGAUUUUCUUUAAAUAUUGAUAGGAAAUGCUUAAGUGUUGAAAGCUCUUUAUAGCAGUAAAUCUUUAACUUUGAUUGUUAUAUAACUAUAACAUUAAUUGGAAAUUAAUCUAAAUAAUAUCUAUUAUUAAUAUAUUACAUCCAACUUUUAACUCAAACGAUUUUAUUGAUUGUUAAUAAUUAAUUAAUAUUAUUUUUAAAAAAAAUUAAUUAAUGUUACUUAUUCUUAAUACUUUAAAUCACAAAAUGAACAAAAAUGUUAUUAUAUAAAAAAGUUGAUUUCAUAUAAUUAUAAAUUAUAGAUUAUAGAUAUAAAUAUUGUAGAUUAAAGAAGUAGUUUUGAAAAGUGAGAUUUGGAUUGGGUUUGACCAAAUUAAUUGAAUAAAUGAAACCAUCUUUAUCAAGACACGUAUAUAUUCAUAUUCAUAUGUUUAGUUUAAGACAGACAUUUACUCUCUCCAUACUGCAUAUAGGCAUGCAAGGAUAUUUCUAAGUUUGUGUAAAUUAGUAAAGUCCACAAAUCUUUGGUGACACGCAAUAACACCAGUUUUUUAUGGACACUCACUUGACUUAGACUUGAAAAGAAAGAAGAGAAAAUCCAUGACUAAAUUACAAAGAUUUAUACAUAUUUGCAAUAACAAGAUAGCAGAACUACACUCCCAUUCACAUUUCUACAAACCUCUACCUAUUCCUUCUCUUACUCUUAAAUUACUACCCUUUAGACUUGUAUUCUUUUUUAAUUCAACAAUUACCUUGAACAAAGCCUAGGUGAGUGACUUCUUUGAACUAUCAAAAUAGCAUGAAGACUUAUUUACAUAAGGUAUAAUAGUUUAAGGGUUUUUUUUAAUGUACUAGCUUAAAAUUAUUGUUUUAUUUAAAUUUAAAUAUUAUGUGAAAUUUUUUUUUAAUAUUCUAUUAUCUUUUGAAUAGUAAAAAUAAACUUUUCAAAUCAAACCAGGCUAGUUCAAAUGACUUUGGACAAUUUGAAACAAGUUUGAAAAGGAUCAUUGUUUUCAAAAAGAUCAGUUUAAAACAAGUUCGAAAGACAUGUAAUAACACUUAACAUCUCAAUUACAACCAAUUCAACAAUAUACCAAUUGUGUUCAAGUCGAAAUAUGCCAAAAUGAUAUUUCAAAAUAACAUUAAGUAACCAAGUUCUAACUUCGACCAUUUACGGUACAAAACUAGCUUAAACCCUAGGUGAAUGUGUAACACUCCUAACCUGAGUUCGUCGUCGAAACAGGGUUACAAAGUAUUAUUAGAGUUUACAAAUCAAAUCAACAUACAUUUCAUAUCAUUUAACAUUCUUGUCAGAAACCAGUCGAAAUCAAACAUAUUGUCUCUUAUGCGAGCUCUCGAGGCCCAAAAUACACAUUAGAAACAAGUCGGGACUAAAUCGGGUACUCAAAGAAUUUUUCAGAAAACAUUAAAAUUUUUCAAAGUUACAGGGGACACACGGCUGUGUGACUCACACGGCCAGGAGACACGCCCGUGUCUCAGGCCGUGUGGGCAUUUGAAAUGGGGGCAUACAGCCGUGUCCCAACCCAUGUCCAUGAUCAUGUAACUUCCUGAUUUGGGCCACACGGCCGUGUCACUUGGCCGUGUGUCACACACGGUUGAGACACACGCCUGUGUCUCUGCCCGUGUGGACAAAAAUAGGCCAUUUCCAAGCCACAUUUCUCACCCAAUUUGGUACCAAUCUAAGCACAAUAAUUUGCACAUCAACAAGCCAUAACAUGGCAUUCAAAUCAAGUUAAAAUCAAGUCUUAAACAUGAAAUAUAACCAUAUACAACCAAUGUGCCAUUAGGCACCUUAGUUAACAAUUUAAAGACAUGCCAACCAAGUAUCUCAAUCUACCUAUUUGACUAAGUUCAUAUAUGCAUAUUCAAACCACAUUUUAUUUUCUUUCAUUCUACCAUAUCAAACACACAUCAAAUAUGAUAAGGCCACUUAUAUACACAUCAAGAUAUACCAAACACAAACCAUUCAAGUGGCUAGUCUCAAUAAAACAUUUAUAUGCCAGCAUUGGCCAAAAUAACUUAUACAUGUCAUUAUACCCGAAAUUAAUUUACUGAAAGUACCAAAAAGGAUUGAUGGAUAGUGUGAAAUAACUCCGACCAGCUUCCAACCCGAACGAGCUUCUGAAUUACUAUAAAACAUGGAAAAUAUAUAACACAAAGUAAGCAUUUAAGCUUAGUAAGUUCGUAUAAUACAAAAUUUAGCUUACUAUAUUUCCAUAAAAUAGGUAAGUAACAUAGCAUAUCUCAAUCAAUUUGGCCAAAAGCCUAAACACAUGAUCACAACAUAUUAGCCAUUAAAUCACAUAUAAAAUCCAACACAUAUGGUUGAAUUCAUCAAACAAUCAUAUUUCAUGUAUUUCAUGCAUAUACCGGUAAUAGAUCAUAUCAAAAUAAUAUGAUUUCAUAACAGAACUAUGCCCGUCGAACCAUUUAAAAUAUCAUUGGAUACAUGGGUAGUACACAAGAGGUGUACUAAACUGUAAUCCAUCAAUUCAUGUACAUGAAUGCUCAUACGAGCUAUAAACGGAAAGCUCAUCCUGGCUGAAUAGUGGGAAGCUCAUGUAAGCUGUAUAAUAGGAAACUCAUGCAAGCUAUAUAACAGGAAGCUCAAGAGAGUUGAAUAUUAGGAAGCUCAUACGAGCUGUGGUGUGUCCGCAACACAUGCAAGACCCCAACCAAAUCGGUAACCCUAAUGACAUGUCAUUUGUAUCCUACGAAUUUCAUAAGGUUCAAACGGGACUCAAUAAUUAUUGAAUAUACAGCCGGUAUUUAUUCAUGGAAAUUGUACAAUUCACAAACAAUAAUUCAAUUUAACUCAUAUAAAUGUAUAAUUUAAUUACACGAAUUUACCUCGACAAAUGUACAUAGAUACGAAGGCGACUAAUCAGAUAUUUUUCCUUUGCCUCAAUCUAACUCUGUACUAGGUCUAACAGGAUCUAUACGAAUGAAUUUAACUCAAUUCAAUAUAAUUCAUAUUCAAUUUAGUCCAGCACAUAUUUUUGGUAAAAUUACUUUUUUCCCUUAUACUUUUAAUUCUUUGCAAUUUAGUCCCUAGGCUCGAAAAAUAACUUUCAUGCAAUUUAAUCCUUACUCAAGCCGAGUUAAUUUUUAUACAUAUUAAUAGUGUCCCACAUAAUUCACAAUUUUACCAUAAAUUUAUCAUCUUUUUCAAUUUAAUCCCUAAUUGAUAAUUUCAUCAAAAUUCUCUUUACAAAAGUUGUUUAUCUAACAACAACCUUUCAUUUUAUAUCAUAAAAAUUCAAAAUUCAAACAUGCUCAUCAAUGGAAAAACCCUAAUACUUUAACAAUUUUACAACUUAAUUCCCGAGAUAGCUAGAUUAAGCCACUACGAUCUCGAAAACAUAGAAAUCAUCAAAAACGGGACAAGGAUACAUACCUAAUUGAGCAAAAUAAGCUUUCUAAUGUCUCAAGCUUCCAGGGCUAGAGUUUUUUCUUUUUCUUUUUUGUUUGGUAGUAGAUGAUGAUAAUAGAUUUUUUAUUUUAUUUAAUAUCAUUUUAACCACUAAUUUCCAAAAUUACCAUUAAUAAUUUAUUAAAUUUCCAAUGAUAACUACUAUUCAUGCUUAUCCAUUAAGCAUUUUAAUGGUCUAUUUAAUAAAUAAGGACCUCCAAUUUCAAAUUCUAUAGCUAUUUAAUACCAAUAGCUAUUAGAACUCAACUUUUGCACUUAAUGCAAUUUAGUCCUUUUCAUCAAAUUAGGUAUGUAAACGGAAAAUUUUCUUAACGAAAUUUUUAUACUGUAUUUCUAUCAUGUAGUAGACCAUAAAAUAAUAAUAAAAUAAAUAUUUUUUUCUGACUUCAGAUUUGUGGUCCCGAAACUAUUGUUCUGAUUUCACUAAAAACGGGUUGUUACAAAAUGCCAUAUACAAUUAAAAGAGUACUUUACAAACUUUUGUUGAGUUAGUGAAUCACUUCUUGGAUGCUAAAACUACUUCUCGAAAUCUCAAGGAUCAUCUAUGCUUGCGCACAGAGAAAACAAACUAUACGCUGAACAAUAGGGCCCAGUGGUACAUUUAUGAUUCAAGAUAUAAAUAACAAGAGCAUUAAAAAUAUGGUUCAAUAUAAAGAAAAUUUGUGCAUAUAUGCAUCUAAUAUCCAACCAAUUCAUGUCCUAGUUGUUAACCUUUCCAUCAUCAAUCAAAAUACAUAAGCAUGUUUAUAUCAAAUACUAAAACAACCUAUCCAAAUUACAAUAUGUAUGACCAACUCCAACUUACUUAUCAAUAGCCAACUAUUCAAUACAAACCAAUUCAAUAUUAGCCACAAACCAUUAAAAUUAUACCAUGCAUGUACUGUGACACAUAAUUUAUUUACUUUGAUAUCAUAUUAUUCUAACUUGUUUACGGAGUCUACCAACUCAUUUACAUUCGUUUUGCCUCCCAAUAAUCAAUUUCAUUUGAUUUGCAUACUUAACUAUACAUUUUUAAUAUUCUCCUCAUAUUGAUACAUAAUUUAAUCUAAGGGCAUCGAUUGAUAUCGUAUUCAUAUCAUUUACCAAGCUUACAUUUUGCAACCCCUAUUAACCUGACUCAGAUUCGGACGGAUACUUGAAUCGUCCAACCAACACACCAAGCUGGUGUUGCAAAAAUCAUGUUCGAAAAUAGUUUUCUUACACAGCGAAAAAUUAAAAUUCUAAAAAUCGAGCCGACUUUUUAUAUUUUUAGUAAUAAACCCUUUACCAAAAUCACACAUAUAUUUUCGGCUAGAUGAAUCCUUAUCAUUUCUGACUUUCAACUAAACGACCUUCUAUGUUAUUCUCGUACCAUGAACUACUUCGAGUGUGAGCUCAAACAAAUUUGAAUCAAACACAAAACCAGAAAUUCUUUACUUUACUUUUAGUAGGAAAACAAGCCUCUCUUUAAUAGAAACUGAUAGAAUUGUUAUUUCAGAAAAUAGAAUUUAUACUAAGAAAAUAAAUUCUCACUAUUUUCGGGCAAAAUAAAAAUAUCUGAAAGUUGUGUAUUUAGCCCUAUCAGUGCCAUCUAUUUAUAGGAACAAGAGGUGAAACCCUUAUUGAAUUAGUAGAAGUCUAUUUCAAUAGAAAAACUAAAUCCUAGUGUAACUAGGAUUAGGGGGUGGCAACCCUAGUUAAUUAUACUAGGGUUUUUCAUCCCUAGUAUUAACAUGAGGGGCUUUUGGGCCACUCCCGUAUCGGGUCCAAUUAUAAAUACUUCUUUAAUUUUUAACCCAGUACUUUAUAAUUCAAUCCAACCCAAAACUUAUUCUUUUUAUUUCCCAAAAUAAACAUAUUAAAUUAAUUAAAUAAUUUCCCAAUUAAAUAAUUUUCUUAACCCAAUUUUAAUUCCAUUAAAAUCAUGACUAAUUUAUCAUAAAAGACUACAUUCAACGAAUUUACUAUGACUAAUUAAUUUAUUUCUAUUUUCAAACUUCAAAUAAAUAAAUAAAUAAUCAAUAAUUCAAAAAACCAUAAAUUAAUUUUUAAGUCAUUUCCAUUUAGAGAAAAUCCUAUUCAUUUCUAAAUGUUUCCCAUUUCUAUCCAUUUCUGUUCAUUUGGUUCAACAUACAAUUCAUUUCCGAUUUUAACGAGCUAGUGGAGGGACUGACUGAACAUAUGUGAUUAGGGCAGAAAUGAUUUAUAAUUAAGUUCUAGCUUUCCGCCUAUUAAUUAUAAACUCAUUUAGUCACAAAGUCAUUUCACUAUUAUCGUGAUUGAGCUCUCCCUAAUGACAUACCAUUACGAAAGCAACUCGAUCAAUGCUCGUCUAAUGACUUUGUUAUAAGUGUGUUACCCUCAUAAGAUAUCUUUAAUCUCUUUGGGAUAAAUUCGCCCUCCCAAUAUGAUCAUAUUUUGUCUCAUGGUAACCAUUACAUCUUCCUUCAUGAAUAAGUCAAUUACUAUUAAAUAGUAAUCAAGUCAUUCAUCAUAAAGGCGAACGACUCAUGACCAUGUUUACUUUUCAUCUAUCAUGUAAUGUCAAUGAAAGGAUAUUAUUUACCCAUAUCUCAUGCUAUGAAUUCUACUGUUGUGAAUGGCGCUACAUACUACAUAAGUUGUAUACCCAACGUACCAGCUUUUAGUUCCAUAUUUAUUUGAACCUAAGUUUUACUUACAUCAAAGCAUACAAGUCACGUAUACAUAGUCCGUCCUCCACUCAGGAUUAAGGUAUGUCACAUUUUGAACGUCACAAGUGAUUAAAUCCAUGAAUGGAUUCAGGAUCUAUUCUUCUUGGAUUCAGUCCGAUGUACUGUUAGUCCAGUUAGUCACAUUUAUGUCUAUAUCUUUUAGGAGUCACCCGCUCCUAUGCCCAAGAUAAAACAUCUCUCCAAUUAAACUUGAUAGAUGACAUAUUAGUCUUUCAAUCAGUUUGCUCAUUUCUUAUUAAACUAAUGACAUGUUUAGGUCCGUCUACUAAUAUAACUUGUCUUUCCGUAUUAUGAUCCGAUCAUGUAAUACCACUUAGUAUUAGUUAAAAUUUAGAAAACCAAUGAACUAAUAUUUGAUUCUAUUUUGCUUUACAUGCAAAAACCACGUGAGGAAAAUAUACAACGGGUAUUAAUAUAAUUCAUGAACAAUUUAAUUAACAAAUCUGUUUGAAAAAAUUACAAGUGUACAUAGACGAAAAUACUAUACAUAGGGCACUAGAUCCAACAACUAAUAUCGAAGUGCAUAAUCAAAUAAGCCGAAGUAGGGUAACUAGCACGUAACGUGCAUAUUGACGUACAAAAUGCAUCCUGGUGCACAAAGCAUAUCCUUGGCGCACGAAGUGCAUAUCUAGCACACGAGGUGCGUCUUGGCACAUAAGUGUAUAAUCUCAUACACAAACCAAUUCUAUGACAUGCUAAAUCUAUCUGACACAACCUGAACAAUUAAUAGAACACCAAUAUUCAAUUUAUUUACAAGUUAGAACGAGCACAGUUGGUAAAAAUUUUUAACUCUACAAACGAGAUUAAAAAGUUGACAAGUGUCUUUCAACCUCUAGUAUGAAGUUAAAAAAUUCCAACCUCAACACAUAUCAUAAACUAUUUCCUAUUAUUUUUAAUAAAUUACACAAUUUUAUAAUAUGAAUGGCAAUUCUGUUGCUUAAAUUAACUAAUUAUAUUUUUAGCCAAAAAACUACUAAUUUUUUAAGUGUAUAAUUAUAAUUUCAUUUACAAAACACAAAUAGCUCAACGCUCAAAAAAUUUAAUCAAUAUAAAGCUUUUAAAUGCAAUUAACAUAACACCAUAUUCAUGUUUAAAAUUUCAAACAUUUAAAUAAAAAAUAUUUAUUUUAUCUUUAUUUUUGUGUGUAAAAUUAAUAAAUUAUUCAUAUUUAUUUUACGAUAUAGGAAUUUUUGUUGGAUGAAGUGCUCAAGUACAUUGUUAACAAUAGACUAAAACGGCAUGCAAUUUAUCGUACUAUCUGACUCCAAAAAACUUAAGAAAACUAUAACUACCGAAAUAAAACGAAAUUAUUCAUUGAGUAGCUAAAUAAAUAACCUUGUUUUGUACCCUACAAUCAACUCUAUUAGACACACACAUAUUGCUCAUGUCCUUUAAGCGCCUGCUGUCCAAUGAAUUUUCAAAGCAAUAUCUUCAAGUAUUCUGCCAAUGCUUUUGUCUUUACUUUUAAUUAAGCACGCAUACAUGCCUUUCGCCCAGAUAGCUGACACUAAUUCAUGAAACAAAUUGAAAUUCUUCUACUAUACCUGAAAAGAGUAAUAAUCAUUUGCAUCCCUCAACAAUGAAAGCAAAACCAUCAGCAUUGGAACCUGAUUUACGCCACGCCAGAUGGAUUUCAAAAGGUCUUCCUGUUUCAAUCACUACUUCCAAUAUUGCUGCUGCUAGUGCUUGGUUUUCUCAUUAUGCUUCUUCAUUACUCUUUUCUCUGUUAUCUUUUUUCCAGGAAAACUUUUUCCGCCGCUUGAAUAACUUCCUUCACCAGCAACUGGGUUCAAUUUAUUUUAUUCCCCCAUUAAAUCUCACUUUAUUCCUGAUAACCAACCCAGAUACCCCAUAAAAAAAAAAGAUGAUUAUAAUCCUCAAUACACAUCUGCAGAGCACACACAAGUCAUCAACUCCACCAAUUCUUUUCUUGAUUUCUGAAAUCCUAGGAAGGCAGUCCGUAAAAAUUUUCCAAGGGAAACAUUAGCGAUGGAGGAAGUGCCCAAAGCUUAGCCCAGAAAAAAUUUAUUGUAAUUCAAUAUUAAUUCAAAAACAAAAGGAAAAAUUUUAAAUCAAAAUUAAAGUUAACAAUAAAAAAAAAGAAGCCAAAAAUUCACUUAACAAAAUAGCUACAAAUUUUUUUUACAUAUUUUUAAUUCAUAAUUAUCAAAAUUGAAAUAUAUGACAACUAAUUUACUCUGGAAUAGUAAGCAGCAUCGGUCGCCAAGCUCUCCUUAAUAACCUGUACCGAAACGACGUCGUUACUGGCGUCAAAGUACCAGAUCUCCGAUCUGAAAACCUUUCACUGGAACUACUGGUAACCGGUAAUAAAUCUUCCGUUACUUCUUCGCAGAUUUUAUCAUCACUCUCUCUUUCUUCAAACGGCGGCGAUGCCACGAAGAGUUCCUUCAAUUUUCGCCGGCUUUUUUUACCAUUGGAGUUCUUCUUGCUGUCGGCGUUGGAGGUGUUUGGCUGUGGCGGAGGUGAAGGAGGAGGAUCCAAGUUAUCAGUCUGGCGGCGAUGAAAACGUCGACGGUCAGUGGCAGAAGAGCGGUUAAGAAGCAUGCGGAGCGUUUUGCGACGGCGGAGGUGAACGACGGGGCUGGUGGUGGGACUGCGACCUGGGCUUCCGGCGACGGCACACUGAGUUGCGAGAAGCUUGAAUUUGUGCAGAGUGGCCAUUUCUGUUUGAAGCGCGGUUUCUGUCUCAAGUAAGCAGAGGAUUUAGAGAGAGAAGGGAAAGAGAACGAGAUCUCAAAGAGAAAGGUAACAGUGAGCAUAAUUUAAAAUAAAAUAAAAUAAAUAUUAAUUUAUUAAAAGAAAUUGGAAGAAUAAAAAGGGUAAAGGGAGAAGCUUUUUGUUUGGAUCGUGGGAUGGUCCUUAUCUAUCUCAAUCUGUUUGGCCUUUUUUGUAAAUUUAUAUUGGUAGUACACGUGGAAUGCAAUAAUUAAUUUUUUCACAUUUAUUCUAAUAUCUGUAAAAAUAAAAAUAAACCAUCUACUAAUACUGAUAACUCAAAAUUACAAUCGAACUCACGUAAAAUCAAACUAUACCAGAAGAAGCAAACAGCACUUGUAUUAGGUCUCCAUUGUUUAGGAGAGCGAGAAUAUGUUUAGUAUUAUUUUUAGUAUAAGUUAUUUUUUUAAAGAAUAAAUGUUUUUUCAAAUAAAAAAUUGGUUCAAAAAUAUUUUUUUGAGAAGUUAAAAAGUUAGCUUCUUUUUAAAAGUAGUUUUUUCUCAAAAAUAUUUUUAAAAAGUAUUGCUAAAUUAAGUCAAAUCACCUCGAAAAUCCCCUUUUCAAGUUCUUGUUCUAGUGACGAUGAACAUUGCACAACGAACUUGAAAACAACAUGUAUGCAAUUGUUAGAAAAUAAAACAAUCAAAAUAUAUGAUAGAAGACUCGAGAAACCUGAACACAAAAGUUUUGGAAAAACAAGAGUCUAGCUUGAGAGAACCUCCUCAAAGGAGGAUCCAAAGGAAAGCUUUAUUGUUAAUCUAAGAUUUAAAAAAGCACAUGAUUUUUUAAUAGUAAUUAAAUUUUUUAAAACUAAAAAUACUGAAAAUUACAGUUUUCAACGAUAUUAUUUUAAUUAAAUAAACCACCUACAUAGUUUGAUUUUUGUAUUAUAAUUUUAUGGACUUUAUAAGUGUAUGUAAGUAAUUGAUGUCAUCAUGUUAAUUUAUAUAUUUUCUGAAAAAGAAAAGGAGAGUAGAGUGAAGUAAUUGGAGAAGAGUGAUGAAAAGUCCAAGGUUUGGAGGGAAUAAGAGCGUGGAUUUUACUUCAACCACCCAAUGGAGGCUAUCUACAAAAUUACAAAUCAAAACGUUAUUUUCUAAAGCCGUUAACUACCCCCAUUUAAUAUUCUUUUCUUUUCUUUCUUUUUUCUAUUUACUUUCUCUGCAAAUUAUUUGCAUCAUCUUUCAUCAUUUUUUCGUGAUAUUAUAUUAUUUACUUAAAAUACUUUAUUCAAUUAAUUUCAUGAAUCAAUUCAAUAUUAAUAUUAUUAGAAUUGAAUUAACUGAUUAAACCGAUCAGAUUAAGCAUCGAUCAUUAUGUUGGUCUGGACAAAAAGAUUAAAUCAAAAACUGUUAGAAACUAGUAAAAAAUCAAAAAUAAAGACAAAAAAUUAAUAGUUGAACUAAUAUUAUAAUUUUUUAAUUUUAUUUAUUGAUUUAAUUAUUAUUGGACUAAUAGUUGAACUAAGUAAAUCGAAAAUUCAUAGUUUAAUCAAUUUGAUCAUCGAUCCGAUAAUUGAAAUAUUAAAAAAAAUGACUAAAAAUUUUUAUUUAGAAAAUAACAACUAUUAUUAUGAGAAUAUUUUUUGUUUUUAUUUUAUAUAUUUUUUUCAAUAAAUCUAUAAAUAUCGAGAUUUAAACUUCACUUAUACUAGAUCACGUACCAAACCAUGCAUUGGGAAAUAUAAAGUUUUAAACAUAAUAUAUGUGUUAAUGUAAUGAAAUGAUUAAAUGAAUUUAGAGUUAAAAUUAAAUUAUUAUUUUUAUAAUAAUAAUUACAAUACACAUGACAUUAAAAUAAUAUAAAAUGACACAAAUCAUUAAGUGAAUAUAUCAUAAAAAUGUUAGUACAUAAAUUCCAGUGAGGAAAAUCUCAAACACACGAACAAAACUUAAACAGAAAAAGAAGAAAUAGGACAAGGCUCCAAGGCUUGUAUCAAACCACUAUUUUUAAGGUUAUAUUCGCCCCCACCUAUAUAUCUUCGGUGUGCAAAAGAGUUUCAAGGAUACAAUUAAGCCAAUGACUAUUUGUGUUUUGCAUUAACGAGAAUAGCCCACUAAACGCUGAGCAAUGUAUAACAAGAAACUCAAUUUCUACGAACGAUUUGUACAGUAAUACUUUAUAGAAUAAUCUAAUAAUAUUAGAAAAUGAAGGAAGGAAAGAAAGAAUUUUAAAAUUUGUUGGUGUAAUUUCCAAAUGAAAUUUUAUUCCUAUUUAUAGGAAUUUUCAUAUCUCUUCAUAGAGACAUCUUUCUGAAUAAUAAUGUCUUUAAAAAAACAUAAGUAUUCAUUUAAUAUUAUAACUAUUCAAAUAAUAUUGUUUGAAUAGUUAUAAUUCUUUUUUAAAAAUCAAAUGAUAUAACUUUUGACCAAUGACCAAAAGAUGUAUCUUUUGAUUAAUUACACACAUUCAUUUAUAGUUAUUGUAAUACUAUAAAUAUUUGAAAAUGUUCCAACAAAAUAUAUACAUGUAUCAAAAUCUACAUAAAAUAAACAAAUAAUAAUUUAGACACAUAAAUAUAAUAUGAAUACAAUACAAACAUAUAUUUUCUUAAUUAAAUCACUAUGAUAAAUAAUGCAAAAUAUGAGAUUGUAAGACAUAACAUAAAUACAACACAAAAAACACGAAUUGUUCCUUCAAUUGAACAGUUAUGACAAACUAUGCAGAACAUUAUCUGAUGAAAAAACACAUGGAAUCUAUUGAAUUAAAAGUCUCUCUUUCGACACUCACUUUGCCUUGGUUCCUUCGUUUCAACUUUGUUUUUAACCACUUUCAUUGUGGUUGUCAUGGGGCCAAGCUCAUCGGCACCACCAUUGAGAGCUUGUUAAUAAAUAAAGUCCACUCUGCUUCUUAUGGAAGCCCUGGUGGUAAGUCUCUAGUUUUUCUACUUUAGUUUCUUUUUGUUUACUUUGCUUUUUAGUGUUGUUUCUGAUAGUGUUGUCCCUGUUGAAAAAGUCUUAUCUUUUGUUGGAAUAGAAGUUGGGAUAAAAUUAGAGAGCUUACAUAACAAGUUUAAAACGUAAGUGAAUUAAAGGGAUAAGUAAAGAGAGAAUCAAUGCAUGAUAUUUGUUAACACGGUUCGAAUCCUACUCCACAAUGCCUCACUCGGAAAAUAAUUUUAUACAACAAUUCAUCCAAUACAAUUAUUUGCUAAAACCCAAUCUACCCUAUCUCCCUAAUAGUUACAAAUCACUCUUCCCAAAUACAUCACAUUAUAUACGAUCUCUCUCCAUAAUGUAAUACACCAAAAUUUUAGUCUUUGAGAAAGGAUAAGCAUUUUAAAGGUGAAUUAAAUAUUUGGAGAAAAGUAUAAAUAAUGAAAUUUAGUAAGGAUUAAGUUGUACGUUUUUGAAAGUUGAAGGACUAAAAGUGCAAAUUGAUCAUUUUUAGAAAGGUGAAAUUGAAUAAAUAUUUUUUUUAUGAAUGUGAUAAGGAUAUGUAUUGAUAUGUGGAUUUGGAAAAUUGGGAUAGAGAUUAAGUUGAAUAAAGUGAAAAAGAUAUAGGGGCUAAAGUGCAAUUUUUAUUUAUGGAGGAGGGACCUAAAUAUAAUUUUUUAGCUUUAAUUGAUAUUUAGAGACAUAACGAUGGGAUUAAAAUCCUAUAGCUGAUGAAGUGGAAAGUUUGUGGAAUUUAUAGAAAUUAAGGUUGAAAAGUGUUGAAAUUUGAUUGGAUGAUGGAAUAGAUGGACUAAAUUGAAAAGAAAAAAGUGUAAAAUUUUCUACACAAUUAGAAGGCUGAAUGAAAACAAAAAUAAAUAGGAAAGAAAGGGGAAAAAAUAAAGGGAGAAAAAGAAGAAAAAAGGGGAAAAAAAAGAGGAAAAAUCUCCCAUGCAUUUUUCUUGAGAUUUUCCUUAAAACCAUAGCUUAAUUUCCUAUCCUAGAGUGCUACCGAAAUAUUUUCAAUCAUGGAAACAACUUAGAUGAAGAUGAAAGUAAAAAAGAAAGCUUGUGAAAGUGAAAAGAAAGGAUAAUUUCAAGUGGAGAAAUAGGUAAGUACUCAAUCAAAAUCAAGCUCAUUUAUUUUAUUUUGAAUAUUUGAAUAUUUAAAAUUUUCAUAUGAAAAAAAUAAAUAAGAUAUGAUUAUGAAUAUUGAAUUUAGUAGUGAAUAUGUAAAUAAAGGCAUGUUAUUAAUGUAAAAAUAAUAAUAAAGUGAUAAUUUAGUGAUCAGUGAACUUCACGAAACUAAUGAUUAAAUUAUAAAGAGUGAAAUUUUAUUUAUUUGUCAUAAAUUGAUAAGUGAAUAGAUGUAUAGUUAAAUUACGAUAAAGAAGACUAAAUUGUAAUGUGUAUAAAAGAUAUUAUGUGAAAUCAAUAUUGUGAUUAAAGACUUAAAUGAAGUAUUAUGUGAUAGUAAUGAAGUGUAAAGUGAUAUAGUAAUUAUUGAAUUUUCACGAAUUUAAGGAUUAAAUUGUAAAAUGUUUAAAAGUUACUAUGUGUGCUAAAAUGCCUAAAAUGCACUCUUUCAUUAACAUCAAAACCUACUCAAAACAUACACAUUAACAUGUCAAAAAUACAACUUAAAAUGCCUAACCAAUAUGCCACAUUUCAACCAAAACCAAACCAAUCUAAUACCUACUUAUCAUGCACACUAUUCAUUAUUUAAGCAUCAUCAUACCAAUACAAUAUCAAAGCCUAAUAAUACUUCAAUUUAAGUCUACUCAUUAUCAUAAGCAUAUAAGGAUAUGCAUGAACCAAACCUACUAAAAUAACAUCACAACAUCACUUUUACUCAUUACACUUGUAACAUAACAACAUAAGCAAGUUCCUAAGUUACAACUUCAAAACAUAUAUAUAUACCUUAACACCUAUUAAAUGCCACUUAUAAUUGAGCCAAAAUGAAUUAAAAAGGCUACCAAAAGAGACGUUGGAUGGUGUGAGCCUUAAAAAUAAUCUGAUAGCCACAUUCGCCAAAAGUCAACUACAAAAGUCAUGAAAGAUGAAAUGGGGUAAGCAUUGACAUGCUUAAUAGGUUCAUAUAUAUUUAAACAAUAGUCUUACCUUAAAUCACAAUUGUGUAAACAAAAUACUAAAUAUUUUAUAUCAACAAGGUGAGCAUUUUAUAAACCAAAUCAUAUAACUUUUCAAUCCAUUCAAUACAAUACAUAUCACUAAGAUUCAAUUAGAACUAUUGAACAAGUGAAUCAUGUUAAAAAAUUGAUCAUAUCCAUUUACAUUCACAUUCUUUUCAAAUCACCACAUACACAAUCAAAUCCCUUUUUCUUUUAAACAAUUAGCUCAAUGAACUCAAAUAAUAAGAUAUAGAUACGCGAGUAACUACACCACACCAAGUUGCUCAAUUAAGCGAUAACUACACCACACCAAGGCACCAUAGUGCAAAGCUUGUUCUAUUGCUGUCAUGUAGACCUUUGAUUUUGUGUCCGUGCCUCACUGAUUGUUCUAGUCUGUUUCCUUUUCUUUCGUACUGAUCGUUGUGUGGUGAAUAUUCCUCCGACAGAUUGAGGUUGUCAUCAACUUUGUUACUAAGGGUAAGCUGAAUGUCUAGUUAGGGUUUGAUUUCUGUUAGGCUGAAUGUCAUAUUGUUAGAUUGAAUGCCUUAAUUCUUAUAGCCAAGUAAUUUAAUUCGAGUAAGGGUGCCAAAUAAGUGUUUUUGUUUUGAUGUGUUGUUUUCAAUUGGCUUGCCCUGGAUGUUGUAUGUAGGAUUUGGGAGUGUGUUGUAGUGUUGUUAAUAAAAAAAUCACCAGGUGUGUGACUCUAUACUCAUAAACUCGUAAAACUGUGCAAAAACCAAAAUAGACAACACCACAUGGCUGUAUGCCUAGCAGUGUGUUAGGUCGUGUGAGCCAUAGGGGCAUAUGCUUGACCGUGUUCCAAGUCGUGUAAGCCCAUUUUGCUUAAUUUUAAUUAGGGUUGUGUGGGCCGAUUUUUUUUUACCUAAUAUACAAAAAUAAUGUUAUAAAAAUUUAGAAACAUUACAAAAACUAUAAAAAGUUGUUGUAUAUUAUAAAAUAUUAUUAAUAUAUUAUGAAAAGAUUAUAAAAAUUAUAAAAAAGAAUAAAAUAUAAAUAUAAAUAUGACUAAUAUAUUAUGAAAAAUGAAAGGACUAUAAAAACAUUAUAAAAUUUUUAAAAUUAAAUAAAAAUUAUUAAAAAUUAUAAAAGUUAUAUAAAAUUAUUAAAACUAGGAUUAAUACCCGAUUAAGGUUGGCGUUUUCAAUUUUUAUGUAAUCUAUUAUUGAACUAAUCAUUUAUUAAAAUUUUAAAUUUUAUAAAUUAAAAUUAUGAUGAUCGAUUAGAAUUAAAUAAACUUUAAAUUAAUUCAUGAGUUAAUAUGUAAAUUAAUAAAGUUAAAUGCAUUAUUUAGAAAUUAAAAAAUUCAAACAAUUUAGAUUAAAAAAAAACUAAAAAUUUAAUCUCCCUAGCAUAAAAAAGAAAAAAGAGUAAAGAUUGGCAGUUAACCAAGAAAAAUGGUUUGGGGGAUUUUUGACUAAAAAUAGGGAAAGUAUAAGUUCAAAAAUGAAGAUCAUAUAUUAGAUAACUACAAUUUACAGAGUAAUGUUUAUUCUACCACAGCUCAUAGUCAUAGGUAAAAUCCUAUUACUUGAGCAACUCUUUAAUGCAUAAACACCAUUUAGAGUUUUGCUACAAUACAAUAAAUUCUCAACUCAGAAUUGAAAAUCCAUUUUCAUCUGCCUCUUCCAUCAUUUGCAGAAUACUCGGGAUUACAUCGAUUUUAUCUGUACCUGCAAAUAAGGUUGGACACAUACCUUGUUUGAAUAUGGUUGGGCAUAUAUACUUCCAGAAAAAAUAGAAAAUCAGAGUAAAAUAAGCAUACAUAUCAUUAACUACUACUAUAAUAUGUGAGAUGAAUUUUGACUCAAUAAAUACUCCAACCAGGCAUUUAAAUACUCAAACUUCACUCUCCCUUUUUUUAAAAACCAAACUCUAAUAGUUUAGGAGUACAAAUACUUCGACUAAUAUUUUAGGAGUAUAAUUUUGGUAAUUUUUUUCAAUUUUUUUUCUAAUUUUUUUAUAUUAAUCAUUGAACUUAAUUAUUUUUUUUAAGUUUGGUCCUUAUAAUGAUGUAGCAUUAUGAAAUUAUGUUAUGUCAUCGCCUAAUUUUGUAUGUGUCGAUGUGGUACAAUAUUAAAGUAUCACAUCAUCACAUAGACCAAAAUUUAGAAGAAUUGCUAAAUUAAUAUGAGAAAACUUGUUAAAUUCUUUCUAAAACUAAUGUGGACAAAAGAAUUAUAGACUAAAUUUAUAAAACUAUCAAAUUCAUGAAAACUUUAUCCAACAUUUUAAACAAAAACAAAAUAUCCAAGCAACAUAUGACCAAAACCAGAAGAAACUAGGUGGUAGUAAUAGUAGAGAAGCUAACCCAUUUCUCUGUCGCAGAAUCCGGGGAAAAUGCAGGAGGAAUGCUCUUCAGUAGUCCAACAUCGUCCGAUUUAAUAUCCACCACUUCAGUUCCCGAUCUAAUAUCCACCACAUCAGAUCCCGAUCUUACACCCUUAAUCUCUUCCAAUGCCUCCAACACUCCUUCCAUUGAAGGUCUCAUAUCCCUCUCCUGUUGCAAACACCGAAACGCCAAUCCUGCAACCGCCGUUACAGUGUUUUUCACCACAAAAUCAUUCUCGAACCCGAGAGAUGGAUCCACCAGUUCAUGCAAUGCUUGAUUCUGGAUUCUGCUGAUUGCCAUGUUAGCCAAAUUUAUGUCGUGUCGGUGCCUGCUGAUGUCCACUGCUUUUUUCGCCGAAAUUAGCUCGACCAACACGACCCCGAAGCUGUAAACAUCACUUUUCUCAGUGAGGUGGUAGCAUUGGUGGUACUCCGGGUCGACAUAACCCGGGGUGCCUUGCGGAGCAGUCGAGACAUGCGUGACAUCAUUAGGAAAAAGUCGUGAGAGUCCAAAAUCAGCCACUUUUACAUGGAAAUUCUUGUCCAGGAGAAUGUUGUUGGAUUUAACAUCGCGGUGUAUGAUUUCCUUUCUAUGUAGGUAAGCCAAUGCGGUCGCUGUCUCGAUGGCGAUUCUCAACCGAACAUGCCAGGUAAGCAAACCAGAGUUGGAUCGCUUUCCAUGCAAAUGAUCAGCCACGGUUCCAUUAGGAAUGUACUCAUAAACAAGGAGAAGCUCUCGACUACGUCUCGAGGUACAUCCAUAGAGCUUCACGAGGUAUGGAUGAAGGAUGAGAGUGAGGAUUUCGAUCUCGUUCAUGUACUGAUCGACACGCUUCAAAUUGUUCUCGUAUAAGCGCUUCACCGCUACCACACGCCCAUCCCUGAGUACACCUGAUCGUGCAAAUCAAAGAUAAACAUGGUGGGAUAAGGUUAAUAACAGGGGACUAAAGUAAAAAGUUGCAAAUAAGUUUGUCUUACCAUAAUAAACAGUGCCGAAUCCUCCUUCUCCAAGUUGUUUAGAAGGAUUGAAAUUGUCAGUGGCUUCCUCAAGUUCUUCAUAAUUAAAAACAUGGGCUCCAAAGUAAGUGCUUCCCCUUUCAAUGUCAUAUUUUGAAGUGGAAUAGGAUGAAUUGCUUUGAGAGUAAUUAGUUGUGGAAGUUGUUGGCCCUUUGCUUGAUGGAGACGUUGGAAGGUCUCUGCUAAUAAGCUGGGCUACAAUUUUCUUUCGCCGAUGUUGCCGGACACAUAAAGCUCCGAUUCCAACAAGUAUAAUGACACCGGCUGCUCCGAGGCCUGGAGGUUAAGGAAGAGAUUGCUUAAACCCGGUUACUGCAAUGCUAAAAGUUUUUAGAAACAAUGUAAUAUGUUAAUAAUGAGUACCAAAUAAUACCUAGGGCAAGUUUGAGAGCCUUUCCAUCCUUUUUCUCUGUAAUAGUAAAAAUAUCACGAAAUGUUAAUUAAAAUAUGAAUCAAUAAUUAUAGUUGCACGCAAAAAAUAUAUAUAUAUAUAUAGUAAUUAUUGAAACCAAAUAAAUUUCUUAUUUUCAUAAUAUAAAAAGAAAUUAUCACAUUUAAAAUUAUAAAAAUAACUUUUUUUAUAAUUAGGAGAAAGGAAUGAGAUAUAUUCUUAUAAAAUAUCAUUUUAAAUAAAAAGAAACUACCCUAAACUGAUGAAAUAAAAAUAUAUAUGAACUAUAUUUUAUUUUAAACUGAUCUAAAUUAUUAUCAAUGUAAUCAAAAUUCAAUGUAUUUUACGUGACAUAAAUUUAUUAAUGCACAAAAACGAUUAUGUUUUAAAGUUUCAAAUUUGAAUUCCACUUAUAUGAUUCUUUCUAUUUGAAAUGCAAUUAAAUUCUAGAUUAACUAUGUUACUAAGAUUUUGCUAUCAAUGUUAAAAUAUGAAAGAGAUAUGAUCAAAAAAGAAUGUGAAAUUUCAAAGUCUUUCUCUCUCCUCUCUCUUCUCUUUUUAAGUUGAAGCAGAAAAGAGAAAACCAUAAUCACCCUUCCCCUACCAGCUCCUUUCCUUAUCCCCAUAGAUUGUGCCUCCUCUCUUUUCGUUUCCCUUAUCUUUAGCCUUUCUCCUUUUCCACCAAAUUCUGCCUCCUCUCCCUUUUGUUUUUCCUCUAAAGGAUUUUUAAAAAUCACUGACUUUGUCGAAUUGUGUAUUUGGGUACAGUGUCCAACACGGAUUGGUUUGUUUCGAGAGUCGGAGUGGCAGUGUCCAGGUGGUAUUUUUGGAGUAGGUCAGGCUGAAAGGUGAGUGGGCCAUAGUUAGGUGGAGAUGGGCCAGCGAUGAAGGGUUAGCUGAAGUUUCUUACUGAGCCGCGUGGAAAAACAAAUGGGGAAUGUUGAAAUUUUUAGCUUAGGCCUAGCAAAUGGGUCAACUUUAAUGGCAUCAAAUUCCCAAGUUUUCAUGCUGCUAUAAUAGUAUGAAACGAAAGCAGCUAAAUUUACAGCGGAAGAAAUUUAACACAGUCUGAAGUUAGUCAAAAUAUAGAAUAAAAACUGUAAUGGGAUUUGCGUUUGGGAAAAGCAAAUAAAUGAGUUUCAAUAAUCCUAUUCUGGAAUGGCCCAAUGUCCUUGUUUCCUACCAUGACAGCCCCCCCGGACUAUUUAAUAAUAAUAAUAAUAUUAUUAUUAUUAUUAUUAGAGGGUCAAGACCAAACUACAUCCACCUAACCCUGAACUACUGUUUGGUCGGAACAAAGAUCGACGACAUCUUGUUCCAUCAGUUUCCGGCUUCGGGUUUCCCCAAAACACUGGGUUCUUGGAACCGAAAUCGUACGACUUAAAUCCCACUACAAGAGAUAUUUGAACAGGUACAGCAAACAACGAAGAUUGUACCUGGGGAACAAACGUCGCCAUCUGAGCAGUAACAUUCAAAUCCACCUGAGACGAGGUUACGCCCGCACUGCCCACCUUUGUUUACACAAUUAUUACAACGGGUAUCAUCUGCAGACCACCACAGCUGAAACCCAAUUUUAGCCGCUUCUUCCAAAUCAUCUGGAUCCCGGCCUUCCUCCAGUGACGGAACUUGGGAAUUCGGGACUGGAAUAAUCACACUGUUACUGCAAGAUCUCAGGAAAUUGCCGGUGACAGUUCCCGCGAAUUCCCUUGUCACAUAAUAACCUACGAUAUUUGUAUUGUUUAUUGUGCAGUCGAAUUGAUUGGAAAUCCCGAGAAUUGAUGUGAGAUUUUGUGGAGCUGUGAGAGGCUGACAACCAUAAUACAGCCUUAUAUCCUGACUAUCCCCGUUUUGUCGAAAAGGACUGGUUUCACUUUCAAAAGUGGAGUUGAUGAGAUGAGUGGGACAAAGAUUCUCACUGUAAUCGGUUCUAGAGACAUGAAGUGUUUGUGAUUCCUUGUUUAUUGCAAGAACUCGGUAUGUUGCAGAGCUGAUUGUGAUUUCUAGCUCACUUUCACUGCAGCUGAGCUUGAAUCCAGGAUAUCCACAACUUUCCGGCCGAUCCAAUCCCCAGAAAGGGUAACCGAUAUCCGAAAUAUUUCCGCAACUAGAUCGGACACUGCAGCUCAAAUAAUUAUUCGAAAACACUGGUUUUGGAGAAAGAAUCAGGACCAAGCUUAUGAUGAUGAUGGUGAACGAAAACUUGGAUGGCAUUGUCGGAGAGGAUGGAGAGCAUGAGGGAAAGAAACUGACAGUAGUUGGAUAUAAAAUGAGCGUCUGAAAGUGAAUUGGUGUCGAUCUUCAUGAUCAAAUAGUUGGUAUUUGACUAAUUCAAAGUUGAAAAUUUUCUAAAGGAAACUUCUGUUAUAUGCCACCAUUAAGUGCCAGUCUAUGGAAAUUUAGGUAGCCUACCAUGGCAAUAAUAUAUUAUUAAGUGUGAAUAACCCAGUUCAUUAUAAUAGUGCUCUCAGGACUCGGAACUCAUAAAGGUAUAAACUCAGUUCGAGUUUGUUGAAAACUUGAAGAAAGCUGUAACUGGAAAAUAUCAUCUGAUUUUAAUGAUUGAAUAAACCAAUAAUAGUACUACUUUGGCUGAAAGUAUUUCUAGGUCGAAUCUAUAAACAACUGGUAAGACCCUACGUUUUAUCUGCUAGCUGAUGCAGUUGUGAUGGGAAAGAGAACAAGCGGCCAUGGAAUUUGAAGAUGAACUGGUAUUAACCAAUCAAAAUGGUUAGAGUUAAUGAAGUCAUUGGCUUCUUGGGGAGAUUUAGAUUAGGAUUCGAUCUGAAGUAACAAAGGCCAAUUUGCUGCUACUACUUAUGAAGAUUGGACAUCAGAAUGAGUCAAACCGUGAAGGUUACUUGAGAGUUAAGGCUCAAGAUAUUCAAUGAAACGGUAAGUUCUGCAACAACAAACAGCUGAGCAAACUUAUACGGAAGAAGAGCUAUAACGUACCUUCAGUUGUUGGAAAACAUGUGAAACUAUUUGAACUAUGAUUAUAUCCACAAAUCCCAUCUGAAUCUCUGCAUCUUCUGCACUGAUCAUUAUCCGCUUCCCAUUGCAAUUCGAAACCUCCUCUUAAAGCAGCUUGCAUAAUCAUAGGGUUCACCUCCAGGUCCUUUGCUGCAGCUUCAUAAACCGGAACUACGACAAUUUCACGGCAUAUGCCAUAGCGAGGGUCACCCAACAUGUUUCUAACAGCAUAUGACACAUCAAUAAGUGUACUAUUCAUGGAGCAGUUAGGAAGAAAUGUCGAGGUUGGCAGCGGGUUGCAUCCGUAGAAUAGGGUGAGGUUCCUAAUGUUUGAGCCGUAAUUGAAGUGAUCGAAGUCGAUUGAGGUGUUGAUAAAUUUCGUGGAACAAUAACCAUUCCAGUAAUCCUCCCUAGCUACCUUAAGAAUCUGUCGUUCAGGGUCUAUGUCAAGAACUCGUAAGGUGUUUUCAUUCAUCAGGAUUUCCGUUACAUUAUUCUCGCACCUCAGUUCAAAUCCUGGUUGGCCACAAUAACUCGGACGGUUCAUUCCCCAGAAUGGGUAACCGAUACUUGAUACGCUUCCGCAUGUUAGCGUUUCCCUGCAGGCCCGCGGAUCGUCAGCGGAUAAAAUCGUCGGAACUCUGGUUAAGAAAACGAGAAAGAAGAGGGCCAGAAGGGAAGAUAUCGGAAGAGAAAGCGAAGACAUCUUGUUGAUGUUACAAGGGUGAUGGGUUGAAUAUAUUUAUGAAUUAUGGAAUGGUCAAUGUUGAAUUCUACAAUAUUAGUAUACACGUUUAAUCCUUUUCUAAUCUGGAAAUUACGUCAGGAGUUGGAAAAUUGGUUCUAGAGUGCUGCAGAAGUCUAUGGGGGCAUCUAUUACGGGGAAGAAGACCAAAGCUUCGAUGGCAGAAUUUGAAGGAAACUGGCAGGAAAUGCUUUGGACAUAACAUAAGUUGACAACACUAAAAACACCCUAAUUCCAAAUCGAAGAACUGAAGUGGAGACUUAAACCAAAAUAAUUUGGAAAUUGGGUGCCAAGUCCCCACUUCUAUUAAGAAUCUUCUUUGUGUUGGAUUAAUUGACCUGAUAGACUAAAUGAAGAUCAAAGCAAUGAAAUGGAACUUGACUUCUAUAUAUCAAGUUAUCAACCUACACACACAACUAAAAAAUCUUUGUUUUGUAUUAACAGGAUUAAGAACCGAUCGGGAAACGAUGUUAGGGUGAUUAUUUUAUGGAUUCGACUCUCUCCGCUAUCGAUAUUCACUGCAACUAAUCACAAUAGCACUUUUAUGUUUGCAACCAGGAUAUGUUGAUGAAGACAUGCUGAUCGCGUGUGUAUGAGUUUGGCAGCAAGAGUCUCCCCGAAUUUCCUGUUCAUUGUAGGAAAUUUCCUGGAGUUUGGUAAUUUCUGGGAAAUGAAAAAGGAAAUAUCAUGUGGAACAUGAAUGCUUUCUUUGUCAGAUGAGUUCAGAUCUGUUCAGAUUAUGCAAACCAAUGAUGAAAAGAGGGGACUGACAUUAUUCAAUAAAUCAGACCGACAAUUUUGACUAUGUCUAUCAGUACAUAGAAUAAAACAAAAUUAAUGUUGUUCCUAGUUCAUCAGUUGGAUUUGUCCUUGACUAAAUUUAUAAAUAUUUAAAUAAUACUUAAAAAUAUUUAAAUUGAUUGAAAUUCGUUUUUAUUAAUAUUAUAUUUUAAUUUUUUUUGUCUAAAUUGAUGAUAUAAUAUGCCAUAUCAAUUACCAUUACAACAUCAACACUAAUUAACAGCUCAGUAAUCAAAAUAUAACAUAUUGAUAACAUUAGUGACCAUAUCAUAUUUUUUAAAAAUUUAGUGACCAAAAUGUAAUUUAAACUAUACAAAGUGACUAAAUUUAUAAUUUUGACUUUUAGUGAAAAAAUUUGAGUAUUAUUCUCUAAAAUUUAAUAUAGAUAAAAUUUUAAAAAAGAUAUACUAUAAAAAAGUUUCAAUGAAAUAUUUUUUUUUAAAAUAUAUUUUUUUAUAAAUUUAAAGAAUUUAAAUAUUUAAAAUAAUUGAUCUCAAAGUUUAAAAUUUUUAACUUAAAAAUUGUCAACCAUAACGAUAGAGAUAUUAUAAAGAAUAUUAUGAAUUAAACUCUUUUACCAACUGCUUAAAUUUAUGUUUGAAAUUAAUUAUUUGUGGUUUGGGUUGAGUGAACAAUAAUAAAACUAAAUUGGAGCACAAAUAUUUUAUUUAAAGCCGUAAAUCAAUAUUGUGAAUUUGUUUUAUUUAGAUAAUAAAAGUUAUGCAUAAAAUGAAUCCUACUCUUAAUAAAUAAAUAAAUAAAUAAAGAUGAGAGUAUUAGAGUGAUGCUGUUAUCCAAUUCUUACCUAAAAAAGAUAACAUGAUACUCAUGCUUGUAGCUUCUAUACAUCAAAUUAACCUAUUUUCUAUUAACUCAAAACAAGAGAGUUUCCCAACCUCCAUUUCUUCAAUCUCAUAAUUCAUAACCCCUAUCCCAGUUUGUUAGUCACCUCAUUUCUAUGUAUUUGUUUUGGUGUCUGGGUUUUACUGCAAUGCAAGUCUACAACUAUCAAAUCCUCAACUUCAGUUAUUUUAAUUAUGUAUUGAAGUUUAAUCCACUGGGAAAUCAUACUACUACUAAUAAUAGAAAGCUUUGUUUAGUUGUAAAAAGGGAUAGUACUUACCUGUAUGGGGCCGACAUUCUUUGCCUUCCGGCCCACUCCAUUUUCCAGGUGGGCAGUAGCAGUUGGCUUGAUCGUGGAUGCCGAAACCGCAGGCUCCACCGGAAGAAGUGCAUUUCCAGCAUUCUUCUGCAUAGUUCUUCCUCCAUUGCACCUCGAAUCCUGUUUCCAAGGCUCCUUUCCAAUCCGGGGAAUGAUUGCGGAGGCUUUCCAAGGAAGUUUCAGGAAUCAUAACAUUGGCACGAUAUAAGCAUGCCUCUGGAUGGAUACUAGUAUUAUUUGCUAUUGCUACCGAAACAUUACUAUGACCAUAAUUUUUAUUGCAAGUAAAGAAUAGAAGAUCUGGUGAGAUGCGAGAGAGGCAGUCAUAAAACAGUGUAACACUGGCAAAGCCGGGACCAGGAGUAAACACCGGAGAAUCUUGGAUCCAAUCUUCAUCUGGAAAUCGAGGCGGACAAAUGCCUUUGUUGAUCACCUUCUCACUCAAAAUUCUUAGGAUUUGACGAUCAGGUAGGAUCUCAAGCACGCGAUACCGUACAUCGCGAAUUUUCAUCGUGGUAAUGUCACCGCCACACUCAAGCUCUAAAUCUGGAUGUCCGCAUUCUUUUUCUCGAUCACCUCCAUGGAAAGGAAAUCCAGCAGUGAUAUUCCCACAUUUGAACUUGCUAUCACGGCAGUUCUCGAACUCAGGCUCAAACCAGGCAGUGGUUAGUGAAACAGGGGUCCCAAGCAUGAUAAAUAAUAAACAAAACAGAGGAAGAGGAAGAGGAAGAGGCAGAGGCAGAGAUGAUGAGAAAGAAGGAGAAAUCAUUUUGAGGGCAGAGAGAUGGAGGAAGAAAGGGUUGAUUGCCUGCCUCAGCUCUAAUGAAAUACAAUUAAAACCAAGCUGAAAGAAAGACUUGGAAUAUAGAGUAGGAGAGUUGACUUGCAAAGACUUUGAGCAUCCAUAAGUCGUGUCGUGUCGUGUGGGUGUGGGUGUAGCAGUGAGUAAAUGGAAAUGCAAAAGUUCAAAAUAGAAGCAAGAGAUGGAGACACUUUAACACGCUUUCGCUCCUUGCCCUCAACUUUCUCAUCACUUGGAAAUUGCUGUGUCAUAAGCCUACUUCUUUAUUCAUAUUACUGUUGAAUAAUUCCUCUGGAAUAGUGCCCUCAAAAAUUAUGUUUGAACGAAAAGUUAAAAAUUAAUUAAAUUAUAUAAUAUUUAAAAGUUUUAAUAUAAUGGUAUAUGAAGUAUGAAUUCUAAAUAGAUUUUAAGUAAUUAAUAAAAUUAAUAAUAUAUUUUAAAUAUUCUAAAAACUUAAAUAUAAUAAUAAAUUAUAUUUACAUAAUUUAAUAUAAUGAUACAUAAAGUAUAAAUUAAUCUAAUUUAUUAUGUACAUUAGGGGUAACCGUUCGAUCAAAUCGAAUCAAAUGAAAAUUUUUUGAAUUGACGAAUUCUAUUUUAUCAUUCUAACUUGAUUUGAAAUUUUCUUGAACCGAAUUGAGUGAGAUGGAAUUCGAAUUGAAUCGACUCGAAUAUAUUUGUUCAAGUUAAAUUAAAAAAAUGACUUUAGAUUUUUGUAACCACUGCCACUCACCGUAAUUAAAUUUAUUAUUAAAUUUUAUCUCCUCAUAAUUUAUUUAUUAAUAUUUUAUAUACAGGUUAACUUCUUUGCUUGCUUAGUUGCUUCAAUUAUCUUCUGAUUUUUGUCACUAGGUAUUUUGAAAUUAAAAAAUAUAGAAAAUGUGAUUUUUCUUUAAUAAAAGUUAUCUUAAAUAUAAAAUAUGAAAUUGAUACCAACAUAAAAUUUCAACACGAAUAUUUUAUGCCAUCAUCAACAAUUCAAUAAUAUAAAUAGUAAAAAAUAUGAAAUUUUAUUUAAUAAUAUAAAUAGCAUAUAUAAAUAAAAUUAUUACUAUUUAGGUUUAGAGAUUUUUUUGGAUAAUUUUUUGUUUGGGGUAAAGGGGGAAAAAUAAAAGUUUAAGGGGAAAAUAAAAAGUUUUGAGGGUUGAGGGAGUAAAAUUUUGAGGGAGAAUGAAUGGGGAGAAAUAUUAAAAAAAAAUUUUGGGGGGAGGUUAAAUGAGUUUUGUGGGAAAAAUGGGAGGGAGUAAAAGUAUUGGGAGAAAGUAAAAAAGUUAGGAGAUUUUGGGUAAAAAUAUAAAAUAUUACAGUUUGAUAUUCGGUUUAUUCCAAUUAUUCGAGUUAUCCAAAUUUGAAAAUUAAACUCGAUUUGAACUCUCAAUUCGAAAAAAAAAAAUCGAAUUAGUUUGAAUAACUCAAUUCAUUUAACUCAAAAUUCAAAAAAAAUUAAUUUUUUCGAAUCAAAUCGAAUUUUACUCACCCCUAAUAUACCUUUUAAAUAGCUAAUAUAAAUAAUAAUAUUUUGAUAAUUUUCAUUUUCAAACAUAAAAACAAAAUUAAAAAAACACCUAAAUUUUUGUUUAUAUUUUCUAUUUAUAAAGUAUUGAUUUUGUAUUGUAUUGAUUGCUAGUUGCGCAAAUAAUGUGUCAAAAUACAUAUUAUAUAUAUUCGUCAUAUUUACGCAUCAUACCAUGUUUGUUACGUAAUUUUCAUAUUUGUUACAUUUUUUAUGUUUAUUGUGAAGGCUCAAUUUCGUCAGGCCCAAAACCAAAAAUAAAGAAACAGAAUAUAAAAAUAAAAAACAAAUAAUAAAAAUCCAAGUCCACUUACAAAAAAAAUAGGGCCCAAUACAUUACCCAAAUUACAGGCCCAAUAACACAAACCCUAAGGCCCACAACAUUAAAUUUUUUCAGAAAACUAAAACAAACCUUAGCCCUUUCGUGCCACGCCCCACGUCGGCGUGCCCACCGCCCAAGGUCUGCUUCCCUGACGCGCCCCUUGCACCAAAAUGGCAAGGCUCAAGUCUCAUCAUCGCCUUUGACCACGCACCGUUACCUCCAAAAAGAAAGAAACAAGGACAGCAGAAACAGAAGCAGAAACAGCAAGAAAAUUCAAAAAUAUAUAUGUAAUAAACAAUGUGUAAUGGCUAUAAAAGCCAUAGAAGUAGAUUGUAUUCAGGCCAUAUUUAAAAAAAAAGAGAGAGAAAGAAAUAAAAAAAUGAAUCAAAAAACAGAAUACGAAGAAAACAUUUUCAAAUGUGAUUUCUUCAUUUUUUAUCUGUUAUUUAAAAAAAAGCAUAAAAACAUAAAAUCAAAAAUCAAAAAAACUUACCAAGUCAUUUCGGGUUCCACCGCCAUGAGUGGAUGAGGACAUCGUCCCCGAUGAUGGACGGCUCCCUUCGGUGAGACCUUCGAGUCACUUCCGUUUCAUUUGAGGACUACGGCGGAGAAAACCAAUGGGCUUUUCAGAUUUUUUUUAUUUUUUGUUGAGUUUUGGGAAGUAUUUACCCUCGAUUCGGGCCUAGGGAACCGAAACGGCUAAAAAAAGGGUCGUUCGUGGAUUCUGGCCCCGGGAAUGGCAUAACCGUAGCCAGCGACCAAUGGCUGUCGUGGCGGAGACUCGUCGGGACCAAGGGCGGAUUGGGGGAGGGCCGAGGGAAAAAAAGGGGCUGAUAGUGUUUUUUAUUUUUUUGAAAACGGAUGAAAAUGAUUUUUUUUCCUUAACUUUUUUACUUAUAUAAUCCUAUAAAAUGGCGUCGUUUUGGGCUUAAGUUUUAGACUCCAAAACGACGUCGUUUUGAAGCGUGACCUGAAAACUAACCCCAUGCGCCCUAGGAUCCACUUGUUUUCGCGGCAAGGGUCUAUUUCGACCCUGGUCCUUCCACUUUUGGGCCUAUUUUUAAUUUUGUUCUAAGUCUUUUUUUGUUCUUUUUAAAUUGCACUGAUAACUUCAAAUUUCUUUCAAUUUGGUCCCCCGUUUGCUGACCCCCUUGUGUGUCCAUGAGUUUUGGGAUAAUUUUCCAUUUAGUCCCUAUUUCUUAUUGCACGUUUCAUUUUAGUCCUUUAUUUCGUUCAUUAGUUUAUUUUUUAUUAUUUACGAUUUAUACCCCUAAUUUCAUUUAAAUUUCAAUUUAAUCCUUUGUUUAUUUAACUUCAACCUUUCUACAAAUUGUUUAUUUAUUUAUUACUUCUUUAUUUUUAUACAUACUUAAGAAUUAUAUUGUAUACAUGCUCUUAUUGGUGCAUUUUUUAUUUAUUGUUAUUGUCUUUUUUUUUGUGUUCUUUUAUUCUUGUUAUUUUAUUCUUUCUUUUAUUAUUUUUGGCACUUUCAUGUCAUGUCCAUUUAUCUUUUAAUCAUGAAUCUUUCAUUUUUUAUUUAUUUUAAGUUACUUUAUUUAUUUAUUAUUAUUAUGAUAUGAUUAUUAAUAUUAUUAUAAUUAUAGUAUUAUAGUAUUUUUUUAUUUACUUAUUAUUUAUCAUUCUAAUAUUUUACUCACAUAGUCAUUUUAUAUUAUUUCACCAUCACUAUAUCAUACAUUAUGUUUAAACAUUUGUCCGUUUCAUAUUCUACUCGAAUAAACUAAAUAUACAUCACUUUAAGUGUUCCAUUAAUUUUUACUCAACUCAUAAAAAGGGAAAUUUCAAAACCAAGACAACGUUCUUAUUUAGAGAUUUGAGAAGUCAUGCCCUAACUUACGGGAUUUGAUUUUCUUUUUGAACCUAAAUAACCGAAUAUCCUUUUAAAAUUAAAAAACACACGAGAUUUAAACAAUAACUAAAAAAUGAACAAUUUUAUUUUCAAGAAUUCAGGAUGUCAUGUCCUAACUUAGGGGACAUAACCUUUUCGUUUUGGUUAUCUUGAAAUAAGAAAGCUUCUUCUAUGAGUUUUGAUUUAACUAAAUGAUUUUAAUAAAAAAAAUUAUGCAAAGAGGGAUACUAUUUAAAUUUUUAAAUUUUUAAUUCUCGACACUAAGACACCAAGUAAUCUACUAGGUACUAAUUUUGGGCGCCACGAGGGUGCUAAUUCUUCCUCAUACGUAACCAACUCCUGAACUCAUUUCCUGGAUUUUGUUGACUGAAAAGUAUCGUUUUAAAUCUAACAUUUAAUUAAAAUGAGUUUUGAGGUGAUUCAAUCACACCUAAUAAAAAGUAUUGGUGGCAACUUCCAUUUUCAUUUUUUUAAAUAAAAAUAAAAGUCAAUCUCAAAAAGGUUUCGACACUUAUAUCAUAUUUUUGUUUCUUAUCCUAUUUGUUAUAUUAUGUGUCAGUAUAUGUGUAAGAUUGUCUUUCUUUUUCUAUUAGACUUUUUUUAUAACAAUAAUAUUUGUAUAAGAGUUUAUAAUGUUUUAUUUUGUUAGAGUUUAAUGUUAUACAAAUUUGUAUUUAAUUUUUAACAAUUAAGUGUAGCCUUUAAACUUAUAUUGUUAGUAUAUAAAGUUUUGUUUUUAAUUUUUAAAAAUUAAGUGUAACCUUUAAAAAUUAAGAGUAAGCGAUCCCACAUUGUCUAUAUAUACUCAUAUCCCACAUUGCUUAAGAAAAUAAGGAAAAUGAGACUUGGGGUCUAUAUAAAGACAUGUUUUGUAAAUUUUAUUUUCACAUUAAUAGGUGGCACCAGAAAAUAAAAAAAAAACUAUUGGUCCUGCCACUUUUAGUACUGAUAUGGUGGAGAAAGCGUUUCCAGUUGGAAUCGUUUUUUUUUUUUUUUUUUGCAAAUCACCUGAAAGUGCUUCCACAUGUGUUUUUUUGAAUUUCACUUAAAAAUGUUUUCAGUUGGAAGUGUUUUCAUCAAAUCAGCCUAUAAUUGCAAAUCUUCCAAAAAAAUGGCCUAAUUUAGUAAAUUUGAAAAAUUUUCGACAUUUAUUGGUAAUUUAGUCAAACUUUAUUACCUUCCAUCAAUUGGGUAUAUUAAUAAUGUUGUUGAUGACAACACUAUAAUAAAUAAUCGUAUUCAUUUAGCAUUAUUAAUAUGAUGUGUUCAUUUGUUUAAAUUUCAUUUCACUUACAAUUUAAACACAUUGUGUGUUUUAAAUAUGUGAUAGAGUUUCUAGUAGAUAUAAUUAAAAAACUUUCACCCACAUCGUGUAGAUAUACCAUAAUCUAAUUUUAUUAGUAAAAGAAAUAAAAAAAGUAUUUUUUUAUUUCAAUAUUUAUGUAUUUUAUUUAAAUUUAAAUACAAAUUAUUAUUAAAGGGUAAUUCAAAUCAAUAACACCCAAAAUUGACAAAAAUAUUAUCCACAAUGGGGAGAAGCCUGAGAUGUUGAUAGAUUUACAUUAGGGGAAAAUCUAUAAUAUUUAUCUAAAUUUGAUAUUUAAAUUGUAACACUUCAAAUCCGAUUCAAUUGUCGAGUUUGAGUUCUAGGAUGUUACAUUCAUUGUCGGAUCAACUACAAUCAAUCACAACUAAAUAUACAUAAAACAUGUAUUAUACAUGAUAAAUAAUUAUUUUCAGGUCAAAUACUAGCUUAAGAAAGUUUAGUAUCAUCCCGAGAUCAAAUAAGGAGUAAUCUGUAAAAUUUUCAAAAUACCUCAGGCAAAUGUCACCACUUAAAUUGCAGUCACAAUGUUGCCAUUGCUAUUUUUUAAUUUUGGCUCUAUUCAUUGAUGUUUAUGGUAAUUGAUCAUAAUAGCAUCCACUGCAUUUACAAUUGAGAUAAGAAGAGAAUGAAACUGAAAAAAGUUAAUUAAAUAUGUAAUUACAACAAUUUAGAUUUCAACACUUUAUUUAUUUGAAAUUUAUACAUGAAUAGACUUGGAUGAUUAUAUAGUGUUAUAGAAAUACAGAAUUAUGGAGUACAUAAGGAUAUAUGAGUUUGUUCCGAGAAGACAACAAUCAUCCAAAAAUCUGAAUCCUUUAUGUGAGAUAGCCAAAUCCAGUCAAGUCGAUUUCUGUAAAAAUAUUUAGAUUAUUAGUGAAAAUGAAGAAUACUGUAGUUUGGAUUAUUAUGAACAAAUAAUUGUAAAUGUAGAGUAUCAAAUCUAACCUUAAAACCUUCUAGUAUUUAAGGUGAAGUGUGCAAUAGGAUAUAAAAGUAGUACAAAGGUAGACAACAUGUGAUUUUUUACUCUACAAGGUAGCCAAAUUCGACCCGACCCACCCACAUUAAAAAUUUUUAUAUUAUUUUUUAUAUAAAAAUAAAUUUUAAACAAAAUAAUACAUCAAAUUCUCUAAAAACAUUACAAUAAAUGUUUCUCACUAAAUAAAUAAAUUUAAAAAAGUCUUCGUAUUUAAAUAACACUAAUAUAAGUAUAACUUAACAAGCAAACGGCUCUAAAAUAGUAGAAAAAUUAACAAUAAAAUAAGAAUUAUACAAUAUUCAAAUAACAAAAACAAAAUAGUAAUAAUAUAAUAGUAAAAUGACAGUAAAAUAAAAAAAAAAAAAACAGAAACAGAACAAUGAAAAACAGCAGCAGUUUUUUUUUUUUUUUUUGCAAAUUCAAACUGGGCUAGGUCGGACAAAAAAAACUUACCUGAAGCUUAGUCUAUUUUUUAAAUAGAUCUUAAUUUUUUUACCUAAACUCAUUUUUUAGGCCUAUAUUUCUACUUAAAUCCUUUCAUUUUUCGAACGAACUUUCAAGUUGAACCAAAUGACUCAACCCAUUCAUAACUAAUUAUUAACUUUACAAAACAUAGCAUAUUAGUAGAGUAUUCUAUAACCUUAUUACCAGCCCUACGAAGUAAUACACCUAAGUAUUCACUCCAUCUCUAAAAAACUCCAAGCUUUCUAACACCUUUCCUAAAUAACUCUCUAAAACACUAUUAGAGCAUUAACCAGUGACUCCCGGCACCUCAUAUUAACUGCCUCCACCCUUUUAAACUCUAUCUUUUGUCAACAUAACAAUAGUACAAAGAUCAUAAAAUCAUAAUGUAACCAUGAAAAAUGAGAUUAAGAUAAAAGGAAAGCUCACCAUGAGAAAAUAUCCCAUUUGAGAAAACCUCCUUGCCCUCUGCUAUUAACAAACUUGUACUUUGAACCAGAAACUAACAUAAGAAAAAUUGAAUAUCUUAAUACGGAUUUGAGAGUUAUAUUGUUUCGGUUUUUUAUUUUGUAAAGUAUUUAUAUUCAACACUUGUAUCAGAUGAUUCUUAAAAAUUCAAAAAUCUUAAAAAAUUUUAAUCAUAGCGAUAUCAGAUACAAGUCCAUAUUGGAUGCUCAAGUAACAUAUAUUAAGCUCCAAAUCACGUAUAAAUCCAAAUAUGGAUUGGAAUUGAAGUAAUUGUACCUUCAUAACCUCCCACAACGGGAUCUUCUGAUAAUAAACUGGGUGCACUAAUAUUAACAUAUCUGCAUAAAGAAAAAGUCGAAUCAGAACUUAAACCCUUUGAUAAUUUGUUUGAAAAUUUUACAGAUUUAGUUCAAAAUGCUAGAUAUAAGCAAUGAAUAAUAUCUACGUUGCUUCAAUUUUUCACUUUUUUGUGUUCAUCAACAUUUUGGACGUAUUUUUUAACAUAGUUGCGAGCCUCGAAUCUUUCAAAAGCAAAGACUCUUUUGAGCCGUAAAAAAUGGGAAUUGGACCGAGAACUGCUAUAGAAAAAACCGGUAAAAACUGGUCGGACCGUUUUUUGGAAAUUUUGGGCUCUUUACGCCCAAAGCCUGAUUCUUUUCAACUAUCAGUCCAAAGCAGAAAAAAUAAAAACUAAAACCUGAAUUGGUCAACCUACCCGUGACCACCAACCCCUCCCCCGUCCCAGACCCAUCAGCUUCCUCAGCCCCAGCACAGCAGAGAGAGUAGAAAGGUUUAAACUUUAAAGAGUAGAGAGAGUUAUGAAGAAGAAAGGUUUAAAAAAAUGAAAAAAAAAAAUGAAGAACUGAAAAUCAUCAUGAAAAUGAAAAGUUGAGAGAGUGAAGAAGCCACCAAUCUGAACUGAUAAGAAAAGAAAGAAAGGGUUCCUCUCUUCAUGAAUAUCAAAAAAAUAAAAUAUUAAAAUAAGGAAAAAUAAACUAAAUGGCAAUACCCAAAAAAAAAACCUAAAUGGCAAUACCCUUUUCUACUUUGGCAUUUGGGACAUUGAACCUCGUUUUUAUUAUUAUUUCUCUUUUAAGUUUUAAUUUUUUUUCAUUUCUCUAUUCUUUAUUUUUCAAUUUUCAAGUAUAUGGAUAUGGAUAUAGAUAUUUGUAUUCGAAAUCACACUUAAAAGCUCGAGCCACACAGGAUAACAUCAAAUGCUAGUUACAGUUCCCAGAAGAAAGGAAGGAAGGAAGAGGCAAACUUACCUGAAGCAACCAAGGCCAGCGACUAAAUGACCAGCAACACCAGUGGCAAGUCUAGUUUCAGCAACACUAUCAAUCAUAAGUUCCAAUCCAGAUUUUUUAACCAUUUCUACAAUUUCAAGGAUACCAAGAACCCCAAAUUUGGAUAGUUUAAUGUUGAUAACAUCCACAAGAUUUUCCUCCAUAAGUUUUUUGAUGUCCGUCAAAUCCCUGCAACUUUCAUCUGCUGCAACUGAUACCCCAUACUUAUGCCUUGCAACGUUACUCACAUCACCAAGGCCUCUCCAGUCAUCUCUAUGAACUGGUUGUUCAAAAACUGUAGGAAUCACCCCUUUUUCUGCAAUGAGACCAACAUAAUUGUGAUCUUUUAAUUAGAGGUGUACGUGGAGCAGGUUUAUAUACCGUAUUACCAUUAUAUCAGGCAUGCCCUGACUUAAAAUAAGAGCUUCAAAUUUUAUUCAGACUUAUCUAUAUUUAACUAAAACUGAAAAACAACUCGGAUCAAACUCAAGCAUCGCUCAUAGUUUAAAUGUCUUAGUUUUUUCUCAAACUCAUUUUCAAGCAUAAUAAUUUUGUUCAAAUCACCUCAAAUAUUGGUGGGACUUCAGUUUUGGACGAUGACUUGUGAUAUUGAAAAUUGCUUACCAUUUAGUUUGUGAAGAACUUCGAUGGCUUCCUUUGAAGUGUAACCCUCAUUUGCAUCUAAGAUAAAUAAGCAAUGAGGGUGGGCAGCUCUUACUGCUUGAAGAACUUCAAUAUCUGCAUUUACAUUCCUUCCCAGUUUAAUCUCCAAUGUCUUGAAUCCUAGUUUGUAAUAUUUAGCAGCCAGAUCGAAUGCUUUAGCCGAGGAAGUAGUUGGGAUCUGUAGACAUGGAAAUUAUUAGUCUCCAUCUCAACCAUGACACUGCUAUCUAAGUCGGUCUUUGUAAUGUGAUAUGCUAUGUUGCUUUUAUUUGUAUUCCAUACUCCUAUUCCGACGCAUAUUUUCAUAUUAAAGCUUCCAAUCAUAAAAGGAUUAGAAAGAACCCAACAUAACCGUAUUAAAUAAACAUUAUUCAACACUCAGUAUCCAAAUUUAUGUAACAUGUAUUAUGUUAAACUAGGCUCUAGGUAAUUGUCAAAUCCAAAAUCUGUCUGUAUACUCGAUCUUUUCGAGAUUUUUGUAUAUUUAGAAAACCAUACCUAUACUCAGUAUCAAACUAGUAUCGAACACAACUACAUAUAAAAGUAAAAAGACCGAUUAUAUAUACAUUACUUAACUGUAGCAGCAGUGGACAAGGAAUUGGACACUCCCCCAAAUAAUCUCCAUAGGGGCACAUCAAUGCUAUUAGCAACUGCGUCAACCAAUGCCAUUUCUAACCCAGCCCUAACCUUCAUACACAGAUAAAAAAUCAUAAGGAUCCGAUGCAAAGGGGGACCAAACAAAUUACUUAGUUUUCUUCUUUUCUUUUUCCUACGUAGUUUUUUUUAUCAGGGGUCUAGGGGAAGAGGACACCACAAGCUUAUUUGAUAAGUAAAUAGUUAUAUUAUUAGAACUUGAGUGUGUAUAGUUAAAAUUUUUAAAUUUUUUUUAAUGUAUUUGGAGAAUUUAUGCAAGUCAUCCUCUUCGGACAUGAAUAUCAUAAUAUCCUUCUAAAAAAUUAGUCCAAGCAAUAUAAGAAUACUAUUGAUGGUGAGUCGAAGUCUUGGGAAUGUUUCGAUUGGUAACAUGACCUGCAAGCUCACGAGAAAACUAUCAGUAUUGGGCAAUUAUUAUGCAUAUUGUACUUAUGGGGUCUAUACCACCAACCAAGGUAUAGAUCUUACUCAUGAUACCGGCACUUCUUUUGUGAGCGUGCAAAUCAUAUUUUCACCAAUCGAAACACUCUCUGAACCGCAAACCUCUUUAGACUUUUCUCUAUAAAUGGAAGACAAAAUCCCAACGAAAACAAUUCCUUCAAUUGAAGGUCUAAGACACUCCAAAGCAGCCCCUCGCCCUCAACAAACACAAUAUAAUGUUAAUGUUAGUACAUAAUGAGAACAUGAUUGUACUUACAGAAGCAAAUUCGCUACCAGGAAACAUCUCUGAGAUCUGAUGUAAAACCAAAUUCAAAGUCACUGGAGAUCCCUGGCUAAGAAAUUCACAGGCUUUUCUCACUUCCUCAAGAGCAGUGGCUUGGUUCCAGUUAACCCAUGGAACCACUGAUACCUCACCCCACCCGACACACCCAUUGCUGAGUUCAACUCGUACAGCCACAUUCUCAACCUUUUCAAGCCUGGAACAGCCAACGGUCACCGGUUCUUGAAGCCCAACAUUCAAUGGUCUCCCUUCAGCACAAUGAACAUCAACCCAGAAAAUCUCAGUCAAGUUCUUCAAUCCCAAGCUUGUUCUUGGCCUUUCAGUGCUCCCACUGACUGCUGAUUGAGUCACCAGCUCACUGCUGCUAGUGCUGGAGCUGACAAUGAAACGAGUCUGCAAGUUGCUUCGAUGGUUAACCAGAGAAGACCGAGAGAAAAGGAAAGAGUUUGUUGGACAACAGAAACCAAGUGAAGCCAUUGGAUUGGAAAGAUGGUUGAACUUAGCUUUCUUGUUGAUAUUUAGCAAGCACUCAAUGUCAUACUUUAUUUAUCUAUUUUUGUUGGGUUUGUUUUCCAGUUAACAUACAAAAAACAAACCUAAGCUGCACCCUAACAAGGUCUUUUUUAUUUGUCAUGCCAUUGAUGGUGUACUGUACUAAGAGCAUAUUUAAGUGAUUGGUGACCUUUGGAGGAGUGAAAGAGUCGCAUGUAAAAAAGAAAAAAACAUAUGCGUCCUUUGAGUGUUGACCCCACUUUAUCAAGCUCCGGUCUGUAAAUUUUGGCCCCUCUGAUAUGAAUGGAAAGAUGGAGUGAUAAAAAGGUUUAAUACCCUUAAAUAAAUUUUUAAUUUCUAAUUUUAUGAAAAAGAAGAAAUGAAAACCAUUUUCUUUUUCAUUUAUAAUUUGUUAGGGCUGGAUGUAAUUAUUGAAUACUGUCUUACUAAAAAAAAAAAAACCUGCUCAUCAGCCUAAUGCAUAUAGUAAGCUAAAACAUGGCAAGGCCACCGAAGUGAGCACCUCGACGGCAAUGCCGGGACAUAAUGAUUGGUUAUAGGGUGAAAUAGACAAAACCUCCGUCCCCACUCCAUAUCAACUUUAAGGAAAGAAACAAAAUCUGUUUUGGUGACACAUUUAAUCAAUUAUUAGGGUCAGUAAAAUAAUUUGAAACAAAAAUCAUGGGCAUUAACUUCAUUGUUAAGUUAUUAAUGGGAUGUUUUAUUUGGAAAUUCAAUUCGAGUAGUAUUUGUGGCGAGGUAACAGUUACAAUAAUUAUUUUUUUCGUCUUAAUUAUUUUUAAUUUUAUUGAAGGUAAACGCAUUACUCAUCUAAAGGCAUAAUCUUUUAGAUCAAACUCAAUUUGACUGAAUAUAGUUACUAUAAAUUUUUUUUCAAAUUUCCUAAUUAUUAUUUUGAUAUAUUUUGGGGUUUUUUUUUAAUUUUUUCAUAGAUAAAAGAGGGCAAUACACUACCUUAAAUUAAUUUAUUCAUACAUGGGAAUCACUUAAUAUCUCUUCUAAAAGUACUCCUAACGUAAGGUGUAGGAACAUCAAUAUAAAUUAAGUUAACAUCAUUAGAAAGACAUGAUUUAGCUAGCCAAUGAGCAACCAUAUUUCGCUCCCUAUUCACGAGCUGGAACUUAAUUGUUGGAACCUGACAAGUCACUUCCUUAAUUUUCUUAACAAAAGUCAUUGAACAUGUACUUCCAGAACAUUCUUUAAUCAUAUCCACAACCAUCAUGCAAUAAGAUUCGAAGGUAUACUUUGAUAUCAUAUGUUUUAAUAUUAUUUGGGGUAAAUUAUACAAAUGGUCACCUAAUUGUGCCUACGUUCCUGUUUUGGUCAUCUAACUUUAAAAAUUUACAAUUUAGGCACUAACAUUUGAAUUCAUUCUUAUUUUAGUCACCCACCGUUAAAUUGAUAACGGAAAGCCUUUUCUAACUAGUAUAAUAACACAUUUACUCCUCAAUACUUGCAUUUUUUUUAUCAAUUUGAUCCUAAUUCUAAAUAAUUUAAUAAAUUUAACCAUUCACAUUUACAAAUUCUAUCAAUUUGAUGAUCAAACUUCCUAACCAAAACUUUCAAAUUUUAAAACAAAGACCUUCCACAUCUAUUAAUUGUUUUACUUUUUCGCAAAUAAUUAAAAAAAUAGAACACAUAAUAAUCUCUUAAUCAAUUUACAAAAUUAAAAAAAUCAUUACCAAUGUAACAAAAGAAAAUUCAAUUAAUUUUUUCACAUUUUUUAUCUUAUGAAAAAUUAAAUGUUCAGAAUUUUUCAUAUAUAAUUAUUGAUUGAACAAUUGGAUUUUUCAAAACCAUAUUUUUUUAACUUUAGAUUUAAUUUUCAAUUUCAAUGAUCAACUUCUAGGACGAUUUCUAUGUAUCUUAAAGGAAAUAUCAUACUUAUCAACAAAUCAGCAAGCGAAUAGUAAAUGAAGCUAAAUAGUCCAAAAGCAAGCAAUUUUCACUUAAUUUUUUUAAAACAUUUUACUUCCUAACAUAUGGUAAAAUAUGCAAACCAAGAUAAAAAAAAUACAAAAUUAAAAAAAAAAAGACAUUAGUCCACUUUAUGGGCGGUUUUACCAUAAGCUUCAAACUUUAUACUAUAUUCACAUCAUAAAUAAAUUAAAGAAAAAGGUCAAUAUUAUCAAGCUUUUAAAUUUUGAUUUAUGGGUUCUACAAACAAACACAUUAUUAAAGCAGAUUACCAAUUAUAUUUAUUAGCCAUAUGAAAUAAUAAAUUGCUUUUUUACUAAAAAACAAUAUAACAAAAUCACAUGCUUAAAAGUCAAACUCAAGCAUACAAAAUAAAUAUCAUGAAAUUUUUACACUGAAAAAAAAAAGAUGAUGAAGAAAUAAACCUGUAAGUGAUUGUAGCUUGGUUUCCCAGUUAGGUAUCUAUAUGCCAAAAUCCCCCUAAAAAGGGGAAAUUCAAGGAUAUGUAAAUGAAAAUAUAUAAUAUUUUUAGCGAAGAGAAAAAAAAAGAACACACCUUGACAUAGAACAACUAUAGAUAAAGAUGACAUUUUAUUUCAAAAAGGGUUAUGUAUUGAAUUGGAUUAUUUUAACCAUAAACAAAACAAUUAAUAGAUGUGGAAUGCCUCUAUUAUAAAAGCUUAAAGCUUUGUUAGAAAGUUUGAGGAUAAAAUUGAUAGAAUUUCUAAAUGUGAGUGGUUAAAUUUAUUAAGUUAUUUAGAAUUAGGAUCAAAUUGAUAUAAUAUGUAAGUGUCGAGGAAUAAAUGUGUUAUUAUACCAAUUAGAAUAAGUCUUUCUAUUAUCAAUUUAACGGUGGAUGAUCAAAAUAAGAACAAAUUCAAACAUUAAUGUCUAAAUUGAAAAUUUUUUUAAAGUUGGGUGACCAAAACAGAAACAUGGGCACUCAACCAUUUGUAUACUUUACCUUAUUAUUUUUUAUAUGUUAAUGGGAAAUUUUUUAGAAUAUUUUUUCUUGAGUAGUAAUUCGACACUCUACACUAAUUAGUGUUAUGCAUGUUAUGAGGUAUUAUUGUGAAGUACAUGCAAAGUACCUCGACACAUAUGGGUGUCGAGUUAAGGGUUAAGAGGUUUGAUGGGGAUAUUUAUUUGGAUGUUGACCUAAUCAAACGAAUUAAAUACAGUGGAGGUUGACUCUUACGGUUGUCAAUUUCCACCCUAUAAAAACUCAUACAUUUCUCCUUUCUUCGUGCCCAAAAUCUUCCCAAAACUCUCUAAUUCUCUCAAGCUAUCAAGCACUCCUACUCUUCAGAAAAUCUUGUUCUUUUUUACUUAUUUUUCAGAGAAGAAUGAUGGAACACGUUGCAAAAUACACCAUCAAUAUGGUGAAAUCUCUAACUCAAUUCUUUUUAGUUUUUAAUUUUUGCGAAAAUAUUAUUAUGAUUUUUGAAAUUUAAUAUUAUUAUUUUGUGAAUUUUUAACAAGCGAUUGAUCGAGUUCUUUGGAUCCAACACAAUUUAUAUUUCAUGAAUCCUAAUCGUCAUAUCAAAGAACACUUGAAGGAUGUCGGUUUAUGUGUGAUAUCUAAGAUGACAAAGUUGAAAAUCAUUUCAAAUUUAGUUGUUGCAUUGGUAAAAAGAUGAAAGCUAGAAACAUUUGUGUUCCAUUUUCUUGUAGGGAAAUGACCAUUGUGCUCAAAUAUGUGCUUUAAUAAUCGACCUUCCAAUCAAUUGGAAGGCGAUAAUCAUAACUAGUGGCAUUAAUCCAGAGUAUGAGUGUGGUUGGUUGUUGGGUGUCAUGCUGCUGAAGGAGAAACCAUAUAAAGAUUUUCAUGGUUAUCGGGUGAAAUGCAUAUGGUUGGACAAUUUUGUCAACCUAGCCCCUCCACUACAUGCAAUUAUAGAUGAGAUUGAUUGCUUAGCUAGAGCUUGGAUGCUCUAGAAGUUCGAAGGAAUGUUGUUUCCAAACAAAUCUGGCAACAAGUUCCAUGUCAUGUAUCUUUCUCUAUUCAAGGAUUUCGAGGCAGAUGGUAGAUUUAACUAGGGUUUUGCCACUCUGGCAUAUUGGUAUAAGGAACUUUACGAAGCAGUGCAUGAACUAACUGAUGAAGUGAAUAGUUGUUGCUUACUCCUACAAAUAUAGGCAUGGAUACACUUGUUAUGGUUAGCACUCAUCCCUUCUAGUCGUGGGAGUUCUCUCUUAUUAGAAGGUAAAAUAUCACUUUAUACAAUAUCUUAAAAUGUGUUUUAGCAUCAGUACUUACUAUCGCCUAUUGCAUUGACUAAUGGAACAUAUUUAAGGGAUGUUUGGACUAUACGUGUUAUAUGAGGAACUUCAAAUAGAUGCAUCAAUAAAUCAAUUUACAAGUCAAUGAAGAGGUUUGUUGGUGUUGUAUUUGUAUUCAAUAAAGUUCAGUGUUUCUAUUAAUGAAUAUAAUUGUAUUUGGAUAUUUCUAUAGUUCUGGUGGAUAUCAUACAUGACAACUUGGUGUUUGUCACAAUACUGAAGAUUGUUUACAAGUAGUAUGUGUUAUUCAGGUCAUGAGUACUCCUCAUCUAUUUUUACAAAUUACAUUGUGGAGUGGUAGCACCCUAAUUGGGUGAAUCACCAGUUCAAUUUUGUCCAAGAAAUUUCAGUGGAUUUGUAGAACAUCGAGUGGUUUUGGAUGAUAGAUUUGAGGGGAUAGGAUCGAUAUUGGCUCUCGUCCUAAGAGAGGCUCUACUAUACGCCUAGGAAAAAAAAGGCAUAACAAAAUUUUUAACGUUUACCAACAUUUCCAACACUUUAAUUAGAAAUUUUGAUAUACAUUUUUUUAAUGCAAGAUAGAAUUUUCCACCCCCAAGGGCAACAUUGUUAGUGAAUUUCAUACUUCCUCAUCCAUUUACUAAGAUAUAAAAUAUGAAAAUAUUAUAUAAUAUAUAUCUAUACUAUAUAUUAACAUUUUAACGAAGUUGAUGCCACGAGUCAAUCAGACACCGACUUAAUUUAGAAAUGAUAAAGGGUUUGUUUGGAUAGCACAAAAUAACUGAAUGGAAGUGUAAUUACUAAGGUAGUAAUUAUACUCUCUUGUAGUUACAAAGAAUUGUAAUUCCCUAGAUGUGUUUGGCUAUCAAAGUGUAAUUAUAUCGUAAUUCUUUAUGUAAUGUGUGGUAGUACAAACUGUAAUUACACAAUUACAUAUUUAUAUUUUUAAAAUAUAUUAUUUGCGUGAUAAAAAUAAAUUUCUAAACAAGUAACAAAAAAUAAAAUCAAAUAUCAUAUGUAUUAUGUUAGUCUAAAAAAGUAGCUGAUAAUACGAUUACUAAUAAAAAUAACAAGAAAAAUACACAUCAUAUCCAAUUUUAUCUAACUGUUCUAGUGCAUAUUUGUUGAGUUAUUCCCUCUUUAAUAUUUAACAUAUGCUCAUUAUCAUCAUUUAUUGGUCAUUGAUUGAGUUUAGCAUCAUUUGAAUUUGAAUCUAUAUCAUUAAGAUUAUCAAGAUCUAUUUCUUUCAUGUAUUCUUUGAAGUAUGGAUCAUCUCAAUUCCACCUAUAAUUCAAGUUAUGAAAUAUGCAAUGUGCUAAUGUCACAGGGCUAGAUCUUUCGUCUUGCGAUCCGUGCAGCCUUAGGCGAUCCGUUCUUACCAAACUCGCCUAAGUCAGCCUAACUUGCAAGUGAGGAUUUUCUUAGAAUUCCUCCAAUGCACCAAUUUGUAUAGUGGAAGCAAUUAAUGUCAAAGAAGCCACAACAGAACAACAGAAAGCCACAGAAAAGAAUGCGCGAGAGGUGUUUGAGUAAAUGCUCUCAAAGAAUUCUAUUACUCUUAAGAAUUCAAGUUACAAUGGAAUGAUUUACAAGUGAGGGGGGGUUCUCUAUUUAUAGUUGAGCUCCCCCAAAACUGACGGUCUAGGUUUCUCCAACAGUUCUCUGAAUCAGGCCAAUUCUCAUAGGCUAAAUGAUUUCAAUCUAAUCGAUAGACCUCCAUGGGGUGCAUCUAGGGGUGAGCAAAACUCGAUUCGACUCAAAAAAAUCGAAAAAAAAUUUGAAUUUCGAAUUAAACGAAUCGAGUUAUUCGAGUUAAUCGAGUUAUUCGAAUCAACUCAAAUUUUUUUUUCGAAUUUCAAGUUCGAAUCGAGUUGAGUUUUCGAAUUCGAAUAACUCGAAUAAUUCGAAUAUCAAACUAUAAUAUUUUACAUUUUUACCCCAAAUUUCCAAACCUUUUUAUUUUUCCUUCAAAACUUUUACUCCUUCCCACUUUCCCCCCAAAACUUUUACUCCCCUCCCCUCUCAACCCCCAAAUCUACCCAAAAUCCAUUUCCCACCAAAAUUUUACUCUCCCAUUUACUUUUUCUCAAAAUUUUACUCCCCAAAACCCUCAAAACCUUUUAUUUUCCCCCAAAAUUUUUACUCCCUCUCACUUUUCCCCUAAAACUUUUAUUCCUUUCCCAUCCCACCUCCCAUCUAUCCCAAACCCUCCCCCCUCCAAUUUUUUUUAAUAUUUUCCCUCCAAAAUUUUACUCCCCCUAUUUACUUUCCCUCAAACUUUUAUUCCCCAAAACUUUUUAUUUUUCCCCUAAACUUUUACUUCUCACCCUUUACUCUCAAAUAAAAAAUCAAAAUUAUCCCAAAAAAAAUCACUAAACAUAAAUAGUAAUAAUUUUAUUUAUAUCUACUAUUUCUAUUAUUAAAUUAAAUUUCACAUUUUAUAUUAUUUAUAUUAUUGAAUUGUUUAGUCAUUGAAUAUUUAUAUUAAAAUUGAAUUAUUAAUUAUGCCAUAAAAUAUUCGUGUUAAAAUUUUAUAUUGGUAUCAAUUUCACAUUUUAUUUUUAAAAUAACUUUUAUUAAAAAAAUCAUAUUUUUACAUUUAAUAUAUUUUUUAAUUCCAAAAUACAUAGUGAGAAGAACCUGAAGAUAAUUGAAACAACUAAGCAAGCAAAGAAGCUAACCAGUAUAUAAAAAAUUAAUAAAUAAAUUAUGAGGUGAUGAAAGUUAAAAAAAAAUUUGAUUAAGGUGGAAAAAUUUUAUUACGAUGGGUGACAAUGGUUACAAGGAUCCAAAAUUAUUUUUUUAAAAUUUAACUCGAACAAAUAUAUUCGAUUCGAUUCGAUUCGAAUUCCAUCUCACUUGACUCGAUUCGAGAAAAGUUUAAAUAAAGUUAGGAUGAUAAAAUGAGAUUCAAAAACUCGAUUAACUCAAAAAUUUUCGAUUCGAUUCGAUCGAAUGCUCACCCCUAGGUGCAUCUUGUGCCAUGGUCACGGGCUUUGCACUUUGGCCCGUGACACUAGUACGAUCUAACAUUGUUUUUUACGCUAUACUAAGGUGAUGUUGUUAAUAUGGAAAAUAUUUUUUUAAACAAUGAAUGCCUUCUCAAUCACAUUUUGAAGCCUGGAAGGUCUCAAAUUAAAGAGUUUAUAAGCUAUUUAUAGUGCUUAUGUCUAGCACCAUUCUCUAAAAUGGUAUCAUACCCUCAUGAUAUGGUGCAAGAAAACAAUUUGUGUUUGCAUAAUUAGCAUCUAUCUUAUAGUAUUUGGGUUUAUUGUUUAAAUAGUUUAUAGCUUUAAUUAUAAAAACUUAUAUGAACUUAUUUUGGAGAAAGACAUAUGCUAAGUUAUAUCCUUUUUAUAAUAUAUAAAUAAAAUAAAUAAUAAAAUAGAUUUUAUAAUAUAUAACCUUUAUAAAAAUUUAUAAUUUGUCCAAUAACUUUCAUAAAACUUCUAACAUAUUUUUUGUUAGAAAGUUUUUUUUUAUUAUAAAUAAGUUAUGAUUAAAAGGACUAUAAUUUUUUUAUGAAUAUCUAUAUCAUAUAUAGCAUGGAAGCAUAAAUAAACUAUAUUCAUACUUAUUGACCAUAAGUUUUUAUAAGUAAAUAUAUUAUAAUCCUUUUGUAACAUAUAAAUUUUUUUAUAAUAAACUUUUUAUUCAUACCUUUAGAAUUUUUUUAGGAUUUAAAUAAUAUAACUUUUAUUAUAAUUUUAUAAAAUACAUAUAUUAUUUUUAUAAUAUAAUUUUUUAGGAUUUAUAAUAUAAGAAAAUUUUUGUCAUAACAAUCCUAAACGCUUAUACAUGUUCAUGUUUAUAAUAUAUUUUUUAUGACUUGUAUAAAAGUAAUUUUUUUAAAAUUGGAAUUUAGUGUAAUUUUAUAUAUAAUUACUCCAAUUCUCACCCUCCCUUAAGAAUUUCCAAUUACACCUAAUUCGAUAGAACUUAUCAAUUACAAUAGUUACUUAAAUAUGCUAUCAUUAUGUAAUUAUAAGUAGCUACACUCAUGUCACUUUUCAAACAAUACUAAAGUCUUUUACUUUAUAAAAAUAAAAAAUAUUAAUACGAGAUUACUUUUAGUUUUUAUUUUAUUUUUUUAAUAAAAUAAUACUAAGGCAGGAUUUGAUUUUUUUUAUACGUAAGAGAUUUACCUUUUAAUCUUUAAAAUUUUAAUUUAAUCAUGUAAAUAACACAUGCGCCACAUGAGGAAUAAAAUAUAAAGGAAUAUUCACCAGUAAGAUUAUAAAGAGAUGCCAAUUAAUUUUAGUCGUCUAAGUCUCCAUUUUUUUUAUUCUGAGUUCACGAGAACAAGAAAGUGUGAACACUGUCAUGCGAUAUUACUAUUGAUAUAAUAAAAGAUAAUGAAAAUACGAAAUAAAAUAUUAUAUCACAUGAUAUGAGAAUUUAAUACGAAAAUUACAUGUCAUAAAAAUUAUUAAUUUAUCAAUUUUUUAAUCUUAUGUACGAUUAUAAUAGGACAAGAUGUCGAAUAAUAUAUAUAUUUGGGUACGGGCUUUGACUAGGAAAAUGAAAUCAAUCCUCUCUCUUCGCUUUAAAUUUUGCACUAAUCAUGUUCAUGCAUAUUGAUAUUAUUUUUUGUCAUUAUUUUUAAAAAUGGAAUAUAAUUAAAAAAAACAUGUUAGUUUGCUGUUAGUUUAAUGUUGUGUUCAAUCACAGUAUCGAUAAAAUAGUGAAACAGAAGCGAAAAAUAAAAAAGUACAUAGAGACUUGCGUAUAGUUAUUUGUUAACGCAGUUCGGAAAUAAUCCUACUUUGCAGAGCUUUACUCAAUAAAUGAUUCUUAGUCAACAAUCUUUUAAAUCACCUAUUGGUUGAAGCUCAAUCCACCAUUACACAAAGUAAUUGCAUCCCUUAACAUCGACCCCAAUUGUUGCAAAAUCACUCACCCUAAAAACCUCACUUGCAUCAAAUAUAAAGUCUCUAAUAAAAGCAUAACACAAGAGUGCAAAAAUACCAAAUAAAAGAUAAACAAAUAGCCAAACAAAAGCCACCUCUAAAUGUGCAACACAACAUCCUAUUUAUAGGCUAAUUUCGACAUCAUAGUUUUGAUAAAAUAAAACUCUCGAUUUUAAUAUGAUUAUAACUUGUUGAAUUAUCUUCAACAAUUAUCCAAAAUAAAGUAAGAUUAAUCUCCUUAAAAUCAUCCAUGAAACACGUCCUUGAGAUUAAAUAAAACUCUCACCAUGAUCUAAGUCAAGCUCAAACUCUUCAACACACAAACUCUUUACAAAUAUAUACCACUUCAAUUUCAGCUUUAACGACUGGAAUGAGAACAUCCAAGAAGCCCAUUUUAUUAUUAAAAUAACAUCCUUAGCCCAAGUCAAAAAGGCCAACAUAUAAAUAUGUCCAAGCUGUCUCAUGUCUUGACUGUCAAGUCUUUGAUUGAUCAGAUAACUGAACAAACAGUGUUGGACAACUUUAGCUCUAACAAUCUCCUCUGUUUUUUUUUUGACAAAACAUAAGCAAAUGGUGUAUACCCCUAUCAACAUGCCAUCAUCACACAUGAGAUACCAUAGAUAAGCUCACACGAAAAGAUGUUUUAAUACAUCAACAAUAUCUUGCUCGCAUAAGCCAAAAUUGCAGCAAAUAAUUAUCAAGCCAUCAUCAAGAACAAAACAUGAACAGAUCACAAAAGUAUAGUAGCAGUCGAGAUAGACUAGCAACAUUGUAGUACAUUCUUCCCUUACACCAACAAUAAUAAAUCUUCAAGGGGAUUGGUCAUACACAAGCAAGCUUUAUUAAGCUUUUCUACCAAGAGAACAUCCAAUAGCAACAAACAACAUACGCAACAACCAACCAAAAACGACAGCAAGAAUCAGUUCAGUUUAUCAAUGCAACAACAAACACAAGUCCAUCAAACUCAAACUCCUCCUAAUCAGCUCAUCAUACUCCCCCCCUUUUUUUUCAAAAAGCUCAAAACAACUCCUUCUACCAUGGUGUACUCUCGUCUUUAGAAAUUUUCAUGGGGGGUAGAAGAUAUCCCAAACUCUUUAUUUGCUGUACGUUUCUCUAUAGUCAUUAUGAACCAAGAAAGUAGUUCUUGGAGAAUUUUAAGGGGAAAGAAAAUUACAGAGAGGGAGUAUUUUAGUCAAUUAAGGAAAUAAAAAAGACUAGGGUGAAAAAUCUUCCCUUUUCUUAUCACCAAGUGACGUACUUAAUGCGGCCACAAACACCUAAAAUUUCUCCUUAUAAACUUUUACUCCAAAUAAAACUCCAUAAAUAAGCAUUAUCCAGCUCGAUAAUCAAGCAACUAAAAAAGUGCUGUAUUUAGCUUUGUGUGUGCUCUUUCUGAUCAUCAACUCUUAUGCUCGACAACCACCCAACCUUCUUACAUCAGGACUCUUAAAAAUAAUUCAGCUAGCUGGUGAACAUAUAGCAAAAAAUAACCCUUUUCGAUUUAAUAUGCUCUUGUAAAAAUACAACAUUAACAAUCCAAAAUCAGAAAAAAUAUCAACAAUAAGAAAACCAUAAACUCGUCUGGCCCAAUUCUUACUUGGUGGCCCAUGAAACAUGUUCUUCAGAUUGAGAAAAGCUCUCAUCAUAAUCCAAGUCAGAACUCAAACUCUUUAUAAAUAUACACCACUUCGAUUUCAACUUUAACUAUUGGAAUUAGAACAUACAAGAAGCUUAUUUGCUUAUUAAAACAAUAUCCAAUAAGGCCCAAGUAAAAAAGGCCAAUAUAUAAAUAUGCCCAAACUGUCUCGUGUCUUGACUGACCAGUUCUUUGACUGAUCAAGUAAUUGAACAAAUAUUGUUGGACAAACUUGGCUCUGACAAUAAUAAAAUGAUAUUAUUUUGUCUUUAUUUUACAAAUAGGGUUCCGUUAGAUCAUUUAUGUACAUAACAAAAUAACUAGAAAAUAUAUAUAGUAAAAGAAAUUAAAAUAAAUAGGGUUAAAUUUUGCUAUUAGUCCUUGUACUUUGUAAAAAUUUUAGAUUUAGUCAUUGUAAUUUUUAAAUUUAUCAAUUUUAGUCCCUAAACUUUUUGAAUUUUUAAAUUUUAGUCAUAGUAGCAAUUAAAUUCAUUUGGUUAGAUUCAAUUUCUAAUCCUAUAUUAUUCGUGCAAUUGUAGACUUAAUCCAUGUUCACUAAUUGAUCAUUCUAAGUCCUUACACUUUUUGAAAUUUCAGUAUUAAUGCAAAUGAUAGUUGUUAAUCGAUUAACUGAACUUUUGGUUGAGUAAUAUGUGGAAAUAACAAGUUGAUAUGUCAUUACACAUAUGAUCAUAUAUUUGCUACAUCAAAUUUUGUAAAAAACAAAACUUAAUAAAUUUAACAAUUAUUGUUUGGUGAUGAUUGGAAUUUUAAAUUUUGAAAAAUACAGAUACUAAAAAUGUCCAAAUUUAAGUAUAAAGACUAAGCCUACAACUUUUGCAAAGUACAAAGACUUAUAGCACAAUAUAACCAACAAAUAAUGAAUCAUUAGAUCCGAGAGAGCUUGUGGCAUUUAAGCUAUAUCGUAGAAGGAAUGGUUUUUAAAAUUUGGGCUUACGAUUUAGUGUUAGAAAUAUUCUUUUCUAUCUAAAUGUAAUUAUAAAAUAUAUAAAAAAAAUUGAGUUAUCUGAUUGGCUUGAUUAGGCUUUGAUAAAAAUCUUAAAAGGAAAAUUUGGACUCCAACUUGGUUGACUCAUAAACUCUUGUAAUAAAAUUAUCUUACUUUACUUAUAAAAUAAAAAAAUAAAAAAUCAUCGUAUUAAAAAUCAAUUAUGGAUUAAAUCUUAAUUUGAUUGAUAUUAUUGUUAUAAAUGCAGAGGAAAUUAGGCCACAUAAGGUAGAAACAUUAAGGGUUUGCGGGGAGAGCUCAAGUGAUGAGCUCGCGAGCUAGGUUCGCAUGCAUAUUACUGGGGGUUCGCAGGCAGAGGACGCAAAGUCAAGCGUGUGGUAUGAUAAACACGUGUUAAGACUAGAGUAGUAUACGUAUUGACAUGCAUAGAGCCUACUUAGGACGUCAUUUUGAUGAACAGUAACCAUAUAUUAUAAAUACUCGAUUUUCCCUCUCUAAGAAGAUACACGACAAAAACACUCAACGUAUUUAAAUAUAAUUUUACAUUCGAGAAUCAUUGUUGGGUUAAGAGGGAAAUACAUAAUGUAAUAAACAAUAUUAGGUUUACAACAUCUCAAUUAGAUUUAAAACUAUUGAAAGUAUAAAUUUAAAUAUUGAUAUGAUUUAAAGUAAAAAUUGAUGGUAAACUUUGUUUAUCAAUGAAUUCUUUAUUUUUAUAAUUAAGAAUUUAAAUAAGUGAGGAUGAAAUUUUAAAUGAAAACAAACAAAAUUAAAAUUAUGGGUUUACUAAUUUCCAAAAGUUUUUCUAAUCUGGUGUUGCCACUUUUGUUCAAGAUAAUUAUAUUUUAAUAAAAUAUAAUUUAUUUUAUUAUAUACCAUUAAUUUUUUUAUACAACUCUGAAAGAUUAAAAAUAUAAAUAAUAAGUCCUAAGUCAUAACUAAGUAUGAUAUAAUUAACUAAAAUAAAUAUGAAUGGAUCGAAUUACAAUCCGGGACUAAAUAGCAUAAUUUGUAAAAAACUUGAUCCUUUCAAAAAACUUAACCAACGAUUUAAAUAAGUUUUAAUUUCCAUACGAAAGUUUUUUUCAUUAAUUAUAAUGGAAAAAAAGGAAAGGAAUUUGCCCUCUAUAACCAAAACCAAUCAAAGGGAUAGAUUUUUUUUUUUUUAAAGUUUGUAGGUUAUUUUCGGUUUGGAUUCCUUGUAGUUUGAAAAAUUGCUAAUAAAAGUUUCAAAAUUAUAAAUUCAUAUAGGGACUAACGAAGAAAUUACAAAUGGUAAAAGGCCUAUAAAAAUGAAAAAUGGAGGGGUUUAUGUUGGAAUUAACCCCUUUGCUGUCAUCUAUAUAAUGACGUUCUUAUUUCUUAUUUUCCAUUUAAUCCAGCUUCUUGUUGAAAAGAAAUUCCUCAAAAUUUAUACUCGUAUUUAAGUUCCCCUUAUUUUAUGGGCAGAUCCAGUAUGAACAGAAUUCUUAAUCCUCUGGAUGGAGAGCUGCUGUCAUUUUUUUUAGGGCUAAAAAAUAAAUAUAAAACCUUUUGAAUUCCAUGCAACUAUAUUUAUAUGGAAUAUUCACCCUUCAUAAUAUAAAUUUUGAAAAGGUUUUCGGAAAGGAAUAAUUUGUAAAGAAAAAAUAUUGACCCUGUGAUUGUAGUAAUUUUUACAAAACACGGGAAAAUGACUUACCAUUUUUAUUUCGGUAAGACAUUUUCGGGAAAAGGAAGCCUCUUCCCCUUUGCCUUCCCCCAUCCUUGACACCCCGAUCUUCUGCUUGCCAGCAACGGUUCUCAACACCAGACACCGGCGUUCAUCUUUGAUUUUCCCAUUUUCGCUUUUCAUUGUCGAAAUCUGCACUGCACCACCAGUCGGGGACGGCAUUCAUCUUCCUUGGAUGGGGUUUUUUUUUUUAAAGAACACCACUGUUCUUAAUUGGAAAAUGCGUUUAUAUUUGUUGUUGCGGUCUAGCUUAACUUGUUGUAUUAAGGGUGAAUUGAAAUUGCAUUUGAACUGCAAAUGGGACGCCUAAUCUGCCCGGAAUUGAGUAAAAAAAGAAACCCUUUUGUGUUAGUCGAUUAGGGGAGGAAGUGGAGUUGUCUUAAUCUGCUCGUAACAAACCAUUGGUGCUUGUUUACUUAUGGACAUAACAUAAUACCUUUCCUAAUUUCUCCUCCUCCUUCUCAGGUUUUGCCUACAUUUUCUACUUUAUUUUCACUUAAGAGGUCUGCCACAACUAGUGGUGUGCCUGGCUUAAAGUAAGUUCUUGGCCCGUGUCAUUUACCCUGUCUUGUCUUUCUCAAAAAUAAUCCUGUCUCUCAUUUUCCCUUUGAUUGAUUUAAAAGAUUUUAACAAAUUGUUUAAAGCUUUUAAAUAUAAACUCGUUAACAUUUCUAGUUUUUUUUUUGUUUUAACAGGUUUGAUAAACGUCUUCUGUUGCAUGGACAACAAUACAUAGAAAUACACAAGCCACUUCUUUCAAAUGCCUCUGUAAGUCUAUAAUACUACCAAUUGCUAACUCAAAAUUUUUAUCUUAGGUUGAGGACUUCAGUCUCUAUUCUUUUAAAAUAACAUUUGGCACAUAAAUUCCAUGUUGUACACUUAGAGAAUAUUUGGUCUUCCUGCGGAAAUUGUUUUGAAAUUGCUGUUUAUUACCAGAGUUAAUUGUUGUUAUUAACUCUCUUUUUUUCUUGCAGAUACUUAACAAAACAACCAUUGCAGGUUUCCAUGACAAAGGUUUGUACUCAUUACCUGAAAUGAUGUCAAGUAAUUCGGGUGGUAUUUCUCACCAUGAAAUCGAGUUAUUUAUGGCAGUGUAAAUCUGUUACUCUCGUAGUCGUUCGCUUUUUUAUCGAUAUUAUUGUAUUUAAAAGUGAACUUGUUAGGAUAACAAGCACAAACGAAUUGGUUGUUGGUUGCUUCGGUAUUUUGUUAACCUUGGGAAAACUGUAAAAAGUGAAUAGAAAGAGAAGUGAUAUCCGCAAGUCUAUUUCGAAAGGAUAGUCUUGAUGGUUUUUCCCCUCCCCUCUAAAUAUCAGGUAAAGCAGCAAUACUUGAACUUGAAACCAGAAGUUAUGAGAAAAAGUCUGGUGAACUAUUAACCUUGAAUCGGUAAGUUGUAUUUCCCCACUAUCUGAUCUAACACUCUCAUGCUGCAGUUUAUUAAUGUAUAAAUGAGUCUUCAGGACAAGUGUUUUUCUACGUGGUGCUGGUGGCUUCUCAGAUCCAUCUAAGCCCUUUACAUAAACUAUCCAGUCAAUACGGCUUCAGCUAUGAAAAUCCCAAAAACUCAACCUUCUGCAGUAUUUGAGGAUUGUACCCAACCACCUCAGGCAUGUAGCAACAAUACUAGAAUUUUAUCCCCAAGAGCUUUUAUGUCGCUUUCAAAAAAAAAAAGAGAUGUUCCCCAGUUAAUUCUCUUUUUGUCCAUAUACUAUAUAGUCUGUGGAUUAGUUUGAUCUGGUAUCAACUUCUGCUUCGACAGCUUGUGCUAUGAGAUGCUUUUUUAUGAUGACAAGCUUCUCCAGAAGUUUUGAACUACUAUUUUUUGCCUUUGGCAGGCUUUAUUGUAUAGGUUAUCCGGUGACUAUAAUCCUCUGCAUUCAGAUCCUAUGAUUGCAAAGGUCGCAGGGUUAGUUCAUUACUUAUGUUGAGGCUAUGGCUAUUGGUUGCAUUACUUGACAAAGCUCCUUUGCAUCCUAAGCUUUUAUACUGAUUUAUGCUUUGCCUAUCCCAUGUUCAUAGAUUUUCAAGGCCAAUUUUGCAUGGAUUGUGUACCCUUGGGUUUGCAGUACGGGCUAUCAUCAAAUGUAUUUGCAGGGGAGAUCCAGACAUGGUCAAAAGCAUCUUUGCACGGUUCCUUUUGCAUGUGUAUCCUGGUGAAGCACUCAUCACCGAGAUGUGGCUUGAAGGCUUGAGGUACACUUCUUCUUUCUUUUUCUGAUAAUAUUCAAGUGAAUGGAGAUCUGAUGCUGGUGUUAUAAUCUGCAGGGUCAUAUAUCAGGUAAAGGCGAAAGAAAGGAAUCGAGCAGUGCUGUCAGGCUAUGUUGACCUCCAUCGAUUAGCAGCUUCACUAUAAAUCAACUAGAAAUCAACUUGAUAUAUAUCCGACUUGUGUUAUAACUGCUGCUUCGAAGUGCAAACUUCAUAAAUAGGAAACUUAAUGAAUGGAAAAUUUGCAGUUGAAGUUGAAUUUCUUAAACUUAUUGAACAUCAAAGUCUGUUGGCAUUCAAGAAUGUGAUGUAAUAAAUACAAACCAUUUCUUUUAUGUCUGAUUGGGGGAUGUUUUAGUUGUUAAUUGUAUUGACAUGAUCUUAUUAUCACUAUUUUUUCAAGACAAUUUAAAAUAUAUGUAAAAAAACAAUUUAAAAUAUAAAUUUAUUAAUAUAUGUAAAAACAUCUUUUGCGGAAAAUAUUUUUAGGAAAUCUGCCAAACAACAUAGAAUAUUUUACACAGAUUUAUCUAAAAACCGAAAAAGUAAAUCAUCUCUAGAAAAGUAAAUCAUUUUCCAGAAAACAUUUUACUGGCAAAUAAAAGUAUAAUGUUUGUUAUUUUUGAUAUAAUACUUAGAACUAUCCAUAAUCUCUCUCCAACUCUUAAGUAAGAAUAUAAUGCGCUUCAGCGCACUCAAACUCAAUUAAGAUUCAAUCAUAAACAAUUUUUCUUUUUCUCCUUUUUCAAAUUUUUGACUUUUUAAAAUUUACUAGAGUUCAUCGUUUAUUUUUAUAUUUUAGUCCAACUUAGAACAAUUUAAAUUGAAUAAGGAAACGAAAUAGGAAUCUAAGAUUAUAGGGUUUCAGUAAAUAUAUAUUGAUUUAAUGACACAAAUUUCAAACGGAAUAUAUUUUCAGUGUUUUUUAACACUAACAGCAUAAGCAUCACACAUGUCAAUUAUGUGUAAAGUCAAGCUCGUUCAAAUAAAAUUAACCACGCAAGUUAUGGGAUAUAGAUUAAAUUACUAAAAAAAUAUUUUUUUUUCAAAAUUAUCGAAAUAAGUCGAAUUUUGGAAUUUUUACGAAUACAGGCCGAUUUAGGGAAAAAAGUAGAAGCGUUUUUUGCGUGUUACCAGUAAAAAGCUUCUAGCUAGUAGCGGCCUCCUCCUAACGAAUACUUUUCCAAUGGCUAUUUUAAAUAGCCGUUGCCCCCACCCCCCACCCCAAGGAUAAAAAAAAUAUAAAAACCCCUCACCCUUAAUCAUUUAUCAUAAAAUUCUCUCAAAUUCUCAAACCAGUCUCAAAUUCUCUAAAAAAUCUAAAUUAUAUUUUCUAUUAGAUUUUUUAUUAAUAUUUUUUGAAAAUAUUUUUUUUAAAUUAAUUUGUGUUCUAUAUAAUUAGCAAUGGCCAGUUCUCUAAUUCGUCAUGAUGACAAGCACAUUUCCGUCAUUCAAUUGCAAAUGGUAAAAAUAAUUUUUAAUAAAUUUCAAUUUUGUUUAAUUUUGUUUAUUUCAUUGUUAUUUUUUAACUUAAUCUUUUGUAUUUUUUACGUAAAUAGGCGAAAGAUCGAAUUAUACAAUGCAAUAUUUGUAAUCUAUGCGGUCCUCCAUCACUGUUAAUUGAACCAUACUUGAGGGAAGUCGAUUUUUGGCACGUGGCCCUUGUAGGUCGGGGGUGUAAGUUGGACUCGAAACUCGUAAGCACAUUGGUGGAGAGGUGGAAACUCAAGACGCACACAUUCCAUCUUCUAUGCGACAAGUGUACUAUCACUCUAGAAGACAUGCAUUUACAGUUGUAGUUACCCGUGGAUAGGUCAGUAAUCACCGGGUCUAUUCAGUCUGGUGAUUGGCGAUGCGUAUGUGGUGAACUUUUGGAUUUGGUUCCGAAAAUGAUUUAUGGAGGUUGGAUCAAAAUGACUUGGUUGCGAAAAACUUUCACAGUGUUGGAUAAGGAUUUGAUUGAAGUCGAAAGAGGACAUGCUUAGGCGUACAUCCUUUAGAUUAUCGGGGGUAUAUUAAUGCCAGACAAGUCAUGAACACUCUUCCAUCUAAGGUGGUUGUAAAAACUCGUCAAUUUUAGAGGAGUGGGCGAACUAAGUUGAGGGUUCGUCAUGUUGGCGACAUUGUACCAGGAGAUGUGUUAGGCGAUGCAACUAGGAAAAAUCAAAAUUGGUGGUGGCAUUUUACUACUGCAAUCAUGGGCGCGAUACCGAUUUCUAUUUGUACGUCCUCGAGCGAACUACCUGUAUACAUUCCCACUCGUAACAAGAUAAAAUUCAAUAGAUAUUUUAAUAAUAAAAUUGAUUUAAAUAAAUAUGAUUAUGCUAACAAGUUAUUUAAAUAGGUGGAACCAUGGACCGAGUCAUGUGAGAUUACCUACUGAGCUUUAAGAUAUACAACUUCUAUUAAACCAAUAAUUGGAAGCGGAAGUAUCUAUUUAUUUAAAUUUGAAUUAUAUAAUAUUACCUUAAUCGAUUUCAUAUUUAGUAGUAUAUAUAUAACUAAUGUUUUUAUCGCGUUAAUAUAGUUUGAAUGGACACUAUACGAGGACUUGACAAUUCAAGAAGCCAUCUCCGAGGAAUUCUUUGUGAAUCCCAACAUUUGGCACGUGAAGGUCCCAUUGGUAGUGUAUGCUACCGUCGAGAUACAUGAGACCGAUAGAGUGUUGCGACAUUUUGGAUUUUGACAAUCGAUUCCCGUGGCACUUCAAGACCUUAAUGAUCUGCAUCCUGUCGACUUGCGGCAGCCAGAUGAGAAUUGACUGAUAUUCUUCUCCCAACAUAUCAAUAUGUGGAAUAAUUAGUAUGAUUUAUUACCUACUCGUGAACAUAUUAUCAUUUUGGAGCUUGCAUGCGAUCUGGAGUAUAUGCCAUGGUUUAGGAUUCAUGGUAAGUCAUAUUUGUACAGAGAAAAGGCGAGGCGUUGGAAUCACCAUAUGAGUAGGUCAUGAUGCCCCCUUUAAAUCCAAAAGCUAGCGAGGCGGAUCCAUCAUUAGCGCCCACGCAAGAACCGACACCAAUGAAUGCACAACCGAUGCCCACACCACCCACCGGUCAAUAUGUACCGUCUUAUUCUAGUACGUAUUCUAACCUUAUUAUCUUCACACAAGCACCACAUAUUGCACCACAUUUUUCUGCUUCCAGUCCUAUGUCAGGUUGGAGUGUAAUACAUCUGUCCCCGAUGUAUUACAUGGCUAUGCCAUCAACACCUCCGACAAUGAUGAUGUCGAAGAUGAUGUAUAGGCCAUCUAUGUUUCAAGCACCGAUGGAAAGUCCAUUCGUUAUCCCAUCGGUUUAUGCAACUCAACAUAGUUAUACUCAUUCGUCGUUUGUGACGCAAACAUCUCCGGGAUCUUUGUUCUACCAAGCUGGGUCAUCUUUCUAACCACCUAGUCCUAGACUGGAGGAUACACGAUGGCAACCGAUAAUGCAAGGGUCACAAUCGAUCGAAGGUGAGAAAGAAGAGCUACUGAGACCACAACCCUAACGACCACAACAUCAUCCAAAGGCUGAACUAAGAAGGAAUCUAGUGUGCAACCGUCGACCACCCCGAUGUGGCACAAAUUUUGGCUGGCAUCUGGACCGAUUAAUUUUAUCGUUAUAUCAAACGCUUAUAUUUUUUUGAUGAUUUUUAUUAUUAUGUUUUUAGAGGAAUAUUGUUAUCAUUUAACAAAAUUGAAGUUGUAAUUUGUUACCAUUUCACAAAAUGAAAGUUGAUAUUUAUUAUCAUUUCACAGAACCACGCGUUUACAUAUUACAAUGGAAUUGAUAUUUGUUUUCUAGUUUGCAUCUUUCUCGGUUGGUUUGACCUGUCUCGAAUAUCCACGUUGUCGCGUAUUUGAGUCGACGUCGGUCGACCUUUUGGUUUGCAGCAGAAUAACCUAUCGUGUAAUAACUUAAACGGAGUGCUCGAUAUAGGCGGCUACAUACGAUUAGUGAAAAUACGAAUAUUUUAAAUAUUGAAUUCAAUAAUUACAAUUAUUAUGUUAAAAAAUUAAUCAAUUUAAAAUUUAAAACUCUAACUUUAAAAUCCUAACCCUAAACUCUAACACACCAAAAACCCUAACAACUCUGAUAUAACACGGGGAAAAAUGCUUCCAGUUGGAAGCGUUUUCCCUAAAUCUGCCUAUACUCGUAAAAUAUUCUAAAAAUCGUCCUAUUCUAGUAAUUUUGAAAAAAAGAAGAAGGUAUUUUUUGGUAAUUUAAUCUGGAAUAUAUAUUAGAUUGAUUCAAGAAAGAACUGUUUUCUAUAUUACCCGCGCAUAUUCUGAGAUCCACUAUAUCUACUUGAUUUAUUUGAAAUAUAUCAAAAAUUUUAUUAUUUUGAAUUAAGGGUGAAUAAAAUUCGAUUCAAUUCAAAACAAUCGACAAAAAUUGAAUUUCAAGUUAUUCGCUUUUUUCAAUUAAACUCAAAUAAGUUAUUCAAGUUUCAAGUUCAAGUUGAGUUGAAUUUUAUAAUUCGAAUAAUAGAUUGGUGUAAAUACCCCUUUGGUCUUGUUAAUUUUGAAAAUGAGCAAAUUAGUCUCUCUCUCAAUAAAAAUUCUAAAAUAAUUCAAAAUAAUUUUAAAAAAUUUAAAAUAUUUAUAAAAAUCCCAAAAUUUAUAUAUAUAUUAAAAAAAUUAUAAACAUUUAAAAAAAUCUAACGAAUAUAUAAAGAAAGUUAAAAAGUUUCUAAAAUAAUAAUUUUGAAACUUAAAUAAGUUAAUUAGUGAUGCAAGCUUGUCAUAUUAAUUUUUUUUUUCUUAUUUUGCUUUGAAAAUUUUUUCAAAUAUUUAUGUGCUCUAACAUGGAAUUAGUUAUACUAUAACAAGAUUUUAAUUUGACAUGUUUAAUUUCUUAAUUUAACUUGAAUAAUUUCAUUUGAUUCGGUGCGACUUGAAUUUCAUUUCACUCAACUCGAUUCGAAAAUUUUCAAAUCGAGUUAGGAUGAUAGAAUAGGACUCGUCAGCUCGAUUAACUCAAAAUUUUUUUCACUCGAUUCGAUCUAACACUCACCCCUAUUUUGAAUAGCAAACAUAUUACCAUUUAUGCAGAAAAAAAAAUCAAACAAAAAAUUUAGGGUAAAUUACAUCAUUAGUCACUAAACUAUGGGUAAUGUUUUUGUUUUGGUCACUUAACUAAAAAAGUUACAAUUUGGUCAUUAAACUAUUCAAAAGUUUUCAUUUAAGUCACUUUACUAUUAAAAUCGAUGCUAUAUGGCUUUCUCUGUUUUUAUUGCUUGCACCAAUGGAAAGCUCUCUUUUUCCAUUAUCUUCUAUAAUUUAAUUUUUUUCUUCACAAAAUAACUUUGGACGUCACAAAUUUAUGAAUCGAAAAUCUAACAGCUUUUUUCUUUAAUCUCCGACACUGACCAUCAUAUCGACUUGGACCUAAAGUAUGUUAUUGUACUAGCCAAUGGAUAAUGAUCCACCAUUGGACCGUUGAAUCAUCGCUUGGAGCUCGGCGGCAAAACUUUUUUUUAAAAAAAUAAACAUAGUAGCCCAGUGUCUUAGAUAAAAGCUUUUGAACAAUUCAAUGACUUGAAUGAAGCUUUCAAAUAGUUCACUAGCCAAAUCAUAACUUUUUUUAGUUAAAUGACCUAAACGGAAAUUGACCCAUAGUUUAGUGACUAAUAGGUAGUUUACCCAAAAAUUUAAACACAAACAAAUAUUUUAUUAUCUAUUAUUUGUACUUCUUAUAAAUAAAAAUAUUUUUGAAAAUAAUAAAUAAUUAAAUAUUUUUUGUUUGUAUCAAAAUUAUUCGUUGAUUUUUUUUUCACACAAUUGUAGUAUGUUUUUUUUUCAAAAUUUGGAAAUGAUAAAUAAUAAAAUAUAUUUUUCAAAAUUCUACUGUACUUUUGUAGUAAUCUAAAAUCAUAUAUAAAACAAGUAAUCUAAAAUUUGCUUAAAGAAAUUCCCGGCCCACUCUCAUCUAUACUCCCACAUCCCCGCCGCCACCACCACUCUGUCACAGCCCCCCCCUCCUCCUGUCCCUGACCUAAGCCCCUUCUUUACCUUCAAGUUUCCGACAGACCAGUAAAUUAGAUAAAAGGUAAUUUUUGAAACCCUAAAUUUAACUUGAACAUUUCUUUCUACUUGACUCAUGAGAGAGAUUUUGAGUUAUCUGCUCUCAUCACUCUGCUAUAUUUGAAUUUUCUGGUUUCGAUCCUACUGUUUGUUACUCUCCUCUCUCUGUUUACUUUGUUGAGAAAUAGAAUUUUUUUUUGAAAGGUAUCGGUUUUGUGGAAAUGGCUGACCUUUAUCGCCGUUGUUUUCUGUUUUUUUUCAUUGCUAUUUGUGUCCGCGAUUCGUUGCUAUUGAUGUGAAUUGAGGAGGUCUUUUGGUGGCGGCGGAUUUUGCUGCUACCGCGAGAUAGCAGUUUAUAGAAUGUUGUUUUGGUUUUAGAACCUGGUUAUUUGAUUAUUAGAUUGGGAUUUGAUUUUUUUUGUCAGUUUAAAUUGAACCAAGAUGGUUAAGAAAAGAGUUUUAUGAUUGUUGUUUUAGUUUAGAACAAGUUGUUGAAAUAUCAGCUGUAAUUUUAGUUAUUAGGUUAGGUUAGGAUUGGAUUGAGAUCAUCUUGUUUCCUAAAAUAGUAUUUCGAUGCUUUUGCUGAAAGUUUCAUUUGAAUAUUUAAUACUAUUGAAUGAGAAAUAGUUGGAAAUAGAUUUUUGUUCUGGUUUUAGAACAAAUUGGGAAAAUUUCUGCCCUAAAUCUGGUUAUGAGGGAGAUCAUCUUGUUUACUAAAAUAUUUUGAAAUUUUCAGUAUGCUAUUGCUGAAAGUUUUAUUAACAUGAUUGUCAAAAAUUUCUUUAAGUUUUGUUUGAACUUUUAACAGAAUUGACUGAAAGAUGAGUGCUGGUGGUUUAAAGAAAAUGUUGGCUUCGGCCGUCGUAGUAGGGGUCACUGAAGCUCGAGCAAGAAUAUUUGGACAGAUACUCAACCCAACGGGACAGAGAUCACCCCAUAAGCUCUUACGCAAAAAGCUCAUCGGGGACAAGGUUGCAGAAUGGUACCCAUAUGACAUCAAGAACGAUGAUCCGCAUGUCAUGGCGCGUGAAGAAGAAGAGCGCUUAUCGAAGCUUGAAUCGUUGAAGAGACGUGGUAAGGGACCACCGAAGAAAGGCCAAGGAAGACGUGCCGCUAAACGCAACAAGUAGAGGUAAUCAAUCGGUUAAUCACAUGAGAUGGUUUUUGUUUUGACUUCAUAAAUGGCUGUUUCUUUAAUGCAGUUAGCCAUCUUGUUGGACAGUUUGUUGGCAUAUGUUAGAAUUAAAAUCAAACCGAAUAUAUUUGAUUGUUUACUUGAACCAAAAUUAAAUUGAACUUAACAAACACCUAACUGAAUACUAUGGUUUAAAUUUGAUUAUGGUAUUUUUGCUGUGCCCUAGUUUGGAUUGGAUUUCGAAUAGAUGAAAUGGUUGAGAUGGAGGGAUGAAUUUCUUUAAUCUGUUUGAUUAGCUAUAGACUCGAUAUGAUUAGACGUAUACAAAAUGGAUACACAGGUCGUGAAGUUUAACCGAGUAAUAAGAGACUAGUGCUUAAUCAGCACUCUGUUUGAACCUUUCCACUUUCACUCCGAAAUGAAAUUAAAAUUAAAACUUUCUUUUUCUCUUGUCAAGUUCUUUUAAUGUACUUGUAGAUUUUUCUUCAUAUUCAACUGUGUUGGAUUGAAAGUGUACAAGUGUUGGAUACUAAUAUGUAAAAAAUGAAAAUUUGACGUAACAUAAUUUGAAAUUAGACUUUGUUUAGGGUUGGGUUGCGUUAUCCCUUGCUUUGAAAUUUGAAAGAUUUGACAGUUCAAAAAAUAGAUCGUCCAUAUUAUUUAUUUAAGCCUAGUCUUUGGUAAAAGUUUUCUAAGUCCAGGCAUGAUCUAAAGUUUUGAAAUUUAUGUAAAGGUUUUAGGAUUAAAGAUUUCAGUAGGCAAAAAUAUAUUAAUAUCCAUAUACCCUUGAGCUUGGCUCAAUUGACAUCAAUGAAUAAGAAAAAUCAACACUUCAGAUGUUAUGAAGCUACUAUAUUGAUCAUUAUUAUCCUAGUUUUUGGAUUUUGAGUUUAACUUGAAAAGGAAUGACGUUUUGCUUUGCCGCCGUUAUUGUCUGAAAGUUUAGAUCUUUAACCACAUAUAAGUUCGUCAAUGCAGCUUUUCUAUUUUGGUUAGCAAAUCGAAUGCCUUUAAAUUUGAACGUCUCGGAUGAAGAAAACCAGAAUAUUUGUAAUUUGAGAAGGUGAAGAAAACUUGGUAUCAUUUCAUGGGGAAUCCAAUGUAAAAAUCUCUCUGGUUAAAAAAUUAAAAGAAGCGACGUCAAAAUUAACCUUUAUUUCAAAAUAUAUGCAAUAAGUUUAUUAAAAAUCAAAUUUCAUAACAUUUUAAACACAAUUAUAAGCUAAUAAAAUACAACAAUCCAUUAUGAAAAUAAAUUUAUUUUUUAAGUUCAUUGAAAAUGCCAGCCUAUGCAAUUUUUUUUUCUCAAUUUCAUUUUCUUUCUACUCUUAAAUAUGAUUAUAAAUUUGUAACCAUGAAUGAUAAAAACAGCAUGAAAUCAUGAUUUAUUUGGGGUUACAGUUUCAUGUCAACUAAAUUAGGUUAAUCUCCUCUUCGACCCUGCAAAUUCACAUUGGAUCAGUAAAGAUGGAAAUCUACUUUAAUUUUCAAACCAACGGCGAUCAUCAACCAAACCAAUAGUACAAACCUUGUUCAGGUCUCAGACUUGUUCCAUAAUUAAUUUUCACAUUAACAUUUAUAUUUUUAAAAAUUAAAUAUUUUUUAUUGAUUAAAUAGCAAUCUGAAUUGAGCCAAACCAGAUUACAAAAAUCUCAUUCAGAAGCAACCAAAGUCGGACUGAAUAACCCAAGGGCAGUGCUUGACUGCUUUCCAGACCCCAAUCAAUUUAUAAAAUUUGUUGUACUUCUCUAGACAGCAAGCUGGUUAUCGCUUUCAAUUCAUUUAUAUGAGUCACUAAUAGAAUUAACUUCACUAAUUUGCUUUAACUUGAAUUAUUUUUUUUCUUAUAAACUAUCCAAUAAUUUCAGUGACUAUAAGAAAUCUUAAAGACAAGAACGCAAUGCUUAGAUUCUAUGUGAAGAAAUCUUUAAGACAAGAGCCGCCACAUAAUCUCAUCUUGUUUUUCUUCCUUAAUAUGCGCUUUGGCAGGAAAUUAUAAUCAAAGAAUUGACACCUGCUACGAGCAUCCUCAUGUAUGAAAUGAAUAAAUAAACAAAUAAACAAAUAUUUAUAUAUAUUCAUCUCAUAAAGGAGUUAGGGAAGAAGAGUCUCACUUGGUUUCACUGGUUCUGAUGAGUUUCUUCUUGGCUUUUUGCUUUGCCUCGCAGCAUGUCAGUGACCCUCAUGAUGCGCAUGAAUCUAGUAUCCUCUGGUGCAAGUCCAUGUGCGGAUGAUGCCCCAGCUCUUGGAGAUCCAACCGGAGACGUUGGUGCAGUGCUUUCUUUCUUGCCUAGCAGCCCACCCUCACCAAAGAUACUAGUCAUUGAUGAUGGAAUCCCGAUGUGAGCUCCCAUAACCUUACUCAAAGCGUCAAAAGUUCCACCGGAUCUUUCUUUCAGAAUUAUUUCGAGGGCCUCUUUGUGUGCAGGAUCUAGUGUAUCGGGGUCUCUUAAUAAGUUUUGAAUUGAAGGAAGAAGGAAAUCACGAAUGCUAUUUGCAGAAAUAUCUGCAACAAAAAUGAUAAUAAGUACUAAAAUACAUCACAAACAGAAACCAUAGUUCGAUGUGAAAACACAAAAAUGGAGCAUUUGGGAGGAAACCAUAAAUAAACUAUUGCAAAUUAAUAGCAGCAACGUUUUAUGUUUCCGAAAUGUUGUAGAAUAAAGAAGCUUGGCAAUCUGUUAAAAGAUCAAAGAAUUCUUGUCAUAUAAAUGAUGAGACUUCUAUCCAAGUUCAAAAAAUUUUAGCAAUUAAUAACUCCUAGACACCUUUCUUUCAAUCUUGAGUUCACUAAUUUCUAGCAGGAAGGGUGGUCUGGUAGACGGCAGUUCACACCCUGUUCCUCCUAUGCCAUCCUUUCAGAAGGCAGGAAGACAAAAACGGACUCUGCCAACACACCACAUGGCUCUGACAGUGAUAAAAGUUGACUGCCGGCUAGUAUUGAUAAAAUUUGAUGCAACUAGACACGAAAGCAUGGCUAUAAGAAAGUGAUUCCAUAGUAAUAAUAAUAAUUUCUUCCUAAAGGAAACUUGGAAAAAAUGAUAAAAUUGUAAUCUAUACUAUUAUUAAACCCCUGAUUGAGUUAAGUGACACCAAACUCGAUCAGCUAAAGUACUAUAAUAUCAAAAAAAAUAAAAUAAAAAUAAAAUGAAAAUGGCAAUUUCAUUGUAUUAAAAAAGAAAAAAGAAAAAAGAAAAAACCUUAUCACGUUCAACCACUACUCACCUGACUAUUUUAUUUUAUCCAAAAAUCCAUAUAAAUAACUACUUAUUCAAAAUUUACUUUUAUAGUUUUAAAUUAAAUUUUUUUUUGAAAUGUUUAAAUUUAAUGUUUUAAAAGAUAAUAAAAGUAACAACUCAUUAAAAAAUAAGAAAAAAUUGCUCUCUUUUUCUCAAAUACUUUCUUUAAAAUCAAUAACUGUGUAUUUUUUUAUUACCUUAUCAAAUAAUCAUUAAAUUUUCAAAAGAACAAAUAACUAAAAUUUUAAUUUUCUUUUGCCCCCAUAGAAGGGCAUGCCAACAAACAAUGCAUGACGUUUAUGGCUUUAGGGGCGGAUCUCUUAUCCUUCCUCAAUGCUUAGGAAUGAAACUUGACUAGCAAGUGGACUUUUUACUCUUUUAUCUUUUUCUCUGAGAAGGCAAAAUAUUGGAGAACAGAGAAGGGAGAGAAAUGAUGGCGUAGCCACUUAGAGAAGCAAACCUGUCGCAUCCACAGCACAUAUGGCUUCACAAAACACAUUAGCUCUCUCUCGGCGAGACAUCCCAUCAGUUGCAAAAGCAGGCAUGCUUGUCAGUUGGAAAAUCUUAGUUAAAAAAUGUAAAUCAUGUUAAGUAAACAAUGAUUUUGAAGAACGACUGGAUAGUGGCAAGCACUAAAAUGGCUAAACCACAAUGCACAGCUCAAUAAUGAAGUCCUAAAAAUUGUUUUUCACAUGAAAGUCAAGGAUAUAAUCCCUAAAUCUCUCUGUUGUAUGUGGAAGUGCUACCACUAAUGAACGGACCACGGCCAUGGUUGUUUCAUGAGAACCAUCUUCGAGAAAAGCAUCCAUUUGAACACGUAUUUUAUCAACAAUCUGCACGUGCUAAGUUUGUAAGAACGGCAUCUAGAAACUGCAACAGCAUGAAUUAGAAUAAAAAAACUCUCCGUUACCAUGUCAUUUUUAAAAUGUUGUGCCACAGCCCCAAAAGCAUCUAUGCUUGCAUUCUUCACCUUCAGGUUUUGGUCUGAGCCAAGGGUAAUCAAGGCAGGCAGAACAUGUGUAGAGGCAACUUUUGCAUCAACGUAUGUUACCUGUUAAAAUGUAUAAAUAUCUUAUUGUCGGGUGUAGCAAGAUAAAUUUUGUUUCAAAGGAAAGAGAACAUACAAUGACUUUCAGUAUAUUGGCAGCACCAAUCUUCAAUUCUAUAUUUGAGCUAACAACCAUUUCCCACAAGAUAUCAAAUAUCAAGCUAUGAUGUUCUUCGAAUGUACUGCAUUAUUAAAGUAGAUUCUAUGUGAAUAUUCAGAAAUAAAUAACAAAUGGUUAGGACUGAAGUUUUUAAUUACAAACCAAAGGAAGCGGACAGCAUUAACAAUAUCAUUGUUGUGUGUUAUAGACUGAUUCUCUUUCGUGGCACCUUCAACUAAUAGCUUUCUCAAGUAGUCUGCUAACUGUUCACGCUUACCAGGAGAUCCAAGAACACCCGCUAAGAGAAGUGGCAGGAUACCUAGAACAGCAAGUCUCUCAGCCACAGCUGUUCUCGGUUUUAGACCUGCAACCAAGCAACAAUCACGGAACAUGCAACAAUAGAAAUUUAACAAGAUUCUAAGAGCCAAUACCUCUGAUUCUUGAGUGAAUGUUGGGAGGGAAAAAUGUGAAAUCAGCAGCAUCCCCAACUGCUACCAAGAAUACAGGCAUCAUUAUGUGUGUCGAAUAAGAUUCCCCAAAAAGUUCAGAAACAGCCAACAAAAACUGCAAUGUCAGGAUGCAGAUUGGAAACAAGAAAAACAGCAUUAUUUCAAUAGAACAAGCAUGAAGCAAGCAGAAAACCCCAUUAAAUGCAAUAUUGAAAAAUUACCUUUGAAGUUCGGUUUCUUAAACUAUCCUCUUUCUGGGGUAAUAAGCAAGACAACUGUAUCAAACCAGAAAAGCACUCCACAUGCAUCCAUUCAAAUGCAGGCCACUCGAAAUGUCCCCUAGUAGAAUAUAUAAUCAAUCAAAAUCAUUUCAGCUAACAACUAAGUUACAAAAGUUAUCCAUACACUAUAUCAUCAGUCUGGAAAAAAGAAAAGGAAAAACUUACCCUGCAUACAAUUCAAGUACCGAACUGGAAAAUAUUGGCCCAUUUGACUCCGAAACAGAGGAAAAUGGGCAUGUCUCAAUUGCUUUCUGAUGCACAUGAGGAAGCAAAUCAGCCAAAAUUCUUAACAAAAUAUCAAGAUUCCAGCGCUCUUGUUCACCUAAAACACGCAGGUGGGACUCCACUGACCCUUCAACUCCAGCAAGAGGUGGACAAUGCUGAAAAUAUUGAGGGAGUAACAGUAAGAGGGGAAUGCAUUGCAAAAUGGAAAAGUGGUAGUACCUACCAGCAAAUGAUAAAAUCCAAGGGCAAAAAGUUACCUCGGCAGAGUCCAAGAUAUGAGAGAUUAGAACUCUCAAAAUAUGGUCUAACUUGUUUCCCCAAUUUAUUAGUGCAGGUAGUAGUUCUUUUAGUGUAGUUUCAACCACCACUCCAGAUGGAUCACAGGCCAAUUGGAACAUCAACUCCUCAACCUGUCAAUAUACAAAUAAGGCGGUGGAGAAUGUUUUAUGUGUUUUCUUAUUAUACUUUCUAUAUUUUUUUUUUCAAGUCAUGAUAUUAUAUUAUGCUAAGCGCAAAAGGCUCUCCAGUCCCUAGACCAUGGGUCAUCAACCUGUUCUAGAGCUCACAUUGUAGCCAAUUCUGUCAAGUCAGAAAUCUUCUCCAUGAUUGCCUUGAAGCAUAUUUAGUGGGGCUGACCUUGAAAUAUUUAUCCAUAUGCGGAAAGAGUGGGAGUAGUAAGGCCAGGUUGUGCGCAGCAGCUUCUCGAACAACAGUUGCAGGAUCUUCAAUCAAUUGUUGUACAAUAGAUAAAAUAAGAGAAUCACGAAUCUCAGGUCUGACAAAUUCAGCAAGCUCCCCACAUGAUUGAGCAACAAGCAACCUGCGCUCCUCAUACAUGUGAUUUAUCUGCAUUCAAAAGAAAAUGGAAUCAGGCCACUACAAAUAUAACCGACAAAGCAAAAUAAGCAGCACAGAAGCUCACUUGUUCCCAGCACUGGGGGAGUAGUUCUAUUUCUGUUCUCAUCUCCCCAACAUUUUUAGCUAGGCUAACACAUGCCUGAAAUGAAGUUUAAAAGAUUUAGCACAGUAUCCAAACUUGUAGCUAUUGGGUACUCAAUGGAAUUCUCUGAAAAGCAACAUACAUCCAUUAUAAUUCGUCUCUGCUGUUCAUCUGGACGUUUAAUCAAAUUGAACAGUGUGUGUGUCAAAGAAUCUCGGGUGGCAUUAUCUGGAUGCCGCUCAAUAGCACACAUUAUCAGUGGAAGAAGCUCCUAAAGUUAAAUAAAUUAGUACGGAAUCAAAAAAAUUUAUAAGGAUCAUAAAGAAGAUAAUGUCCAAGUAAAAACUAGUAGUCAGAGAGUCAACCUCCCGAUGGUUGAUCAAAACAUAAGGAACAAUCUUAGGCAAAGCAUCUGCUAGUAUUUGAAUGGUCCCCAAACCCUGUUACAAUGAAAAAGUCUGCAUCAGACAUUAUAAAUGUGCUUGAAUUUCUAUGAAGAGAACCUGUAGCAAAUAUUGACAAUAUAUUCUUUUUUAGGUGGGGAAACAAGAAGUACUUAACUAAUCAUAUUUUUUUUUAAAGAAAUGUAUCCUGUAACAUUAUUGAUAUAACACGCAUAUAAUAUAUAGCAAGCAAUGUAUUAAAAAGAAUCUCAAUUUUUAUCAUUUCAUAAACAAAUGUACAAAGAAACAAAAUAAAUCAAGUAUGAUCUUACUUUUUUUAUGGAAAAUAUUCGAUCUUACUUAAAAUUGAAAGAUGAUCUUCUUUUAGAAAAAUAAAAAUAAAUCAAUUAUAACUUCUUCUUUUUUCAUUAAAAUGAGGAAUAUUUGACAUCAAAAGAAUAUAAUGAAGUUGAAAUUUUGAGAUUAGAAAUAGGGUGUUUUCUGGAGUUCUACAAAGUGGUCCCAGUUUGAUUUCUGCAUUGAAGAAAUAAAGCAUGAUAGCAGGAGAGCUAAAAGUGGAGAGAUAUAUGGACGGGAGAAGUUAGGCUAAAAAGAAAGAUAAAACACGUUUGCUACUAGGUCAGAGACUUGAAAUAUUAUUGAAGAAAUUAUAAAGUUAAUUUGGUUUUCAUUAAAUUUACGAGAUUUUAAUUUCUUGAUUUUAAGGGUUUGUAAGUAAAGAUUGAUUGGUACAAUAAAUAGAUAAACUGAUAUGUAAUUUUAACAGUUCAACCAGCCAUAAAACACGAUGGAUAAAUUUAGGUUAUCCGGGGGGGGGGGGGAUGCAACACCUACUCGAGCUCCUAUUAUUAUCCACACCCCUGACAGGAAGCACAAGGGGAAAGCAAACAAAGGACAGUAGCCACAAGGGUCGUGGAUGAGGAGUGGAGCUAAGGCUUUCAAAUAUAUCAGUUUAUGCUGUUAGUUAUCGAAACCCCAGAUACCACCCUUGAAUAUAAUAUCAUAAAGCAAAAAUAAAAACUUGCCAUAUUAUCUGGAGCAGGCCCACUGCUAGGAGUUUCCGAUUUGGAAUGCAGCCUACUAUCUUCUGAUGGUGGUUUCUCAUUUUGUUGGGAUAAGGUUCUACUAGAUGGGAAACCAUCAGCAGUGCUUGAAGGAUUCAUAGCUGGUUCUGCCAAAUUAUCUUCAGGCUUGUGAGUGCUGUUGUCAAAUGCUUGAACUGACGCAGACAGUGAGUUGCUGUCUAUAGGUCCUGCUGCCUCAACGGGAUGCGAGAUAAGAGUUUUAUUCUCAUCCACCUCAACGACUUUCUCUUCAGUAUAUGUUGAUUCUUUCUCAGCACAGUUCGAAUCACUUAAAUCCGGAUUAUCUCUUUUCUCAGACUUUAAUCUUUCAAUUUCCUUCUGCAAAGACACUAUUUCUUCCUUGUAAUUUUCUAAGGCCUGGGGUUGAGCAGAGUCAACACUACUAGUCACCGGAUUUUGUACAGAAGAAGAUCCUUCAAUGUGCAUUUUCGGGGAAGUGAUUUCAGCCCUGCAAUCAUUUAGCUCCUUCCUUUGAUGCUCCCAGGCAUGCUUCACAUCUUGUAUCUGAAGAAGUAUGAAAUCAGUGCUUCAGAUUUUGUAGCAUCAUCAAGGACCUGCUCUUAAAGCAAUCAAGCUAAAAGAGAACUACCAGAUUUUCCUUGUCCUUCAGAUCCUUCUGAGUGGCUGCCAAAGAUUUUGUCAAUGCAUUUAUCUGACCUUCAGCCAAAUCUUUGUUUUUCAUCAAAAGCUCUUUCUCAUAAUUUAAGCUCUCAAUUGCUUUUUGUAAUGACUCAUUUUCUCGAAUCAUAGAAAUUUUCUCCUGCAAUGGAAUAAACAUUACUGUUUUCAAUGAUAAGAAAUUCGCUGUAAGUAGAAAGAUCUACACAAAGCACAUGUAACAGCAGAAAUUGUUGAAAGACUGAUCCUUCAUUAAUCAUAACAGACCAUCUUAAAAGCCGAAGAGACAUUAAGUCAAGCAACUUGUAUCUAAGAAGCAUCCAUGAUGACAAGCAAUGCCAUUGCCAACCACAUCCAAAAGUAAAAGAAAAGGGCUGGUGGGGUGAGAUUUUAGUUCAAGGAUCAGUUCUUAUAUAAGUUCUUUAUAUCAGACUGAUAUCUAUAGAUCAUAAAUAUUUUCCCAAUAAAAUAAUUCCAUAAACAUAAUAUUGCAAGCAACAAUUUCGUUAACCAAUUAGUUUGUAAUGAAUAUUGCAACUGGCAGUUUAAGUUCAUUAUAUUGCGCUCACCCAUGGAUUUUAUAUGUACAAACACAACACAAUAAAUGCACAAAAGAAAGCAGGUGACAGUAAUGAUACUGUUCCUCAUGAAGCAAAGUCAAUAAUAAAGGACAAUAGCUAGAACAUUCCAACAUGAAAAUAUUCAGUAUGAUUCAGUAUGAAUGGUAAGAAACAGCUUGCCUACCUCAGCAGCUUCCGAACUUGAAGACAGGUACUGAUAAUAGUAAUGGCGCAAGGCAUCAGGCACAGAUGCUGGUGAGUUUGCCCAAACAUCUAGGUUCUGAUCUGUAACCUGAGAUUAAACAACAAAUUAGCUGUGAAAUAUGCACAUUCACCAGCUUAGGCAGCUGCUUCAUACCCCUUCAGGGCGCCUCAAAAUGUAUUUGUGCAACAGAAAGAUAAAGAUAUACCACAAAGAAAAUAUGAAAUCAGAUUCUAUGAACUCUAUAAAUCAUUAAAGCUUGCCUCCCAGCAAGAAAAUCAGGAAAGAAGAUAACUUGGGUUCUAACAUCAAAUGCUAAUAACUCCCAGUCAGGCUUUUCUAUUUUUCAAACUAACUUCAUGUUCAAAAAAUAUAGACCUUGAUGUUGUGGGGCAAGAACUUCUCUCUUCUUGCAGUUCCCAAACAAUAAUUCAAAAUUUCCACAAUUUUCAGUUUAUUGCGUUUUGCAUCAAGCUUUCAGCAUAGGACGAUCAGCCCUUGCAGCUACAUAGGUCCUUUAAUGCUAGCUAGUGCAGAUUUACAGAAUAAAAAAGCAGUAACAAGACGAAAGCACUACCGAAUGUUACAGAUACCUCUUCACAAAAUGUCAUUGCAGUUAAUCGAUAUCCACCUAUCAGCAAAUAUUCCUUUACUGCACAAUUCAGAUCUUUACGUUCAUUAGCCUUCAAUGGGCCUAAAGUAGAGAAGGGAACAUCUCUCUUGUGCCGAUGGACUUCCAGAGCAUGAUUUAUGUUAUUGCUCACACUUGAUUCUACAUUUGCAUAUAACAUAAAAACAAAUUCACACAUGCCAGAAAAAUGAUGGCUAACUACUGAUUAAAAGCAUUUUAAAAAAAUCCUACAAUUCCCAUAAUUUAUACAAGUGAUCCUACAAAAAACCCACCAAUUAUGCAAAACAGUUGCCAAAUAAAAGCAACUGCGGCAGAAAUAUGGGUGUCAAUUCCUGAAAAAUAGUAUGAAUAUCUAGCAUGACACGCAGAAAAUAAUAUUUCAUUCUAAGCAUAGUCAUGCAGGGUGGCCAACCUCAUGGGAUGUGAAAAGAAAAAAAGAAAAAUUUCCUCAGUGUUUACCUUUACUGCAAGAACCUCACCAAUAGUGAACCUAUAUAACCAGGUAGCAGUCUUGACCAUUUUGGUGCUUCUAAUGAUUCUUAGAGUCAUAAAUAGAGAUUCUUUCAAUCGAACAGCAUGCUAAAAAAUGUGUCAUACAAAGAGAUCAAAUUUUCUCUUAAAAUAUCAUUUACAAAAAAGAAGAAGAAGAAGAGUUUAGUUGAUUCUUUUGCUAUUUGUUCCAUUUUUUCUUUUCUGUAAAAAGAAAACAAAAAGAAAAAUGAACAGAAAACAAGAGACAAAUAGCAAAAGUUCAACCAAACAGAGCUCAAGUGUAUCCAUUCAAAUAUCAAAUAAAUAAAAAAAUUUACCACUCAAUCUAUCCCGACGGAGAUCUACUUUCCUUUGUAACUCGGUCUUCAGUUUCAUAACAUCUUCUUGAGCUAAGCGCAAUUCAUAGUCACUAAGUGCUAAUUUUUCUUCUAUUGCUUCUUUCUCUUCUAGCAAACUUUGAGGGUCUACAACUGAAUUUCAAGAACUAUAUAUUAGAUGAAACCAUCAGUAAGGUUCACUUAUUCCAGAUCUAAAUUGAAAAUGGACUUUUGCUCUAAGGCUUAGAGCAUUGAUAAAGGGUAGAAACAUGCAACACCAGCAACCAACGCAUUAUUUCUUUAAGCAGAGACCUUAUCUCACACUCUAAGCACCCCAACCCCCAAACUAUCAGAGUUGCAAUCUAAUUUCUGUAUUUGAUUGCUUAAUUUGAUUUCCAUGUCAAUUGGAAUUAAGAGCCAUUUCCUUUUCUCCUAUCUUGGAUGGAGUUUUCAUAAUUUACUAUUUUCUGCCUGUACUUCCAAUAUCACCGGAACCAAUAAAUUCAUUUGGUAAUCAUAAUAGUUUACAUAAAAUGCUACUUUCUGGUUGUAAUUCCAACAUUACUGGAACCUCAAGCUCAUGCAGUAAUCAUAAUCACUAAUUAAGUAGCUACAUCUUCAGCAUAAGAAUUCUUUGAUAUAUAGAACAUGUAUUGCCUAAAAUGACAGUAAAUGCCUUGACAAAUGAAUGCAAUACAAUACACGUAUGCUGUGAGAGGAACCAUUUCAUAUGUAAAAGAAAACAUUUCAAUACCAAGCAGAACCUUGAUUUCUUUACCUUCUCUCAACUGCCAAGAGAAAAAAUUUAAAUUUCUUUGCCUCAUAAAUUUAACUUCCAUUAGUUAUUAAUUGUAUUACCUUUUACUUCCUAAGAAGAUUAUAUAACUAGUUUAAAGAGUAACUAAAUACUACACUAAUUUCAAUGUAAUUACUCUAUUAUAAAAAUAAAAUCAUAAGUUUCAUUCUUCCAAAAACGAUGAUUUUUUUUUUUACUCAUCUUUUGUUGAUAUCCAAUCAGGAUCGAGAUUUUGGUGAGCUUAGUUCAUAUACAGUCUCUCUCUUACCCUUAGCCUACCUAACGUCCUUCCUAACACUCUCCUAACGUUACAUUUCCUAAUUUCCUUCUUAUAGCUUUUCUACCCUUACCCAGAGCCGCCCCAGAACCUGCAUUUAGCACCGUCACCUUGACACCUGGCAUCAACAAUUUUUAUAAGGUUCCAUUCCGUUAUUACUCUUACAAAACACUGCUGGAAUCAGAUUUUCUCUACAUGUUGAUCUAACAAUAAGUAACACUAAAAACAUAGUUCAUAUUUAAACCAAAAAAAAAAAUCAAAAGAAAUAAAUUUAUACGUCUAAGUCAUUCCCGAUUCCAUACUUGAAAAAGAAAAAGGAAUUAAAGAAACACAAAAGUACCUCCAAGAGAGCUGUAGCGAGAGAUCUGAUCAACAGGAAAAUGAGAAGGAUCGGCGAAGAAUUCCUUUAGACGCAUAGCUUGAGCGUCACGACCAUCGUCAAGAAGCUCGUGGAGCAAUUCGAAUGCCGUUAACAAGUAAUUUUCUUCGAGUAGAAAAUUCACAACGAAAUUGCACAGCGAUGAUCUCUCUACAUCCAUCAUCUAAGUCUGAUGCUUCCUUUACAUCAAUGAAUCAAUCAAUCUUCACCGUCUAUCAACAUCAGGAUACAACCAAGUUCUCGCGGAGUAACUCAAAUGCCGUUAGCAAGUAAUUUUCUUCGAGUAGAACAUUCACCACGCAAUUGCACAACAAUGAUCUCUCAACAUCGAUCACCUGAAUCUGAUCCUUCAUUUACAUCAAUCAAUCACCGCCGUUUAUCAACAUCAGGAUCGGAUCAAAUGCUUCUCCUAAAUCAAAAUCUCAAUUUUUUCUUUUGGUCUGUUCGCGUAAUGGUAGCACUUUGCAGAGCUCGUGAAUUUUGAAAGUUCGAUUGAGAUGGAAAGGAGGGGGUUGGUGUUUUGAUUCGGUGAGACCAGGAAUAUUAUUGUUUGAGGAUGGCAGCGGUCCUAUAUUUAUAAUUUCAGUAAUAUCCGAAUUUGAAUAUAUACUAUAUACCAUUACUUAAAUGUUUAAUUGAGUUAUUACUAAAACAAAUAUUAAUUCAAUUAAAAUAAUUAUUAAAAUGUUAUUAUAUUGGUAUUACGAGUGAAUUAAAUAUUAACCCGAUUAAAGAAAAAAAUUAUAAAUAUGAUGAGAUUUGCAGCUAUCUUGCUUGAAUUAAUGAAUCCUUAAAUUUAUUAAAUCACAUUUUAUUUUAAUGUUUUUAUACAUUAUAAUUUCAUUAUUACCUCCAUCAAUCUAUACUAUUAUUUAAGCCCCUAAUUUAGUUGAUACCACGAGUCAAUUGUCACCAACUCAGUUAAAGAAAUUACGAAAAUAUUCUUUUAUAUUUUAAAAUAAAUUAUAUUAUUAGAUAGUAUUUUAAUCUUUUUUAUUUUAAAAAAUUGAAUCUAUUUAGAUUUAUUUGGUUUUGAAAGGGAAAAUCCUUAAUUCAUUCCAAUGAAUGGAACCGUAUGAUUCAAGGAGAAAAACAAGUAUCCAUCGUAGUUGAUGAAGGACAAGCUCUAUCAACACAACAAAGGCGUCAGUCUCAACAUCAAUAGAAUAUUAUGUCACAACUUGAGCACAACAUAUCUGGAAUGACUGCAAGCACUUGAUACGAUAAGGAAAUCAACCCUAAAUAAUCCAAAGUGACGGGCAAAAAUUGGCAAAAGAACUGAGUAUCCAUCAAAUUGGAGAGGAUGGUGACGAAAACCAUCCCCGAAAUCACUUGCAAAAGCAAAACUAGAUGCAUAAGCAAGACUAAGAAACAUCCAAUAUGCAUGGGAGUAUAUGCAUAUAUAUAUAACUUAAGACAACAUGAGUCCAAACUAACUCUUAAAAUCAUUUAUUAUUCUAAAAUACUCUAAAAAUAGAAACACAUUAAGCAGUCGAUGAAGAGCCACCCACUUUCUAAUAACUAUUAAUGGCUGAAGAAGUUUUAGCGGCGACAAGCAUCAUCAUCUGUGCAUCACAACUUGUGAAGGUAACAAAUUUAUUCACAAAAUAGAUCUACAAACUGAGAAUGUACUUGGACUUAUACCACACUAUUUACAUCAAUAAAAUAUUAACUCUUCUAAGGGGAGAAUUUAAAAUUUUUUUAUGGGGCUAAAAUUGAACUAUAAAUUUUUGAGAUGUUAAAAUAUAAAUUUUAUCAUUUAUUAAUUUAUGAUUUUAUUAUUUUUAAAGGGACUAAAUAGAUUGUUUAUUUUUAUUUAUAGGGGCCAAAACUUAAUUUUAUCCUAUAUUAAUUUAUAAUUUGAUAGUCUUUAAGGGACUAGAAUUGAAAUUUUACAUUUGGGGGUGGGGCAGGACCCCUACAUUGUAUUUGCCCCUGAAUGCUACUACUAAACCAAAGCUUUAUUUUAAUAUAAUAUUUACAUUUUAAUUAUAUUAUGCAUACAUUACUACCUCCAUCAAUUUAUUUAAACCGUUGAUUAAGUUGGUGUCACGAGUCAAUUGAGUACCAACUUGGUUAAGAAAAUUAUGAAAAUAUGAUUUCAUAUGUAAAAUAAAUUAUAUUAUUUGAGGGUAUUUUAAUCUUUUUAUUUAAAAAACCAAUAAAAAAUUUGUAUCUGCUUGGAUUUGAACCCGUAUUAUUUGCAUCAAUAAAAUAAUAAUUCUAUCACUAAACCAAAACUUUAUUUCAAUAAAAUACUUACAUUUUAAUUGUAUUACUAUACUAUUAUUUAACUCUUGACUUAGUUGGUAUUAUGAAUCAACCGAGCACCAACUCAGUUAAGGAAUUACAAAAAUGUCAUUCCGUAUUCAUAAUAAAUUUAUUAUUUGAGAGCAUUUUAAUAUUUUUAUUUAAAAAAACUAAUAAAAAGUUUAUUGCAUUUGAACCUAUGUUAUUUACAUCAAUAAAAUAUUAACCCUAAUUACUAAACCAAAGUUUUAUUUCAAUAUAAUAGUUACAUUUUAAUUUUGUUAUACAUACAUUAUUACUUCCUUUAAUUGUAUAUCUAUAUUACGAUUUAAACCUUUCAUAAUUAAAAAGAUUAAAAAGAUUAAACUACUUUCGAUUAAUACAAUUUAUUUUAAAUAUAAAUCGACAUUUUAGUCUUUUCCUUAAUCGAAUUGUUACUCGGUUAACUCAUGACAUCAACUCAGUCAGGGGAUUAAAUAUAGUAUAGAUAUUAUUAAUUAGUUACAAGUUAUAUGUUUUAUUAUUUAUUGUAUGCUAUUUUUAAACUAACCUUCAUUUUAGAUAUGUAAUCUCUACGCACAAACACAUAUGAUCGAAUUUCUAAUUUAGUUAAUGUUUUUAAUUUUUUUAGAGAGACUAUAUGGUUUAUUAUUUGCAUAAAUUUUGAUUUUUUUCAUGAGGAAGAUUCAUUAUAUAAUUAAUAUUUUAACAAUUUAAUUAUUAUAUUUUAUUUUUUAUUUGACAUAAUAUUUUAACAAUUCAAUUAAUAUAUAUAUUUCAUAUUUUAUUAUUAAAAUCAAAGCUGAUAUUACUAAUCAAAGUACAGAGAAAGAAAAUCACUUAAAAUCCUAGUAUAGAGAGCGAUCGAGAACUAAUGGCUAUUCUCAUGAACUGCCCAAAAUAUACAAAUUGUGCAUUACAAAACUGUCGCAGGCAAGCCAUCCUUAUCUGGUUCAUCAGGUUGAAAUUGAUUCGAUUUAAUUAAAAAGAAUGCUAUUUGUAAUUGUAUUAUUAAAAUUAAAUUAAAUUGAUUUGAUUAAAAGUCAAUCGAAAUAUUAAUUUAUAAAAAAAGAUUGAAUUCGUCUCCAAGCAAAUCAUUUAAAAUUUUAAAAACGAAAACUAGGACAAAAAAUAACAAUUAAACUGAUUUAUAAGGCCAACAAUUAAACUAAUUAGACUAAAAAUUAGAUAUUUAAUUGAUUUAAUCACUAAUCCAAAUUUUAAAAUAUUGAUACUCGGUCAAAUAUUAUAAAAAAUAAUUUUAUAUGAAAUUUUAGUUGCAUGUAAAAUAGGCUGAAAGCCACAAUAAUUUUUCAAAAAAAAAAGGAAAAAAAAAGGAGUGGGUUUUUUUUUUGGUUACAAAAGAGGGCAACCCCCUGACUAAUGAAUGCGUUGGGGUUUUAUUUUAACGUAAAAGAGUCAUAGGUUUAGUGGUUUAGGUUUUUUAGUUCUUUUAUAUAUUUAUUUUUUAUAAAUUUUUAAUUCUUUUAUAUUUAAUAUAUUUUAAUUAUAUAGAUUUAGUACAUUAGAGCUAAAAUAGAUAAGAGAUUUAUCAAAAUUGAUUUGCUACUUCCAAGUAUCAAACGAAGAACUUGUCCCCAUAUCAGAUGCAUCCCCAAAUACUACACUACCAUCCGCAAAAAACAAAUGAGUGAUACAAGGACUUCCACGACAUACCUUACCACUAGUUAAUAAACCUUCACGUUUGACCAAGUGAAGCAGCAAAGAGAAGUCCUCCGUGCAAGGAAUAAAUACGGGCUCAAAGGAUCUACUUGUCGAAGUCCUGUCUUGGAACAAAUGCUUCACUAAUAUUACCAUUUAGAACCACUGAAUAUGACAUCGAGCUUAUACAGUGCAAAAGUAAAGAAACCCACUCCCUUCAAGAAAAUCUCACUCAGUCCGGUCGUAAACUUUAAUCAUAUCUAGCUUGAGAGUAAAGGACCACCAAAACAUUAUCCGAAAUUAAUCUUUAACGGACAAACGCCCCUUGAACCUCAUCAAUGCACUGCUUGAGAACCGUUUGAAGCCUAUUAGCAAUCACCUUGGAAGUUGUCUAGCUUAAUUACAUCUCUAGUUAUGCAAACCUCUACACCAAACGAAUAGGAUCCCCUAUUUGCCCAAGGUAUCGAAGUGGUCCUGAAUCUAUGUUUCAUGUCAUUACUUCGUGGGCCUUGCAUAAGAUGUUUUGGAAUUCUUUCUCAAUACACUGGCCAUCAAGUUUACAAUGUGAUGAUUAUUGGGUUUGGUUUGAACUUCUACUUAGAAAUUGCUCGAUAUAUACUUGCAGAGUUAUUGUUGGGGUCAUCUGGGCAAUCUGGACUUCGCGUAAUAAACACGUUAUGGAGAACAAGCCUCAAUUAGCACAAGAGAUUAAAUUGAGAAUCCAUUCAUUCCUUAAAGAAUUUGAUGAACUGGGAAAGCGACUACCCGCUAAAUUUAGCCCGUUUACUGAAAAGUGGUCUCCCCCAACUGACCCUUAUGUUAAAGUAAAUGUCGGUGCUGCUUUCAAAGAACACCGGAGACAAUCACGGUCAGACUUUGUGAUCAGGGAUAUGGAUGGUCAGGUUGUGGGCAGUGGAAUGGUUAUUAACCCACACAUACCUGAUGCUUUCUUGGUCGAGGCGCUGGCUUGUGUAUAGCCGCUGCAGUUUGCUCUUAACAUGGGGUUCAUAAUGGUGGAAGUAGAGGGCGACUUCCGAGUAGUUAUUUCGAGGAUUAUUCAAGGGAAAGACGACAAAUCUCAAAUGAGUGCAUAUAUCAGUGAUGUUCGAUCUCAAGCAAAAUCUUUUCUAAGAGCCAUUUUUCGACAUGCAAGUAGGGAUUGUAGCAGACUAGCACAUGAAAUUGCACAAGUGGGCUUCAGAAUGGAUGAGAGCACUUACUGGGUGGAGGAAGUCCCAUGUGUUGCAGCGGCAGCAGUGACAACGGACCGCUGGUGGGUAGAUCCUCCCGACUAAAGCUGUGGCUUUCGGUGGCUCUGCGCGCAGCCAUCUUCUUCCUGUUUGGGUGGCCAGUGUUUUUUGGAUUUGGUUGGGUGCUUCGUUACUACUUUAUUCAGUGGGUUAAUGAUGUCUUGCUGGUUUCUCAUGUUUUAUUUAUGUUUUGACAUACGUUGAACCCAUUCCCGCCCUCAAUAUUUUAUAAAAAAAAACUGUAAAAUACAGCAUUUUAGUGUAAAUUUUAGUUAUUAUCAAAUAAAUUUAUUCAAUAAAAAUAUUUUAAUGAAAUUAAAAUUUUGCUCAUAAUUUGAACAAAAUUUAUCAAUAAACUGUUCAAGUAAGAUAUUUAUAAUGUCGGGCAAAAAAAAAUCUUACAAUAAAUAUGCGAGAAAAUUAAUACAUGCAUCUCCUCCAUAUUUUUUUGUAAAUAUUAAUUAUAAUAUUCAGAAUAUCCAUUUUAUCUUAUACUUGGGUACGGGAAAAAGAUAAGUAGAAGCAUUUAGGCCACUGCCUACAGGAUAUCAAAUAAAAUUGAAUUAACGAGGAUUCCAUGUGAUUUAGCUUUUAAAUUCGUGGAUUCUCAGCUACCUUUGAUUGCUUUGACGCUGGCAGCUUUGUCGUUUCGUUCCUUCCAUACACAUAAAUAUCGCCGUUUAAUAUUUUUCACAAAACCCUUUUUUAAUGUCUGAUUUCUAAGUGGCUCCCAAAAAUAAAUUCAGCUGUGCAUUUUGGACAGUUUAAUUUUUAGAACCUAAAUUUGAGUUUGGUCAUGUAUAAUUAUGAGAAUUUUCAGUCUCAAAAUAUAUUUAUUUGACUUCCUUCACCAUGUUUUAUAAUAAUUUGAUUAUGCAUUAUGGUUAUUUCAUCUUUAUAUGAUAUUUAUAAAUGUAAUACAUUUAUAAUAGAAAAAACUUAAUAGAAAACAUAGUAUAUGCAUUCAUAUAAAUAUAUAAAACUAAUAUAUGAUACGAUUUUACUAAUCAUGGUGUUUUGUUUAAUUUCCGAUUCAGUUUCAAAUUUUCAUUAAAAAGAGCAAAGUAUUUUCAAUGCAUUGCUAAUAUUUCUAGAAUUAAUAUUUUAAUAAUUUAAUUGUUAAAUUUAUUUUUAUAAUUCUAAAUAUUAUUUAGUUAAAGUUUCAUACCAAUUCGAUAAUUAUAACAUAACAAUUUAUGAUAUUAUUUUUGUUAAUAUAUGUUUAAUGGUCGAAAAUUUUUAUGUCAAAAAAAUAUCAAUUUAUGAUAUUAUUGUGUUAAUAUAUAUUUAACAAUUGAAAUUUUUAUAUCAAAGAAAUAGUUUGACAUUUUUAAUGUACUUAAUUUGUAGUUGAUUGAGUUUUAACUCGGUUGGCAUAAGUCUUCUUAUUAGUGCAAGAAGACGUGAGCUUGAGCACGUUGAAACGUAUUUAUCUUCUUAUUUAAAGUUUAAAAAGGGGUUAUAAAAUAAUCUUAGGCAUUAUAUAUAUUUAAAAAAAUUAAAAAUUGAUAAGUUGAAUCCUUUUGAGAUAAAACUACAUGAUAAUAUGAGAUUAUGUCAAGAAUUCACAUGAAAAUUUUAUAAAUUAAAAAUAAUACAAAAGUUAUUAAAAAAUUAUGAAGAAAUUAUAAUUCUUCAUAAUUUUUUAAAUUUUUUAAAAUCAUGUGAUGAUACAGCGUAAUAUCAAACAGUCACGUCAGUAAUUUAAGUUCAAAGAUCAAAUUAAAAAAAAAUUGUCAAACAAAAAGAGUUUAGGGAUUAAAGUGGAAAAAUUUUCCAAGUUCAGGGACUGAAUGUUAAUUUAUUCCUUGCGUGUGUAUAUAUAUGGCUAGCGUUGCAUACAAGAAUACUAUCCAAUCAACAGGAUUCAAACUAUUGUCCUCUCUCCGUCUGAUUGUCAGCCGUUUUAUCUUUUAUUCCAUUUACUUGGCAUUAGCCAGUCUACUCAUUCCACAAACACUUGCUUCUUCUUCUUCUACAAAUCACAAUUUAUUUACAGGUUUUAUUUCCGGUCGCCAUUUAUUAUGUUCUAACUCAACCCACAAUUUCUUGGUAAGUUGUCAAUCUCUUACUUUGUUUUAACUUUCUGUUCCUUUCAGUUUGCCAUUUUUUAACCCCGUUGCAGUUCAGGGGAUGUUAAUAAUAUGUAAAUUUGAUUAUAUAGAAUAAUUUAUAUUGGAAUUCCAGGCCCUUUGCUUCAGUAUUUAAUUAUAUAUAUGUAAUACGUUUUUCUUGUGUGUCAAUGGAACAGGUUGAUAAUGGAGAAGAGAAGAAUUGGAUCAAGUAAAGUUGCUGUUAAUAUGUAUGAAGAAAUGAUUCUUGAUGGUAAUUCUUCAGUGAAGAAACCCCAGAGUCAACAGGCUUUUCCUGAGGUAUAAUUUUGGUACUCAUGGUGUUAAAGUAUCGGAUUAUACAGAUAAGUUGAACUGAUUGAUGAUUAAAUAUUUAUUUUUAUGAAAUAUUAUUAUAUGGGAUAAGAUUUAUACAUUUAACUCUUUAUUAAAUAUUUAUUAUAUUUGAUAAUUAUUUAACUUUAAAAAUACUUAGAUAAUACAUAAUUUUGUUUAAUACAAUCAAUCGGAUCUAUUGGUAAUCACAGGUGUCACCGGUUUUACAUCGGAUUCGGCUUUUUAGACAUUGGUGAUUCAUGAAAAACCUGUAGUUUUUAUGCAAUGGAGUUUAAGUAAUUUUCAAUUUUGACUGAUAAAUUUGUCAUUGUGUGAUUUUAACUUUUAAGAAGCCAUUGUCAAAAGCAAGGGAGCUUCAUAUUGCAAGAAGGGAUAUGAGUCGAUAUAAAGAGAGUAGAAGAAUUGCAGAAUCAGAAACGUUUAAAGCGGAGUCUGAACUCUCUAGUGCAAAGAAAACAGUGAAGGAUUUGGCUUCAAUGAUAGAGGAAUCAAAUUUCAAAGCUAAGGAAAGGAUUAAAGAUGUUGAAUCUUUGAAAAAGAAAGGAAAACUCGACGUCGAGGCAUCGGUUUUUCGUUGUGUCGAAAGUUAUCAGUGCGUGGAAGUUAUGGAAGAACUGGAAAUGGUGAAACAUGAACUCAGUGAACUUAAGCUUGCAAUGGCAUCUGUAAUGGCAGAUAAAGAAAGAGCAGUGAAGGAGUUUGAAGAUUCAAGCAAGAAACUGUUGUCUAAUGGUAAGCAUAUAGAAGAGCUCAGGAAGGAAAUUGAGGUGGCUAAUGAGGAACAUGUUCUAGUCGAAUUGGCUAAGAUGGAGGCAUCAAAAGAAGCUGCAGAUAUCGAAGCUCAAAAAGAGAAAGAAGUUGGUGAACUGUCAUGUAGGAUGGCAGGAACGAAGAAGAAAAUGGAGGACAUGAUCAACGAGAUUGAUCAGACUGGAGAGUUGGAACAAAGAUUGACUGUCACUUUGUCUGACAUUAAUGUCUUACAAGAUGAACUCAAGCAAGUCAAGGAUCAACCACCUUCAUUAGAGUCAACCAACAAAGUGUUGCAGGCAGCUAAGAACGAAUUGGCUUCGAUUCGAGAAGAGGGUUUUCGGUAUAUGUCAUCCAUGGAUGUUAUCCGAAAUGAGCUGAAACAUGUUAUAGAAGAAACAAAAAAGUUGAAGAAAACAGAGGAAAAGACAGAUUUGAGAGUUAAAAGUCUCAAUUCAAAGCUGUUAAGAGCCAAAUCAAAGUUGGAAGCAGCGACAGCAGCUGAAGAAAAGGCUAACUCUAUUGUGGCCAAUCUUUCCCUCUCACUUGAACAGUUAAGACUUGAAGCUGAAGCAUCAACGAAAGAGAAGGCUCUUAUAGCCGAAGAAGCUGCAGCAAUCGCAGAAGAAAUCCGGAAAACCGAGUCCAAAAUCGACUCAACCGAGGAAAAGUUGCAGGCAGCUGUGGGGGAACUAGAAGCAGUUAAGUCAGCAGAGACUUCAGCUCUAGAAAAGUUGAGAUCUCUCAUAGAGACUACAAUGCAAUCUAGAGCUUCAGCAUCCGAUCGGAAUUCCACGAUUACUAUAUCGAAAUUUGAGUACGAGUACUUGACCGGACGUGCGGUUGGAGCUGAAGAAAUUGCUGAUAAAAAAGUUGCUGCAGCUCAGGCAUGGAUUGAAGCUCUCAAGGCUAGUGAAAGGGAGAUAUUGAUUAAAACCAAAAUGGCACAAAGUGAUCUCAAGGAGAUGAGGGUAGAGGAGGAAGAAGAAGAAUAUCGAACCCAAAGGUCACUUUCAGCUAAGAAAAUGAUAGAGAAAGAACUAAGAAACUGGCAACUUGUUGAACAAAACAAGCAAUCAUCAUUCAAUAGAAGGUCAAUGAAAAGCAAUGGCAAUUCGACACCGUUAGGAAAAUCGAAGUUCCGUAGAUCAUUGUCACCGGCGAUACGGGUGAGUGGAUUGACCCCAUUCAGCAUUAAGAAGAAGAAAAAGGGGAUGCCAAAUCUAGCCAAGCUCUUCACAGGUAAGAAAGUUGAUAAAGAUGCUUAAGCUUGUGACGAAUCCUUUCUGUCAAAAAUGAAAAUGUUGCAUAUUACAAGCAUUUGUAGCUAACAGUUGGGGUUAUGUUUUUCAUGGUUGCUUGUUUCCGAGUUAGCUCUUAACAAAAACUUGAAUUAAAAGAGAGUGAUUGAGGCAUUUACUAAUAUAAUUGUAGGUGAGUUUGUUUAGACAUGUGAUGUAAAUGAAUGCAGACUGUAUAGCAAAGAAGUAUUCCAUAUAGGUUUCAUAUUGUUGAACACUUCUUUAUUCCUCUGUCACCAUAACAAAUAAAUAAAUAAAUAAAUAAACAUGUUAGUGAAAAUUUGAAAACUCUAAAAUAUAUAAGAAAUAUUUAAUACAUUGUGCGCGUAUAUUUAUAUACAGAUAAUGAAUAUCAUGAGAUGUUCUCUACUAAAUAUUUUAAUUAUUUCUAUUAUUUUUUUAAAAAUCAAUAAAAUAUCAGCAUGUAGUUGGAAUUUAUUCAUGAAUUUUUUUAAAAGCAAAGUACUCACAUAAAUUAACUAACAACAUCAUCCAACAUUAAGAUACUGUUUGGUAAGAUGAAAAAUAAUCAUUUUUUAGAGUAUUUAAUUUUUUGAAAAGUGAUUUCAAAAUUUGGUAGGUCAAAUUUUAUUUACUUUUCUUUAAAUCUAAUUUUUUUUCUUAGGAAUUAUUUUCCAAUGAAUGUGGUAAUGUGAUUUCCAUGUAAAUUGGAAAGUAAAAAAAAAUUAAGACAAAAUUAGUCUUAUUUUAUAUCAAUUUAGGAUAUUAAUCUAUUAAGAAACGUAAAAAAAAUUAUUGCAUUCUUCCUUUGUCCUACUACUUGAUUUUUUCUAUUACUUCUCGUGUUGUUUGAAUCGGACUGACCGGUUGAAUUGGUACGAAUCGACAUUUGAAUCGGUUGAACUGAGUUUUUUUAAUUUUUUUAAAAGUUUUUUAAUUAUUAAUAAUUUUUUAAUCGAACUGGUUGAACCAAUGGCCUGACUAGUUUAACCGCCAGUUUGGUUUAAAAAACAUUGAUUACUUCAAUGAAUUCUUCACAAGUAUUUGUAUACAUAAUUUCUUAAAUUUAUUCCAAAACAAGUUUUUUAAUAUGCCAAACCCGACCCGAUAAUUGGAUCCGAGUAUGAUGUGUUACAACUUAAAAUCAGACUAACUUCAAAACAUUUAGUGGAAGCUUUAUAAAAUUUUUCAAAUUAUAAUUAUAAAUCGUAUAAUAGUUGUUGCUUGAAUAAAGUUUUAAUGUAAACAUUAGCAAUUUAGAAUAACAUCUAAAUAGAAGUUCUUUAUACAAAUCAUUUCUAAAAUACAUGUAUACGCCACUCGCAAGAGCCAUGCAUGAUACAGAACAAAACAAUUAGCUCACAAUAGCAACAACAUUCUGGCAUAGACCUUCUAACAAAUAGCCUUCCUUCAGUUACCAAGCCUGAGAAGGAAAAGAUAACGGACUAAGUUCAUAUGAACUUAGUGAGUUCCAGAAAGAAAUCAUACAUAUCAUUACUUACAACACAACCGAACCUUUUAGAGGGACUUUCAUACGGUAAUCAUAGUACGCCCAAUGGUGUGCAUAGAACAUAGACAGACUUAGUACACCAACUUACUUAACACAUGAGCGUAUAUUGUACGCCAACUUAACACAACUCAGACAACCCAUCUUCAUGCCAGCUACGCACCUAGAAUUCAGAAUCAGAAGCAUAUCAUAUAGUUUCAUUCACAUACAUACUCCCCCUUAACUCAUUAUAUCAUUUUCAUUCAGAAUAACAUAUUUUAUCAUGAUCUGCCAGUUCGGUUUGCAAUAUGAUUGUCCUACCGGAAGCUACACAAACAUAUCUCCUAUUCUCCAUCACCAUAGACCAAAUCAUAUUUCACAUAUCAAAAGCAGAUAGUAGUGACUUAGGCAUGAAGAAUGACGCUUACUUCAUACCACUGACAAGCUGUGUUCAGACUGAUGACAUUGAAUGGCCAUUAUCCACACAUACACCAUUCAUACAUUACCGAGGAAGAGUAAUUACCUUAUACAAUUUAUAUAACAAUGGAAAUUUACAAUACAUGGAAGUAAGAAGGAACUCACCAAAAAUUCUAGCACUACCUACAAAGCAAUUCCUUUUCCUUUAUUGAUUGGACCCUCGUUAGCUUCUUGAGCUAAAAGAAAGAUGAUUACAUAUAUCAGAUCACCGAUCUAUCAAAUCUUAACAUGCAUGCAAGAAUCAAUAACACUUAGUCCAAAAUCAGGAAGUUUCCCUCCUCACACACCAUUCUAACAUCUAUGCAUACACUACGAAAAACACAUAAAUGACUUCGAUGAUAACCUAAGGGUUCAUUAGUAAUUACCAAUGAGUUGGUAUUAACGUAGAAGUUAGCUAGACAUUGCAAACCUUCACUUCGAGGAAAAUCUUCUAAACUUAGGUUUUUAGAGACUCUUAGAUAAAAAAAGAGAGGAAAAAAACGUAAAGGUGUUCAGAAAGACCACCACUAUCCUUAUAUACUUAAGCAACGAAGACAACGAUUAGUGAAAAAAAUCAGAUAAUUCCACUAACACUCUUGAUUCCCAUGAUUAAGUGUACUUAACAAAUUUUAGCUCUUAUCAUCUACAAUAGUCUAGUUUAGUUCUAACUAAAUUUUAACUUAACUAACCAAAUCAUCAUACUCUAAAAUAUUAAACAAAUCUAAACAACUAUGAACUUAAGAAGUUCGCCCAACGCAUUAGAGCUGGGCGAAUACUUAACAGAAGAGCCCGUCAAACCACAGAACUCGCCAAAACUAGAAAUUCACCAAAUGGUGAAUUACACAAAAUUCUAUACUUAACCAAGACAAAUACUUUACUUAUUCAAAUAUAUCCUUAAUUUACCAUCUAUACCCCAAACAAUAACCAAAUACGGAGACUCCCCAGGCAGGCCGUUACAAGUUUUAUAUACAAAUAUGCAUUAUUAUAUUUAUAAAAUAUAUGUAAGAAAAAUCUGAAAUAAUUUUGCUUUCAAUUAACAUUAUAAAUUAAAAAAAGUUAAAUAUCAAUUAAAAUUUAUUAUUAAACAUUUAAUCCAAAUCUUUGUUAAGAGAGAAGUUUAUUAUAAAAAUUAAAUGCAUGAAUAUUAUCUUUUAUUUAAUAAGGGUAAAUUUAUAAAUUAUUAUUAUAUUUUUAAGAAAAUACUUAGUAAAUUAAACAUUAUCUUGUGAUUUUAAUCAAUACAUUUUUAUAUAUAUUAAACAUUGAAAAAUAAUUUUUUCAAUAAUCAUAUUCCAUUAAAAUUAUAAGACGAAAAAGCAUGAAAGUGUAGCUAAUAGGUGGAUGAUAUUUGAAUAUUCCAAAUCAAACAAAGUGUAAAUGUCGAUGGAUUUAUGGGCUAAACAAUGUGCAACAUAAUUGACCCUUAAUGGGCAUAUAUAUUAAAAAGAAAUAAAAGAAAUUCAGUCGCGCAAAAUAUGGGCUCCCCAAUGAUUCCGCCGUUAACAGAUAAAUCAAAACUAUUGCUAUUAAAUCUAAAGGUAAGCGUCCAUCGAAUUGAGUAAUUUUUUUUAUUUAAUCGAGUUAAUAAAUUUUAUUUUAUUAUUUUAAUUUGAUUUGAUUUUUUUAAAUUAAAUUAAGUGGAAUAAAAUUUGAGUUGAGUCGAAAUGAGUGAAGUUAUUUGAGUUAAAUUAAAAAAUUAAACAUGUCAAAUUAAAAUCUUAUUACAUUAUAACUAAUUCUAUAUUAGAGCAUAUAAAUUUGAAACUAUAUAUAUUUGAAAAAAAUUUCAAAGCAAAAUAAUAAACAAUAAGAUAUUAGGAUGAUAAAUUUAAAUUAUUAAUUAUUCUUAACUUUCUUUAUAUAUUCUACAUAUUUUUUAAAAAAAAUUUAUAAUUUAUAAAAAUAUUUUGAAUUUUGAAAAUUAUUUUGAUUUUUUUUUGUAAUUUUUGUUGAGACAGACCAGUUUGCUCAUUUUUAAAAUUGACAGGGAUUAAAGAAGUAUUUACACCAACCUAUUAUUCGAAUUGUAAAAUUCAACUUGAAGCUCGAAUAACUUAAAAUUCUAAUUUUCUUCGAAUAAAAUCAAAUUUUGCUCACACCUAAUUAAGUUUAGUAAUAACAGCUAAACAAUUUGACUCAACAAUGAUAGAAGGCCAUCUUAAAAAGAUGUUGUAAGACCAAAUUUAUGCCAUAGCCCAAACCUACCAACCCAAAAAAAUUUACCGACCCAAUUAUAAUAACAGACCCACAACCCAAAAUUCAAAAGCCCAAAUGGCCCAAAACGUUUUGACAUUUUCAGAAUGCCAGAAACCCUAGGGUUUCUGGCGCCGUUCCCUUGCCUCGCGCUGCUGCUACCCAUGUGCGCCUUCAGCGUGCACCACGCCCGAGGUCUGCCACCGCCAGCUGCGUCUUGCACCAAGAUGGAAGCUUUCCGUCUCCGUUGACUUCACCAAAACCUAAAAACAAGACAAAACAAUGGAAGAAAACGAAAGAACAGUAUAGAACAGUAGCAUGCACUGUAAUCCAAAACGGCUAUAAAGGCUGAAUCAAACAAAUGUAAUGAAAAAAAAAAGGGAGAAGAGGCCGAACUUGGCUAUUGUUUUGAGGGUUCUUCUCUCCCUAUUUUCUUUUGUAAACACAUCAUUUAGAAAUAUAAAGGAAAGGAGAAACAUAUUGAGGCAAAAAAAAAAAGAAAAAAAGAAAAGGUCUUUCCUUUAUUUAUUUAUUUUUUAUUUCGUAACCAUUCAUCUGUUUACAACUUUUUUUAUACACAUCAUAUACAUUUAUAUAUAUAAAAAAAAAGAGGGCAAAAAAAUACCUUCUUUUGAAUUUUCCGGCCACCGUGUACGGUGGCCGGCGCCGCGGCGGCUCUCCUCGCCGAGUCUCGGGCCGGCGUCUGGAAAAUGGAGAGGGUUUGAGAGAAUUUUAGAUUUUUUUAAGGAAAAGGAAGAAAAUGAAAUUUUGAAAAAAAAAAGAUUUAUAUAGGAUAUUAAAACGGCACCGUUUUGAAGGAGUUCAGAAAGCCUCAAAACGACGUCGUUUUAACAUGGAUCGGACCGACCCGACCCGAACUGCCAAGGAUCCGCGCGUUUCUGGAUAAAAGGGGUUAUUUGGGCUCCUGGUCCUUCUACUUUUGAGGCUGUUUACAAUUGGGUCCCAUUUUGUUUUUAUUUUUCAAUUUUGCCACAAAAUUUCAUUUUUCUCUCGAUUUGGUCAACAUUGAAGCUGCGCGUUUUAGAGGAGAAGGGAAAUUUUCUCUUCCAGCCCCUCUAUGUUAUUCGUACAUUCAAAUCAGUCCCUCCUUUUUUUAUUUCGAUUUCGCCCCGUAUUGUUUGCUUUUAUUUCGAUUUAGUCCCCUUUUUAGCAUUUUUAUUAUUUUCUUCAUUAUUUUAAUGUAUUAUCAUCUUUUAUUAUUUAUUAUUACUAUUAUUAUUAUUACUUAUAUUAUUAUAUAAUAGCUUAAAUAUACAUACACGUAUACCUUUUUUUCUUUAUAAUUUAUUUAAUAUAUAAAUACUUUUUAUCUACUUUAAUCUAUAUAUGUAGUUGUAUAGUUUCAUAUUUGAUUUUCCAUAUGUAUACGCAUCUCCAUAUACCUUUUGAUUUUUGUAUAUACAUACAUAUUUUAGGAUAUAUAUAUACAUACAUACAUACAUAGGUUUUUACUUCUACAAAUUUUAUUUAUCUUUGUGUUGUUAUUAUUGCUUUGUCUUAUGUUUAUUUAUAUGUUAAUCAUUAUUUUAUGAAAUAUUAGCCCUAGUUAUCUAUUAUUUCAUGUACAAUUAUUUUGUCAUCUUUUAUUUAUUUAUUUAUCAAUUCGUUGUGGUUAUGUGUGUUAUGUUUACAUCGUCGUAUUUAUUAUCGUUUUGCUACCCAUAUUAACAUUGCAUUUUACGAUUUUAAAAUAAAUAAAAUUCCGUGUUUAGAUUUGAGAAAGUCGUACCCUAACUUACUGGGUUUCGACUUUCACAAUAAAUCUAAAUGUAUGAAUAUUUUCAAAUUCAAGUUUUAAACGAUCUCGAGAAUUAAGAAAAGAUCGUGUCCUAACUCACUGGGCAUGACCCCUUUUUUAAAAUCCGAGAUAGCCAAAUAUUUUCCUAAAUAAAUAAUUUUUUUUGGCAUGUAUUCUCGCAUCGGGAAUUCGAUACGUUGUGUCCUAAUGUAUUGGAUAUGACAUGUCAUUUCCUCGAGAUGAGGAUUCUUCUAAAAAAUAAUAAUAAUGGCAUUUCGUAUUAAGAUUCGAGAAGAUCGUACCCUAAUUUACUGGGUUUCGAUUUUUACAAUAAAUCUAAAUGCACGUUUUUUUUAAACUCAAGUUUUAAAUAAUCUUGGGAUUUAAGAUAAAAUUGCGUCCUAACUUACUGGUCGUGAUCUCCCUUUUAAAUUCGAGAUUGCGGAAAUAUCUUUUAAACAAGCAUUUUUACGUAUCGGGAAUUCGAGGUAUUGUGUCCUAACUUACUGAAUAUGAUUCUCUUUCUCGAAUAACGUGAAAUAUGCCCUUUUUUUGAAAUUUUUAACAUUUUAAUACAAGGAUCGUAUUUUUGGAUUUCUUUAAAGUUUUCAGGUUUCAACACUAAGACAUUAAGUAAUCAACUAGGUGCCAAUUUUGGGCGUAUCGAGGGUGCUAAUCCUUCCUCGUGCAUAACCGAAUCCCGAACCCGUUUUUUGAAUUUCGUGGACCAAACUUGUUGUUUUAAUAAAAUCAAACUGUUUAUUAAAAACAACCACUUUUCAAGGUGACCCGAUCACACCUCAUCAAAAAAGAUUGGUGGCGACUCCCAUUUUUUGUUUUCGUUUUCAAAACCCAAGUCGACCCCGUUUUUAUCUAAAAAAAUGGUGUCGACAGCUUGGCGACUCCGCUGGGGACAUGAAACUGAGAGUCAAGCCACGUGUUGAUUACUUUUUGUCUUUUCCUUGAAAAUAAAAAACUUGAUUUAAAUAUACGAUCCUUUCGUUGCAUUUUAUUCGUCUUUAUUACGAUCUUUAUUAUUGUGAUUAGUUUAAAUUCAAAUAUGUUUCUGCACAUUGCAUUGCAUGACCGUGGGUCACACCUUUGGAGUAGGAGUGAGAAGCUACGCCUUCGUGAGGUUUUCACCUUCGCAUGGGAUAGUGAAUCACUUUCGGGAUGUAUCCGUACCUAUGUCUUCGUGAGAUUUUCAUCUCUGCAUGGCCAUAGGGAAAUGUAUUCUCCUGAACUGAACUCGGUCAAUAUGAGCCUAUAAUGGGUGAGGAUCGAGGAAUCUGCUGGUUCGGGUACCUUUACUCUAGAACUAAACCACAUGUAGUGAGCCAUAGGAACCCACCUAGAUGGAACUCCGCCAAACCUUAGUACUUACCCAAAUGGAUGCUUUAUUUAUCAUCAUUUACUUUAAAUCUUGUUCUGUGUAAUACUAUUUUUGCUUUAUUUGUGAUUGCAUGGCAUUGUCAUUCUAAAAGAGGUGUCGAUUCAUGUUCAGUAUCUAAAACGAAAGCUUAUUAUGGAAAAGGGAUUUCUUGAUAAAGUAGAAGAUAAUGCGGCUGUGCGAGUAUGGGCUGAGACGACACAAUGGGAGAAAGGCGAUAGUCUUACCGAAGGGCACGUGUCAGAAUUGUGGGAUUUCACCCGUAUUAGUGUAAUCCAGAAUGACCUUCGAGAAAUGAAAGAAGUCUGGGAUCAAUGGAAUGUUGAGACCAAGCAGCUGUUCUAUUGUAACUACGGUGACCUGCCUUAUCUGCUCAGUGUCAAAGUGGACAAGUAUUUAUUCCGAGCCCUUGCUCAGUUUUGGAAUCCUACCUACAGUUGUUUCACUUUUGGAAAAGUAGAUUUGACGCCUACUGUGGAGGAGUAUACGACCUUGCUUCAGUGCCCAAAGUUUCAAGUGGACAAGGUUUAUUCUAGAGCUGCUUGUGUCCCUCCGUUGUUAAAGAAAUUAAUGAACAUCACUGGGAUGAGAGAGUAGUGGGUCGUUGCCCGAAUCCAACAAAAGGGCGACAGUAAAUGCGUCCCUUGGAAAAGCUUACGAGAUUUGGUGCUUGUACAUCCUGAUGUAAAGAAAAAGGUCGAUGUCUUCGCUUUAGGUAUCUAUGGGCUAGUAGUCUUCCCCAAGGCUUUAGGACACAUAGACAAGGCUGUAUCUGAUUUGUUUGAUCGGCUUAGUAAAGGGGUUACACCGGUUCCGGUAAUACUGGCUGAAACUUUCAGAUCCCUGAAUGCGUGUCAGAAAUCAGGUGAGGAAAGGUUUAUUAGAUGCGUGCAAAUUUUAUUGGCAUGGUUUCAUAGCCAUUUCUGGAAAGUGGAAAAGGUCUCUUAUCGAGUAUUCUCUGACAGCUACUCCCCUCUUGAAGAAUUGGUGGCCACGCCAAGACGAGAUGAUAUUUCAGAAGAAAGAUGGAUGGAGAUACUCUAGAAUUUCUAGGAUGAAGAUAUUGAAUGGAGGGCUCCUUGGUUAAUUCCUGAUGAGAUAUUGUACCGAUGUGGAGAUUUCGACUGGGUUCCUCUGCUCGGGAUAUGGGGAGCUAUCAGAUAUGCUCCCCUACUCGUAUCUAGACAGUAUAGAUCACGACAAUUCGUACCAGCAACGAAAAGGUUGGCCUAUUGUGAUUUCUCCUAUAGGGAGGACAAUUACAAGAAAAAGGUUCGAGAAGUGUCUAACGCUUGGAACCAAACUCGCCGAAUAAAGAUCUUAGCCGCGGGUCCGACGAUGACCCCCGAGUAUAGCCAGUGGCGUGAUCAAAGGGUCAACGACAAUAUAUCGGCGUCAAAUCUAGAAACUGCUCGAUCUUUAGAGGAACACCUACAAGUAUUGCCCUCUGAGAUAGAAAUUAUCAAGCAAGAAUUUGAAAAGAGGAACUUAAAGAUAGGGAAGAAAAUAGAGCAAUUAGAGGAAGAGAAAAUGCAGUUAGGACUGGAUGUGGACAUUCAAAGAUUAGAGGCCGAAAAAUUGAGAAAAGGAAAGAACAAGACAGAAGAAGAUUUAGACAGCCUGAAGACGGAUUACAAGAAGUUGCGUAUUCGAUAAGAACUGCUGGUAUGGGUAAUACGCCAGAAUAAUGGCGACAGGAAAUUUAGGAGGAAAAAACGAAAGCUAAUCAGUGGGAAAAGAAAUUUCAAGAUACUCGAGCUCGAGAAGUUACUUUGGGAAAGAGUCUACUAGUCUGCCAAAAUAAGAAGACGGAGUUGAAGGCCCGAGUAACUGAACUAGAAUACCAUAGUCGUAAUUCUAUGGUUGAAUUAAAGGCAAGCUUAGACAAAUUGAAGGAUUAAAAGGACAAGUAGGAGAGCUCGAGGAUGCAUUGCAAAAUAGUGAACUCCGAAUAGAGCUUCUGGAAAAAAGUAAUGAGCAGUGGCAAGGGAAAUUCCAUUGGUCUCAAGAUCAGAUCAGAUCAGAGAUUAUAUUAUGGGAGAGGCGGUGGCUCAAGUACGCGAAGUAGCUGAUCAUUUGCAAACCCUAGCGGUUCAGGCUGAUCUAUUAAGUUUGAAGUAUGAGUCGGAGUCAGACAGGGGCCGAGAAUUAGCUUGGCUUCUUAGAAAGGUUAAGGCUUUGAAUGUAAGAGCAAAACCAUAUAUGUAAUCUAUUUUAUGUAAAGAAACUUCUUCUCUAGUAAAUUUUUCUAAUGAAGUUGAAUUAGAAUCAGUGCCUCUUUUUGCAUUCUUUUCAUGCAUUGCAUCACAUCAUAUGCAUUAAUGACCAUUAAAGGACCCUAAUCGAAUAAAAUUAUUUCAGUUAACCUGGAAAACUGACAAAGUUACGGCACUCGAGCUAAGUCAAAAAUUAUGGACCAAAGGUUGGAGAGGCUAGAGCAACUUUAAAAGGAAAUGCAAGACCAGUUGCAGGCGCAAAUGAAAGAGCAAAUAGAAAAGAUUCAGCGUGACAUGGUACAAAAGAUGCAGGAGUCCCAAAAUGAUUUGCUAACUAAGAUGACGCAAUUAUUGAAGGGAGUAGAUAAGGGGAAAAGUCCUGUGAUUAUUAAUGAAGAAGAAAACAAUGGUGAACCACUUUAUCCUCCAGGUUUCACGUCCCCGCAUGCGCAAGUUUAGACUGAGCUGCAUCUGCGAAGACCCUCUGUGUCGGUUAGGCCUCAACAGUUCCAAGGUGAUGCUUCAAUUCUGAUGAAUUUUCAACCCGGAGCGGGCUCUAAUCUCGGUGAUAGCCCGAAUAAUAUUGCUAUCCCAGAUCUUUGAUGAGAUGGCUGAAAAGGACAAGGCGAAAGAGGAUUUUCCAAAAUAAUUUGAGGAGAAAUAGAAAUGGAUAGAAGAGAAGUUUAGGGCAAUAGAAAGUAUCGAAAGUUAUCAUGGAAUAGAUGCAAAAGAUCUGAGCUUGGUUCCGGACUUGGUGCUCCCUUACAAAUUUAAAGCGCCGGAAUUCGAGAAAUAUAAUGGGACCAGUUGCCCAGAAGCCCAUGUUACUAUGUUCUGUAGAAGAAUGACAGGGUAUAUUAAUAAUGAUCAAUUAUUAAUACAUUGCUUUCAGGAAAGUCUUACGGGAGUGACGUCAAAGUGGUACAAUCAGUUGAGCCGAACCAAAAUUGCUACUUGGAGAGAUUUAGCACAGGCUUUCCUGAGACAAUACAAUCAUGUCUCAGAAAUGAUGCCUGACAGGAUAACUCUGCAGAAUUUAGAGAAAAAAUCAAAUGAAAGCUUCAAACAGUAUGCGCAGAGGUGGAGAGAGGUGGCGAUUCAGGUGCAACCACCGCUUUUGGAAAAAAGGAUGACGACACUUUUUAUUAAUACAUUGAAAGCCCCAUUCAUCACUCACAUGUUGGGAAGCACUUCAAAGAAUUUCUCGGAUAUAAUCAUGAAUGGUGAAAUGAUUGAGCAUACCAUUAGAAGUGGAAGAAUAGAUGGAGGAGAGAAUAAUAGGAGGGUAGCCCCGAGGAAAAGAGAAAAUGAAGUGAAUAAUGUGAAUGUCUAUGGUAGGUCAAUUACCGUGAAUCAACCAAAGAAGGUGGUUGCUAAUCAACAGGGAUCAUCAAGACAAGAGUCGAGAGCCAGGCAAAACAUUGAAAAGCCCCAAUUCACGACAAUCCUGAUGUCAUAUAAUGAGUUGUAUCAGACCUUAUUCAAUGCACAUGUUGUUGCUCAUCGUUAUUUGAGUCCUCUACAGCCCCCGUAUCCAAAAUGGUAUGACACGAACGCGCAAUGUGAUUAUCAUGCAGGAAUUUCUGGGCACUCAAUAGAAAAUUGUACUGCUUUCAAGAAGGUAAUGGAAUGAUUUAUCAAGUUGGGUGUUGUCAAACUUGACGAAUCACCUAACGCAGAAAAUCUGUUACCUAAUCAUGCUGAUAAGGGGGUGAAUAUGGUGGGCGAAGGUACGGGAGAAGAAGUCAAGACUGACAUUACCGAAGUAAAAACCCCAUUGAGACGGGUCUGGAAAGAAAUGGCAAAAAGAAGGCUAGUUAUUUCAGAUUCUGAGGAGGGGUAUGAGAGGGGAAAAUAUUGUGAAUUCCACCAUAAAACAGGGCACGAGAUCCAAGAAUGUGAAGGAUUCAGGGCUUUGAUUCAAAGCAUGAUGGAUAACAAGGAGAUGAGGUUCUAUGAAGAUGUGGAAGAAAGGAGGAGCAUAUGCACGACAGAGUCGGGAACAGAGACUCCAAAAAUAAAUCAUCCUAUGGUUAUUAUCUCACGCCCUAAGAGUAAUGAGGCUAGGGCUCAGGUAACACCGAAAGUUGUAAUUCGAAAACCAUCAAAUUUCUCAUAUAAGGGUAGCAAAAUGGUGCCGUGGAAUUAUGGAUGCAAUGUGACCAUCUCGGGAAAAGAAGCGGAAAGAAAUCAAGGAAUAGGAUCUUACACGCGUAAUGAGAAACGAUAUGACACUCAAGCAGAGUCGUCCAGGGAAGAGAAUUGGAAGAAAGAACAGAGGAAAUAGAAAGCAGCAAAAGUUGAGCCAUUGGUUAAUGAACCAAUAAAAGAAGAGGAGGCAGAAGAGUUUUUGAAGUUUUUGAAACACAGUAAAUACAGUGUUGUGGAGUAACUGCACAAACAGUCAGCCCGCAUUUCUGUAUUAGCUUUACUCCUAAGCUCAGAAAUACAUCGGAAUGCGCUUCUGAAGGUACUAAACGAAACGUAUGUGGCUGACGAUAUUUCAGUAAACAAGCUAGAUCAGUUGAUCAACAAUAUAGACGCUGACAAUUUUAUCUUCUUCAAUGAUGACGAAAUACCAUCCGGAGGAAGGGGUUCUACUAAAGCCCUGCACGUUACUGUUCGAUGCAAAGGGUACACACUCCCGGGGGCCCUGGUUGAUAAUGGAUCUGCACUGAAUGUAUUACCUCUAUCCACUCUUGAUCGAUUACCGGUGGACAGUUCGCAUAUGAAAGCAUGCCAGAGUAUAGUAAGGGCAUUUGAUGGGACGGAAAAUAAGGUUAUGGAGAGAAUUGAGGUACCGUUAAGGAUUGACCCAAUCACUUAUGAGGUGGACUUCUUGGUAAUGGAUAUUAAGCCUUCCUACAACUGUCUAUUGGGAAGACUGUGGAUACACUCAGCGGGGGUAGUACCUUCAUCAUUACAUCAGAAGGUGAAGUUGGUAUCGGAGGGUCGGUUGGUAACAAUAGAUGCAGAGGAGAAUAUUAUCGCAAUGAUGACUAGUGAUGCACCUUAUGUGGACAUCAACGAUGAGGCACUGGAAUGUUCUUUUCGGUCGUUAGAAUUUGUGAACGCGAUGUUUAUUGCUAAAGGAAGCAGAAUUCCAAUACCAAAAAUAUCCAGGACCACCGAAAUGGGGUUGCGAUUGAUGGUAGGAAGAGGAGUCUCACCAGGGAAAGGACUGGAAAAAUAUCUUCAGGGAAGGAUUAAAGCUCCAAUGCUGAAGGAAAAGUUCGAUAGUUUUGGCUUAAGAUAUAAGCCAGACAUGAAGCAGAAAAAGAAAGAAAUAGAGAAGAGACAAGAGAAAAGAAGGGCGUGUUUGAGCAGAUAUGAAGCUAAGUGGGAGCCUUUAACCCUUCCCUAAAUAUCUACAUCUUUUGUGUCGGGAGGAUUUAUUCAUUCUGAGUGUAGAGUGUCCGGUAGCAAAGGCAUUGAAGGAAUGCUGGAAAAUGUUUAUAUCAACGCUAUAGAAGCAGCGGAAAAAAGGGCCUUGUUGGAGAUCUACCCUUAUGAGCCGUGGAGCGAGCUAAACAAUUAGACUGCUGAAGAAAUCCCUGUAGUCUUUAGGGCUUAUUCAGCGUAAUGCUCAAAACAUUCCUGUUGUUUUUGGCCUAGGAACGAUAUGAAAUCUUUUGUGAAAUAGGCUUUGGGCCUAAAUAUCAUCAUUUUAAUGAAAUACAUAUCUACAUUCAUCUCGAUCAGUCACUUUUUUUCCCUUUAUAUGCAAAUAAAUAUUUUCCAUUUGAUUAAUUGUCUUACAAAUAAUUCUUUCAUUUGUAACUCUUUUGCACAAAUAUUUAUUCAUAAAUUUAUAUAUAUUCUUGGUAUAUUCUUUGAUAUGCCUUCAUAGGUCUUCAGAUAUCAAUGACAUGAGUCACGCUGCUUCAAACACGGAGCCUAUUUUUGAGAAAGAAAUGUGUUUGGGGGGAUCUCACGACUUUGAAAAUGACGAAGAUUAUGGUGUGUCUCCAGACUUGUUAAGAAUGGUGGAACAAGAGGAUAAACAGAUCCUACCUCAUAGGGAAUUAUUAGAAAUCGUGAGCCUAAAGGAUGGAAAAGAGGUGAAAAUUGGUACUGAAAUCACUGCAAAGACAAAACAAGACCUCAUUAAUUUACUCCGAAAGUUCAAAGAUGUUUUCGCGUGGUUGUACCAAGAUAUGCCCGAGCUAAGUACUAACAUUGUGGUGCAUCGUCUGCCCAUAAAAGAGGAUUGUAAACCCGUUCAGUAGAUGCUCAGGAGAAUGAGACCUGAUAUUGUGUUGAAAAUAAAAGAAUAAGUCAAAAGGUAAUUCGACGCCGGAUUCUUACAAGAGGUCAAGUAUUCAGAUUGGGUAGCAAACAUCGUCCCUGUUCCCAAAAAAGAUGGAAAGGUAUAAAUGUGUGUGGAUUAUAGGGAUUUGAACAAGGCGAGUCCAAAAAACAAUUUUCCGCUGCCUCACAUUGAUACCUUGGUAGAUAACAUGGCGGGCUAUUCAUUGUUUUCUUUCAUGGAUGGCUUCUCUGGAUACAAUCAAAUAAAGAUGCAUCCUGAAGACAUGAGGAAAACCACAUUCAUUACCUUAUGGGAAACAUUUUGUUACAAGAUAAUGCCCUUCGGAUUGAAAAAUGCGAGAGCGACAUAUCAAAGAGCUAUGGUGACUUUGUUUCACGACAUGAUGCACAAGGAGAUCGAAGUCUAUGUGGAUGAUAUGAUUGCGAAGUCUAGAACGGAAGAAGAGCAUGUUCAAGUCUUGAAAAAGUUAUUUUUGAGAUUGAGGAAAUUUCAGCUCAAGCUUAACCCGGCAAAAUGCACAUUUGGAGCCAGAUCAGGGAAGUUAUUAGGCUUCAUAGUUAGCAAAAAAGGGAUUGAGGUUGACCUAGGCAAAGUAAAAGAAAUACGAGAUUUACCUCCCCCGCGCACUCAGAAGGAAGUUCGAGGUUUCCUAGGGAGAUUGAAUUACAUUGCUCGAUUCAUCUCACAACUGACGGAGAAAUGUGAUCCAGUAUUCCGUUUCUUAAAGAAGCAUAAUCCGGGUGAAUGGGAUGAAGAAUGCCAGAGGGCUUUCGAUAAGAUAAAACAGUACUUGGUUAAUACUCCAGUCUUAUCGCCGCAAAGUCCAGAUAGGCCAUUGAUAUUAUAUCUAACAGUGUUGGAGAAUUCCAUGGGAUGUGAAUUGGGCCAACAUGAUGAGAUGGGAAAGAAAGAAAAGGCAAUAUACUAUCUCAGCAAGAAAUUUACUGAUUGCGAAAUGAGAUACUCAUCAAUUGAGAAGUUGUGUUGCGCUUUAAUCUGGGCAACCCGAAGACUAAGGCAGUAUAUGUUGUAUCAUACGACUUGGCUGAUUUCAAAGUUGGAUCAUUUAAAGUAUAGGAUGGAAUCUACUGCUUUAAACGGGAGAAUGGCUAGAUGGCAGAUCCUGCUCUCGGAAUUUGACAUAGUAUAUGUAAGUCAGAAGGCCAUAAAAGGAAGUGCGAUAGCUGACUUUUUAGCUAGUAGAGCCUUGGAAGACUAUGAGUCUUUGAACUUCAAUUUUCCAAAUGAGGACCUGAAGUAUGUGGCGAACACUGAAGAGAAUCCUCAAAUGGAUAGCGUAUGGAGGUUAAAUUUUGAUGGAGCUUUGAAUGCUACGGGUAAUGGAAUUGGGGCAAUCUUGGUAUCCCAAAUGGAGAUCAUUAUCCUGUUGCUAGCAAGUUAGACUUCGAUUGUACUAAUAAUAUGGCAGAAUAUGAAGCAUGUAUUAUGGGCAUUCGUGCAGCCAUUGAACGAAACAUCAAAGUGCUAAGAGUAUAUAGGGAUUCUGCAUUGGUGAUAUACCAACUUAAAGGGGAAUGGGAAACUAGGGACCCUAUGCUAAUCGAUUAUAGAAAACUAGUCCUCAAAUUGGCUGGUGAGUUUGAUGAUAUCACCUUCUGUUAUCUCACACGAGAGGAAAACCAGAUGGCUGACGCAUUAGCUACUCUAGCUUCGAUGAUUCAGGUGAAUAGACUCGAGGCAAUGAGGCCUAUUCAAAUGAGUAUCUAUGAGACCCCAGCUCAUUGCUGCAAUAUUGAAGAUGAGGGAAAAGAUGAUUGUCCUUGGUAUCAGAAUAUCCUACAGUACGUGAAGAAUCGAGAGUACCCUAAUCAAGCGACAGAGAAUGACAAAAGAACUCUGAGAAGAAUAGCCAUCAAAUAUGUCCUAGAUGGGGAAGUGUUAUACAAAAGAAGGAAUGAUCAAGUACUGUUAAGAUGUGUGGAUGCCGUGGAAGCCAAGAAAAUAUUGGAGGAAGUACAUUACGGUAUUUGUGGGACGCACGCCAAUGGUUUUACGAUAGCCAGACAGAUCAUGAGAUUUGGGUACUAUUGGCUCACCCUGGAAGGAGAUUGCAUAGAUUAUGCCAAGAAAUACCACAAAUGCCAAAUUUACGGAGACAAAAUACAUGCGCCUCCUUCACCUCUUCAUGUCAUGACCUCUCUUUGGCCGUUUUCCAUGUGGGGUAUGGAUGUUAUUGGGCCAAUAUCACCAAAGGCUUCUAAUGGGCAUCGCUUCAUCUUCGUGGUCAUUGAUUACUUUACCAAGUGGGUAGAGGCUGCUUCAUACGCAAAUGCCACGAAGUCAGCAGUCAGCAAAUUCUUGAAGAAGGAGAUUAUUUGUCGAUAUGGAAUGCCUGAGAAAAUCAUAUCCGACAAUGCGUUAAAUUUGAAUAAUAGCACAAUAGCUGAGGUUUGCAGCCAAUUUAAAAUCAAACAUCAUAACUCAUCGCCGUAUCGUCCAAAAAUGAAUGGUGCAGUGGAGACGGCCAAUAAGAACAUCAAAAGGAUCGUGGGGAAAAUGAGUGAAACUUACAAAGAUUGGCAUGAGAAGUUAUCAUUUGCUCUCCUUGCCUAUCGAACAUCUGUUAGAACUUCUACCGGAGCAACACCUUUUUCUCUGGUAUAUAGAAUGGAGGCGGUAUUACCUAUUGAAGUUGAAAUCCCCUCUCUACGGGUGCUAUCUGAACUACAGUUGGACGAAGCCGAUUGGGUCCAAUCUCGGUACGAUCAGUUGAACCUAAUAGAAGAAAAGAGGCUAAGAGCUAUUCGUCAUGGGUAAAUGUACCAGAAACGAAUGAUGCGAGCCUAUAAUAAAAAGGUCCGCCCUAGAGAGUUUCGUGAAGGAGACUUGGUGCUAAAAAAGAUUCUCCCCAUGUAAAAAGAUUCAAGAGGAAAAUAGAUGCCAAAUUGGGAAGGUCUCUAUGUUGUAAAGAAGACCUUUUCCGGUGGGGCUUUGAUCCUGUGUGAGAUGGAUGGCAAAAUUUUGCCAAACCCUGUAAACGCAGACUCCGUCAAGAAACACUUCACUUGAAAGAAAAGAGAACCAAAGUGAAAACCCGCAAAGGGCACUUUGUUUCCUAAAAAACAAAACUUCGGAGAGGCCAGGGUGAAAACCCGCAAAAGGCACCUUGAGACCAAAGGGGGCUUGAGUCGAAAACCUGGAAAGGGCGGCUCAAGUAUUGAUCGGAUUGGGGCAUAAGGUGAUUUGAGCGGAUCAAAUUUUGAUCAGAGGCAUAUGAUGAUUUUGCUUUACCUGAACCAACAAGAAAGGAUAUGCGGCGUCUUGGAGCAUUGACAGAGUAUUGCAGAUCUCUUAAACACAUGUCAAACUCAGAAUGGUCUUCAGAAAGUUUGUACAGAGAAAUUCAAGCUGCGAUAACUGAGACACCUAGUUCUUCUUCUAUUUAUAUGUGUAUUCUUGAAAAUACUUUUUUUUGCUAAGAUACACAUUCUCGAUCCACUUCUUUGUUAUCCUUCUUUCGCUAUCUUCGAUGUUUUAUUUCUUUUGAGUUAUGAUCAGAACCAGCUUUAUUCUUGUCCAUUGUUAUGAUCUUUUUGCAAACAUGUUGCAUUGGAAUAAUGAUUAAUGGACUAAUAAAACUUUCAUGAAAGAAGUUUUGCAUAUUACUCUGAAAAGUUUCUAAAUAAUAUAGGAACCCGAAAUAGGACAAUUAUUUAGAACACCAAAUUUAGGAGUUGAAAAUUUGAGAAGGAAGAGUCUAAAUGUAGACUUUCUCCUUGGAUUAUGUUGUCAAGUGCAUUGAUUGAACAAAAUGACAAGAUGCAGCGUUAACGACAAAGCUUAAAUAAAUGAGUAAGCAAUGAUCAUCAGGUAAUAGGAAGAGGUUACCUCGGAGAAGAGAGUCUUCAUUAGCGCAUGAGUGCUUGGUACGACACUUUGAGAAUGGUAUAAGAAACCUGAACGAUUCGGAUCCUGAAUUGUGAUAAGAGAGGAUCGAAGAAAAGCCAUAUAUUUCUACCUUUAGACUACAGCGGGAGAAUGAUGGUACCAAUUUCGCACCUCAAGGGAUCGAACUUUGAGGUUUGCUGUGGGGCAACCUGGCUAGACGUUUCUUAAGAAAACGCUGCCGAGAAGGAAUGUGUUAUAGCACUUCGAUGACAAAGCCUUAAUAAACUCUGAAUAAUGAUAACCUAAACAGGAUCAUUCUCGAAGAAAUAAAAAAUUCUGUAUUCAUGCAAACACCAUUCACACAUGUCUAGUUAGGAGCAUUUGAUUCAUUUUGAUCAUGCCAUCCUAAUCAUUAGGCAUAAUUAGGUUCAUUAUACAGGUCAUGUUCCCCAGAGAACAGAUUAGUGAAAAAUUUUAGAUCUUAUCUCCCUGAAGUUACAGUGGAGCAGAUUGAAGCCAGAGAUCUUAUCGCCCUGAGAUUACAGCGGAGCAGAUCAAAGAUACUAUCCUAUCUCCCUGAAGUUACAGUGAAGUGGAUUAAAAUAAAGGAUCUUAUCUCUCUGAAGUUACAGUAGAUUAGAUCGUAUCAGGUCUUAUCUCCCUGAGAUUACAGCGGAGCAGAUUGAAGCUAGUAAUCCUAUCUCCCUGAGAUUACAGUAGAGUGGAUUAAAAUUUAGGAUAUUAUCUCUCUGAGGUUACAGUAGAGUAGAUCGCAUCAGGUCUUAUCUCCCUGAGGUUACAGUGGAGUAGACCGAAAAAUUUCAGAUCUUAUCUCUCUAAGAUUACAGCGGAGCAGAUUGAAGAUAGUAAUCCUAUCUUCCUGAGAUUACAGUGGAGCGGAUUAAAAUAAAUGAUCUUAUCUCUCUGAAGUUACAGUAGAGUAGAUCACAUCAGAUUGAAGCCGAUAAUCCUAUCUCCCUGAAGGUACAGUAGAGCGGAUUAAAAUUUAGGAUCCUAUCUCUCUGAGAUUACAGCAGAGCAGAUUGAAGACACUAUCCUAUCCCCCUAAGAUUUCAGUGGAGUGGAUUAAAAUAAAGGAUCUUAUCUCUCUGAAGUUACAGUAGAGUAGAUCGUGUCAGAUAUUCUCUCCCUAAGCAGUAGUGGAGCAGAUCGAAGACGACAGAUCUUAUCUCCCUAAGUAGUAGUCGAGCAGAUCGAAGAUGGCGAAUCUUAUCUUCCUAAGCAGUAGUGAAGCAGAUUUAAGCCACCAGUCCUAUCUCCCUAAGCAGUAGUGGAGCAGGUCAAAGAUGGAAGAUCUUAUCUCCCUAAGCAGUAGUGGAGCAGGUCAAAGAUGGAAGAACUUAUCUCCCUAAGCAGUAGUGGAGCAGAUCGAAGAUGACAGAUCUUAUCUCCCUAAGCAGUAGUGGAGCAGAUCACAUCAAGUUUUAUCUCCCUAAGCAGUAGUGGAGCAGAUCGAAGACGACAGAUCUUAUCUCCCUAAGCAGUAGUGGAGCAGAUCACAUCAAGUUUUAUCCCCCUAAGUAGUAGUGGAGCAGAGGAAAGACACCAAUCCUAUCUCCCUGAAGUGGCAGCGGAGCGGAUUAAAACCACAGAUCUUAUCUCCCUAAGCAGUAGUGGAGCAGAUCGCAUCAAGUCUUAUCUACCUAAGCAGUAGAGGAGUAGACAGAAGAAACCACAAACAUCGUUCCCCUGAAGUUGCGACAAAGAAGAUUGAAGCAACGAGACGCAGUGGACUGAAAUGAAGCUACUUGAAAAGAAAGGCACCAAGAAGUCAAGACUCAGCAAGACCGAGCAAAUUUGGUCUUUCUUGGUCUUUGCUCUAUUCUUGUUACACGACAAUGAGCAAAGAGGGGCAGCUGUAAGACCAAAUUUAUGCCCUAGCCUAAACCUACCAACCCAAAAAAAUUUACCGACCCAAUUACAAUAAUAGACCCACAACCCAAAAUUCAAAAGCCCAAAUGGCCCAAAACAUUUUGACAUUUUCAGAAUGCCAGAAACCCUAGGGUUUCUGGCGCCGUUCCCUUGCCUCGCGCCGCUGCUACCCAUGUGCGCCUUCAGCGUGCACCACGCCCGAGGUCUGCCACCGCCAGCUGCGCCUUGCACCAAGAUGGAAGCUUUCCGUCUCCGUUGACUUCACCAAAACCUGCAAACAAGACAAAACAAUGGAAGAAAACAAAAGAACAGUAUAGAACAGUAGCAUGCACUGUAAUCCAAAACAGCUAUAAAGGCCGAAUCAAACAAAUGUAAUGAAAAAAAAAGGGAGAAGAGGCCGAACUUGGCUAUUGUUUUGAGGGUUCUUCUCUCCCUAUUUUCUUUUGUAAACACAUCAUUUAGAAAUAUAAAGGAAAGGAGAAACAUAUUGAGGCAAAAAAAAAAAAAAACAGAAAAGGUCUUUCCUUUUUUUAUUUAUUUUUUAUUUCGUAACCAUUCAUCUGUUUACAACUUUUUUAUACACAUCAUAUACAUUUAUAUAUAUAAAAAGAGGGCAAAAAAUACCUUCUUUAAGGAAAAAAGGAGAAAAUGGAGAGGGUUUGAGAGAAUUUUAGAUUUUUUUAAGGAAAAAGGAGAAAAUGAAAUUUUGAAAAAAAAUGAUUUAUAUAGGAUAUUAAAACGGCGCCGUUUUGAAGGAGUUCAGAAAGCCUCAAAACGACGUCGUUUUAACAUGGAUCGGACCGACCCGACCCGAACCGCCAAGGAUCCGAGUGUUUCUGGAUAAAAGGGGUUAUUUGCGCUCCUGGUCCUUCUGCUUUUGAGGCUGUUUACGAUUGGGUCCCAUUUUGUUUUUAUUUUUCAAUUUUGCCACAAAAUUUCAUUUUUCUCUCGAUUUGGUCAACAUUGAAGCUGCGCGUUUUAGAGGAGAAGGGAAAUUUUCCCUUCCAGCCCCUCUAUGUUAUUCACACAUUCAAAUCAGUCCCUCCUUUUUUUAUUUCGAUUUCGCCCCGUAUUGUUUGCUUUUAUUUCGAUUUAGUCCCCUUUUUAGCAUUUUUAUUAUUUUCUUCAUUAUUUUAAUGUAUUAUCAUAUUUUAUUAUUUAUUAUUACUAUUAUUAUUACUUAUAUUAUUGCUACUUAUCAUAUUAUUAUAUAAUGGCUUAAAUAUACAUACACGUAUACCUUUUUUUCUUUAUAAUUUAUUUAAUAUAUAAAUACUUUUUAUCCACUUUAAUCUAUAUACGUAGUUGCAUAGUUUCAUAUUUGAUUUUCCAUAUGUAUACGCAUCUCCAUAUACCUUUUGAUUUUUGUAUAUACAUACAUAUUUUAGGAUAUAUACAUACAUACAUACAUACAUAGGUUUUUACUUCUACAAAAUUUAUUUAUCUUUGUGUUGUUAUUAUUGCUUUGUCUUAUGUUUAUUUAUAUGUUAAUCAUUAUUUUAUGAAAUAUUAGCCCUAGUUAUCUAUUAUUUCAUGUACAAUUAUUUUGUCAUCUUUUAUUUAUUUAUUUAUCAAUUCGUUGUGGUUAUGCGUGUUAUGUUUACAUCGUCGUAUUUAUUAUCGUUUUGUUACUCAUAUUAACAUUGCAUUUUACGAUUUUAAAAUAAAUAAAAUUUCGUGUUUAGAUUUGAGAAAGUCGUACCCUAACUUACUGGGUUUCGACUUUCACAAUAAAUCUAAAUGUACGAAUAUUUUCAAAUUCAAGUUUUAAACGAUCUCGAGAAUUAAGAAAAGAUCGUGUCCUGACUCACUAGGCAUGACCCCUUUUUUAAAAUCCGAGAUAGCCAAAUAUUUUCCUAAAUAAAUAAUUUUUUUUGGCAUGUAUUCUCGCAUCGGGAAUUCGAUACGUUGUGUCCUAACAUAUUGGAUAUGACAUGUCAUUUCCUUGAGAUGAGGAUUCUUCUAAAUAAUAAUAAUAAUGACAUUUCGUGUUAAGAUUCGAGAAGAUCGUACCCUAAUUUACUGGGUUUCGAUUUUUACAAUAAAUCUAAAUGCACGUUUUUUUUAAACUCAAGUUUUAAAUAAUCUCGGGAUUUAAGAUAAAAUCGCGUCCUAACUUACUGGUUGUGGUCUCCUUUUUAAAUCCGAGAUUGCGGAAAUAUCUUUUAAACAAGCAUUUUUACGUAUCGGGAAUUCGAGGUAUUGUGUCCUAACUUACUGGAUAUGAUUCUCUUUCUCGAAUAACGUGAAAUAUGCCCUUUUUUUUGAAAUUUUCAACGUUUUAAUACAAGGAUCGUAUUUUUGGAUUUUUUUUAAGUUUUCAGUUUUCAACACUAAGACAUUAAGUAAUCAACUAGGUGCCAAUUUUGGGCGUAUCGAGGGUGCUAAUCCUUCCUCGUGCGUAACUGGCUCCUGAACCCGUUUUUUCUGAAUUUCGUGGACCAAACUUAUUGUUUUAAUAAAAUUAAACUGUUUAUUAAAAACAACCACUUUUCAAUGUGACCCUAUCACACCUCAUCAAAAAAGAUUGGUGGCGACUCCUAUUUUUUAUUUUCAUUUUCAAAACUCAAGUCGACCCCGUUUUCAUCCAAAAAAAUGGUGUCGACAUGUCGACAAUGGUGAUCAGUCAACUCUUGCCAUGUUUUUAAAGAGGUGGAGUGUGGGUGUG